rnacentral:lncRNA from 1 species
ACCGGCGGAGACCAGGUUGCUGCCGCCAUGGGCAUCUACGGCCCUCGCACCACCUUCGUCGUCGCCCUCAAGGACUGCCCCGGGACGCAUGAAUUCCUUCUUCUCGUACGUAAGGUUUUUUUUCUUCUCUUCUGAAUCAAGUGCCCAAUGGAGCUUCUGUAAAUAAAUGUAACAGUGCUAUUAAUCCAAGGUCUAUUGCAAAUGCUGCAGGUAAAUGGCAGCAUGUCAAGGACACCACAAGCAUUGGAGAAGGGAAGAUGUUCUCCCCUGGCAAUCUGAGGGCCACAUUUGACAACCCUGAUUACGACAAGGUAGUACUCUGCACAGCUCUAAAUUGAUGUAGGGACAGUUGUAAUCAGAAUGUAACAAGUGGAAAAUGCACCUUGUGUCAGCUUGUUAACUACUACGUCAAGGAAAAGUACACGCUGCGUUACACCGGAGGAAUGGUCCCUGACGUCAACCAGGUACAUACAUCAACAGCUCUUCACUUAUCACAACUCACAAGUCAUAUUAUUUACUUACAUACCUCAGAAACCACAGAAGUUAUUCAGAUCCAGCCUUAAAAACAUACUCUAUGUAUCNNNNNNNNNNNNNNNNNNNNNNNNNNNNNNNNNNNNNNNNNNNNNNNNNNNNNNNNNNNNNNNNNNNNNNNNNNNNNNNNNNNNNNNNNNNNNNNNNNNNUUUUGUGUGUUCAAAAUGCACCAUUCAAAGACACAUCAUCAAUUUCAACUAUUCUGACUUCAUUUGGUAUUUCAUGCAUUAGUAUUUGAGCUAAAUGACCCUUAAAUUGAAAAGCACUACAAAUGAACUCUGAAAAUGUUGAAAUUUGGCAUGGUAUCAUCAUUUCACCCACAUAGCAUGUGCUAAAAAAGUUGAGAGGGUUGUGGCAAAAACUGGAUGCACUUCGUGUACAGAACGGACAAUCUCUUUCGAAGUAUCACGGUUUCAUACGAAAACUCACGUGUUACAAAGGGAUUUCAUUUUUUCAACUUAUUUGAACUCCAGACUUUUUGUGUGUUCAAAAUGSACCAUUCAARGACACAUCAUCAAUAUUYAACUAYUYCUGACUUCAUUUGGUAKUUUUCAUGCAUUUAGUGAUUUUUUAGCUAAAUGACCCUUGAAUUGAAAAGCACUACAAAUGAACUCUGAAAAGGUUGAAAGUUGGCAUGGUAUCAUCAUUUCACCCACAUANNNNNNNNNNNNNNNNNNNNNNNNNNNNNNNNNNNNNNNNNNNNNNNNNNNNNNNNNNNNNNNNNNNNNNNNNNNNNNNNNNNNNNNNNNNNNNNNNNNNACAAUUCCUUUGUGUUUUAAAAUAAUGUGCCAAGUAAAGCCUUUACGAUUAGUUUGGGUGAUAGUUGUUUGAUCACGCUGAGAAAAGACAGAAACUUUCUGCUCACGAAAUUAAUUUUCGUUUUAUUCUGGAAGAGAUUUUGAGUUGAUUCUUUUUGAUGCUGAUUGAUAUGGAAAUUUUCCAGACGUUCGGAAUUUUUCAGAUUUUUUGAGAUAUCAGAAGUAUACAGAAUAUACAGAUUGCUACAGACUGUUCUGUUUUGACAGAUUCUGUUUUCUAUGCAUUGUUCUCUUAUUUUGAUGAAUCUAUGGGUAGUAUCGGGGGGGGGGKAGUGAACCAUGGUGAAGUUGGAUUACAGUAGAUAUAAUGCUAAUAUGAAUUUAGAAUGAGUUCACAACAGUACUUGAAGGGGUGAUUUAUUUUAUUAUACUAACGGAUCUCACGAAGUUUUGUUGAGUUUUGUGUGAUUGAAGUUUUCAAGUUUUGGGUGAGAGCACAAUGGAUGAAGGAAUAAGGAGAGGCAAGAGCCUAAGCUUGGGAAUGCCCGAGGCACCCCAAGGUAAUAUUCAAGGAAGACUCAAGCGUCUAAGCUUGGGGAUGCCCCGGAAGGCAUCCCCUCUUUCGUCUACAAUCUAUCGGUAAUUUUACUCGGAGCUAUAUUUUAAUUCGUCGCAUGAUAUGUGCAAAUGCUUGGAGCGUCUUUNNNNNNNNNNNNNNNNNNNNNNNNNNNNNNNNNNNNNNNNNNNNNNNNNNNNNNNNNNNNNNNNNNNNNNNNNNNNNNNNNNNNNNNNNNNNNNNNNNNNUAUCGGCAAGUCUCUUUACUCGUUCCGUAAUACAAUAUCCCGCAACUUACACUAAGUUACAUUGCUUGCAAGGCUUAUGUGUGAUGUUGUAUUACCGAGUGGGCCCCGAGAUACCUCUCCGUCACACGGAGCGACAAAUCCCAGUCUUGAUCCAUACUAACUCAACUAACACCUUUGGAGAUACCUGUAGAGCAUCUUUAUAGUCACCCAGUUACGUUGCGACGUUUGAUACACACAAAGCAUUCCUCCGGUGUCAGUGAGUUAUAUGAUCUCAUGGUCAUAGGAAUAAAUACUUGACACGCAGAAAACAGUAGCAACAAAAUGACACGAUCAACAUGCUACGUCUAUUAGUUUGGGUCUAGUCCAUCACGUGAUUCUCCCAAUGACGUGAUCCAGUUAUCAAGCAACAACACAUUGUUCAUAAUCAGAAGACACUGACUAUCAUUGAUCAACUGGCUAGCCAACUAGAGGCAUGCUAGGGACGGUGUUUUGUCUAUGUAUCCACACAUGUAAAUGAGUCUUCAUUCAAUACAAUUAUAGCAUGGAUAAUAAACUAUUAUCUUGAUACAGGAAUUAUAAUAAUAACUAUACAUUUAUUAUUGCCUCUNNNNNNNNNNNNNNNNNNNNNNNNNNNNNNNNNNNNNNNNNNNNNNNNNNNNNNNNNNNNNNNNNNNNNNNNNNNNNNNNNNNNNNNNNNNNNNNNNNNNAUAGAAAAAAAUCCUAUGAGAUAUAAUCCUACGAAUCAAAGGACCAACGUACGAAAAUUUCUAGGGAUUUCAAUCCUCCAAAUACAAUAAAAUUCCUUUGAAGCGAAGAGACCCACCGUGUGUGAGCAACUGAGCAAAGCAUUUCUCGGAACUACAAGCGCUGCAUUGCGCAAAGCUGAUUGAUGGUUUCGAAGCGGCCGUGUAGCAGGAAAGAGCAAAAGCGGAGUGCAUGUUGGUCACGAAUCAAAUCCUACUAUUCCUUGGGGCGUCGGUGGCCGGCCGUUGCCGCCGUGCGAAAGGCAAAAGAAAGAACGCGCGCAAGGCGGCGUACCGUUUUAUUUUUACCACGCGCGUGCGUGCAAGGUUAUCCGGAAAUAAUCACCUUUGGAUCAGCCAAAUCCCAAUAGGGCCGGCCACCGAUCGAUCAUCGAUCGCCCCCAGAGUGCGAGUGAGACGCUACGCUCGAGCACAGAGACAGAGGGGAGCGCGCGCGCGCACACAAAGCAACAAGCAAGCUACGGAGCCCAAGGAGCGCAGAGCUGCAAAGCAAAAGGAACUAUAGAGAGAGAGCGAGGUGAGCUCGCCGGGGCCCGUGAUCCGCCUUUAACUUCGCUUUCCUCUCUCCACGCUCACGCUNNNNNNNNNNNNNNNNNNNNNNNNNNNNNNNNNNNNNNNNNNNNNNNNNNNNNNNNNNNNNNNNNNNNNNNNNNNNNNNNNNNNNNNNNNNNNNNNNNNNGAUGACCACUUGGCCAUGGGUGAGAGUCAAGUCAUCAUGUGUGUCAAGCGCUUCGUAGUUGGAAUUGUGCAAUUGUUUAGUCCGGAAUAUUUGAGAGCUCCCAAUGUUGAAGACACCGUAAGGCUUAUGGAGUUCAACAAAGCUUGCGGAUUCACGGGUAUGCUUGGCUCAAUAGAUUGCAUGCAUUGAAGUAGGAAGAACUGUCAUGCUGCAUGACAUGGACAAUUCCAAGGUCAAAAAGGUUUGACUACAAUCCUUGAAGGAGCAGCCGAUCAUGAGACUUGUAUUUGGCAUGUUUCUUUUGGAAUGCCCGGAUCUUGCAAUGGCAUCAAUGUUAUUCAAAAGUCACCACUUAUGACUAAUAUUGCAAAUGGUGAAACUUCACCGGUGGAGUCUGUAACAAAUGACCAUAUGUACAACUAUGAUUACUAUUUUAUGGAUGGCAUCUACCCAAGGUGGCAAACAGAUAUGAAGCUGUUGAAGGCACCGCAAGGUAAGAAAAUCUUGAUUUUCACAAUGCUCAAGAGGCGGCUAGAAAACGUGGAGAGAUAUUUAGGAUUUUGCAAGCACACUUUGCUAUUGUGACAGGAGCAACUAGAUUUGAGAUCAAAGAUCAUUNNNNNNNNNNNNNNNNNNNNNNNNNNNNNNNNNNNNNNNNNNNNNNNNNNNNNNNNNNNNNNNNNNNNNNNNNNNNNNNNNNNNNNNNNNNNNNNNNNNNUGCUUACGCUUUCAAAUUGCUUUGACCGGAUAGGAUUAAAACUAUCUGGAUCCAAAAAAAUGCAAAUCAUGCAUCAUCCUGCGACUAACUAAGAGUCAAGCCUUCACUGAUUGCAUCGUCAUGACAGGGGUCUUUUCUGAACAGAAUACCUUUGUUUGCUUGAUUUUUUUCUACUUUUUUAGGACGAUACCUUUGAUUCUUUGCCCGGUAGUAGUGCAAGGUUCAGUAUAUCGGCUUAUUCAGCACAGCUUUUUUAGCAAGGUAUUCAGAAAACCUCUUAGGCCUCUUUGAUUCGUAGGAUUUUGAAAAUAUAGAAAUAGAAAAUAUAUAGGAUUGAAGUGGCAUGUUCAUUUAAAUCCUAUAUAACUAGCAACGAGUGUUUGAUGACACGAAAACAAAUAAAUUAUAAAUAAAUUUUGAGUUAAUGUUAGAUUUCCUAUAAAAUGCAUUACGAAAGAUUUUAUAGAAAAAUACCUAUGAGAUAUAAUCCUACGAAUCAAAGGACCAACGUACGAAAAUUUCUAGGGAUUUCAAUCCUCCAAAUACAAUAAAAUUCCUUUGAAGCGAAGAGACCCACCGUGUGUGAGCAACUGAGCAAAGCAUUUCUCGGAACUACAAGCGCUGCAUUGCGCAAANNNNNNNNNNNNNNNNNNNNNNNNNNNNNNNNNNNNNNNNNNNNNNNNNNNNNNNNNNNNNNNNNNNNNNNNNNNNNNNNNNNNNNNNNNNNNNNNNNNNCAUUGAGUGCAAGCAUGAGUAGGACACAAAUCACCAUGAACAUGAAUAUCAUAGAGGCUAUGUUGAUUUUUUUCAACUACAUGCGUGAACAUGCGCCAAGUCAAGCCACUUGAAUCAUUCAAAGGAGGAUACCAUCCUAUCAUAAUACAUCAUAGUCAUCUCAACAUUCAUGUUGGCAACCAAGACAAACCAUUAUAAGCUCCUAGCUAAKUAAGCAUGGYAUMAGAAMCUAUGAUCUCUAAGUUGUCAUUGCAAACAUGUUUCUCUCACAACAAAUCUGAAUUAGGAACGAUGAGCUAGUCAUAUUUACAAAACAAAAUAGAUCGAGUUCAUACCAGCUUUUCCAGGCUCAAUCACUUCAUCAUAUAUCGUCAUUAUUGCCUUUCACUUGCAUGAYCGAACGAUGUGAACAAUAAUARGAGUGCUCGUGCAUUGGACUAAAGCUGGAAUCUGCAGGCAAACACAAAGGAGAAGACAAAGUAAUAUGGCCCUUUGAAAGCUAAACAGGUAUGCAUGCAAGAGCCACUAAACAUUGUAACCAAUAUCUUCUACCUUGACCCAAAGGAAAGAAACUAUUUACACGGGAAAGCUCCCAACAAGCAAAAGAAGAAAGGAAAAUCUUUUUGUUUCUCAAAAGGACACAAAACAAGAAACAAGAAACAAGAAACAAAAUAAACUAGCAUGGAUAAUACAAUGGCAAAGUGUAAACACCGACUAACAAAGUGAAAGCAUAAGCAAGANNNNNNNNNNNNNNNNNNNNNNNNNNNNNNNNNNNNNNNNNNNNNNNNNNNNNNNNNNNNNNNNNNNNNNNNNNNNNNNNNNNNNNNNNNNNNNNNNNNNGCCAUGCACGGCCUGCACCCGCUCGAUUGCGCAAUCAGCCAUCACAUGCCAAUGCCAUCCAUCCAAGCUUCCUCCUUCCGUCCUGGCGGCCUCCUUUUCACCACGCUCGACUUGGACCAUUCGUUAUUAAUCCUCGAUGCUCGAUCAGAUGAAUUCCGACCGCUGCCCACAGCGCUCGCACGCGGCCAAGCCCGUGUGGCUGCAUGCCAUGCGAGGGACGUGCAUGCCCUUUGCGUCACGUCAUGCAUGCACCCUACUGUGGUACCCGAAAAGGUUUAAAAAUUGGACGGCCGUGGUACUUACGUAGCAACAGGAUCAGCGGUCAGGAUUGUGGCCUCGGGCUUGCAGGGAUCGAUCUGCGCGGUUGGUCGGGGUGGGCGGGUUUCAGACAGACUGCUUUCUCAGGAAACAGCAGAAUGUUUAUGGCAUUGUUACUCUCUUGUGUUGCACCCCCCAUACCUUGGACUGUUGCACGUGGAGACAUCGGGGCUGUUGCGUGGCAGUCAGCCCUGUGACUGAGCAGAGCAAAGCAAAGGUGCAGGGACGGAGAUCGCGUUGCCUGCUUGGCUUAGACACGCAGACAUCCGAUGACACAAGUGUUGCCAUGCACAAACGCACAACUGUGUAGGACAAUCACCUCGCAGUGGAGACAAGGGCGGCAGACGUACGCAAGCCCGGCCGUCCGCCCGCCCGCUCUAUUACCAGUUCGCAUCAUCACAAGACAACAACAACAACAACAGCAUGCUUCAGACUCUAUAACGGACAGCUUGUUUUAACCUUCAGGUUGAAAGGAAAAAAAAGAAAGGUGGGAUGAUUAUCAGGCGGUGGCGCCGACGGUGGCGCUGGCGGCGAGUCUGGAGGAGCCGUAGAGGGUCUCCUCGAAGCGGAUGAUCUCAUUCUUGGAGCCGUAGGCCACCUGGGUCCGCUCGUCGAGGACGGUGAUCACCUUGUCCAGCACCGACUGCUUGCCGUCGCUGCUGUGNNNNNNNNNNNNNNNNNNNNNNNNNNNNNNNNNNNNNNNNNNNNNNNNNNNNNNNNNNNNNNNNNNNNNNNNNNNNNNNNNNNNNNNNNNNNNNNNNNNNAGAACAAAGUAGCAAUCAUUCUGUCACAGAUCAGUGGCUUCUAGCAGUGGAAAUUUACAAAAAGCUUCAGAUUUGUUUAAAACAAAGGGAAAUUACCUUGGGAAUUUGUAAAUGGAUGCAAUACCGGAUGGACUGGAUGGCUUCUCCUUCUAGCCUGGCGGCUGGCGGACUGAUGCGGCAACUGUCGAUGGCGACGGAGGCCCGCAGCGGCGCAACCCCGGACGGACCACAACCACGGAGGUCGUUGGCGGACUAGGAAGGGGAGGGCCGGAGGGGAGGGGAAGGCCGGUCGGGAGGGAGAUGGCCGGAGGGGCAGAGAGCUUGCCUUCGUCCGUCGGACCUCGCUUGCGCCGGAGCCGUCGACAGUCAACUAGGUUUGGUGAUUUGCAUCGAGGGAGGAAGAGUGGCUGCCGUCUCGUGCGUGGCCUUUUUGCAGGGAAACAGAGCAAAGAGCGCGUGGCUGGAUGGGCUGUUCUAGCGGGCUCCACUGUAUAACACGUAUAGUUAAUUUUUUGGGCCCAAAUUCUUUGGUAUUCCAUGGAAUGCCGAGGAAUACCCCUGGCGCCGCCACUGCCUGCAUGGCCGCAAGAUGUGCAUCCUACAUGUUACUGGGAAGAACAACCUACAAGGCAUAGUGACAGAUCCAAAAUGCUUAAAAUUAGAGAACCAUGGUGAUGUUGACUCUCUAGAGAGAGAAUCAUCUGCAACUUGUGUUCUAUUUUCCUUAGUAAGAAAGANNNNNNNNNNNNNNNNNNNNNNNNNNNNNNNNNNNNNNNNNNNNNNNNNNNNNNNNNNNNNNNNNNNNNNNNNNNNNNNNNNNNNNNNNNNNNNNNNNNNUCGCGCGGGCAUAGACGACGAGGUUGUCGCCGUUGUCCAUGGUUGCUGGGUCGUCAACGAGGAAACAGAGGGGUGACGACAUGGGGACAGGGGGGGGGGUUGGAAGCAGAUGGCCGAACCCCACCGCACGUUCGGAUUAAAAGGCCGACCACGGAUCGUUGACGCGUGGGUCCGAGGAUGGUGGUCGUCAUAAAUUAUGUUGACCGCGGUGGUUGGGGACGGACAACGAGGGGGCGGGCGCGUCCACGCCGAUGCAUUUCAGUCCCAAAUUUGGACCGAAAAUGCAUCGGCGCGGACGCGAAGCGGACACAUUUUGACAAUGGAUCGGUGCUUCGGGUCAUCAUUUUUGUCCGCGCCGAUCCAAACGGACGACUGCGGACAAAAUGAAGUCGCCCAAUUGAAGUUACUCUCACGAUGCAAGUUUUACAGACAGUAACAAUAGUGUGUAGUUAUCGUUGUUGUUAAAGCAUAUUCAACAUACACACUCAAUAAGUCGCGCGUAAAAAAGGCAGCGCUCCAGCAAGCACGCAAUAAUGUUGUGUGCUAUAAAAACGUGCCAGCGCCCUUGCAAAACUGCAUUGCGUGUGUUUUAUUUGAUGCGUGUGCUCCAACGCCAUGGAGAAACUGCAAGGUGUGUUUAAUUGGUGCGCCUGCUCCAGCGCGCUGGACAAACGAAACUCGCGCAUGAAUCACCAACUAUGAGACCUGAAACCUCCUCGCGCGAGCGCCUCGCCUCUCCCAAACGCGUCGUCGCCCCCCUGCUACACCCAGUGGCCGCCGCCGCUCCCUCUACCUUCUCUCCUCGCCGCCCCCCCUCGAGCGCUCCGUUCCUCGACGAACAGCAAUCGACGGGCGUUCGCAGCUCAGCGCACACAAGGUGUUUGAGAAAAUACACCCAAGGUAUGUAUCAUUUAACUUUAUAUUUGUAGAUAAAUUUGUGCAUGUUGUUUGUAGUUUUAAAUUAGUUUUGAAUCAAGUUUGUAGAUGGGUUCAUCCUAUGAUUUUUUUCAAUAAAAUUUGAUCUUGAAGAAGAGGAGGAUAUCUNNNNNNNNNNNNNNNNNNNNNNNNNNNNNNNNNNNNNNNNNNNNNNNNNNNNNNNNNNNNNNNNNNNNNNNNNNNNNNNNNNNNNNNNNNNNNNNNNNNNAUAGAGCCGUUUCUGGUGUUGUCAUGUACUAGUACCUAUGUCCUUUUGUGAAAUACCCACCAUCUGCUGGUUUAGAUAUUCGUUUUACUUCCUAAUUACUAACAGAGGUUACACUUCACCGAAGGCCUUGUACAAUGCAGGGUGUUUAGAAAAUAAAUCAUCUUUUCUUAAGCACGUGUGCUUUUUUAAAGGGCGGGCGCUUAAUUAGACACCCUUCCCCUUGAGAUAGACAUUGAUGCUUAAGAAAAAUUUGGUUUGUUUUACUAAGUACCUGGCAUCAUUCAAGAAAUUACUAUAUUGAACAAGAAAUUAUUUUUAUUUUACAGUUUUGCUAAAAUUAUGGACUACACUAUAAAUCUGACGUCAGGAGAUUUAUUGACGACCAUGGCAAAUCAAAUGCUUUUAUGGCAAAUUAUGUUCUUCAAGGACGGCAAGUUUAGUCGACGAGCAUGAAAAAUCUGCUUUAAUUCAUUUUUUGUUGAAAAAUUACCGUGCUUGUAAACUAAAUUUAUCAUCAUUGCAUCAAACAUAAACUGCCAUGAAAAAUGUCAAAUCUUUAGUGUUUCCGAAAAGUACAUACACGGCAUAGGCAAAGGCAAGAGUCAUUACAGAAAAAAAAGGGGGUUACACACCCCAUUUUUUUUCGAACUGAAAACACUACUCGAAAUCUAAUCUUUGUAGAAUUGUAAAGUUGCAACCAAUAUUAUGUCUUGCGCAAGUUGCCACGAGAAGCGCACGCACGUACCACCGUACACACCCGGGCCGAUCGAUCCGGUGCUGCACUGCUGCUCCAUCGUCGGCUCGUCCCGGCACCAGCAUGGCCACACAACCCACGAACGGUCGUCUUCCCGCGCUCUAUCUUCUCCGGCGCCACGNNNNNNNNNNNNNNNNNNNNNNNNNNNNNNNNNNNNNNNNNNNNNNNNNNNNNNNNNNNNNNNNNNNNNNNNNNNNNNNNNNNNNNNNNNNNNNNNNNNNCUCUACGCGCAAAACUACCACAAAACCAUAUACUACACGCCUCAAACUGACUAACGGUUUAAAAGUUACGGGGGUUCCUAUAUAUCUAUAUUUUCCUGAAAUGACUAAGUCGAAAACUAUAAGGUAAAACCUAUUGGGCCGAAACUACGCAGGGCAUGAGUGCAAUAUACUAACAAGUGCCUAGGGCGCGAAAUAAAGAGGCUCGGGGGGGGGGAGGGUCUCACCUCGGGCUGCCUGGAGCUGGCAGGCCGGCUGGGGGAGUCGGUGGGCCGAGGGGCGCGCGGGCGACUGGGCCGGGAGGAGCCGCGGCGCUGGCCAGGGAUGAGCGAACUGGGCCGGGAGGUCAACGCAGGGAGGCCCAGGAGGGGUCGCGGAGGCCCAGGCGGGGGCUCUGGCGAACUGGCGUCGUCCUCCUCGCUCCCCUCCCUGCCCCGUGGGCACGGGAACCGGCGGCGCUGGCGCAAGGCCGCGAUGGCGGCGAGGCUGCCCUGGACCCGGCGGAUCCGAUCCCCCAGGGACCCGCUCCCGGCGGAGGAGGAGGCGAGCACCGGCGGGUAGGGCGGGCUCCGGCGACGAGGAAGCUGCGGCUGUGCAGGAUCUGGCGUGAAGGGCAGAACGGGGCGGCGCACCGGCUUCCACACGCGCGGUCAACGGGACGCUCCGGCGGCCACGGCGCGACGACAAAGNNNNNNNNNNNNNNNNNNNNNNNNNNNNNNNNNNNNNNNNNNNNNNNNNNNNNNNNNNNNNNNNNNNNNNNNNNNNNNNNNNNNNNNNNNNNNNNNNNNNAGGAACGAAGGCGUGAGGCAGAUGUGAUCUGAUUCUCGUGACGGCUCGUCGGAUCGUUCCUUGUCCGUUACGUAUUCUCCGCUCCUGACCGGCAAAAAUAAGCGCGUAGAUAUGAGCUCGGCUCGGCUCAUUCCCGCGGCGCGGCGCGGCGAGGCGGGCGGCGGAGGAGGAGUGCGCGAGGGCACCUUCUCUUCUCACUCUCCAAUAGCAUGUGGAAGAGAGACCCUUAUAAAGGGGUCCAUACUCUCCUCCACUAGCGGGGUGGGACUAAACUCCCACCACCUUGUCAUGCCACCACCUACAUGGGCCCUUGUAGAUUUUUCUGAAAUUCUCUAAUGGGCCUAAGGCCCACCUCCAAAUUUCAACAGGUUGUGGCUGCUAUAUCGUGAGCUAUGAGGAGGAUGGGGCUCGGGCGCAUAGCAGGGGAGGAUGUGCUCCGCCUGAUGGCGACUUGUGUGGGCGGAUGACGCCCCGAGCAUCCCUGGCUCAGGAGGAGGUUCGAGGGCUACCGCUCGGGCCGCUGCUACCUCUUCCUCACCACCAAGACGGAGGAGCAAGAGGUGUGUAACCAAUCUUUCAUUCCUAGUUUCAUGCCAACCCAUGGAUUCUAGCACAGCUCAAAGCAGACAAGUCAAGGAGGACCUGCAAAAUUAGUUGCACGUUUAUCUCUUUCUCUAUGUGUUGUGUGGUGCAUGUAUGGGUGCGAAGUAGGGGAAGAGGGAGAGAGAGCACAUCCUGUAAUUGAAUGGCAAUCCAAGUUUAAUUUUCAUUGGGCAUUCAAAUCUUAUUUUGCUUUUCUCAGAUUUUGGCUGGGUAUUUAAACAUUUGCACACACUGGUUUCAGAUUUCAGUUUAAAGUACAAAUAGGGGUCAAGGAAUAGUGCUUUUUCAAAUUAGAAAUAGGGAGAUGAAGGGAAAUUAUUUAUUAUUGUUUGCAUGUAUUGAACAAGUGCAGAAUUGAGAAAGAAGAAAUAGGGAAUAAAAUUAGGUGGAAGGUAUGCCGAUAGGGCCAAUAAAUUUAUGUUGGGAGGAAGGCGUUGUUUGAAAAUAGUUGAUUUAUGCAUGGAUCAAUAGUUACCGUUGUGACCAUUAUUUACUAUAUAUGCAAGAAGACUACUGUUGUUACAUUCUUGCCCAGUAUAUGAAUCCUUGUGUGUAUGACACUUCCAAACUUGGAAUUUUUGGUUCGAAAGAUAGUUUAGUUCUUUUUGUUUGAUUUAUAUCUUCUCACAUCUAACAUCCUCUUAAAAUUUGAAAUUUUCAAAGAAACUAAAUGAAGAUAGAGUAGCCUGGUCUUAAUAGUACAACUUAAACUCUCGCACGCUUUACGUCUUUUCUGAAGUUUGUUUUCUCAAAGAAUCAUGCAUCUAUGUUAGAUCAUAUAAUUAUGCUUGAUCAUAUAUGUUGUUUAGUUUAGACUUGUGCGUGUUCAUGUAUUGGCAUUGAUUUGGCAGAGAUAUAGCAUGAUUUUGUACAAAGAAACCUGACAUUUUGCAAAGAAAUGGAACUUCUUUAGCGGCUACAUCAUCGCCAUCUUUUCAGACUUAAGGGAUAUUGUUUAACAAAAUUUGAGAGGUAAAGUACGAUGCCACAUCAUCGCUUUCUUGUUGGAUGUAGAGGUACUUUUUAACAAAGUUUGCUAUAAAUAAGUUCAGGUAUUAACAAAUUUGUGUUGCUUUAGAAUUCGCCACCGUCCAGUUUUAUGAACAAGUGGAAAAUGGAAGCCUUAAGGACAACCUUCAUUGUAAUAUCUCAUGACCCAUGUUUCAUUCCCAUUCCCUCUCUUAUGCUACAUCUUAUUGACUCAUGUUCCGUGAUGAGGUCACCUGUUUUAUGUAGAUUCUAAUUAGCUGCAAGAUCAUACAUAUCUUUUGACCUACUUGAUAUGAGUGUAUACAAGAAAUAAUUAAUAAGCCAUCCAUAUGUUUCUACCUUUCUGAUGAUUCUUUCUAGCAUCCCUAACUUGCGCGCCAAACAUGCAUUUAGCCCUCCCGCCAUUGAGCUGCCCUGGCUCCAAAAUAUGAAGAGCCAUUGCAUGACAAUGAGGUUCUGCCUGUUAAAACUGAUGGUACAAGGAAAUAGGAGAGGCCAACCGACAAAUGGCAUAUUUUGGCUGGUCAAAACACAAUACAUUUCUCUGCUUGGUACUGAUGGAGCCAAAAUGGUAAUUCCAACUGAUUCUUCCAUAAAUAUAGUUACAUACAUUGUGUGCUAGAGUACUAAAAAGGGUAAUUUGGUUACACCAUAGCUGUCUUUACGUCUCUUACUUUAUGCAACUCCGUCAGCCCUCCCCUCCCCACCCCACCCCUCCCCCCUGCCGCCAGUCGAAGCUGGACGACGACGGUGGCACAUUGACAAGUUUCGGCAACAUGGCCUCUGUUUCAAAAAAAAUUGAAAUAAAUAUCUUGCUGUAAAAGUUUUCUGCAACAUGAUCUUUGUUGUAAAAAAUAAUUCUGCAACAGUAUCUAUGUUGCAUAAAGACGAAGAAAAGAAAAAUCUACAACAAAGCGAUUGUUUCUGGAAUUCGACCAUUAUUUCAGGAAUUAAUGGGUCCAAAGUUAUUUGUUGGAACAAAACGAUUAUUUCUGCAAUUGGAUCGUUGUUUCAGGAAUUAUUUGGUGCAGGGAGGCGACGGAGCCGCACAGAUCGGACGGCUGCGCCCGUACAUCGAACGGCCGUCGAGGUGAUGAAUGUUUACUAAACAUCCGUCGAUGAACGCGGAACAGCCCCUCAAAAGGCUAAAAUUGGUUCCACAUAAGUGGAUCUCUUAAAGAGAUUAGCAAGUGGGUGAGGAUCCAUAUCACUAGAUUGUCAGCAAGCGAAGAUGCAAGCAUAUUGAGGGCACAUAGCACACAAGCAAAGGAAAGGCAAACGAAAAGGGCGAAUGAAAAAGGCAAAUAUUUUUCUAAAUUUUUGUUUUUCACAAGUGGGGGAGAGGAAAACGAGAGGCAAAAAAGGUAAAUGCAAGAGAUGAGUUUGCGAGAGUUACUUGGAUAAAUUUCACUUAGAACAGUCCCCGGUGCCAGAAAUUGACACGUUGGAGGAAGACUAUUCUUGACUUGAUACUCCCCGGCAACGGCGCCAGAAAUUGGCACGCUGACGGGAGACUAUUACUUGAUCCUCCCCGGCAACGACGCCAGAAAUUCUUCUUGCUACCUCUUGAGCUUGCGUUGGUUUUUCCCUUGAAGAGAAAAGGGUCAUGCAGCACAGUAGCAGUAAGUAUUUCCCUCAGUUUAAGAACCAAGGUAUCAAUCCAGUAGGAGUAUCAAGAUGAGGCACCAAUGUACCUGCGGAAAAACAAACAAACUUGCACCCAACGCUAUAAAGGGGUUGUCAAUCCCUUCACGAUUAUUUGCAAGGUGAGAACUGCAGGUGGAAAGUGCAACAAAGUAAAAGUGUAGAUCUGAAAAUAUGAUGUGAAGUAGACCCGGGGGCCAUAGUGUUCAGUAGAGGCUUCUCUCAUGAUAGCAAGUAUUACGGUGGGUGAACGAAUUACUGUCGAGCAAUUGAUAGAAUGGCGCAAAGUCAUGAUGAUAUCUAAGGCAUUGAUCAUACAUAUAGGCAUCACGUCCGAGACAAGUAGACCGAUACUGUCUGCAUCUACUACUAUUACUCCACACAUCGACCGCUAUCCAGCAUGCAUCUAGUGUAUUGAGUUCAUAACAAACAAAGUAACGCCUUAAGCAAGAUGACAUGAUGUAGAGGGAUAAAUUCAUGCAAUAUGAUAUAAACCCCAUCUUUUUACCCUUGAUGGCAACAAAACGAUGCGUGCCUCGCUAUCCCUUCUGUCACUAGGUGAGGACACCACAUGGUAUGAACCCAAAACCAAGCACUUCUCCCAUUGCAAGCAUUAUAGAUCAAGUUGGCCAAACAAAACCCAUAACUCGAAGAGAAUUACUAGGAUACGAAAUCAUGAAUAAGAGAGACCAAAGGAGACUGAAAUAAUAUUCGUAGAUAAUCUGAUCAUAAAUCCACAAUUCAUCGGAUCUCGACAAACACACCGCAAAAGAAAGUUACAUCGGAUAGAUCUCCAUGAAGAUCAUGGAGAACUUUGUAUUGAAGAUCCAAGAGAGAGAAGAAGCCAUCUAGCUACUAGCUAUGAACCCGAAGGUCUGUGGUGAACUACUCACGCAUCAUCGAAGAUGCAAUGUUGUUGAUGAAGAAGCCCUCCGUGUACGAAUCCCCCCCUGGCAGGGCACCAGAACGGUCCCCAGAUGGGAUCUUGCGGAGACAGAAGCUUGCGGCGGCGAAAAAGUAUUUUCGUGGCUCUCUCUGAUGGUUUUGGAUUUUUAGAGUAUUUAUAGGCGGAAGAGGUAGGGCAGAGGAGCCACGGGGGCCCCACAAGCCUGCUGGGCGCCCCCCCAGGCCGCGGCCAGGGGGAUUGUGACCUCCGCCGAGGUCCCCUGCCUUGGUUCUCAAGUCUCCUGCGUAUCUUCUGUUGUGGAAAAAAUCAUUCCGCAGGUUUUAUGCCGUUUGGACUCCGUUUAAUAUUCUCCUCUGAAAAAGGUCAAAAACACAGAAAAAACAGAAACUGGCACUUGGCUGAGUUAAUAGGUUAGUCCCAAAAAAGAUAUAAAAUAGCAUAUUCAUGCAUACAAAACAUCCAAAGUUGGCAAGAUAAUAGCAUGGAACCAUCAAAAAUUAUAGAUACGUUGGAGACGUAUCAAUAACCUAUACGGCAUUGCUCGGACCCCGGGUUGCGUAUCGAGAGUGGACUUGCAAAUAGGAUAAAAAAAUUCAUACCUAGUUGCAUGUCUCAAGGGGACUUGCAACUGGUACAAAAGAGUCAUUCUUUUCCCUAGUUUUCGUGUCGAGGUUCAACUUGCAACUAGGACUAAAAUAGCUGUGGCCCGUAUGCGUGUUAAGGAUGGACUUGCAACUAGGACAAAAAUGGGUCGAACCCCCGAGUUCCAUAUUUGAGGGUGGAGUUGUAACUUCGACAAAAAUAGGUCGGGCACCUAGUUUUGUAUCGAUAGUGGAGUUACAACCGAGAAAAAUUGGUCGAAACCCCAGUCAUGUUUCGAGAGUGGACUUGCAACUAGGACAAAAACUGCGAGCCCAAAUGUCGGGGGUGAAGUUACAACUCGUACAAAAGGGCCACCCCUCCCCCAGUUGUGUGUUAAUGGUGGACUUGCAACUGGGACAAAAUGGGUUUUGUAUAAUGGUGUGUCGAGGGCGGACUUGCGACUGAGACAAAAAAAAUGGGGCAAAACCUCUUGUUGCGUAUCGAGAGUGGAUUUGCAACUGGGACAAAAAAAGGUCUAACCCAAUUAGUCUAUGGUGUACUUGGAACGGACAAAAAUGACUCCGACUCUUGUUACGUGUCGAGGAUGGAGUGGCAACUGGCACAAAAAGUAGGUCGGGCCCCUAGUUGCAUAUUCAUAGUGGAGUUGCAACAGGGACAACAUUGGUCGGACCCCAGUUGUGUAUCAAAGGUGGAGUUGCAAUUAGGACAAAAAAAAUAGAUAGGGCUCCCAUUUGUCUACUCAGGGGACAAAAUUGGUCGAAGCCCUAAUUGCAUAUCAAGAGUGGAGUUGCAACAGGGACAACAUUGGUCGGACCCCCGAGUUGCGUAUCAAAGGUGGAGUUGCAAUUGGGACAAAAAUAGCUAGGGCUCCCAAUUGCGCAUCGAGGGGGCAAAAUUGGUUGGACCCCUAGUUGUGUAUCAAGAGGGGACUUGCAACUAGGACAAGAAAGUCGGGUCUAAUUGCAUGUCGCGGGUGGAGUUUUAACAGGUACAAAAGGGUCACUCACGGUCCCUAGUUGCACGCGAAUAAUGAAUACGGAACCAAACUAAGGCGGGUCUAUAACAAAGGUUCUUUGUCAAGGAUGGACUUACAUCUAGGACAAAAGUGAUUAAUUCGAGUUGUGUGUGGAUGGUGGACUUGCUUGGCAAAAAAAAUGUUCCUUGACUCCACAUUGGCAUGUUAAUGGUGAUCUUGCAAAUAAGAAAAAAAAGAUAUAAAAAAAUAUUGGGCCAUGACAAAAUAAAAAAAACAGAAUCGCAACUCAACUGGAGAAAGAGAGAUAGAGAGAUAACACACGCAAGCUGCGAAACGGAUUGACAAAGAGACGUGGAUCAAAAUGAAAAUGUAGAUAUUUAAAAAAGAAAGAAAGGUAAAAAUUUAAAAGAUGAAAAGGAAAACAAAAAAUAGGAACGGAGACAAAUAAAUGGAAACUUGCAACUCAAGCGAAGAAGAGGAUCCUGACUAGACAAAAUAUGUGUCUAUGAUAGACAUGGAAAUGGGUCAAGGUUGGAUAAAAUGCAUGCAAAAAAAAAAAAGUAAGCCGUCAGCCUCAAUUAACAAUAGCGUUAGCUGGAACUGGAGAGUAGAGAUACAACCGUGAGUUUGAAGUCCAGUAUGGAAAUUGAAGAGUGGAGAUGUGAUAUAAUUAAUCUUCAUGUGGAUAUGAAUGUGAUUUAAUUUUUGGCAUCACUCCGAUCAAAAAACACAUCCAUCUACAAACUGCAGUUGUGUUGAAGACACAUAGUUGUGUGCUUGGUGAUGUAAAUGCAAAUGACAAUUUUUUCUAUUCCAAAUAAAUAAAUAAUAUAUGGAAAAUAAAAAUAAAACAAACAAACAAAAAUAUAAACCAAACAAAACUUAUAAAGAACAGGAAAAGGACAAACCCAAAAUCCCCGGCCAACACAAUAAAGACAAAGAAAAAAACAUGGCAGCCCACCCGUGCAGGGCUGAAGGCAAGACCAACAAAAAGAAAAUACACCCCUAGCCCACACAGUCACGUCACAGAAAAAAAAGGAGUUUCUAUUGGACGAAAUUACUAAUUGGUGAGUACUUCUUUUAAAGAUUAUCUCAAUCUUCUCUGGUUAUGACAAGUAGCAUACUGCAUACGUCUCAUUUGUCGCAUCUUGUGAGUUUUUCUUUGUAUAUUCGUAUUUUUAAAACGUUUUAUCUCCAAAAUUGUGGGUACAAAUCUCAAACCGUUUUAACUACUGGAUUUCUCAGGUUGAGAUCUUCAAAAGUAGAUCCCAUGUUAAUAGGUUUUAACGAAAAAAAAUUCAUGAAAAAAAUCAGACCAAAACAACGAUGCCUCUCUUGAUAGAGAAAAAACAAAAAAAACACUUUAUUUCGUGUUUUUACCUUUCCGAGAGACAUAGUCGUGUCUCUCACAAAGACAAAACCGUGCCUCUCACGGAAGCAAAAUUCUGCUUCUCGCAAAAAAAACAUUUUUCCCCUUUCCGAGAAGCACGCGUGUGCCUCACACAAAGUCAAAAUCAUGCCUCUCAUGAAAAAAAAUAGAAAACAUGUUUUAUCCCUUUCCGAGAGGCACGACCAUGCGUCUCGCGAGGACAGAACCGUGCCUCUAGCGGAAGCAAAACCAUGCCUCUUGCAAAAAAACAAAAAACAUAUUUUUUCGGUUUUCGAAAGGCACGGUCGUGCAUCUCGCGAAGGCAAAACCGUACCUCUUAUGAAAAUACCCCAAAAAACAUGUUUUUUCAUGAAAAAUAAAAUUAAUCUAAGAAAGCUAAGAAACCAAAAAACAUGUUUUUUCUCAUAAAAAGCUAAAAAAGACCGGUAAAAAACUGAAACAUCCAAAAAAUCAGCAAAAAAGUAAUCUAAAAAGUCGAAAACGCGUGAGGAAAUAUAAAAUAACCAAAUUCGGACGAAGCGCUCGGAGGGCAACAUAUGGCAGCGGUUGAAACGUGCCAAGGGGCGACGCCGAGGAUGCUUCCGAAGGAGCCCUCGCUUAUUAGUGACUCCUCGUAUUGGAUGCUCUUUCCGUCAGGGCUGGCAAUCGAGAGCUGAAGCUGGGUCGUCCCAUUAAGGUGUAGCAGCAUUUCUGGUUUUAGGAACCUUCCAUACAUUUUUCGGUCGAUUUUUCUUGGUUUUCGGAACCUUCAACCGUUUUUUUCUUUUCAUUUUUUGUUAUUUUUUGUUUUCUAUUUUCUGUUUACGGUUUUCUUUCUAUUUGCUCUUUCCUUUUUAUGUUUUCCUAUUUUUUAAGAAAAGAAGAUUAAAAAUAUAUUUCUCGUCUUAAAUUUUAUUCACAAUUUUCUAAAAUGUUUGUCCUUGAAAAAUCUUCAGGAAUUUCAAAAACAAUUCUAGUUUUUAUUUUAUUUCAAAUUUUGAAAAAUGUUAUUGUUUUCAAAUGUUGUACACAAUUUAAAAAAUUGUUCGUGUUUCAGAAAAGUUCAGAUAUUUGAGAAUCAAUUCUUGUUUUCAAAUUUGUUCAGACUUUCAGAAAAAUGUUCGGUUUCAAAAAAUUGUUCAUGUUUAGAAAAUGUUCCGGACCUUCCGAAAAAUCAAAUUUUGUUCGUGAUAUUUCUUUAUAAAAUAUCAAAAAAGUUGACUUUUUCAAGAAAAAAUAAUUUUCAGAAAAUGUUUGGGAUUUUUCGAAAAUAUUUCUUUCUUUACAACAAUUGGUUGGAAUGUUUUUCGAACAUUUUCCCCAUGUUUUUGAAAAACGUUCGCGGUUUUCAUUUUCAGGACUUUCAAAAAUGUGAACAAUUUGGUGAUAAAGUGAACAUUUCUUAGAACCCCAAUUUGCAAAAAUAAAUAAAUUAAAGGGAAACAUUUUUGUUAAUGCCAUAAUAGUUUCUGAAAUUUUAUGAAAAUUUUGAGCAAAAGUAUUCACAUCAUUUUUUUAAAAACAAGAAAUUUUUUAUGAAAAAUUGAGAGCAUAUUUUGAAUUCAGAACAAUAUUUUAAAACAAUGUUCUGAAACUCCAGAACAAUAUUUUGAAACAGGAACAAUUUAUAAAAUUAGAAAAUAAUAUUAAAUACGCAUACAUUUUUUGAAUCUUCCAAAACUCCUUAAGAGAUUACAGAAUAAUUGUUUCCAAACCAAAUUGCCGAACUCAAAUUUUUUUUAAAAGCUAGAUUUUUUUGGGAAAUGCCGGAACAAAAAUUGAAAACAGAAACAUUUAUUUAAAUUGCAAACAAUUAUUGAAACUGGAAUAUUUUCCGAAACUCCUGAACAAAAUACCGAAACAGGAACAUUUUGGUAAUUUGAGAACAAUUUUUCAACAUGAGAACAGUAUUUGAAUCUUCCAAACUUAAUUUGGCAACAUGAUUAUUCUUUGAAUUUCUUAGAACAUUGUUUUUGAAUUUGUGAACAAAUUUAUAAAACAUUUGUUGAAUUUAUGAUUUUUUUAGAAUAUGAGAACAUUUUCUGAAAUUCCUGAACAUUUGUAUUCACAAAACAAACAAAAAUUGGGAACAUGAACAAUUUUAAAAAUUACGGGUUUUGUUUAAUCCCCACAACAUUUUUUGCAUUUUCAUUUUUUCAUAUGUGAAAAAAUUCACACAACAUUUCUUUGGAAACAAGAAUCAUUUUUGAAAUUAUCAAACAUUUUUUGAAUUUGUGAUUUUUAUGAAAAUACAAACAUUUUCCCUAAUGUUGUACAACUAUUGAAAUUACCAAAUAUUUUUUGAAAAGAGGCAAAAAAUUCUCGAGAUUCUACAAAAAAUCUGAAAUUUAAACAUUUUCUAAAUUUCUGAAGAAAAUAUGAAAACUGGAACAUUUUUUAAAAUGUUGUAUAAAUUUGGAUAGAUUAGAAUAUUUUUGAAAAUUUUAAACAUAUCAUGAAAAAAGGAAUAUUGAAAAAGAGAAAAAUGAAGGAAAGAAAAGAACAGAAAAGGAUAAAAAGAAACAAAAAAUGAUAAAGGAAAUCGAAAAUAUAUAAUACCUGAAUGUUCACACAACAGGUGGUCCAUCUGACUUUAGCUGAAACUGGGCCGACUGAUCUCUAGUUGUUAGCAUCCUUGCCAUCUCUAGUUGUUAGUGCGAAGCCUUCACAAUUUGUCGCAACGAGCAGCGAAUAGGGGUUUCCCUGAAAAAAGGGCCAACGGUCACGCAAGCGAAACGAAACGCUGUGGUGCGCAUGUGAGGCGAUCCACAUCGUUUCAUCUAAAUAAUAUGUGUGUCCAAGCUAGUUUAUAAUGUGAGUAUUAGUUCCCUUCAAUACAAAACUAUAUUAGGUUUCUGUUCAUCCAAGAAUUUGCUUCCCUGUUGUAUGAAAUCUUGUUCCAUUUAUUCGACAUUUUCUGUCCAAUGUAACGUGAUCUUUUUUCACAAGCAUCACGCUAUCACGCUUCCAGAAACUAGAGAGUUGCCUUGAACUUGCCUCCACCAAAAAUAAAAUCAGUCGACAUGUUUGAUAAGCAUCACAAUGUUGUUUCCAAUGACUAUAGAAGUGCUUCCAAAUAAAUAUUAUCCUAUUUCCAUCAAAGAGAAAAAUAUAUUUCUAAUCAUAAUACACAAGUCUCCAAUUCGAUUGAGGAAUUUGUUUGCAAAAAAAAAGCUACUGCCAAAUGGAAAGUAUGCUUCAAUAGGAGAAGUCAAAUUGCUUCCAUGUGUCAAAUUUUUCUACUUCAAAAGUGACCUAGCCGUCAUGUGAUGGAAGGUCUGAUCUACAAAGCCGGCGGGUAGAAGAUGAAUGCGCUUUGUCGAGCACUUAGAUCUUGUUAUUGUGUCAUCCUUGAAGUCAUAUACCCGAACAUCUAGGCCAUGUAAUUUACUCCGGGAACUCGACUUGUCACCUUUGAAUAGUCGCACGUGGAAAAAUGAUUUGAUGUUGCUACGCAAUACCUCGACAAGCAUGACAUGGGUGCAUACAUUCACUAUCUGAAAAAAUUAGUUGUAUGGAAGCAAGCCAUUAGAAAUAAGAACACUUAUUUUUUAACACACUACGUCAAGAAUGUAGGAAACAUGAAAAUAUGGGAACACAACAUUAGGGAACACCAACAAAAGAUCUCGUGCAUUGCAACAGGUGAAAAAUACCACAUUCCACUAACCCAAUUACCACUAACACAACAUUAGGUUCAAGUACUUUCUUUCAACACAUGGUAUCCUAUUUGUGUUUCCACUUAUCCACCUUCCUGUCCUUGCUAAUAGUGGUUAUAAUUUUUUUUAAUCAUAGUUUUGCCGAGGUGUUCAUUUUUUUGAGCUGAAUCAUCACUGGUAUGAAAGAUAGACGAAUCAUCCGCUAUUGAUUAAUGUUGCAUCCUAAAUAGGAUUUUUUAAGGUUAACCGCUAAAGUAACAUCAUAUUCAUAUUCUACACAGUUUUUAAAUCAAAUUCCAUACAUAGCAAGUUAAAUUUUAAGAUAGGUUUAAAAGAUAUGUAUAUUUUGAAUAAAAUAUUUGACAUGUACUGCGGAUUGAUUAAUCCAAAUAUUUGGGGAUUUUCUUUAAAAGUGAAAAUUUGACUUAAUAGUUGUUUGUGGGUUAAUUAUUAGAAAUAACAUGGGGUUGUCUAAAAAACUGAAAGUCUCACUUAAAACUGUGUUGUGGGUUGAUUUUGAGAAACAUGAAAGAAUUUUCUAGAAAAAGACACGACUGACCAAGAAUGCUUAUUUUCUUUAUUAUAAUAUACUAGCAAAAAAGCCCGUGCGUUGCAACGGAAGAGAAAAUAACACACGCUUUGAACGUAAUAUAUUUUCACAUGGCAUCAUAUUUGUGUUGUUGACGAUGGCCUCAAUGCUCACACAACGAAAACGCGUUUGAAUGUACAAUCAGUCGGAAUAAGAUGAGAAAUAUGUUAUUUCUCCCCACGAGAUUUUCCAAAGGUGUGCAUGUGUGGUUAACGAUGUUUUCUUUUCUCUCAAUUUGGUUUUAAUUUAAUGGAUAUUUAUUGCGAUUCGUAUGGUCGUCGGAAAGAGAGAAAAAAAAGACCGUACACUACAGAUUAAGUUUGCACCAAAAAUAAUAUUUAAGAAGUAUUCAACAGCUAAAAAUAACUUCCUAUUUAGAUUCUACACAUUUUUUCAAUCAAAUUUCAUAUAUAACAUGUUAAAAUCGGAGUUACAGUUUAAAAGAUAUGGAUAAUUUUGUUUCAAAUAAAAUAUGGAUUGAUUAACUGAAAGUCAGGGUUUUUUGUUAAAAUAAAAAAACGUUUCGACUGACUUAAAUAGGGACGGCGGGUUGAUUACGCGAAACAUCAGGGAGUUUUCUGUAAAAUGCAAAAAACGGUUCGGCUCUGACUAAAAUAUGGACCACGGGUUGAUUAUCUAAAACUGUGAGGACUUUUCUGCAAAACGACAGAAAACGGUUCGUUCUGACUUAAAGUUGGAUUGCGGGUUAAUUAACUGAAACUGCGAGGACUUUUCUACAAAAUGACCGACGACGGGCGAUAGAAGCGCUGCGCGCUUUAUUAUUAGGGGAGAUAUAAGGUAUAUAUUGUAUGAAACAUAUACCAUUAAUAGUAUAUAAGAAAGUAAGAUUGGUACCAUACUAAGGAUGCAUCUAUUUUGUUGUCAUACAAACUAUACCAACUAUCGGUUGAUGGAUAGAAGAAAUUUUAUAGAUGAACAAAACUAAAUGUUUUGCAAAAAUUGCACUGGGUUCAUUGGUAACAUUACAUGGAAACAUGGAAAUUCAAUAAUUAAAAUCAAAACAGAAAUGGCCGUCACAUAUCUGGUAAAAUGACAUGAAGCACGAAAACAUGCGGACUCAACAUAACAUAUAUUGUUAUGAAUCAUAGAAAAUUAAGUAUGGAUAAGAAACUAAGCCUUGUGGCAAGAUGAGGGUACAUCUUGUGUGUCACAAACUUCCAAAACAUAACUGAAUUUCUACUGAUAUAUGGAUGAACAUUUAUAAUCCCCCAAAACAAAAUAGUUGCAAUAUAUAAGCACCCAGGUAAGAAGCCCGAAAAUAAUAUAAUGGGUGCAUUGUUUGUGAUACUUGGGAGGAUAAUGUUUUAAAAACUAAAUCUCCCGCCAAGUGUGAAACCGUAUUUGUGGAAGCCAUGUAUAGAGGAAGCAAUGUAAUAUUAUUUUGCCAAAAAUUAUCAUCUUAAUUUGAAGCAAUGAUGAUCCAAACUAGGUGAUAAGCAAGAUUGUGUGCCUGAUCAAUAUCUAUGUUUUUUUAUGGUUUACAAUCUAAUACAUGAACAAAACAAUACUAGGUAGACAAAGAAUGUAUAUACCAAUGAGUAUUGUGCAAAAAAUGAAUUACAAACAAAACUGCAAAGUGCCAAUUGCUAAUUGUCAAAUCGGGUGCGAUCUUCUUGGUGCAAUGCCUUCGAUUUUGAGAUGGAGCGCUUCAAAUUGGGGGAAAAUGCUGGAAGGCACUUCAAGUUCUCCAACAUCGAUUUCUACUCGGGGAGCCGAUUUCUUGGGUAACAUGGCAAAGCACCUAAUCGCUCAUGAGAUGGGGGGACACGGACCCUUAAUCCCGGCAAGGCAUAUAUGGAAAGGACGAUGGAGUGGAGAAGCGUGUAGUGGAACGGACCACGACGAUGAGUUGGAUGUGCUUCUUUAAGAUGAGGUGAUAUGGAGAGGAAGCUGGUGAGCGCCGAUGUGAGAGAGGCAUAUACUCUAGGAUUAGGCUGGUUGUAAUGGGUAGUAGCAUAUACUAGUAUCAUGCAUAUGAUACUAGUAUAUGAUACCACAUUCGUAAUGAAUAAUAUCAUAUGUUAGUAUCCCACAAGAGUGAUAUGCCACGGUAUUACCUGAUUUUUGACGGCAUUGGUAAAGAGACUUGCCGCGACAUAUUAUCUACUUACACCAGGAACAUUACCUGGAUUUUAAGGGUAAAUCUAUACUGUUUUGGGUUGUGCAUCUACUUCUCCUUCCUCUCUUGCUGGAUCAAGAAGGAGGAGACAUCAACGAGCCGUACGUGUGAUGAACGUGGAGGUGUCGUCCGUUCGGCGCUAGAUCGGGAAGAAUCGUGAUGAGAUUGCGGGAUGGAUCGUGAUGAGAUCGUGGGACGGGCUGCGAUUUGGAUCGCGAAGAUGUUCCACUACAUCAACCGCGUUAUAUACGCUUCCGCUUAGCGAUCUACAAGGGUAUGUAGAUUCACUCUCCCCUCUCGUAGAUGAUCAUCACCAUGGAUAGGUCUUGCGUGUGUGCAGGAUUUUUUUUGUUUCCCAUGCAAUGUUCCCCAACACCGGGAAGGUAGCACCUCCCAGUGCCAGCCCGGCGGAGCCUAGUCCCGGACAUGGCGCCUAUCAAGUAGGCUCUCGCCGACCACUCGACGACAAGGAUGCGGGUCGAGCAUCGUCGACGCCGAGACAAAUUCCUAUGAGAGAAUUUUCUUAUCGUUUAAUGUUUUACUUUCAAGUUAUCUUUUGUACAACAAUCAUCUCAUUUGAAUUUAGCUAGCGCCCACUAACCUAUUUUUCUCAACAUGCAAGGAUGACACCUCAUCAAGCAAAUAUACAAUAAUAAAACACUAUAUAUAUAUAUAUAUAUAUAUAUAUAUUUCAAAUAUUCCCGCAACAAGUUCGGGGCAUCAUAUAGUUCCUAGCAAGAAUCCUAGCAAGAACCCUAGGCAUGGGGAUGUCUCACGAGAGGCCGGGGUCGGUGUCGGGGUCGGGGCAGGGGUCAACGUCGCCGGGGUCGAGGUAGGGUUGGGGCCGGGGGCGAGGUCACCGGGGAGGACCUGUGGCGUCGGCGGCACAGAGUGGAGAGGGAGAGAGUGAGCAGGGGGGAGAGGUAGGGAGUGAGGGGCGGGGCGACGACGCAGAGUGGAGAGGGAGAGAGUGAGGAGGGGGAGAGGGAGGGAGUGAGGAGGGGGAGAGGGAGGGAGUAUGGGGCUGCGGCGGCAGCGCAGAGUAUGGAGAGGGAGAGAGUGAGAGAGAAGGCCGUGCGGGGGGCGAAGACGAUAUAAGUGCACGCCCCACUUAACAGUAGCGCGGGUCGGAAACACGCGCUACUACUAUUCUAUUAGCAGUAGCGCUGUUAUCAGGGGAUCGCUACUACUAAAUCUAGCCUGGCGGCAACGGUGGGGCAAUAUUAGUAGUAGCGUGUUUCUUAAAGCCGCGCUACUGCUAAGUACUUAGCAGCAGCGCCUUUACUGGAUGCACGGUACUGAUAUGUAGCAGUAGCGCCGCUGUUUAUCCAGCGCUACUGCUAAGGUUCUGUGUAUAAGGUUUUCCCUAGUAGUGUGAGGUGGGAGCGGUGGAUACCAAAGAGAAGGAACCAUCACAGGAUCAUAGCUCGGGUGAGAUCCCUAAAGAACCUGCAACGUAUUGGAGAACCUGACGUCCAACGCAACCAAGUAGCGACGGACGUGCUCAUUCUCCUCCUUGACAAGGCGACGUACCUCCUCCUCGGGGCCGACCGCCUACGCACCGAAAGUGGUCCACGCGACGACAACCAAAGAAGAUCCGGGUCGAUGACGGGAGCCCAGUUCCUCACCAAGAUGCGUGCCCCUGGAAGGUAGGACCUCCGAGCGCUAGCCCGGCAAAGCCCAGUCCCGGACAUGGCGUCUCACAAGAAGGUUGUCGCCACCGAGUCGACGUUGAGGAUGCAGGCCAAGCAUCAUCGACGUCGAGAACAAAUUCUACAACUAUUUAAAUUCCUACUAUUUUAUAAACUUUUACAAGUAUUUAAUAAACUUUUCACCAAAAAAUUAAUUAGUACAUCCACAACAUUGAAAUACACUACAAUCCAAUACACUUAAAUAUGAAAUACACUUAAAAUGGAACACAUUUAAAAUUCACUACAUUAAAAUACAGUACAUUUCUUCUUCUAGUUUUCCAAUAUUGGAAGCUAAUUUUCAUCUGUAUUGGAUAUUCCCUAACACUUCAGACUUGCUUAAAUAUGAACAUGCACAAAAUGCAGAAAUAAAAUUGAUGCUCUAAAACGGCUCAGGGGAGGGGCACGGGGGCUCGCCGGAAGGGCAUGGGGGCUCGCCAGAGCAAGGUCACCGGAGGGGGAGGUGAGGUGAGAGGGGUGGCCACACCUUUCGUUGGAGGGAAGGCAGGCGGCAGGGGUGUCGGCAAGGGCGUCGACGAGGGCGUCGGCGAGGGGCAGGGUGAUGACGCACAAGUGUAGGGGAUCUAUCGUAGUCCUUUCAAUAAGUAAGAGUGUCGAACCCAACGAGGAGCAGAAGGAAAUGACAAAUGGUUUUCAGCAAGGUAUUCUCUGCACGCACUAAAAUUAUCGGUAACAGAUAGUUGUGUCAUAAGAUAAUUCAUAACAGGUAGCAAGUAAUAAUAGUAACAAAGGUGUAGCAAGAUGACCCAAUCCCUUUUGUAUCAAGGGACAAGCCUGGACGAACUCUUAUAUAAGGUAAAGCGCUCCCGAGGACAAUGGGAAUUUCUGUCAAGCUAGUUUUUAUCAUGUUCAUAUGAUUCACGUUCGCUACUUUGAUAGUUUGAUAUAUGGGUGGACCGGUGCUUGGGUGUUGUCCUUACUUGGACAAACAUCCCACUUAUUAUUAACCCCUCUCGCAAGCAUCCGCAACUAAGAAAGAAGAAUUAAGACAAUGUCUAACCAUAGCAUUAAACUGGUGGAUCCAAAUCAGCCCCUUGCGAAGCAACGCAUAAACUAGGGUUUAAGCUUGUGUCACUCUAGCAACCCAUCAUCUACCUAUUACUUCCCAAUGCCUUCCUCUAGGCCCAAAUAAUGGUGAAGAAUCAUGUAGUCGUCGUUCACAUAACACCACUAGAGGAAAGACAACAUACAACGCAUCAAAAUAUCGAACGGAUACCAAAUUCACAUGACUACUUAUAGCAAGACCUAUCCCAUGUCCUCAGGAACAAAUGUAACUACUCACAAAGCAUAAUUAUGUUCAUGAUCAGAGAGGUAUUGAAUAGUAUUAAGGAUGUGAACAUAUGAUCUUCCUGUUGGAAAUAUGCCCUAGAGGCAAUAAUAAAUUAGUUAUUAUUAUAUUUCCUUGUUCAUAAUAAUCGUUUAUUAUCCAUGAUAGAAUUGUAUUGAUUGGAAACUCAAAUACAUGUGUGGAUACAUAGACAACACACUGUCCUUAGUGAGCCUCUAGUUGACUAGUUCGUUGAUCAAAGAUGGUCAAGGUUUCUUGGCCAUAGACAAGUGUUAUCACUAGAUAACGGGAUCAGAUCAUUAGGAGAAUCAUGUGAUGGACAAGAUCCAAACUAUGAACGUAGUAUAUUGAUCGUGUCGUUUUAUUGCUAUUGUUUUCUGCGUGUCAAGUAUUUGUUCCUAUGACCAUGAGAUCAUAUAACUCACUGGCACCGGAGGAAUACCUUAUGUGCAUCAAAUGUCGCAACAUAACUGGGUGACUAUAAAGGUGCUCUACAGGUAUAUCCGAAGGUGUCCGUUGAGUUAGUAUGGCUCAAGACUGGGAUUUGUCACUCCAUGCGACGGAGAGGUAUCUCGGGGCCCACUCGGUAAUACAACAUCACACACAAGCCUUGCAAGCAAUGUGACUAAGUGUAAGUCACGAGAUCUUGUAUUACGGAACGAGUAAAGAGACUUUCCGGUAACGAGAUUGAAAUAGGUAUGCGGAUACCGACGAUCGGAUCUCGGGCAAGUAACAUACCGAAGGACAAAGGGAAUGACAUACGGGAUUAUAUGAAUCCUUGACACUAAGGUUCAACCGAUAAGAUCUUCGGAGAAUAUGUAGGAUCCAAUAUGGGCAUCCAGGUCCCGCUAUUGUAUAUUGACCGAGGAAUACCUUGGGGCAUGUCUGCAUAGUUCUCGAACCCGCAGGGUCUGCAGACUUAAGGUUCCGUGAUGUUUCGGUAUAGUUGAGUUAUAGGUGUUGGUAACCGAAAGUUGUUCGGAGUCCCAGAUGAGGUCCAGGACGUCACAAGGAGCUCCGGAGGUAAAGAUUGAUAUAUAGGAAGUCCUAUUUUGGUCACCGAAAAAGAUUCGGGCUCAUCGAUAGUGUACCGGGAGUGCCGGGAGGGGUGCCCGGGACCAACGGGAGGGCUGUCACGCCCCAAGGGGUCUUAUGGGCUAUGGGAAGAGAUAAACCAGCCCCUAGUGGGCUGGAAUAAGUUCCUACUAAGGCCCAUAAGGUUUGAGAAGGAAAAAACACAAGGUGGAAAGAGUUUCCAAGUGGGAAGGUGGAAUCCUACUCCAAGUAGGAUUGGAGUAGGACUCCUCCACCUCCAAUUUCAGCCAAACCUUGAGGUAUUGAGGCUGCCUCCUCCCCUCCCUCCCUCCUAUAUAUACUAGAGGUAUUGAGGGUUUUUGAGACACAACUUUUCCACGUGCCGCUCGACCCUAUACCACGCAGUUUUUCCUCUAGAUCGUACUUCUGCGGAGCUUAGGCGAAGCCGUGCCGGAGUAGAUCAUCACCACCACCGGCGGGCCGUCACGCUGCCGGAGAACUCAUCUACUUCUCCGUCUUGCUUGCUGGAUCAAGAAGGCCGAGAUCAGCAUCGAGCUGUACGUGUGCUGAACGCGGAGGUGUCGUCCGUUCAACACUAGAUCAGAGCGGAUCGUGGGACGGAUCGCGUGACAGUUCGUGGGACGGUUCGCGGGGCGGAUCGAGGGACAUGAGGACGUUCCACUACAUCAACCGCGUUUCUUAACGCUUCCUGCUGUGCGAUCUACAAGGCUACUGAUACGUCUCUAUCGUAUCUAUAAUUUUUGAUUGUUUCAUGCCAAUAUUCUACAACUUUCAUAUACUUUUGUCAACUUUUUAUACUAUUUUUGGGACUAACAUAUUGAUCCAGUGCCCAGUGCGAGUUCCUGUUUGUUGCAUGUUUUUUGUUUCGCAUAAUAUCCAUACCAAACAAAGUCCAAACGUAAUAAAAACUUACGGGGAUUUUUUGGAAUAUUUAUGAUUUUCGGGAAGAAGAAUCAACGCGAGGCGAUGCACGGAGUGCCCACAAGCCCUGUCGCCACGGCCAGGGGGUUGGCCCUCGGCAGGGGGCUUGUGUCCACUCCUUAAGGCGGUUGGAGCCCUUCUUUCGCCGCAAGAAAGAUAAUAUCCGAAAGAAAAUUGUGUUAAAAUUUCAGCCCAAUCGGAGUUACGGAUCUCCAGGAAUUUAAGAAAUGGCGAAACGCAGAAUUUGGGAGCGCAGAAACACAAGGACACAGAGAGAGAGAGAUCCAAUCUCGGAGGGGCUCUCGCCCCUCCGCUGCCAUGGAGACCAUGGACCAGAGGGGAAAACCUUCUCCCAUCUAGGGAGGAGGUCAAGGAAGAGGAAGAAGGAGGGGGGCUCUCUCCCGGCGGCGCCGGAACGCCGCCCGGGACAUCAUCGUGUGACGGCGAUCUACACCAACACCUCCGUCAUCUUCACCAACAUCUCCAUCAUCUUCCCCCAUCUAUAUUCAGCGGUUCACUCUCCCGCAACCCGCUGUACCCUUUACUUGAACAUGGUGCUUUAUGCAACAUAUUAUUAUCCAAUGAUGUGUUGCUAUCCUAUGAUGUCUGAGUAGAUUAUCGUUGUCCUAUCGGUGAUUGAUGAAUUGCUAUGGUUGGUUUAAUUUGCUUGUGGUUAUGUUGCUGUCCUUUGGUGCCAUCAUAUGAUUGCACGCGUGGGUCACACCAUAGGGUUAGUUGUAUGUUGAUAUGACUAUGUAUUGGCAGGCUAGAGUGACAGAAGCUUCAAACCUAGCAUAGAAAUUGAUGCAUAUGGGAUUGAAGGGGGACCAAUAUAUCUUAUUGCUAUGGUUGGGUUUUACCUUAAUAAACGUUAGUAGUUGCGGACGCUUGCUAAUAGUUCCAAUAAGUGCAUAGAAUUCCAAGUAAGGGAUGACAUGCUAGCAGAGGCCUCUCCCACAUGAUACUUGCUAUCGAUCUAGUAACGUAAUCAAUUUCUUAGGGACAAUUCCGCAACUCCUACCACCACUUUUCCACACUCGUUAGACACUCGUAGUUGUUUCUUUAUCUAACCAGCCCCUAGUUUUAUUUACGUGUUCUUUACUUUCUUGCAAGCCUAUCCUUUCACUCCUACAAAGUACUUCUAGUUUCAUACUUGUUCUAGGUAAAGCGAACGUAAAGUGUGUGUAGAGUUGUAUCGGUGGUUGAUAGAACUUGAGGGAAUAUUUGUCCUACCUUUAGCUCCUCGUUGGGUUCGACACUCUUACUUAUCGAGAAAACCUACAAUUUAUCCCCUAUACUUGUGGGUUAUCAAGACCUUUUUCUGGCGCCGCUGCCGGGGAGCAAUAGCGUGGGGUGAAUAUCCUCGUGUGUGCUUGUUUGCUUUAUCACUAAGUAGAUUUAUUUGCUGUUCUAAGUUGUUCGCUAUAUUUAGUUAUGGAUAUGGAAUAGGAAAUACCAAAAAAAUUAGGUGUACUUGCUACUCAUGGAGAUGGGGAACCUCCUAAAACCCUCGAGGCUCGUUAUGUGGAAAAUAUUAUGCACUUCUUUAAUAAUCCUGAGAAAGCUCCAUUCAAUUAUAUAAUGGGAUACACGUUGGAUCAACGUGAAUACUUUAGGGAUUAUCACUUGACUCAAAAAGGGAAACUUUUAUGGGAUCAAAUCCAUUUGUUGAAAUGGUAUGCUUGGGAACUAUGCAAGAGAUAUGGUGUUACUUGUUGCUCUAGGAUGAAGGCUCCACACCUUCAGUUUUCUUGUGAGUUUAAUGAUCAUAGAACCUUGGCUUCUUAUGCUAAUGGUAUAUAUGAUUACUAUGAUGUGGAUCAAAUAGAAGAGUUUGUUGCUUUUAUGGGUGCUUAUGAAAUUGAGGCUCUGUUUAAAAGGUGUGAUGAUAAUGAUGAUGCUCCUUACCGAUCUGAAAUUGUGGCUAUGCUUCGUUAUUGUUAUACUAAUUACGAAUAUAAUGCCCAUAUUGAACGAUUUAAGGAGAAAUCCUAUGCUUCCCAAGAAGAGACUAUUAUUUUGCAGGAAACUAUGGAAGAAGAAAAUGCUGAAACUGUGAGCUCAUUAGAUGAAAAAGAUGACGAGGAGAGCGAAGAACAAAAGGAGGAAGAGCGGACUAGCUACCCGUGCCCACCUGCUAAUGAGAGUAACUCUUCAAAUCAUACAUUGUUUAAUUUCCCUUCGGUCUUACCGAAGGAUGAAUGAUAUGAUGAUUGCUAUGAUCCCUUGGAUUCGUUUGAAAUAUCCCUUUUUGAUGAACUUGAUGCUGGCUAUGCUUGUGGCCAUGAUGCCAAUAUGAAUGAUGCUUAUGAAGAUGAUAUAGCUAUAGUUCCUUAUGUUACACAUGAUGAUUUUGAUGAAUAUAAUAUGCAUGUGCUUGCUGCUCCAACUUGCAAUUAUUAUGAGAGAGGAACUACAUCUCCACCUCUCUAUGUUUCCAAUACGAUAAAAUUGCAAGAAACUGCUUAUGCUAUAUAUUGGCCUUUACUUGGUGUGCAUGAAUUGUUCUUUUAUAACAUGCCAAUGCAUAGGAAGAGAGUUAGACUUCGUCAUUGGAUGAUAUAUGUUACCUUGUGCUCACUACUAAAUUUCAAAUCAUUUCUAAUUAAAAUUGGCUUUGAUAUACCUUGGGAUCCGGAUGGAUCCAUUACUUGAACACUUUAUGCCUAGCUUAAUGGCUUUAAAGAAAGCGCUGCCUGGGAGACAACCCGGAAGUUUUAGAGAGUCAUUUAUUUCUGUUGAGUGCUUUUAUUUAGUUUAAAAACAAAAAAGAAUAUAGAGGGGAACUUAAAACUUUUUCAAAAAGAGAAGCGAUUGAAAGGUGAUGCAUUGCAGAAGUGAGGGUUGACCUUGAACACUUGUGUUCAUGCUCAUGGAAACAAUGUAGAAUUUUUCAUGGAAUUUUCUCACAAAAAUAAUUAUCCCCUUGUACAAUUCCUUUGUGUUUUUAAAAAUAAUGUGCCAAGUAAAGCCUUUACGAUUAGUUUGGGUGAUAGUUGUUUGAUCACGCUGAGAAAAGACAGAAACUUUCUGCUCACGAAAUUAAUUUUCGUUUUUAUUCUGGAAGAGAUUUUGAGUUGAUUCUUUUUGAUGCUGAUUGAUAUGGAAAUUUUCCAGACGUUCGGAAUUUUUCAGAUUUUUUGAGAUAUCAGAAGUAUACAGAAUAUACAGAUUGCUACAGACUGUUCUGUUUUGACAGAUUCUGUUUUCUAUGCAUUGUUCUCUUAUUUUGAUGAAUCUAUGGGUAGUAUCGGGGGGGGGGGGUAUGAACCAUGGUGAAGUUGGAUUACAGUAGAUAUAAUGCUAAUAUGAAUUUAGAAUGAGUUCACAACAGUACUUGAAGGGGUGAUUUAUUUUAUUAUACUAACGGAUCUCACGAAGUUUUGUUGAGUUUUGUGUGAUUGAAGUUUUCAAGUUUUGGGUGAGAGCACAAUGGAUGAAGGAAUAAGGAGAGGCAAGAGCCUAAGCUUGGGAAUGCCCGAGGCACCCCAAGGUAAUAUUCAAGGAAGACUCAAGCGUCUAAGCUUGGGGAUGCCCCGGAAGGCAUCCCCUCUUUCGUCUACAAUCUAUCGGUAAUUUUACUCGGAGCUAUAUUUUAAUUCGUCGCAUGAUAUGUGCAAAUGCUUGGAGCGUCUUUUGUGUUUAUUUUCCCUUUUUCUUUUAUGCACGAUGCUGGUAUGAGAUAGUCCUUGGCUGGCUUUAUAGAAUGCUUCUUGUGCUUCACUUAUAUCAUUUGAAGUUUGGAUUGCCUGUUUCCCUACACAUAGAAAACCGUCAUUUGUAGAAUGCUCUUUUGCUUCACUUAUACUCCCUCCGGUCCUUUUUACUCUGCAUAUAAGCUUUGUCUGAAGUCAAAGUAUCUCUACUUUGACCAAACUUAUAGAAAAAAUUAUCAACAUUCAUCAUGGCAAAUCAAUAUUGUUAGAUUCUUUACGAAAUGUAGUUUCAUAUUGUAUAUAUUUGGUAUUGUAGAUAUUGGUAUUUUUUAAUAUAAAUUUAGUCAAACUUUAUAAAGUUUGACUUGACCGAAUUCUAAUAUGCGGAGUAAAAAGGACCGGAGGGAGUAUUUGUUAGAUCGGGGCAUAUCUUUUGUAGAAAGAACUAAACUCUCAUGCUUCACUUAUACCUAUUUAGAGAGUUAACAGGAGUUGGCCAUUCACAUGGUUAGUCAUAAAAUCCUACAUAAAACUUGUAGAUCACUGAAUAUGAUAUGUUUGAUUCCUUGCAAUAGUUUUGUGACAUGAAUAUGUGAUAUUAGAGUCAUGCUAGUGAGUAAUUGUGUAUUCGUAGAAAUACUUGUGUUAAGGUUUGUGAUUCCCGUAGCAUGCACGUAUGGUGAACCGUUAUGUGAUGAAGUCAGAGCAUGAUUUAUUUAUUGAUUGUCAUCCUUUGUCUGGAGGUCGGGAUCACGUGAUGGUUAACUCCUACCAACCUUUCCCCUAGGAGCAUGCGUGUAGUACCUUGUUUCGAUGACUAAUAGACUUUUGCAAUAAGUAUGUGAGUUCUUUAUGACUAAUGUUGAGUCCAUGGAUUAUACGCACUCUCACCCUUCCACCAUUGCUAGCCUCUCUAGUACAGCGCAACUUUCGCCGGUGCAUUACACCCACCAUAUAGCCUUCCUCAAAACAGCCACCAUACCUACCUAUUAUGGCAUUUUCAUAGCCAUUCCGAGAUAUAUUGCCAUGCAACUACCACCAUUCCGUCUCAUGACAUGUGCCACCAAUUCCAUAUUGCCAUUGCAUGAUCGUAAGAUAGCUAGCAUGAUGUUUCCAUGGCUUGUCCAUUUUUUGAUGUCAUUGCUAUGCUAGAUCAUUGUCACGGUACACUACCGAAGGCAUUUCAUAUAGAGUCAUCAUUGCUCUAAGUCUUGAGUUGUAAGUGUGAUGAUCAUCAUUAAUAGAGCAUUGUCCCAUGUGAGGAAAUAAAAGAGGCCAGCGAAGCCCAUUUAUAAAAAAGAGGCCAAAGAUGCCCACCAAAAAAAAGAGAGGCCAAAGAGCCCAAAAAAAAGUGAGAGAAAAGAGAGAAGGGACAAUUGCUACUAUCCUCUUUCCACACUCGUGCUUCAAAUAGUACUAUGAUCUUCAUGAUAGAGAGUCUCCUAUGUUGUCACUUCCAUAUACUAGUGGGAAAUUUUCAUUAUAUAACUUGGCUUUUAUAUUCCAAUGAUGGGCUUCCUCAAAAUUGCCCUAGGUCUUCGUGAGCAAGCAAGUUGGGUGCACACCGACUAGUUUCUUUUGUGAGCUUUCAUACACUUAUAAGCUCUAGUGCAUCCGUUGCAUGGCAAUCCCUACUCACUCACAUUGAUAUCUAUUGAUGGGCAUCUCCAUAGCCCGUUGAUACACCUAGUUGAUGUGAGACUAUCUCCUCCUUUUUGUCUUCUCCACAACCACCAUAUUCUAUUCCACCUAUAGUGAUAUGUCCAUGGCUCACGCUCAGGUAUUGCUUGAAAGUUGAAAAAGUUUGAGAACACUAAAGUAUGAAACAAUUGCUUGGCUAAAACCGGGGUUGUGCAUGAUUUAAAUACGUUAUGUGGGGAAGAUGGAGCAUAGCCAGACUAUAUGAUUUUGUAGGGAUAACUUUCUUUGGCCAUGAUAUUUUGAGAAGACAUGAUUGCUUUGUUAGUAUGCUUGAAAUAUUAUUGUCUUUAUGUCAAAUGAUAGACUAUUGCUUCGAAUCACUCGUGUUUUAGUAUUCAUGCCAUGAUUAUAUUAUAUGAUCAAGAUUAUGCUAGGUAGCAUUCCACAUCAAAAAUUAUCUUUUUUAUCAUUUACCUACUUGAGGACGAGCAGGAAUUAAGCUUGGGGAUGCUGAUACGUCUCCGUCGUAUCUAUAUUUUUUGAUUGUUUCAUGCCAAUAUUCUACAACUUUCAUAUACUUUUGGCAAAUUUUUAUACUAUUUUUGGGACUAACAUAUUGAUCCAGUGCCAAGUGCCAGUUCCUGUUUAUUGCAUGUUUUUUGUUUCGCAGAAUAUCCAUACCAAACGAAGUCCAAACGUAAUAAAAACUUACGGGGAUAUUUUUGGAAUAUUUAUGAUUUCCGGGAAGAAAAAUCAACGCGAGGCGAUGCACGGAGUGCCCACAAGCCCUGUCGCCGUGACCAGGGGGUGGGCCCGCGGCAGGGGGGCUUGUGGCCACUCCUUAUGGCGGUUGCAGCCCUUCUUUCACCACAAGAAAGAUAAUAUCCGGAAGAAAAUCUUGUUAGAAUUUCAGCCCAAUUGGAGUUACGGAUCUCCAGGAAUUUAAGAAAUGGUGAAACGCAGAAUCUAGGAGCGCAGAAACAGAAGGACACACAGAGAGAGAUCCAAUCUCGGAGGGGCUCUCGCCCCUCCGCCGCCAUGGAGACCAUGGACCAGAGGGGAAACCCUUCUCCCAUCAAGGGAGGAGGUCAAGGAAGAAGAAUAAGAAGGGGGGCUCUCUCCCCCUCUCUCCCGGCGGCGCCAGAACGCUGCCCGUGACAUCAUCGUGUGACGGCGAUCUACACCAACACCUCCGUCAUCUUCACCAACAUCUCCAUCAUCUUCCCCCAUCUAUAUUCAGCGGUUCACUCUCCCGCAACCCGCUGUACCCUUUACUUGAACAUGGUGCUUUAUGCUACAUAUUAUUAUCCAAUGAUGUGUUGCUAUCCUAUGAUGUCUGAGUAGAUUAUCGUUGUCCUAUCGGUGAUUGAUGAAUUGCUAUGAUUGGUUUAAUUUUCUUGUGGUUAUGUUGCUGUCCUUUGGUGCCCAUCAUAUGAUCGCGCGCGUGGAUCACACCAUAGGGUUAGUUGUAUGUUGAUAGGACUAUGUAUUGGUAGGCUAGAGUGACAGAAGCUUCAAACCUAGCAUAGAAAUUGAUGCAUAUGGGAUUGAAGGGGGACCAAUAUAUCUUAUUGCUAUGGUUGGGUUUUACCUUAAUGAACGUUAGUAGUUGCGGACGCUUGCUAAUAGUUCCAAUCAUAAGUGCAUAGAAUUCCAAGUAAGGGAUGACAUGCUAGAAGAGGCCUCUCCCACAUGAUACUUGCUAUCGAUCUAGUAACGUAGUCAAUUGCUUAGGGACAAUUCCGCAACUCCUACCACCACUUUUCCACACUCGUUAGACACUCGUAGUUGUUUCUUUAUCAAACCAUACCCUAGUUUUAUUUACGUGUUCUUUACUUUCUUGCAAGCCUAUCCUUUCACUCCUACAAAGUACUUCUAGUUUCAUACUUGUUCUAGGUAAAGCGAACGUAAAGUGUGCGUAGAGUUGUAUCGUUGGUCGAUAGAACGUGAGGGAAUAUUUGUCCUACCUUUAGCUCCUCAUUGGGUUCGACACUCUUACUUAUCCAGAAAGGCUACAAUUGAUCCCCUUGUUGGAAAUAUGCCCUAGAGGCAAUAAUAAAAUGGUUAUUAUCAUAUUUCCUUGUUCAUGAUAAUCGUCUAUUGUUCAUGCUAUAAUUGUAUUAAUAGGAAACAGUAAUACAUGUGUGAAUAAAUAGAUCAAAAUGUGUCCCUAGCAAGCCUCUAGUAGGCUAGCUCCUUAAUCAAUAGAUGAUCAUGGUUUCCUGAUCAUGGGCAUUAGAUGCCAUUGAUAACGGGAUCACAUCAUUGGGAGAAUGAUGUGAUGGACAAGACCCAAUCCUAAGCAUAGCACUAGAUCGUAUUGUUCGUAUGCUAAAGCUUUUCUAAUGUCAAGUAUCUUUUCCUUCGACCGUGAGAUUGUGCAACUCCCGGAUACCGUAGGAGUGCUUUGGGUGUAUCAAACGUCACAACGUAACUGGGUGACUAUAAAGGUGCACUACGGGUACCUCCGAAAGUGUCUGUUGGGUUGGUACGAAUCGAGAUCGGGAUUUGUCACUCCGUGUGACGGAGAGGUAUCUCUGGGACCACUCGGUAGAACAUCAUCAUGAGCUCAAUGUGACUAAGGAGUUAGUCACACGAUGACGUGCUACGGAACGAGUAAAGAGACUUACCGGUAACGAGAUUGAACAAGGUAUAGGUAUACCGACGAUCGAAUCUCGGGCAAGUUCUAUACCGACAGACAAAGGGAAUCGUAUACGGGAUUGAUUGAAUCCUUGACAUCGUGGUUCAUCCGAUGAGAUCAUCGUGGAGCAAGUGGGAGCCACCAUGGGUAUCCAGACCCCGCUGAUGGUUAUUGGCCGGAGAGGCGUCUCGGUCAUGUCUGCCUGUCUCCCGAACCCGUAGGGUCUACACACUUAAGGUUCGGUGACGCUAGGGUUAUAGGGAAUUGUUAUACGAGGUUACCGAAAGUUGUUCGGAGUCCCAGAUGAGAUCCCGGACGUCACGAGGAGCUCCGGAAUGGUCCGGAGGUAAAGAUUGAUAUAUAGGACGGAUGGUUUCGGACACCAGAAGUGUUUCGGGCGUCACCGCUAACGUACCGGGACCACCGGGACCACCGGAGGUGGCCCCGGGGGUCCACCGAAGGGGGGCAACGACCCCGAGAGGCUAGAUGGGCUAAGUGCGGGAGGGAACCAGCCCCUAGGUGGGCUGGUGCGCCUCCCACACCCAGCCCAAUGCGCAAGUGGUGGGGAGAGGGGGCAACCCUAGGCGUAGGUGGGCCUUAGGCCCACCAGGUGGUGCGCCACACCCCCUCCCACCCUAGCCGCCGCCCCCUCUCCCAUCUGGUGGCCGCCGGCCCUUAGGGAGGGAACCCUAGGGGUGGCACAGCCCUUCCCCUCCUCCUAUAAAUAGAGAGGGGUUUUUGUCCAUUGCAACACACGGUUUUUCGUCUCUCUCGGCGCAGCCCUGCCCCUCUUCCUCCUCCUCUCUGCCGGUGCUUGGCGAAGCCCUGCCGGCAGACCUCGUCUCUCCAUCGACACCACGCCGUCGUGCUGCUAGAGUUCUUCCCCAACCUCUCCCUCCUCCUUGCUGGAUCAAGGUGCGGGAGACGUCACCGGGCUGCACGUGUGUUGAACGCGGAGGUGCCGUAGUUCGGCACUAGAUCGGAAUCGCUACGAGUACGACUCCAUCAACCGCGUUCUAGCAACGCUUCCGCUUAGCAAUCUUCAAAGGUAUGAAGAUGCUCUUACCCCUCUCUCGUUGCUGGUCUCUCCAUAGGAAGAUCUGAAUAUGCGUAGGAAAAUUUUGAAUUUAUGAUGCGUUACCCAUCAGUGGCAUCCGAGCCAGGUUUUCUAUGCGUAGAUUCUAUGCACGAGUAGAACACAAAAGUUGUGGGCGAUGAUUUGUCAAUUUGCUUGCUGCUACUAGUCUUAUUAUUUUCUGGCGGUAUUGUGGGAUGAAGCGGCCCGUACCGAAUUUACACGUACGCUUACGUGAGACUGGUUCCACCGACAGACAUGCACACCAUGCAUAAAGGUGGCUAGCGGGUGUCUGUCUCUCCUACUCUAGUCGGAUUGGAUUUGAUGAAAAGGGUCCUUAUGAAGCGUAAAUAGCUUUGGCAUAUCAUCGUUGUGGCUUUCACGUAGGUAAGAAGGCGUUCUUGCUAGAAACCCAAAUCAGCCACGUAAAACUUGCAACAACAAUUAGAGGACGUCUAACUUGUUUUUGCAGGGUUUGACAUGUGAUGUGAUAUGGCCAAAGUUGUGAUGUUGCAUGUAUGAUGUAUGAGAUGAUCAUGUUAUUGUAAUAGGUUUCACGACUUGCAUGUCGAUGAGUAUGACAACCGGCAGGAGCCAUAGGAGUUGUCUUAAUUUAUUGUAUGAGAUGCAACGCCAUGUGCUUACUACUUUUACUUCAUUGCUAACGGUUAGCUAUAGUAGUAGUUGGCGUGACGACUUCACGAAGACACGAUGAUGGAGAUCAUGGUGUCACUCCGGUGACGAUGAUGAUCAUGCGAUGCCUGAAGAUGGAGAUCGAAAGAGCAAAGAUGAUAAUGGCCAUAUCAUGUCACUAUAUGAUUGCAUUGUGAUGUUUAUCAUGUUUUACAUCUUAUUGCUUAGAACGACGGUAGCAUAAUAAGAUGAUCCCUCUUAAAAUUUCGAGAACGUAUUCCCCUAAGUGUGCACCGUUGCGAAGGUUCGUUGUCUCGAAGCACCACGUGAUGAUCGGGUGUGAUAGAUUCUAACAUUCGCAUACAACGGGUGUAAGCCAGAUUUACACACGCGAAACACCUAGGUUGACUCGACGAGCUUAGCAUGUACAGACAUGACCUCGAAUACAAGAGACCGAAAGGUCGAACAUGAGUCGUAUGGUUGAAUACGAUCAGCAUGGAGUUGCUCACGAUGGUGACUAGUCCGUCUCACGUGAUGAUCGGACACGGGUUAGUCAACAUGGAUCAUGUAUCACUUAGUUGACUAGAGGGAUGUCGAUUUAAGUUGGAGUUCAUACUUAAUUUGAUUAAAUGAACUUAAUUGUCAUGAACUUAGUCUAAAAGUUGUCUUUAUAAAUAUUGUAGAUGGCCAACGUCAACCUCAAUUUCAACGCAUUCCUAGAGAAAAACAAGCUGAAAGAUGAUGGUAGCAACUAUGCGGACUGGGUUCGCAACUUGAAGCUCAUCCUUGAAGCAGCUAAAAAGGCUUAUGUCCUUGAUGCGCCGCUAGGUGACCCUCCCGCUCCCGCAACAUCCCAGGACAUUCUGAACGUCUGGCAAACGCGGAGUGAUGACUACUCUCUGGUUAGGUGUGGCAUGUUAUACAGUUUAGAAACGGGGCUCCAAAGGCGUUUUGAGCAACACGGGGCAUAUGAGAUGUUCCAGGAGCUGAAGCUAGUUUUUCAAGCUCAUGCCCGUGUCAAGAGAUAUGAAGUCUCCGACAAGUUCUUUAGCUGUAAGAUGGAGGAGAACAAUUCUGUCAGUGAGCACAUACUCAAAAUGUCUAGGUUACACGGUCAUCUGACUUCACCUGGAGUCGAACUUCCGGAUGAUGCUAUAAUUGACAGAAUCCUCCAAUCUCUCCCAUCAAGCUACAAAGGCUUUGUGCUUAACUACAACAUGCAAGGGAUGGAGAAGACCAUUCCCGAGUUGUACUCGAUGCUCAAGUCUGCAGAAGUAGAAAUCAAAAAAGAGCAUCAAGUGUUGAUGGUCAACAAGACCACUAGUUUCAAGAAAGGCAAGGGUAAGAAGAACUUCAAGAAAGACGGCAAAGCUGUUGCCGCGCCCGGUAAGCCAGAUGCCGGGAAGAAGAAAAAGACCGGACCCAAGCCUAACACUGAGUGCUUCUAUUGCAAGGGAAAGGGUCACUGGAAGCGGAACUGCCCCAAAUACUUAGCGGACAAGAAGGCCGGCAACGUUAAAGGUAUAUGUGAUAUACAUGUUAUUGAUGUGUACCUUACCAGCGCUCGUAGUAGCUCCUGGGUAUUUGAUACCGGUGCUGUUGCUCACAUUUGCAACUCAAAGCAGGAACUGCGGAAUAAGCGGAGACUGGCCAAGGACGAGGUGACGAUGCGCGUCGGGAAUGGUUCAAAGGUCGAUGUGAUCGCCGUCGGCACACUACCUCUACGUCUACCAUCGGGAUUAGUUUUAAACCUUAAUAAUUGUUAUUUAGUACCAGCUUUAAGCAUGAACAUUGUAUCAGGGUCUUGCUUAAUGCGAGACGGCUACUCAUUUAAGUCAGAGAAUAAUGGUUGUUCUAUUUAUAUGAGUGAUAUGUUUUAUGGUCAUGCUCCGCUAGUGAAUGGUUUAUUCUUGAUGAAUCUCGAUCGUGAUGUUACACAUAUUCAUAGUGUGAGUACCAAAAGAUGUAAAGUUGAUAAUGAUAGUCCCACAUACUUGUGGCACUGCCGCCUUGGUCAUAUCGGCGUUAAGCGCAUGAAGAAGCUCCAUACUGAUGGACUAUUAAAGUCUCUUGACUUUGAAUCAUUUGACACAUGCAAACCGUGCCUCAUGGGCAAGAUGACCAAGACUCCAUUCUCAGGAAUAAUGGAGAGAGCAACCGACUUAUUGGAAAUAAUACAUACUGAUGUGUGUGGUCCAAUUUACGUUGAAGCUCGCGGUGGUUAUCGUUAUGUUCUCACUCUCACCGAUGAUUUGAGUAGGUAUGGGUAUAUCUACUCGAUGAGGCACAAAUCUGAGACGUUUGAAAAGUUCAAGGAAUUUCAGAGUGAGGUUGAGAAUCAACGUGACAGAAAAAUUAAAUGUCUACGAUCUGAUCGUGGAGGAGAAUAUUUGAGUCACGAGUUUGGCACACACCUAAGGAAGUGUGGAAUCGUUUCACAACUGACGCCGCCUGGCACACCGCAACGCAACGGAGUGUCUGAACGUCGUAAUCGCACUUUAUUAGAUAUGGUACGAUCUAUGAUGUCUCUUACCGACUUACCGCUAUCAUUUUGGGGAUACGCAUUAGAAACUACAACAUUCACUUUAAAUAGGGCACCGUCUAAAUCCGUUGAGACGACACCGUAUGAACUAUGGUUUGGCAAGAAACCUAAGUUGUCAUUUCUUAAAGUUUGGGGCUGCGAUGCUUAUGUGAAGAAACUUCAACCAGAAAAGCUCGAACCCAAAGCGGAGAAAUGCGUAUUCAUAGGAUACCCUAAGGAAACUAUUGGGUAUACCUUCUAUCUUAGAUCCGAAGGUAAAACCUUUGUUGCCAAGAACGGAUCCUUUCUAGAGAAAGAGUUUCUCUCGAAAGAAGUAAGUGGGAGGAAGGUAGAACUUGAUGAGGUAAUUACACCCCCUCUCGAACAGGAUAGUAGCGCAACGCGGGAAGUUGUUCCUGUGGCGCCUACACCGACUGAAGAGGAAGUUAAUGAUGAUGAUCAUGAAGCUUCGGAUCAAGUUACUACUGAACCGCGAAGGUCCACAAGGGCACACUCCGCACCAGAGUGGUACGGCAACCCUAUGAUGGAAAUCAUGUUGUUAGACAACGGUGAACCUUCGAACUAUGAAGAAGCGAUGGCGGGCCCGGAUUCCAACAAAUGGCUUGAGGCUAUGAAAUCCGAGAUAGGAUCCAUGUAUGAGAACAAAGUAUGGACUUUGGUGGACUUGCCCGAUGACCGGCGAGCCAUAGAAAAUAAAUGGAUCUUCAAGAAGAAGACUGAUGCAAACGGUAAUGUAACCGUUUACAAAGCUCGACUUGUCGCAAAGGGUUUUCGACAAGUUCAAGGAGUUGACUAUGAAGAGACUUUCUCUCCCGUAGCGAAGCUGAAAUCAGUUCGAAUCAUGUUAGCAAUUGCCGCCUUUUAUGAUUAUGAAAUUUGGCAAAUGGACGUCAAAACAAAGUUCCUUAACGGGAACCUUAAGGAAGAGUUGUAUAUGAUGCAACCAGAAGGUUUUGUCGACCCUAAGGGUGCUAACAAAGUGUGCAAGCUCCAGCGCUCCAUCUAUGGGCUGGUGCAAGCAUCUCGGAGUUGGAACAUUUGCUUUAAUGAGGUGAUUAAAGCAUUUGGGUUCAUACAGGUUUACGGAGAAGCCUGUCUGUACAACAAAGUGAGUGGGAGCUCUGUAGCUUUCCUCAUACUGUAUGUGGAUGACAUAUUAUUGAUGGGGAAUAAUAUAGAGAUGUUGGAGAGCAUAAAGGCCUAUUUGAACAAGAGUUUUUCAAUGAAGGACCUUGGAGAAGCUGCAUACAUAUUAGGCAUCAAGAUCUAUAGAGAUAGAUCGAGACGCCUCAUAGGUCUUUCGCAAAGUACAUACCUUGACAAGAUAUUGAAGAAGUUCAAUAUGGAAAACUCAAAGAAAGGGUUCUUGCCAGUUUUGCAAGGUAUGAGAUUGAGUAAGACUCAGUCGCCGACCACGGCAGCAGAUAGAGAGAAGAUGAGUUCUGUCCCCUACGCUUCAGCCGUGGGCUCUCUAAUGUAUGCCAUGCUGUGUACCAGACCUGAUAUAAACCUUGCCAUAAGUUUGGUAGGGAGGUACCAAAGUGAUCCAGGUAUGGAACACUGGACAACGGUCAAGAAUAUCCUUAAGUACCUGAAAAGGACUAAGGAAAUGUUUCUCGUUUAUGGGGGUGACGAAGAGCUCAUCGUAAAGGGUUACGUCGACGCUAGCUUAGCACAGAUCCGGAUGACUCUAAGUCACAGACCGGAUACGUAUAUGUGUUGAAUGGUGGGGCAGUGAGCUGGUGCAGCAGCAAGCAAGAAGUCGUGGCAGCAUCUACAUGUGAAGCGGAGUACAUAGCUGCUUCAGAAGCGGCUCAUGAAGGAAUUUGGAUGAAGGAGCUCAUCACCGACCUUGGAGUGGUUCCAAGCGCGUCGGAUCCAAUGACACUCUUCUGUGAUAACACUAGGGGCAUUGCCAUAGCCAAGGAGCCCAGGUUUCACCGGAAGACGAAGCACAUCAAACGCCGGUACAACUCCAUCCAGGACCAUGUCCAGAGUGGAGUGAUAGAUAUUUGUAAAGUACACACGGAUCUGAAUAUUGCACACCCGUUAACUAAACCUCUUCCACGAGCAAAACAUGAUCAACACCAUAAUGCUAUGGGUGUUCGAUACAUCACAAUGUAACUAGAUUACUGACUCUAGUGCAAGUGGGAGACUGUUGGAAAUAUGCCCUAGAGGCAAUAAUAAAAUGGUUAUUAUCAUAUUUCCUUGUUCAUGAUAAUCGUCUAUUAUUCAUGCUAUAAUUGUAUUAAUAGGAAAUAGUAAUACAUGUGUGAAUAAAUAGAUCACAAUGUGUCCCUAGCAAGCCUCUAGUAGGCUAGCUCGUUAGUCAAUAGAUGAUCAUGGUUUCCUGAUCAUGGGCAUUAGAUGUCAUUGAUAACGGGAUCACAUCAUUGGGAGAAUGAUGUGAUGGACAAGACACAAUCCUAAGCAUAGCACUAGAUCGUAUUGUUCGUAUGCUAAAGCUUUUCUAAUGUCAAGUAUCUUUUCCUUCGACCGUGAGAUCGUGCAACUCCCGGAUACCGUAGGAGUGCUUUGGGUGUAUCAAACGUCACAACGUAACUGGGUGACUAUAAAGGUGCACUACAGGUACCUCCGAAAGUGUCUGUUGGGUUGGUACGAAUUGAGAUCGGGAUUUGUCACUCCGUGUGACGGAGAGGUAUCUCUGGGCCCACUCGGUAGAACAUCAUCAUGAGCUCAAUGUGACUAAGGAGUUAGUCACACGAUGACGUGCUACGGAACGAGUAAAGAGACUUACCGGUAACGAGAUUGAACAAGGUAUAGGUAUACCGACGAUCGAAUCUCGGGCAAGUUCUAUACCGACAGACAAAGGGAAACAUAUACGGGAUUGAUUGAAUCCUUGAAAUCAUGGUUCAUCCGAUGAGAUCAUCGUGGAGCAAGUGGGAGCCACCAUGGGUAUCCAGACCCCUCUGAUGGUUAUUGGCCGGAGAGGCGUCUCGGUCAUGUCUGCCUGUCUCCCGAACCCGUAGGGUCUACACACUUAAGGUUCGGUGACGCUAGGGUUAUAGGGAAUUGUUAUACGAGGUUACCGAAAGUUGUUCGGAGUCCCGGAUGAGAUCCCGGACAUCAUGAGGAGCUCCGAAAUGGUCCAGAGGUAAAGAUUGAUACAUAGGACGGAUGGUUUCAGACACCGGAAGUGUUUCGGGCGUCACCGGUAACGUACCGGGACCACCGGGACCACCGGAGGUGGCCCCGGGGGUCCACCGAAGGGGGGCAACGACCCCGAGAGGCUAGAUGGGAUAAGUGCGGGAGGGACCCAGCCCCUAGGUGGGCUGGUGCGCCUCCCACACCCAUCCCAAUGCGCAAGUGGUGGGCAGAGGGGGCAACCCUAGGCGCAGGUGGGCCUUAGGCCCACCAGGUGGUGCGCCACACCCCCUCCCACCCUAGCCGCUGCCCCCCCACUCCCAUAUGGAGGCUGCCGGCCCUUAGGGAGGGAACCCUAGGGGUGGCGCAGCCCUUCCCCUCCUCCUAUAAAUAGAGAGGGGUUUUUGGCCAUUGCGACACACGGUUUUUCCUCUCUCUCGGCACAACCCUGCCCCUCUUCCUCCUCCUCUCUGCCGGUGCUUGGCGAAGCCCUGCCGGGAGACCUCGUCUCUCCAUCGACACCACGCCGUCGUGCUGCUGGAGUUCUUCCCCAACCUCUCCCUCCUCCUUGCUGGAUCAAGGUGCGGGAGACGUCACCGGGCUGCACGUGUGUUGAACGCGGAGGUGCCGUAGUUCGGCACUAGAUCGGAAUCGCUGCGAGUACGACUCCAUCAACCGCGUUCUAGCAACGCUUCUGCUUAGCGAUCUUCAAAGGUAUGAAGAUGCUCUUACCCCUCUCUUGCUGGUCUCUCCAUAGGAAGAUCUGAAUAUGCGUAGGAAAAUUUUGAAUUUAUGCUGCGUUACCCAUCACCCCUAUACUUGUGGGUUAUCAGGUACGUAGAUCCAAAUCUCCUCUCGUAGAUGGACAUCACCUUGAUAUGUCUUCGUGCACGUAGGAAUUUUUUUGUUUCCCAUACGACGUUCCCCAACACUUCAACCGAGUCAACCAACUAGCAUCAACUACAAGGAGUAAUUAACACUACUAGCAACCUUACAAGUACCAAUCGGAGUCGCAAGACGGAGAUUGGGUACAAGAGAUGAACUAGGGUUUGGAGAUUAGAUGGUGCUGAUGAAGAUGUUGAUGGAGAUGAGUCCCCUCCGAUGAGAGGAUUGUUGGUGAUGACGAUGGCGACGAUUUCCCCCUCCGGGAGGGAAGUUUCCCUCGCACGACGACCCUGCCGGAGCUCUAUAUUGGUUCUGCUCAAGUUCCGCCUCGUGGCGGCGACGUUUCUUUCCGAAAGCUCUCUCUUGAUUUUUUCUAGGACGAAACCCUCUAUAUAGCAGAAGAUGGGAGCCGGAGGGGUAACAGGGGCCCCGUGAAAGACUGGUUUCAUCGUUCGACAUGCAACCUUGUUGCAUAAAGAUGACUGGCGGGUGUCGGUUUCUUCAACUUUAAUUGAAUUGGUUUUGACCGAGGUGGUCCUUGGAGAGGUUAAAUAGCAAUUUGCACAUAUCCAUUGUGGUUUUUGCGUAAGUAAGAUGCGAUCUACUAGAUACCCAUAACAACCACGUAAAAGAUGCAACAACAAAUUAGAGGACGUCUAACUUGUUUUUGCAGGGUAUGCUUGUGAUAUGAUAUGGUCAAUGACGUGAUGUGAUAUAUUGGAUGUAUGAGAUGAUCAUGUUGUAAUAGUUAAUAUCGACUUGCACGUCGAUGCUACGACAACCGGCAGGAGCCAUAGGGUUGUCUUUAAACUAACGUUUGUGUUUGCAGAUGCGUUUACUAUAUUGCUAGGACGUAGCUUUAGUAGUAAUAGCAUAAGUAGCACGACAACCCCGAUGGUGACACAUUGAUGGAGAUCAUGGUGUGGCGCCGGUGACAAGAAGAUCGUGCCGGUGCUUUGGUGAUGGAGAUCAAGAAGCACAUGAUGAUGGCCAUAUCAUGUCACUUAUGUAUUGCAUGUGAUGUUAAUCCUUUUAUGCACCUUAUUUUGCUUAGAACGACGGUAGCAUUAUGAGGUGAUCUCUCACUAAAAUUUCAAGAUGAAAUUGUGUUCUCCCUGACUGUGCACCGUUGCUACAGUUCAUCGUUUCGAGACACCACGUGAUGAUCGGGUGUGAUAGACUCAACGUUCACAUACAACGGGUGCAAAACAGUUGCACACGCGGAACACUCGGGUUAAACUUGACGAGCCUAGCAUGUGCAUACAUGGCCUCGGAACACAAGAGACUGAAAGGUCGAGCAUGAAUCGUAUAGUUGAUAUGAUUAGCAUAGAGAUGCUUACCACUGAAACUAUUCUCGACUCACGUGAUGAUCGGACUUGAGAUAGUGGAUUUGGAUGAUGUACCACUCAAAUGACUAGAGAGAUGUACUUUUUGAGUGGGAGUUCUUGAGUAAUAUGAUUAAUUGAACUAAUUAUCAUGAACAUAGUCUAAUGGUCUUUGCGAAUCACGAUGUAGCUUGCGCUAUAGCUCUACUGUUUUUAUAUGUUCCUAGAGAAAAUUUAGUUGAAAGCUGAUAGUAGCAACUUUGUGGACUAAGUGCGUAAAACUGAGGAUUGUCCUCAUUGCUACGCAGAAGGCUUAUGUCCUUAAUGCACCACUCGGUGUGCUGCACCUCGAGCGUGGUCUGUGGAUGUUGCGAACAUCUGACAUACACGUUUUUGAUGACUACGUGAUAGUUCAGUGCGCAAUACUUAAUGGCUUAGAAGCGAGGCGCCGAAGACGUUUUGAAAACGUCGCGGAACAUAAGAGAUGUUCUAAGAGAUGAAAUUGAGGUUUCAUGCUCGUGCCCUUGUUGAGAGGUAUAAGACCUCCGACAAGAUUCUUUGCCUACAAAGUAAAGGAGAAAAGCUCAAAUCGUUGAGCAUGUUCUUAGAUUGUCUGAGUACAACAAUCACUUGAAUCAAGUGGGAGUUAAUCUUCCAGAUGAGAUAGUGAUGGUUGUCCAAAGUCACUGCCACUAAGCUGCUAGAGCUUAGUGAUUAACUAUAAACAAAUCAAGGAUAGAUAUGAUGAUCCUUGAGUGAUUCGCAAUGUUUGACACUGCGAAAGUAGAAAUCAAGAAGGAGCAUCAAUUGUUGAUGGUUAGUAAAACCACUAGUUUCAAGAAGGGCAAGGGAUAGAAGGGAUACUUCAUGAAACGGCAAACCAGUUGCUGCUCUAAUGAAGAAACCCAAAAUUGAACCCAAACCGGAGACUAAGUGCUUCUGUUAUGAGGGGAACGGUCACUGAGGCGAAGCUACCCUAGAUACUUGGUAGAUAAGAAGGCUGACAAAGUCGACAGAAGUAUAUUUGAUAUACAUGAUAUUGAUGUGUACUUUACUAGUACUCCUAGUAGCACGAGGGUAUUGGAUACCGGUUCGGUUGGUAAGUGAUUAGUAACUCGAAAUGAAAGCUACGAUAUAAACGAGACUAGCUAAAGGCGAGGUGACGAUACGUGUUGGAAGUGUUUCCAAGGUUGAUGUGAUCAAACAUCGCACGCUCCCUCUAUCAUCGGGAUUGGUGGUAAAACCUAAAUAAAUGUUAUUUGGUGUUUGGGUUGAGCAUGAACAUGAUUGGAUCGUGUUUAUUGCAAUACGAUUAUUCAUUUAAAGAGAAUACUAGUUAUUCUAUUUGCUUGAAUAAUUACCCUCAAUGGUUUAUUGAAUCUCGAUCGUAGUGUUACACAUGUUCAUAAUAUUGGUGCCAAAAUAUACAAAGUAAUAACGAUAGUACCACUUAGUUAUGGCACUGCCACUUGAGUCAUUUUGGUAUAAAAUGCAUGAAGAAGCUCCAUGCUGAUGGAUCUUUGUACUCACUCAUUUUUGAAACGUUUGAGACAUGCAAACCAUACCUGUUGGUAUAAAUGGAUGAAGAAACUCCAUAGAGAUGGAUCGUUUGGACUCACUUGAUUUUGAAUCACUUGAGACAUGCAAAACAUGCCACAUGAAACAAGAGAGUAACUUCUUGGGAGUAAUGCAUUUUUGAUGUGUGCAGUCCAAUGCGUGCUAAGGCACGCAGUGGAUCGUUAUGUUCUUACUUCACUGACGAUUUGAAUAGAUACAGGAGUAUUUACUUGAUGAAUCACAAGUCUGAAAUAUUGAAAAGUUCAAAGGAAUUUCAGAGUGAAGAUCAUCGUGACAAGAGGAUAAACUGUCUACGAUAUGAUCAUAGAGAUGAAUAUGUGAGUUACGAGUUUUUGGUACGCAGUUAAGACAAAGUGAAAAUUGUUUCGUGGUUCAUGUCACAUGGAACACCAUAGUGUGAUGAUGUGUCUGAACGUCAUAGUCACGCCCUAUUUGAUGCGGUGCAUAUUAUGAUGUCUCUUAUCGAAUUACCAUUAUCAUUUAUGGGUUAUACAUUAGACACAAUCGCAUUCACUUUAAAUAGGGCACCGCGUAUUUCCGUUGAGAUGACACGGUAUAGAUUAUGGUUUGGAGAAACCUAAGCUGUCAUUUCUUAAAAGUUUGGGGCUGCGAUGCUUAUGUGAAAAAGUUUCAGUCUGAUAAGCUCGAACCCAAAAUGGAUAAAUGCAUCUUCAUAGGAUAUCCAAAACAGUUGGGUGCAUCUCUUAUCUCAGAUCCGGAAGAGAAGUGUUUGUUUCAGGAAAUGGGUCCUUUCUCGAGGAAAGAUUUCUCUCGAAAGAAUUGAGUGGGAGGGUAGUGGAACUUGAUGAGGUUAGUGAACCGUCACUUCAACCAGUGUGUAGCAGGGCGCAGGAAGAUGUACUUGUGGCGCCUAUACCAAUUGAAGUGGAAGCUGAUGAUGGUGAUCAUUAGAGGUUCGGAUCAAGUUACUACAAACCUCGUAGGUCGACAAAGGUCGCGUACUACUACAGAGUGGUACGGUAACCCUGUCUGGGAGGCCAUGUUGUUGAACAACAAUGAACCUACGAGUUAUGGAGAAGCAAUGGUGGGCCCGGAUUCCGACAAAUGGUUGGAGGCCAUGAAACCCGAGAGAGGAUCCAUGUAUGAAAACAAAGUGUAGACUUUGGAAGAACUACUUGAUGGUAGUAAGACUAUUAAGUAAAGAUGGAUCUUUAAAACGAAGACACAUGAUGAUGGUGAUAAGUCACUAUUAAGAAAAGCUCGACUUGUCACAAAGAUGUUUUCGACAAGAUCAAAGAGUUGACUAUGAUGUGAAUUUCUCACUCGUAGUGAUGCUAAAAGUCUGUUGAAAUUAUGUUAGUAGUUGCUGCAUUAUUUGUGAAAUAUUGCACAUAGGAAGUCAAAACAUUGUUUCCUCGAUGGUUUCCUUGAGGAAAGAUUGUAUGUGAUACAAUCAGAAGGUUUUGUCGAUCCUAAGGAUACUAACAAGUAUGCAAGCACCAACGAUCCUUUUAUGGACUGGUGCAAGCAUCUCGGAGUUGGAAUAUACGCUUUGAUGAGAUGAUCAAAGCUUUUGGGUUUGUGCAAGGUUUACGAGAAACUUGUAUUUCCAAAGAAGUGAGUUGGAGCACUAUAGAAUUUUUGAUAAGUAUAUGUGGUUGACAUAUUGUUGAUCGGAAGUAAUGUACAAUUUCUGUAAGGCAUAAAUGUUGUUUGAAAGGGUUUUUUCAAAGGAAGACUUGGAUAGAGCUACUUGAACAUUGAGCAUCAAGAUCUAUGGAGAUAGAUCAAAAUACUAAACAUAACUUUCAAAUGAAAUGCAUGCCUUGACAAGUUUUUGAAGCAGUUCGAAAUAGAUCAGCAAAGAAAGAGUUCUUGGCUGUGUUGUAAGGUGUGAAUAUGAGUAAGACUCAAAAGCCCGACCAUGGCAGAAGAAAGAGAAAGGACUAAGGUCGUCCCCUGUGCCUUAGCCAUAGACUCUACAAUAUGCCAUACUGUGUACCGCACCUAAUGCAUGCCUUGCCACAAGUCUGUUAAGAGGUACAGAGAGUGAUCCAGGAUUGAAUCACUGAACAAUGGUCAAAGUUAUCCUUAGUAACUAAUGGACUAAGGAAUUUUUCUCGAUUAUGGAGGUGGUCAAAGAGUUCAUCGUAAAGGGUUAUGUCGAUGCAAGCUUUCACACUAAUCCGAAUGACUAUGAGUAGUAAAACGGAUUCGUAUAGUAGAGUAGAUAUUUGGAGUAUUUCCGAAUAGCACGUAGUAGCAGCAUCUAUUAGAUGACAUAAAGAUUUGUAAAGCACACACGGAUCUGAAAGUUUCAGAACGUUGACUAAAACCUCUCUCACGAGCAAGACGAGAUAAAACCCCAGAACUAUAUGGGUGUUGGUUUCGUUGAAAUCACAUGGUGAUGUGAACUAGAUUAUUGACUCUAGUGCAAGUGGGAGACUAUUGGAAAUAUGCCCUAGAGGCAAUAAUAAAUUAGUUAUUAUUAUAUUUCCUUGUUCAUAAUAAUCGUUUAUUAACUAUGCUAGAAUUGUAUCGAUUAGAAACUCAAAUACAUAUGUGGAUACAUAGACAACACACUGUCCCUAGUGAGCCUCUAGUUGACUAGUUCGUUGAUCAAAGAUGGUCAAGGUUUCCUGGCCAUAGACAAGUGUUGUCACUUGAUAACGGGAUCACAUCAUUAGGAGAAUCAUGUGAUGGACAAGACCCAAACUAUGAACGUAGCAUAUUGAUCGUGUCGUUUUAUUGCUAUUGUUUUCUGCGUGUCAAGUAUUUGUUCCUAUGACCAUGACAUCAUAUAACUCACUGGCACCGAAGGAAGACCUUGUGUGCAUCAAACAUUGCAACCUAACUGGGUGACUAUAAAGGUGCUCUACAGGUAUCUCUGAAGGUGUUCGUUGAGUUAGUAUGGAUCAAGACUGGGAUUUUCCACUCCGUGUGACAGAGAGGUAUCUCGGGGCCCACUCGGUAAUACAACAUCACACACAAGCCUUGCAAGCAAUGUGACUAAGUGUAAGUCACGGUAUCUUGUAUUACAGAACGAGUAAAGAGACUUGCCGGUAACGAGAUUGAAAUAGGUAUGCGGAUACCGACGAUCAAAUCUCGGGCAAGUAACAUACCGAAGGACAAAGGGAAUGACAUACGGGAUUAUAUGAAUCCUUGACACUGAGGUUCAACCGAUAAGAUCUUCGGAGAAUAUGUAGGAUCCAAUAUGGGCAUCUAGGUCCUGCUAUUGGAUAUUGACCGAGGAGUACCUCGGGGCAUGUCUGCACAGUUUGCGAACCCGCAGGGUCUGCACACUUAAGGUUCGACGAUGUUUCAGUAUAGUUGAGUUAUAGGUGUUGGUAACCGAAAGUUUUUCGGAGUCCCAUAUGAGAUCCAGGACUUCACGAGGAGCUCCGGAAUGGUCCAGAGGUAAAGAUUGAUAUAUAGGAAGUCCUGUUUUGGUCACCGGAAAAGUUUCGGGAUCAUCGGUAGUGUAUCGGGAGUGCCGGGACCAUCGGGAGGGGUGUCACGCCCCAAGGGGUCUCAUGGGCUAUGGGAAGAGAUAAACCAGCCCCUAGUGGGCUGGAAUAAGUUCCCACUAAGGCCCAUAAGGUUUGAGAAGGAAAAAACACAAGGUGGAAAGAGUUUCCAAGUGGGAAGGUGGAAUCCUACUCCAAGUAGGAUUGGAGUAGGACUCCUCCACCUCCAAUUUUGGCCAAACCUUGAGGGUUUGAGGCUGCCUCCUCCCCUCCCUCCCUCCUAUAUAUACUAGAGGUAUUGAGGAUUUUUGAGACACAACUUUGCCACGUGUUGCUCGACCCCACGCAAUUUUUCCUCUAGAUCGUAUUUCUGCGGAGCUUAGGCGAAGCCCAGCCGGAGUAGAUCAUCACCACCACCGGCGCGCCGUCACGCUGCCGAAGAACUCAUCUACUUCUCCGUCUUGCUUGCUGGAUCAAGAAGGCCGAGAUCAUCGUCGAGCUGUACUUGUGCUGAAUGCGGAGGUGCCGUCCGUUCGACACUAGAUCAGAGCGGAUCGUGGGACGGAUCGCGGGACGGUUCGUGGGACGGUUCACGGGGCGGAUCGAGGAACGUGAGGACGUUCCACUACAUCAACCGCGUUUCUUAACGCUUCCUGCUGUGUGAUCUACAAGGGUACGUAGAUCCAAAUCUCCUCUCGUAGAUUUACAUUACCAUGAUAGGUCUUCAUGCGCGUAGGAAAUUUUUUGUUUCCCAUGCGACGUUCCCCAACACUUCCACCGAGUAAACCAACUAGCAUCAACUACAAGGAGUAAUUAACACUACUAGCAACCUUACAAGUACCAAUCGGAGUCGCAAGACAGAGAUUGGGUAGAAGAAAUGAACUAGGGUUUGGAGAUGAGAUGGUGCUGAUGAAGAUGUUGAUGGAGAUGAGUCCCCUCCGAUGAGAGGAUUGUUGGUGAUGACGAUGGCGACGAUUUCCCCCUCCGGGAGGGAAGUUUCCCUGGCAGGACGACCCUGCCGGAGCUCUAGAUUGGUUCUGCUCAAGUUCCACCUCGUGGCGGCGGCGUUUCUUCCCGAAAGCUCUCUCUUGAUUUUUUGUGGGACGAAACCCUCUAUAUAGCAGAAGAUGGGAGCGAGAGGGGUAACAGGGGGCCCACGAGCCACCCAGGCGCGCCCAGGGGGGUGGGGCGCGCCUGGCAGGCUCGUGACCUCCUGGUGGCUCCCCUACAGUAUUUCUUCCGCCCAGUAUUUUUAUAUUCCAAAAUAAUUCCUCACUGAUUUUCACGGCUUUUGGAGUUGUGCAGAAUAGGUAUCUCAAACUUGCUCCUUUUUCAGCCCAGAAUUCUAGCUGCCAGCAUUAUCCCUCUUCAUGUAAACCUUGUAAAAUAAAAGAGAAAAGGCAUAAGUGUUGUACCAAAAUGUGUAUUAACAGCCCAUAAUGCGAUAAAUAUCAAUAUGAAAGCAUGAUGCAAAAUGGACGUAUCAACUUCCCCAAGCUUAGACCUCGCUUGUCCUCAAGCGGAAGCCGAGAUCAAUAAAUAUGCAAACAUGUUUAGAGAUAGAGGUGUCGAUAAAAUAAAAUACGGACAUGCAGGCAUCAUGAUCAUAUUUAGAACAACAAUAUCGUCCUAUAAUCUCUUAUGCUAAAGUGACAAUUGCUUCACAAUGUAAAGUAUGGAUCGAGAACCUUAUUGAGAAUUAACAACCGAUAGUCUUUAGUCAUUGAAGCAAUUGCAAUUUAUCAUAACAUCGGAAAGAGUCAAAUAAGAGCUUGUAAAUAAAAUCCACAUACUCAAUCAUCUUUUAGUCUUCUACAAUUGCUAAAAUUCACGCGUUACUCAUGAGAUCAAAGUUUCAGUUGGACACAGAGAAAGAUAGGGGCUUAUAGUUUCGCCUCCCAACUAUUUACCUCAGGGGUAAUGUCAACUAUAAUAAUUCAUGGUUACUUACUUCCAAGUUGAUAUAUGAAUAUAGAUCUUUCCCUAGCACCUGACGCUAGCCAAGAUAAUGGCAAAAUAAGGAAUUGGUGUCGAUCACCAUGACUCUUUUAAAGAUAAAAAGUAAAGGUACGAGAUAUGUCCUUUGCAGAGGGAAGUAGAGGUUGUCAUGCGCUUUUGAGGUUUGGAUGUGUGAUCUCUUAGUGUGAAGGAACGUCACUUUAUAUUGCCUCCUGUGAUAAAGAACUUUAUUAUGCAGUUUGUCGCUUUUAUGUCUUCCUCAUCACAGGUUCGUACAAAGCUUAUUUUCCACACACUAAUAGAUCAUACAUAUUUAGGGAGCAAUUUUUUUAUUGCUUGCACCGAUGACAACUUACUUGAGGGAUCUUAUUCAAUCCAUAGGUAGGUAUGGUGGACUCUCAUGGUAAAACUGGGUUGAGGGUUUAUGGAUGCACAAGUAGUAUCUCUACUUAGUGCGGAAGUUUUGGCUGAUAUGAGGUGGAAGCAAGCGUCACAUGCUAAGGGAUCUCUAGUCAUAUAACAUUGUUCGGAACCAAGCAAACAUAAUUCAUUAUGUUGUCUUCCUUGUCCAACAUCUACUUCAUAGCAUGUAAUAGUUUAAUGAGUGUUCACAAUCAUAGACGGUGUCAAAGAUGAUAUAUUUAUAUGUGAACUUCUCUUUCUUUAUUACUUCCUAUUAAUUGCAACAAUGACCAAGGUCUAUGUUUGUCCACCCACAACAAGUUUCAAACAUUCUUUUUAUAUGUGAAGCCAUCACUUCCCAUAAGAUCAUUACAUGAUCUUUCAUGCUUUUGUUCUUUUAUUAUUCUUUUCUUUAGAUCAUGGCAUGAAGCAAGGCCCUUUACUAAAACACUCCUUAUUAUAUAACUCGCGAACUCGAUUACGUUGGGGGUAACACAAAGCAAAACUCAAACCUUGAUUAUACUAAGAACUUUAUUCUACUUGAUAAAGAUAUUACAAAAAAGGAUCGAACUAAGAUAAAGGUAAAGGCAAAAGAUGUGAUGGUGAUACGAUACCGGGGCAACUCCCCCAAGCUUGGCACAAGCCAAGGGGAGUGCCCAUACCCGUGUUUAAUUGUCUUCCUUCGGGGGUGAUGGUGAUGAAGCAAUCCUGUAUUUUAGUUCCAAGAGGGCCAUCAAUCUUCGAUUUAUACUUUGGAGCUCUGUGAUUCGUUUCUCCAGCAAAAUAACUUCACGGGUGAGAUAAGUAUUGCGAACACGAGUUAUUUCACAUAACUUCAAGAGUUCGAUCAAGGAUGGAGAUAGUAGGUGGAGGUAGCGUUGGAGGAAAUCCUCUUCCUCAGCUUCUUCCUUGUUGAGCACAGAUUGCCCUUCGUCCGACGCCGAAUUCUCCUCCUUAGUUUCGCCCUUGGUUUCUUCCAGCAGUCCUUCCUUGGCCUCCGUGACUUCCACCCUUUCCGUGACUUGAGGGAAAUCGUUCUCCCCGACAGAUUCCUGAGACGACAUCCUUGCCCUAAAUCCGCUACUGAAACAUGCUCGAAACAGAAACAGAGGAUAUUUGAGUGAUAUGAGGGUCAGACCUUUCGGGAGAUUAUAUAAUGAAUUUUUACCGACCAAAAGGAGUAUUCCACAAGAAAACGGAGUCUGGGAGACACACGGGGUGCUCACGAGCUCCCCAGGCACGCCCAGGGGGGGUGGGGCGCGCCUGACAGGCUUGUCACCUUCUCGUGUGCUUUCCGGACUACUUUAAAAUUUUCUAUUUUUCUAAAUAUUCCAAAACAGAGAAAAAAUGAUAUUGGAGAAGUUUUGGAGUUGGUUUACUUACCGAAUCACAUACCUCUUUGUUUUUGGCGUCUGAAACAAGCUGGUAAAUAUCCCUUAUGUACUCCUCCGGACUUAUGGUAUUAAUAAUAUUGCUUUCAACAUUUAUGGGAGUACCUGAGAUAUAAUGCUUGAUUCUUUGCCCAUUUACAACUCUCGGAAGAUUACCUUCCGCGUUGUUGAUUGUUAUGGCACCGGAACGAUAUACUUCCUCAACAAUGUAAGGACCUUCCCGUUUAGAGAGAAGCUUGCCUGCAAAAAAUCUUAAAUGAGAAUUGUAUAGCAAGACAUAAUCACCUACAUCGAACUCACGUUUUUGUAUCCUUUUAUCAUGCCACCUCUUAACUUUUUCUUUAGAAAACUUGGCAUUUUCAUACGCCUGAGUUCUCCAUUCAUCAAGUGAGCUAAUGUCAAAUAACCUCUUCUCACCGGCAAGUUUGAAAUCAAAGUUGAGCUCUUUGAUUGCCCAAUAAGCCUUAUGCUCUAGCUCAAGACGUAAAUGACAUGCUUUACCGUCAACCAUUUUAUACGGAGACAUGCCCAUGGGAUUCUUAUAAGAAGUUCUAUAAGCCCAUAGUGCAUCAUCAAGUUUCUUAGACCAAUUCUUUCUAGACCUAUUAACAGUCUUUUGCAGAAUUAAUUUAAUUUCUCUAUUACUUAACUCUACUUGACCACUAGACUGAGGAUGAUAAGGAGAUGCAAUUCUAUGGUUAACAUCAUACUUAGCAAGCAUUUUACGGAAAGCACCAUGAAUAAAAUGUGAACCACCACCACUCAUUAAAUAUCUAGGGACUCCAAAUCUAGGAAAAAUAACUUCUUUAAGCAUCUUAAUAGAGGUGUUAUGAUCAGCACUACUAGUUGGGAUAGCUUCUACCCACUUAGUAACGUAAUCAGCAACAACUAGAAUAUGAGUAUACCCGUUGGACUUUGGAAAACGCCCCAUAUAAUCAAAAACCCAAACAUCAAAUGGUUCAAUAACAAGUGAAUAAUUCAUAGGCAUUUCCUGACGUUUACUGAUAUUACCUAUUCUUUGACAUUCAUCACAAGACAAGACAAACUUACGAGCAUCCUUGAAGAGAGCAGGCCAAUAAAAACCGGAUUGCAAUACCUUGUGUGCAGUUCUAUCUCCUGCAUGGUGUCCUCCGUAAGCCUUAGAGUGACACUUCUGUAGGAUUUGUCCCUGUUCAUGCUCAGGUACACAACGUCUAAUAACACCAUCUACUCCUUCUUUAUAAAGGUGAGGAUCAUCCCAAAAGUAAUAUCUCAAAUCAAUAAAGAACUUUUUAUUUUGUUGGUAUGUGAAACUAGGUGGUAUAUAUUUAGCAACAAUAUAAAUAGCAUAAUCAGCAUACCAAGGUGUACUACGUGAAGCAUUGAUGACAUUCAAUUGUUCAUCAGGAAAGCUAUCAUCAAUAGGUUGUGGGUCAUCAAGAACAUUCUCUAACCUAGACAAGUUAUCUGCUACGGGAUUCUCAACACCCUUCCUAUAAACAACAUGCAAAUCAAAUUCUUGUAGCAAGAGAAGCCAUCUAAUAAGUCUAGGUUUAGCAUCUUUGUUUUCCAUGAGAUAUUUCAUAGAAGCAUGAUCAGUGUGAAUAGUAACUUUGGAAUCAACAAUAUAACAUCUGAACUUAUCACAUUCAAACACAACUUCUAAAAAUUCUUUUUCAGUAGUAGCAUAGUUUCUUUGGGCACUGUCUAGAGUUUUACUAGCAUAAUGAAUAACAUUUAAUUUCUUAUCAACUCUUUAUCUUAGAACAUCACCCACAUCAUAAUCACUAGCAUCACACAUAAUUUCAAAAGGUAGGUUCCAAUCAGGUGGUUGAACAAUAGGUGCAGUUAUCAAGGCCUUCUUAAGUAUUUCAAAUGCUUCUUCACAAUCAUCAUCAAAAACAAAUGGAAUAUCUUUUUGCAAGAGAUUGGUGAGAGGCCUAGAAAUCUUAGAGAAGUCUUUAAUGAACCUUCUAUAGAAACCAACAUGACCAAGAAAACUUCUUAUACCUUUAAUGUUUGUAGGGCAUGGCAUUUUCUCAAUCGCAUCAACUUUAGCCUUAUCGACUUCAAUACCUCUUUCAGAAAUUUUAUGUCCUAAGACAUUGCCUUCAUUAACCAUAAAGUGGCACUUCUCUCAAUUCAAGACAAGGUUAGUAUCUUUACAUCUCUGCAAAACUCGAUCAAGGUUGCUCAAGCAAUCAUCAAAAGAAGAUCCGUAAAUGGAGAAAUCAUCCAUGAAAACCUCAACAAUCUUUUCAUAAAAGUCAGAGAAUAUAGCCAUCAUACAUCUUUGAAAGGUAGCAGGUGCAUUACAUAAACCAAAAGGCAUACGUCUAUAAGCAAAGGUAACGAAAGGGCAAGUAAAAGUGGUUUUCUCCUGAUUAGAUUGUGCAACAGGUAUUUGGGAGAAACCAGAAUAACCAUCUAGAAAGCAAAAGUGUGUAUGUUUAGACAAUCUUUCUAGCAUUUGAUCAAUAAAAGGUAAAGGGUAAUGAUAUUUCUUAGUAGCUUUAUUUAAUUUCCUAAAAACAAUUACCAUCCUAUAGCGAGUAACAAUUCUCUGUGGGAUCAAUUCAUCUUUAUCAUUAGGGACAACGGUAAUACCUCCCUUCUUAGGGACACAAUGCACCGGACUUACCCAAUCACUAUGAGCAACAAGAUAGAUAAUACCUGCUUCCAGGAGCUUUAGUAUUUCUUUUCUUACCACCUCUUUCAUCUUAGGAUUUAAUCUUCGUUGAUGAUCGGCAACUGGUUUGGAAUCACGAUCAGUUUUAAUUUUAUGCUCGCAUAGAGUGGGACUAAUGCCCUUAAGAUCAUCAAGUGUAUAUCCAAUAGCAGCACGAUGCCUCCUCAGAGUUUUCAAUAAUUUAUUUUCUUCAUGCUCGGAAAGGUUAGCACUAAUAAUAACAUGAUAUAUCUCUUUUUCAUCAAGAUAAGCAUACUUAAGAGUAUCAGGUAAUUGUUUAAGCUCAAACACAUGAUCACCCUUUGGUGGAGGUGGAUGUCCAAGUAAUUCGACGGGCAAAUUAUUCUUAAGGAUAGGACGUUGUUCAAAGAUAACUCUAUCUAUCUCAUUCCUUUCAUCCAUAUGCAUAUCAUUUUCAUGUUCAAGCAGGUAUUGCUCCAAAGGGUCAGUAGGAGGCACAUCAAUAGAAGCUAGAGCAAUAAUUUCAUCCUUACUAGACAAUUAUUUUUCAUGAGGUUCUCUACCAAACUUAGAAAAAUUAAAUUCAUGUGACACACCUUCAAAUCCAACAGUAAUAGUUUGUUUCUCACAAUCAAUCUGAGCAUUAACAUUAUUGAGGAAAGGUCUACCAAAUAUGAUGGGACAAAAGCUAUCUUGUGUGGUAGCAAGAACGAGAAAAUCAGUAGGAUACUUAGUUUUACCACACGAGACUUCAACAUCUCUAUUAGCAAGUUUAAUAGUAACAUCAAUAAAUUCCAUCUCGACAGGUGCAAUCUCAUCUUUAAUUUCAUUAUAUAAAGAUUGAGGUAUUGCACUAACACUAGCACCCAUUUCACAUAAACCAUGAUAACAAUGAUCUCCUAUCUUAACAGAAACAACAUGCAUGCCAACAACAGGUUUAUGUUUGUCUCUAGCAUGAGGUUUAGCAAUUCUAGGAGCAUCUUCAUAGAAUUGAAUAACAUGCCCAUCAACAUUAUCGUCCAAGAGAUCUUUAAUAAUAGCAAUACUAGGUUCAAAUUUAACUUUCUCACGGUGUGUGGGUGUUCUUAUGUAGCCCUUACGUAUCACAGUUGAAGCUUUAGCAUGAUCCUUUAUUCUAACAGGGAAAGGUGGUUUCUCAAUGUAAGCACUAGGAACAAUAGAAUCGUUAUAAGAAAUAACUUUCUCUUCAACUGGAUUGGGUUUUACUACAUUAACUUCUAUGGGAGGAUGAUAUUUAAACCACUUCUCCUUAGGGAGAUUAAUAUGAGCAGCAAAUGAUUCACAUAAUGAAGCUACUAUAUCAGACUCAAGUCCAUGUUUAGCGCUAAAAUCACGAAAAGUAUUUGUUUCAGCGAAGGAUUUAACGCAAUCGGACUUAAGAUUCAUACCUGACUGCUUACCUUCAUCAAACUCCCAAUCUUUAGAGUUGCGUUUAAUUCUUUCCAAUAAAUCCCAUUUGAAGUCAAUAUCUCUCUUCAUAAAAGAACCGGUACAAGAAAUAUCAAGCAUGGUGCGAUUAUCAUGAGAAAGCCGAGCAUAGAACUUCUGAAUAAUAAUUUCUCUCGAGAGCUCAUGGUUGGGGCAUGAAUAUAACAUUGACUUAAGCCUCCCCCAAGCUUGAGCGAUACUUUCUCUAUCACGAGGCCAAAAAUUAUAGAUAUAAUUCCGAUCACGAUGUACCAAAUGCAUAGGAUAAAACUUUUGAUGAAAUUCCAAUUUCAAUCGGUUGUAAUUCCAUGAUCCAGUAUCAUCACAUAGCCUAUACCAUGUCAAUGAUUUAUCCCUCAAAGAUAAGGGAAAUACCUUCUUCUUGACCUCAUCCUUGGGCAAACCUACAAGCUUAAAUAAACCACAAACUUCAACUACAUAGAUUAGAUGCAAGUCAGGAUGUGAUGUUCCAUCUCAUGUAAAAGGAUUAGCCAACAGUUUCUCUAGCAUACCCGAAGGAAUUUCAUAAUAAAUAUUUUCAGUAGGUGCAGUAGGUUGAGGAGAAACUCUUUGUGCUUUCGGUCGAGGUGAAGAUACCCCGAACAAGCUCCUCAAAGGAUUAGUUUCCAUAAUGACAAGUGAGAAUAAAUUUUAGCACACUAUAUAAAUGUUUCCUUACCAAAUUCCACUCACCAAAGGCGCUUCACUCCCCGGCAACGGCGCCAGAAAAGAGUCUUGAUGACCCACAAGUGUAGGGGAUCUAUCAUAGUCCUUUCGAUAGUAAGAGUGUCGAACCCAACGAGGAGCAGAAGGAAAUGACAAAUGGUUUUCAGCAAGGUAUUCUCUGCACGCACUGAAAUUAUCGGUAACACAUAGUUGUGUGAUAAGAUAAUUCGUAACGGGUAGCAAGUAACAAUAGUAACAAAGGUGCAGCAAGAUGGGCCAAUCCCUUUUGUAGCAAGGGACAGGCCUGGACGAACUCUUAUAUAAGGUAAAGCACUCCCGAGGACACAUGCGAAUUUCUGUCAAGCUAGUUUUCAUCAUGUUCAUAUGAUUCGUGUUCACCACUUUGAUAGUUUGAUAUAUGGGUGGACCAGUGCUUGGGUGCUGUCCUUACUUGAAAAAACAUCCCACUUAUGAUUAACCCCUCUCGCAAGCAUCCGCAACUACGAAAGAAGAAUUAAGACAAGGUCUAACCAUAGCAUUAAACUGGUGGAUCCAAAUCAGCCCCUUGCGAAGCAACGCAUAAACUAGGGUUUAAGCUUCUAUCACUCUAGCAACCCAUCAUCUACCUACUACUUCCCAAUUCCUUCCUCUAGGCCCAAAUAAUGGUGAAGUGUCAUGUAGUCGACGUUCACAUAACACCACUAGAGGAAAGACAACAUACAACGCAUCAAAAUAUCGAACGAAUACCAAAUUCACAUGACUACUUAUAGCAGGACUUAUCCCAUGUCCUCAAACGUAACUACUCACAAAGAAUAAUUAUGUUCAUGAUCAGAGAGGUAUUGAAUAGUAUUAAGGAUCUGAACAUAUGAUCUUCCACCGAGUAAACCAACUAGCAUCAACUACAAGGAGUAAUUAACACUACUAGCAACCUUACAAGUACCAAUCGGAGUCGCGAGACGGAGAUUGGGUACAAGAGAUGAACUAGGGUUUGGAGAUGAGAUGGUGCUGAUGAAGAUGUUGAUGGAAAUGAGUCCCCUCCUAUGAGAGGAGUGUUGGUGAUGACGAUGGCGACGAUUUCCCCCUCCGGGGGGGAAGUUUCCCCGGCAAGACGGCCCUGCCGGAGCUCUAGAUUGGUUCUGCUCAAGUUCCGCCUCGUGGCAGCGACAUUUGUUCCUGAAAGCUCUCUCUUGAUUUUUUCUGGGAUGAAACCCUCUAUAUAGCAGAAGAUGGGAGCCGGAGGGGUAACAAGGGGCCCAUGAGCCACCCAGUAUUUUUUAUAUAUUCCAAAAUAAUUCCUCGCUGAUUUUCACGGCUUUUGCAGUUGUGCAGAAUAGGUAUCUCAAACUUGCUUAUUUUUCAGCCCAGAAUUCCAGCUGCAUAAAUUGUCCCUCUUUAUGUAAACCUUAUAAAAUAAGAGAGAAAAGGCAUAAGUAUUGUACCAAAAUGUGUAAUAACAGCCCAUAAUGCGAUAAAUAUCAAUAUGAAAGCAUGAUGCAAAAUGGACGUAUCACAGGUUGUGGUGAGGGUGUCGGCCAUGGCGUUGGGGAGGGGCAUGGUGCGCCGAGGGCAUUGGCUCGGGGCAGGGUGUGGCGAGAGUGUCGGCGAGGGACAGGGCAUUGGGGCAGCCUCGUGGCAUCGGGGCAGAACUGAGAAGGAAGAACAAAGUUUGGGGAUUUCGUUUCCAUAUGCUGCUUAUAUACCCCAAUAUUUAGUGCCGGUUGGUGGAUCCAUCCGGGACUAAAGCUCCCCUUUAGUCCCGGUCCAAGCCACAAACCGGGACUAAAGGUUUGGGCUCCCGCCCUUUCAGUUGGCGAAAUUUCACCGUUAGUCCCGGUUGGUGGCUCCAACUGGGACUAAAGGAACACUUGCGUCCCGGUUGGUGCCACCAACCGGGACUAAAGGGGUGGUGUUGGCUCGGCUCAGGUGGGGUGGAAGUUUAGUCCCACCUUGCCCAGGGAAGGCCACUAGCGGCGGUGUGGCUUCUGUGCUAAGCUCCUGUCUGAACAGGCCAUUGGGCCAACUUGUAGCACGGGCCUGCAUCCUGGCCCAUGUGCAUAUGGGUUUCUAGUCGUAUGCUCGCCGUGGUGGCUUAGUAGGCUCGCAUUUUUUUAACUUUUUGUAUGUUAUUUUUUCCUAUUAAAGAUUUUAACAAAAAAUACCUGUUGAAAAUUCUUUUUGGUAUUAAAGUUUUUAACAAAAUACACUUUGAUAAUUUUAGUUGCAUAAAUUUGAAGUUAAUAUUUCUUUGAUCAUAACUAGAGGUUUAUAAAAGCUUUUUAGUUGAUUAUUUUUGCUAUUGAAUAAUAUUAUAGAUUUGUUUUAGUUGAUCAUAUAAAAUAUUUUAAUUGAUUAUUUUUAUUUGAUUAUUUUUUCUAUUAGAGUUUUAUAAAAGUUUUUAGUUGAUUAUUUUGAUGAGUUUUUAAGCUAAAUGACCGUGAAAUUGAAAAGCACUACAAAUGAAGAAUAUUAUAAAAUACUUUGUAUUAACCUAACAAUGUUAUAUUUUCUUUUCUGUUAAGUAAUUAGUUUAACCUAAUACUUUUUGUUAACCUAAGAAUGUUAUAUUUAGUUUAGUAUUUUCUAUUUUUCAUGCAUUUAAUGAAUUUUUGAGCUAAAUGACCCUCAGAUUGAAAAGCUCUACAAAUGAAGUCUAAAAAGGUUGAAACUUGACAUGGUAUCAUAAUUUCAUCCAGAUAGCAUGUGCUAAAAAGUUAAGAGGGUUACAACAAAAACUGGAUGCACUUCGUGUACAAACUCGACAAUCUCUUCCGAAGUAUUAGGGUUUCGAACGAAAACUCAUCUAUUAGAAAUGGAUUUCAUUUUUUUAAUUUCAUUUUUAACAUAUUUUAACUCCAUACUUUUUGUGCGUUCAAUAUGCACCAUUCAAAGCCAUGUAAUCAAUUUUCAACCCUUUUCUGACUUCAUUUUCUAUUUUUCAUGUAUUUAGUGAAUGUUUUGAGCUAAAUGACCCUGAAAUUGAAAAGCACUACAAAUGAACUCUGCAAAGGUUGAAACUUGGCAUGGUAUCAUAAUUUCACCCAGAAAUACACUACAAUCUAGACAAUAUCUUUUGGAGUAUCAGGGUUUUGGACGGAAACUCAUCUAUUACAAAGGAAUUUCAUUUUUGACAUGUAACUGAGUGAUAUUGUAUAGAUCAAAGCUUGGAUAAUCUUAUUGCUUAUUGCACCGUAACCAUGGAUAAUCUUCACCGUUUAACAUGAUGCCUAGGUUAGCCUUUACUUUGAAGGGAGGAAUUUCAUGAAACUUUUCAUAAUGUUCUGACAUGUCUGUCUUCUCCUCCACUCCCAUGAUGAUUCUUUUUCCUGAAAGAACUAUGUGGCGCUUUGGCUCAUCGUAUGAUGCAUUCACUUCCUUAUCUUUUCUUUUUCUUGGUUUGGUAGACAUGUCCUUCACCUAGAAAACCCGCGCCACAUCAUUGGUUAGGACGAAUGGUACGUCCGUGUACUGAAGAUUAUUGAGAUCCACUAUUGUCAUUCCGUACCGCGGGUCUUCCUUUACCCUGCCUUCUUUCAAAUUGACCCAUUUGCACCAAAACAAAGGGACCUUCAAAUUUUUUCCAUAGUCAAGUUCCCAUAUCUCCUCUAUGUAACCAUAAUACGUGUCAUUUGCCUAUUGGUGUUUGUUGCAUCAAAGCGAACACCACUGUUUUGGUUGGUGCUCUUUUUUAUCUUGGACGAUCGUGUUAAAUGUAUUCCCAUUUGUCCCGUACCCUUUGAAAGUCGUUAUAGUCGAAGAUGGUGUCCUGGCCAACAAGUACAUGUAAUCUCCAACAAUGUUGUUACCCAUGAGAUGUGUUUGCAACCAACUGCCGAAAUUCCCUAUGUGUUCACGUGUAAUCCAUUCGUCACACUCCUCCGGUGUUUGGAGCUUAGAAUAUUCUUGUGUUCACUGAUAUACGGGGUCUCCAAGGUAGAACUAUGUAGAACUAUAUAGUGUGCUUGCACCCAAGAAUGUUUGUCCCUACAUAUUAUUGAGUUUGGUCUUGUCAUGCCUUUUCCACUCGGUCUCCCCUUAUGCCGCGAUUGGACACCAAUCGGCUUAAUGCCAGGAAUAAAGUCAACACACAAAAUCCAAUGAUCUCCAUUGUUUCAUGGCCCUUGGAGAUGCUUCAUUGUGGACUAGCACAGUUAAGGACAUAUUUCUUUAAUACUCCAAUGAAGCUUUGAAAGGGGAACAUAUUGUGUAGAAAUACAGGACCGAGAAUGGCAAUCUUGUCGACUAGGUGAACUAGGACGUGUGUCAUAAUAUUGAAAAAGGAUGAUGGGAACACCAACUCGAAACUGACAAGACAUUUGACCAAAUGAUUCUUUAACCUUGGUAGGAUUUCUGGAUCGAGUACCUUUUGAGAAAUUGAAUUUACGAAUGCACAUAGCUUCACAAUAGCUAAUCGAACAUUUUCUGGUACAAGCCCCCCAAUGCAACUCAAAGCAGUUGCGUCAGAAUCACGUGUCAGUCAUGAGACUUCAUGUUCUGGAAUCUUUUCUGUAACAUAUUUAUUAUUCUCAUUAUAUUCAAUGAGAAACCAGAUGUGACCUUGAUACUGAGCACUCAUUCAAAAAUGAUUUCCUUCUCUGCUUUGGUAAGAGCAUAGCUCGCACAACCUUGAUACUGUUUUGGAUGCAUGCCGUCUUUUUCGUUCAUACAUUGUUGGUCCUCCCGUGCCUCGGGUGUAUCUUUUGUCUUCCCAUACACGCCCAACAAGCCUAGUAGGUUCACACAAACAAUUUUCGUCACAUACAUCACGUCGAUUGCAGAGAAGACCUCUAGGUCUGCCCAAUAAGGUAGGUCCCAAAAUAUAGAUUUCUUAUUGCACAUGGGUGUGUGUCCCUCAGCGUCAUUCAAAACAGAUUGUCUGCCAGGACCCCUUCCAAAGAUUACUUGUAAAUCCUUGACCAUAGCAAAUAUAACAUCACAUGUACGGAGGACAUGCUUCUUCCGGUGAUCUGCCUCACCUUUGAAAUGCUUGCCUUUCUUUCGUAAGUGAUGCCUGCUCGGAAGACAUCAACGAUGUCCUAGGUACACAUUCUUCUUACGUUUGUCCAAAUAUAUACUUUGAGUCUCAUCUAAAAGUGUGUGCAUGCGUGGUAUCCCUUGUUUGUCUGUCCUGAAAGGUUACUAAGAGAAGGCCAAUAAUUGAUGGUUACAAACAACACUGCUCGUAGGUCAAAUUCGUGUUGUUUGUGCUCAUCCCAUACAUGUACACCUUUUUUAUCCCACGACUAUAAAAUUUCUUCAACUAAUGGCCUUAGGUACACAUCAAUGUCGUUGCUGGGUUUCUUAGGGCCUUGGAAAAGCACCAGCAUCAUAAUGAACCUCCCUUUCAUGAACAUCCAAGGAGGAAGGUUAUAGAUGUAUAGAUUUAUUGGCCAGGUGCUAUGAUUGAUACUCUCCUCCGCAAAAGGAUUGAUGCCAUCAGCACUUAAACCAAACCAUAUGUUCGUUGCGUCGUCUGCAAAGUCCCGCCACUUUCUAUCGAUUUUUCUCCACUGCGACCCAUCAACGGGUACUCUCAACAUCCCAUCUUUCUUACGGCCUUCGCUGUGCCAUCGCAACAACUUGACAUGCUCUUUAUUUCUAAACAGACAUUUCAACCAUGGUAUAAUAGGAGAAUACCACAUCAUCUUGGCAGGAACCCUCUUCCUAGGGAGCUGGCCCUCAACAUCACCAGGGUCAUCCCGUAUGAUCUUAUACCGCAAUGCACUGCAUACCGGGCAUCACCGUUGUAGAGGAUGCAGUCAUUAGGGCAUGUAUGUAUCUUCUGCACCUCUAAUCCUAGAGGGUAGAGAACCUUCUUUGCUUCGUACAUACUAUCAGGCAAUUCGUUAUCCUUUGGAAGCUUGUUCUUCAUCAUUUUCAGUAGCUUCUGAAAUCCCUUGUCAGAUAUACCAUUCUUUGGCUUAUAUUGUAGCAAUUCCAGUGUGGUACCGAGCAUUGUGUUGUCAUCUUCGCAAUUUGGGUACAACCCUAUUUUGUGAUCCCUUUCACUUUCGCAAUCUCUCUGUGCAUCAACAAUGACCGACAAAGAUCAUCAUUAGCGGGGACAUCUGGUGCAUCUUGAUCUUCAGCUUCCCUCGUUGCAGUAUCCCCGUAUUCAGGGAACAUAGGAUAAAAAUAGUUGUCAUCAUCCUCUUCUUCAUCACUGUAUUCCAUCAUAACCCCUCUUUCUCCGUGCUUGGUCCAAACAUAAUAAUGUGGCAUGAAACCCUUCUCAAGCAGGUGCAAGUGAAGGGUUUCCCAGGAAGAAUAAUCCUUCCUAUUCCGACAGACAGUACAUGUACAAUACAUAAAAAGGGAAAGGGGCGUAUCUACGCGUUUCGCAAAUGGGAUAAUCAUCACAUUACAUAAAUAAAGAUCAACAAGUAGGGCAUACACUUGCCAUCUGUUAAGAAUAUAUCAUAGCUUACAAACACACAUUAUUCAGGGUAGCAGCAAGUCCAACUACAGACUUUAAACAGAAAAGUAGAUGAUCUAACACAUCCCGUAUGCUAGCCCACGAUCACGACCACGACCUCAGUCUACCGGAUAUUUCACAUACAAACGGUCAGAGUCCUCAUCGUACUCCCACUUCAGCUCGUUGCCAUCAGGAUCUCCUGCAUCGGGCGUACCUGAACCUGUUGGGGUUUGAAGUAAUCUGUGAGCCACGGGGACUCAACAAUCUAAUGACCUUGGUACCGAAACUAGUCAAGUUAUUAGGUGAGGAAGGUUUAGUGUAUAGGUUUGCAGCAACCUAAGCAUAUUUGGUGGCUAACUUACGAUGAUAGGAGUAGUUUAUAUGGUGGUCUGCGCGAGCGAUCGAAGACUAGAUGAUCACUAAGUGAUCUUGAAGACCUACUUACGUCAAAUAUAAUCCCACCGUGUUCCCGAUCGAAGAGAGGUCUUCAAAGGAGACAGUCACGGUUACGCACGCAGUUGGCAGUUUUAUUAGUGUUACUUUAAGUUUCCUAGAACCGGAAGUUAACAAAAUAUCCAUGUUUGCCACAUAACCGCGGGCACGACUUUCUGAAAGAUUAAACGCUGUAGGGGUGCUCCAACUAGUCCAUCACAAACUGCCACGGGCCUCAAAGUAAUCCUCUAUCACAAAUCUCAUGAUCUCGUCGGAUUCCUUAGAGGAAAACCUCAACUUUGAGGAGACCCAAAGUGUCACCAGGAUUCCUAUACGCAAGAUAUAUUGCUAAGGUAAGACAAAUCUAGCAGGACCUCCUGUCGUGUCGACGACCUCGAUAAGAGCAGCGCAUCUUAGUCUUAGGACACGACGGAUGAGCUAGACGUCGGGAUGGCUAAACCCCUGGGUGAGCAGGGGGGCCCCGGACAUCGCUCAGGUGGGACCAACACUCAUGAGGAGCAUUGUCCGGGUUGUUGAUUAAAUCCUCGAGGUAGCUAUUCCCUAUGCAAAUUAUUAUUAGGUGAUUAGCAGAUUAAAACCAAUGUUGGGUCCUGCCAGACAAGCCUUAACACUACACGAUUUAUCAAGGGGGUCCCCAUAACAACCCCGAACGUGUUAGGAGCGAUCAGUUAUGGAAUCAAACGCCGGUAACCGAAACUAAGACAGCAACAACAGAAUAAAUCACCCGGCAAAAGGCUAGACCUUCCGUACUUUACCAAGUGUAUAGGUGCAUUAAUUAAAUAACAGGUUUAACAUACUGAUAUGAAAAAUACUCAUGUUAUCACAUGAGACAGCUGGUACCUGCAACUAGCAAGCUAUUCAUUAGAGGUUGAGCAAGCCUACUUAGCGAAACAACAUCAGCUAGGAGGGGAAGGUGUUUGGGUUUCAUGGCAAUGACAUGUGGCAUUUAUAUCAAGUGGUAGGCAGCGAGCAUGUAUCGAAAGAAACGUGAUUCUAAGCAUAACAAAGCUAGACACGGUAUCAAGGUGACGACCAUCUUGUCUGUGAUGUCUUCAGCUUGGAACAACUCUUGAUCUUCCUGCACGCAUUCUCCAGAAUCCACGUACUCGCUCUCCGAUCCCGAAGCUACCGAAGAUAAAAUAACAGCCAAUGAACACCAAGACAACAUGAUGCAACAAACAAUAUGAUGCAUGAGUGAAGAAGGAAGCAUGCAUCACUAUUCUAGUCACUUUCAAAUGCAUUUAGUUGAGUUAAUAGAAUUCUGGACAUAACUGCAUAUUAAGUUAUUUUGACAUGCAUGAUGAUGGCAUGAUCAUGUGCAUCACCAGAAACGAUGCAAAAACAUAUAAAGAACAUAGAGAACGGAGCUACAGAUCAACCGGAAACUACAAAACAAGAUAUGGAGACCUACGGUUCAAAUCAACCACAAACACACUCGAAUGGCACCCUCCUCGUGUUACCAGGUUGCCACAUGAUCAAACAAUCAAAUAUAAGUGGGGUGGUGCAUGUAAACAGACCACACCAUCAACAAUGCCCACACAAGCUUCAAAUCAACAAAAACAUGCAAUCUGUUUUUAACAGCAUCUUAGAAGUUUGUCCACAACAUUUAAAGUACCUACACCCACCCAAAUGAGCCAAAUAGGAUAUGAUGCAAAAGCCAUUCAAAAGCUCUACAACACUGUGCAAGAAGUUAAUACAAAGGAGUCACACAUGAGCAGAUCUAGAGGCACUAACUUGGACAAAAAAUUACAGAUUUUGGGACUGAGUGAAAAUCUCAGAUUUUCACCAGCUGCUUAUGUUGUGAAGCAUUUUGGUAGCCUCCAAAAAGAUAUCUCCAGGAAGUGAAUGAGCAUGAAUUUAACAGGGAGCUAGACAAACAUAAAAGCUCACAAACUGUAGUUUGUUGCAUGGGCUGAUUCCCAAGACAUGAGCUUUUGCAACCAAGACAACAGGGGAAGAAAAUAACAGCAGAUUCUCAGACUUAGUGAAAAUCAUAGAUUUUCACAAAGCUGUCACUUUUAGCCAAGUGUCAACUUUGAUAAGGCACAAUAGGUGCAUACAAAUCCCCAUGAACAAAAGAAAGACCCCAUGUGGUAGAGGGGUUCACCCACUACUGCCACAUCAAGGAUUCAUCCUCAUAGGUUCAAGGCACCACAUAAUACAAAGCACUAAACAUGGCAUCAUGACAGAAAAUGAAAGUUUUAUGAAGUUUCUCUAAAGUGAAAUCUGAUACCAGCAAUGGAUUCUUGGGAUGAUUCUACCCUAAAAUCAUAUAUAAUAGAUGGGUACUUGCAUGUAACAUCUAGGCACAAAGCUAGCUCAAAAAACAACCUAGAAUCCAAUAUGAUCAUAUAGGAACAUUAUCACAUGUAGAUAUAGCACAAGUAACAACAUCUACAUCUACAUAUGCACACACACAAGCCCAUACACCACUACAUCACACCAUAGUGGCAAGCAUGAGGGGUUAUCCCUCAUGCACAAGUGCAUAUGUGCACCUAUGCCCACACACACAUGCAUGAGCACCUACACUCACAUAUGUGCUUACACACACACACACACCACAAAAGGUGCAACAUGAGGGGCUAGGCCCUCUUGCACAUGUGAAUGUGCAACCAUAUGCACCACACACACACUCACACCCACAUAUGUGCACAUCUCACUCAUGUGCACACAACACACAUCCACACAUAUACACACACUCAUGUGCAUAUAACAUACAAGUGCAUACACACACUACAUGCACACAUACAUGAAUACCCUAGGCAUUAAAAUAAAUACACACCAUGGUCUAGCUAAAAGGAAAAAAAUCCAAUCUUGCUACCCAAGAAAAGGAAUAGGACAAAAAAAAUAACAAGGGAACAAAAAAAUAAAACGGGGAGCACCUGGACUCGAACCCAGGACCCCUGGUGCAACACACAAGCAUACACCAUUACGCUAGCACGUUGCUCUGGACAUAUAAGGGGAAGGAACCCAGGUAAGCUAGCUCUACCAAGUACUGCUACUAGCGAAACAAAAAAAUAAAAAGGGCUCUGCGGGGAUUCGAACCCACGUCACGCCGUUCUACGCGCAAGGGCCAACCAGUUGAGCUGGCGCGUGCUACUAUCCCAGAGGGGGAGCUCUACCCAGGUAAGCUAGGAAAAGGAGCGGCCUUGCUCUGCUUUUGCAGAGAGGCGCCGGCGACGAGCUCACCGGAGCGGGUCGUCCUACACACGCACAUACAUGUCAACGAGGUCUACUUCCGCUACUCUACGACUACGAGAGGGACGCGUCGGCCACGAACAAAGGGAGUAUGCCCAUGCAACUAGCAACAACGAGCGACAGCAGCAGCUGCACAACCUGACGGUGCAACUCCGGCAUGCCUCGAGCUCACGGAUCGGACGCGUCUAACGGGGAGGGGAAGAGGAGGAGAGCAGGGGCUUAGCUCACCUAGCGUUGAGAGGAGAGGAUCUCGCCGUGGAGGAAGAGGUGCCGACGACGAGGUGCUGCAGAAGGGGCCGUCGUAGAGGAAGAAGAGGAGGUCGUCAAGGCCAUCGAUGUAGCCGCUCCCGUCACUUGAUCUUGUCGGGAAUGGAACCCCUGCAUCCAUCCGUGCUCCUGAUCCGGUCGGGGUAGAAGACGGGGCGCCGAUCUGCCGGCGACGAGCUCAACAGGAGCCGACCAUGGCGGUGGCUCUGCUCGGGAACGCCCCCGACGAUGCCAGAGAGGAGAGGAGGAGGAAAACGGAGACCUAGGGUUGCGGGGAGGGGGUCUAGCUGCUUAAAUGGUCUCGGGAGGUGUGCUUGGAGCCGCAAGAUCAUGGGGGAGGAAGAUCAAUGGCUGGCCUUCGGUCAUACACAGUGACGUUGCACGAGGAAGGAGACGGACGGGGGAUGGGCUGCGCGCUUGGAAAAAAAGGAGAUGGGCCACGGGAAGGAGGGAGCCAGCCCACCUGGCCUCUUUGUCUAAAUAAAAGGGUUUCAUUUUUUUAAAUACAAACCUCAAACCAAAUUCACACAUGCAUACAGGGGUUUGAAGAAAACAAAAUAAAAAUACCUAGGGCAUAAGGGAAUUAUGCCCUAUUUAAAUAAAAUAUAAAACAAAUUUUGGAGCAACUAAAUUAAAUUCAAACAUAAUUUAAUAUGUUGUUUUUGUAAAUAAAACCCCCUUUAACUAAAGUUUUAAUCCCCAAGUCAGUGCCCCUCAAUCACAAGAUAACACACUAAAAUAUCAACAUUUUUAAAACAGGUUUUGAGCAAGUUAAACAGGAGCUCAAAUGAAUAAUGGAGAAGGGGUUAUUUGAAACCUAGUUUGAAAACAACCAUAGUUUGAUUCAUAGCUUGGGAUUCACCACAUCAUCACAACACACUUGCACUCAUCAUGGAUCAAACAACAACAACAACACAAAGGAAAUGACAUGAAUGCAAUGAAUGGCAUGAUGCAAAGGUGAUGACAUGAAAUGACCACAUGAAAUGAUAACUCUUGUAGCAUUGAAAUCAUGAUCCAAAUAAGAAAGGUUUCCAAAUAUGGCAAGGGUUACAUCUGGGGCAUUACAAACUCUCCCACACUACAAGAUCUCGACCCGAGAUCUAGGACUGAAAGAACUCUGGAAAUUCGGAACGGAGGUGAUCCUCGCGCUCCCAAGUGGCCUCUUUAUCGGAAUGAUGUAACCACUGCACCUUGAGAAACUUGAUUGACUUAUUGCGGGUCUUGCGCUCAGUUGUCUCAAGAACUCCAACUGGAUGCUCACGAUAGGAUAGGUCGGGUUGAAGGUCGAUAUCCUGAAGAUCAACUGUGCGCUCGGGAGUUUUGGAGCAUCUCCGGAGCUGAGAGACAUGGAACACAUCAUGCACAUUUGUGAAGUUUGAAGGGAGCUCUAGUUGAUAAGAAAGGUCGCCUCUCUUGCCAACAAUUCUGAAAGGCCCAACAAAACGAGGAGCAAGCUUGCCUUUGAUGCCAAAACAGUGAGUGCCCUUCAUAGGAGACACCUUGAGAUAGACGAAGUCAUCGAGCUCAUAAGACAUGUGGUGAUGCUUGCUAUCAUAGUAGCUCUUCUAACGGGAGUGUGCUGCUUUGAGAUUAUCCUGAAUGACACGACACAUUUCUUCAGCUUCUUCACUCAAGUCAUUCCCAAGAAUCUGAAGCUCACCAGUCUCUGUCCAGUUGAGCGGGGUACGACACUUCCUGCCAUAGAGAAUCUCAAACGGAGCUUUGCCUGAACUUGUCUGAUAGGUGUUGUUAUAAGAAAACUCAGCAAAAGGUACGCAGUCUUCCCACUUCAUGCCAAAGGAAAUGACAUAGGCUCUUAGCAUAUCCUCGAGGACCUGAUUGACUGUCUCAACUUGCCCACUAGUGUGAGGAUGAAAGGCUGUGCUGAAUCGAAUCUUAGUACCCACGACAGACUGAAAUGAGUCCCAAAACUUGGAAGUAAACAUGCUUCUGCGAUCUGAAGAAAUCAGCAUUGGAACACCAUGCAAAGAGACUAUCCUCUAAGUGUACAGCUCUGCAAGCUGAGCUGCCGACAUAGACUCCUUGACUGGAAGGAAAUGAGCUACUUUGCUCAACUUGUCGAUGACGAGGAAGAUGGCAUCGUUACCCUUCUUGGACAUCGGAAACCCGGUGACGAAAUCCAUCUCAAUAUGGUCGAACUUCCACUCAGGAAUGGGCAAUGGAUGCAAAAGACCUGCUGGACGUUGAUGUUCUGCUUUCACCCUUCCACAUACAUCACAUUCAUUUACGAACUGAGCAAUUUCACGCUUCAUGCGAGUCCACCAGAAGGUCUGUUUCAAGUCCUGAUACAUCUUGGAACUUCCUGGAUGUAUGGAGAGAAGAGAGUUAUGAUCUUCUUCCAUGAUAACCUUUCUGAGAUCUCCUUUCGGAAUGACAAGACGAUCCUCAAAGAAUAAUGUAUCUCUGACAUCAACACUGAAGCACUUAUAUUUGGGAACUCCCUUUGCCAAGCAAAUCUUAACUUUCUUCACCAUUGCAUCAAGAAGUUGAGCUUGUCGGACCUGGUCUUCCAAGGUAGGAGAAAUCUGAAGAUUAGCAAGAAAUCCCUGAGGUACUAACUAAAGGUUGAGCUUUCUGAAAGAUUCACAAAGGUCAGGCUAGAGAGGUUUCAGAAUGAGACUGUUGCACUAUGCCUUCCUGCUCAAAGCAUCUGCCACGACAUUAGCUUUGCCUGGAGUGUACUCAAUGCUCGGAUUAAAAUCUUGGAGCAUUUCCACCCAACGAGUUUGCCGAAGAUUGAGGUUAGGCUAGGUGAACAUGUACUUGAGACUCUUGUGAUUGGUGAACACUUCAACCUUUCUUUCCAUCAAGAGGUGUCUCCAAGUCAUCAGAGCAUGUACCACUGCCGCCAACUCAAGAUCAUUAGUGGGGUAAUUCUUCUCACUUGGCUUCAACUGCCUCGAGGUAUAAGAUACCACUUUCUUGUCUUGCAUCAACACUGCACCAAGACCUUGAAGAGAUGCAUCGCAGAACACUUGAUAAGGUUUGGAGUCAUCAGGAGGAACCAAGACUGGAGUAGAAGUGAGCUUCUCUUUGAGUGUGUCGAAAGCCAACUGACACUCUGGAGACCAGACAUACUUCACACCUUUCUGAAGAAGACUUGAGAGAGGCUUAGAAAUCUUGGAGAAAUUCUCAACAAAUCUUCUACAAUAGCUUGCAAGCUCAAGAAAGCUUCGAAGCUGCUUCACAUUUUGCGGAGGCUCCCACUCAACAAUGGCCUGCACCUUCGACGGAUCAACUUUGAUGCCCUCGGCAGAGAUGAUGUGCCCAAGGUAGACAACUUCUUUCAACCAGAAUUCACAUUUGGAAAACUUAGCAUAGAACUUAUGCUCUCUUAGCUUAUCAGGCACAAGCCUGAGAUGUUCUUCAUGCUCUUCCUCAGUUACCGAAAAGACUAGAAUAUCAUCAAGAUACAACAAGAUGAAUUCAUUCUUGAAUGGGGAGAAGAUAUAAUUCAUCAUCCGACAGAAGGUCGAUGGAGCAUUGGCCAGACCGAAAGACAUCACUGUAUACUCAUACGCGCCAAAGCUUGUCCUGAAAGUAGUCUUUGGAAUGUCCUCUUCACGAAUGCAAAUCUGAUGAUAACCCAUCCUGAGAUCAAGCUUCGAGAAGAUCUUAGCCCCUUUCAAUUUCUCAAACAACUCAUUGAUGUUAGGAAGUGGAUACUUGUUUUUAAUCGUCUUCUUAUUCAAUGGGCGGUAACCGACACAGAGUUAUUCUGUACCAUCCUUCUUCUUGACGAAAAGAACUCCACAACCACAAGGAGAUGAGCUUGGUCUGAUCAGACCCAGACGCUCCUGCUCAUCAAGUUGUUUCUUCAGCUCCUUCAGCUCUUCUGGACCCAGUUUGUACGGUUGUUUGCACACAGGCUCAGUACCCGGUUCAAGCUCAAUUACGAACUCAACUGCUCGGUGCGGAGGCAUUCCUGGCAGUUCUUCCGGAAAAACAUCUUCAUAUUCACACACCACUGGGACUUGCGAAAUUGGAGAGAUCUCAGCCUUCUCAUUCAAGAAAACAGACGGACCGUGUCAUCACGCGCUGCGAAGAUAAUCACGUCCUCCGAAGAAUGAGUUAGCUUAACUUCUUUAGUUUCACAAUCAAUAGACGCCUUGUUCAUAGCCAACCAAUCCAUUCCAAGGAUCAAAUCAAUAUUAGAGUUGCCAAGGACAAUAGGAGAAGCCAGAAAAGCAUAAUCACCCAUCUUGAUAGUGACAUCUGGGGCUCGAGUACUCGCAUGCAUGAACUUGCCCGGAGAUACUAGUGACAACGGUCUAGGAAGCUCCUCUACAUCAAAAUUAUGCUUGGAUGCAAAUGGAAUGGAGAGGAACGAAUGCGAAGCACCAGAAUCAAACAAAACCUUAGCAGGAAUAUCAUUAACGAGGAGAUUACCCAAAAUUACGUCUGAGGAGUUGUCUGCUUCAGCUGCAUUCACCAUAUUGACUCUCGCAGACCUGGGGUUGAACUUCACUAUAUCAUUUCUUGGAGGCUUCCCUGGAGGAGGAGGAGGCAGAAGACGCAACUGAGAGGUGCACUUGUUGGCAUAGUGACCCUUCUGCCCACACUUGUGACAAGUAACAUCUGCCGGCUGACGGAACUGCGUCUAAGGAUUCCCUUGCUUCUGCUGCUGAAACCUCUGCUGAAAAGCUGGGUUGGGUGGGUGGGAAGAACCACGACCACCUGAUUGCUUGAACUACUGAGUCUGCCGAGGAGGAGGAGGAGACACCCAGUAUUUCUGCUGCUUCGGAAGCACCUGAGUUGAGUGCGACGAACUGGACUCUCUGAAACGCUUCUUCGAAUUCUCCACCCUGAGCAAAACUGCCUCAGCCCUGAGAGCCAAGUUAUAGAACUUAUCAAACUCAUCAUGAUCGUGUAACGCGAGGGCCAGAUGCAAGUCUUCUUUCAGACCACCUCUGAACUGAUAGAUCUUGCUCUUCUGAUCUGGAAUGUCCUGCAAGGCAUAUCGAGCCAGCUCGUGGAACUCGACGUUGUACUGGUACACGGAGGAACCACCUUGCUUCAAUCGUCUGAACUUCUCACGCAUCUCCUCCACAAAGCUAGACAGGAUAUAGUGAGACCUGAAAUCUCUGCAGAACUCAUCCCAACUGAUCAAUCUGCCACCCCUGGAGUCCUUCAACUGUUGCCUGCCCCUUGAGCUGAAACGUUGCAAACUAGACGAAGUCCUCUGGACGGACAUUGCUGCACUCAAAGUGUUUGUUCAUGUCCUGAAUCGAGUCCUCAGUGUCAAACGGCUGAUCACACGACGUGAAGGUCUUCGACUGGUUUGCCAGGAAUUGACUCAGAGAUGCAAACUGAUUACCACCAUGGUUGAAAUUGAAUUGCUGCUGAUUUGUCCUUUCUUGCAACAGCUGGAUUAACAUUUGGGUUUUAGCAUUUGUUGCAGCCAUCGCCGCUUGCCAAGCCUCUGCAGGAGGCAGCGGCGGCAGAGGAGGAGGCGGAGGGGGUGGUGGCGGAACAUCAGCACCCUCGUGAUCCGGAUUUUGACGAAUUGGUGGAGCCAUCCUGAGGACGGACAACACAUUAGACCAUAGAAUAACAUUGAAGGUAAAGCUGAAUCAAAAGGCAGGAAUAUCUAAACAAGAAUAUUAACAAUUGCGCUCGAACAAAAUAGUAAGAAUGCUUCCUCAAAGACUAUCGACAAAAUUCUGAUUAAAGACCACUUGCAAACCAAGUAUGAGCUAGAACUGCUCGGAACAAACGUAUGACAGCGAUUCCAUCCGAUAUCUUCGUGGAUAUGAUCGCACGGGCUCGUAUUUACAGUAGCCAUCCUGUGCAAGGCAUUGCACAUGACUUACGAAGCAUCCCCGAGUCGUAGCAAGCUACAAGGACUCCUUAAGACACAACGAGAACCGCUGUGAGACGACCGUGAAUAAACGUACCCACUGAAUGUCGAAUCCCAACCUCACAUCAUGCAUCCGUAGGAAGAUUGUCCUAUAAGUCACUACUUGAUAUCCCACCUAUGAAUUCCCGAAAUAUCUGGUCGUGUAAUCUGGUAUACGGAUACGAGGAGUAAUAUUUCACAGAAAUCCUAUACUAACCCGUCCAGUGUAUCACAUCCGUCAACACAUAACCAGAAUCUCGGACCUUCAUCUACUACACAUCCUCAUGAUCACAAUGAUACAAAGUGUGGCGAUAUAUCCGAAACUCUCUGCACCAGUACUGGGGAAGCCGGACUCCUCUCGUCACAACUAGUAUUGAAGCAAUUACGAACAUCCUCCGACCUGAGAUACUAAGAAAUCUGAAUGAUGGUGAUGUGCACAAGAAUCCCCUGGAGCUCAACUCCCCGGAAGAAAUCAAGUCAAACAGGAGGCACCAAGACAAAACUCAGUCACAUCAAUAUCAUAUAGAUUUCAAAAUACCCGCGUGAUCCUAAAUUUUAUUUUGAGCGAGAAGAGGAGUAAAGUUAAGAUUUCCUAAGUCGAGAACCUCACCAAAGCAUAGAAGAGGAGAAAAAGAAACCUACUCUCCGAUAUAACUAAGACUCAAAACAUUUUACUAGACUUGACUCGGCCAAGUUCGAUCACACAAAGGCUCCUAUGGUCGUAAGGCUCUGAUUACCAAUUUGUAACGACUAAGAUACGACCCUUUCCUUAUUUUGGGCAAGGCCUCCAAAGGGGAAAGGGGCGUAUCUACGCGUUUCGCAAAUGGGAUAAUUAUCACAUUACAUAAAUAAAGAUCAACAAGUAGGGCAUACACUUGCCAUCUGUUAAGAAUAUAUCAUAGCUUACAGACACACAUUAUUCAGGGUAGCAGCAAGUCCAACUAUAGACUUCAAAUAGAAAAACAAAUGAUCUAACACAUCCCGUAUGCUAGCCCACGAUCACGACCACGGCCUCAGUCUUCCGGAUAUUUCACAUACAAACGGUCAGAGUCCUCAUUGUACUCCCACUUCAGCUCGUUGCCAUCAGGAUCUCUUGCAUCGGGCGCACCUGAACCUGUUGGGGUUUGAAGUAAUCUGUGAGUCACGGGGACUCAGCAAUCUAAUGACCUUGGUACCGAAACUAGUCAAGUUAUUAGGUGAGGAAGGUUUAGUGUAUAGGUUUGUAGCAACCUAAGCAUAUAUGGUGGCUAACUUAGGAUGAUCAGAGUAGUUUAUAUGGUGUCUACGCGAGCGAUCGAAGACUAGAUGAUCACUAAGUGAUCCUGAACACCUACUUACGUCAAGAAUAACCCCACCGUGUUCCCGAUCGAAGAGAGGUCUUCGAAGGAGACAAUCACGGUUACACACGCAGUUGGCAGUUUUAUUAGAGUUACUUUAAGUUGUCUAGAACCGGAAGCUAACAAAAUAUCCAUGUUUGCCACAUAACCGCGGGCACGAAUUUCCGAAAUAUGAAACCCUGUAGGGGUGCUCCAACUAGUCCAUCACAAACUGCCAUGGGCCGCAAAGUAAUCCUCUAUCACGAAUCUCGUGAUCUCGUCGGAUUCCUUAGAGGAAAACCUCAACUUUGAGGAGACCCAAAGUUUCACCGGGAUUCCUAUACGCAAGAUAUAUCGCUAAGGUAAGACAAAUCUAGCAGGACCUCCCACCAUGUCGACGACCCCGAUAAGAGCCACGUAUCUCAGUCUCAGGACACGACGGAUGAGCCAGACGUCGGGAUGGCUAAACCCCUGGGUGACCAGGGGGGCCCCGGACAUUUCUCAGGUGGGACCAACACUCAUGAGAAGCAUUGGCCCGGGUUGUUGAUUAAAUCCUCGGGGUAGCUAUUCCCUAUGCAAUUUAUUAUUAGGUGAUUAGCAGAUUAAAACCAAUGUUGGGUCAUGCCAGACAAGCCUUAACACUACAUGAUUUAUCAAGGGGAUCCCCAUAACAACCCCGAACGUGUUAGGAGCGAUCAGUUAUGGAAUCAAACACCGGUAACCGAAACUAAGGCGGCAACAACGAAACAAAUCACCCAGAAAAAGGCUAGGCCUUCCGUCCUUUACCAAGUGUAUAUGUGCAUUAAUUAAAUAACAGUUUUAAUAUAAUGAUAUAAAAAAUACUCAAGUUAUCACAUGAGACAGCUGGCACCUGCAACUAGCAAGCUAUUCAUUAGAGGUUGAGCAAGCCUACUUAGCCAAACAACAUUAGCUAGGAGGGGAAGGUGUUUGGGUUUCAUGGAAAUAACAUGUGGCAUUUAUAUCGAGUGGUAGGCAGCGAGCAUGUAUCGAAAGAAACGUGAUUCUAAGCAUAACAAAGCUAGAUAUGGUAUGGAGGUCAUGUUGCCUGUGAUGUCUUCAGCUUGGAACAACUCUUGAUAUUCCUGCAUGUACUCUCCAGAAUCCACGUACUCGCUCUCCGAUCCCGAAUCUACCCAAGAUAAAAUAACUACCAGUGAACACCAACACAACAUGAUGCAACAAACAAUAUGAUGCAUGAGUGAACAAGGAAGCAUGCAUCACUAUCCUAGUCACUUUCAUAUGCAUUUAGUUGAGUUAAUAGAAUUCUGGACAUAACUGCAUAUUAAGUUAUUUUGACAUGCAUGAUGAUGGCAUGAUCAUGUGCAUCAUGAGAAAACAAUGCAAAAACAUAUAAAGAACGUAGAGAACGGAGCUACGGAUCAACCGGAAACUACAAAACAAGAUAUGGAGACCUACGGUUCAAAUUAACCACAAACACACUCCAAUGGAAGCCUGCUGGUGUUACUAGGUUGCCACAUGAUUAGACAAUCAAAUAUAAGUGCGGUGGUGAAUGGAAACACACCACACCAUCAACAAUGCCCACACAAGCUUCAAAUCAACAAAAACAUGCAAUCGGUUUUUAACAACAUCACAGCAGUUUAUCCACAACAUUUAAAGUACCUACAGCCACCCAAAUGAGCCAAACAGGAUAUGAGGCAAAAGCCAUUCAAAAGCUCUACAACCCUGUGCAAGAAGUUAAUACAAAGGAGUCACAGAUGCGCAGAUCUGCACGCACUAACUUGGACAAAAAAUUAAAGAUUCUGGGACUUAGUGAAAAUCUCAGAUUUUCACCAGCUGCUUAUGCUGUGAAGCAUUUUGGCACCUCCAAAAACAUAUCUCCAGGAAGUGAAUGAGCAUGAAAUUUAACAGUGAGCUAGACAAACAUAAAAGAUCACAAAAUUUAGUUUAUUGCAUGGGCUGAUUCCCAGCACAUGAGAUUUUGCAACCAAGACAACAGGGGAAGAAAAUAACAGCAGAUUCUCAGACUUAGUGAAAAUCACAGAUUUUCACAAAGCUGUCAGUUUCAGCCAAGUGUCAACUUUGACAAGGCACAAUAGGUGCAUACAAAUCCCCAUGAACAAAACAAAGACCCCAUGUGGUAGAGGGGUUCACCCACUACUUCCACAUCAAGGAAUCAUCCUCAUAGGGUCAAGGCACCACAUAAUACAAAGGACUAAACAUGGCAUCAUGACAGAAAAUGACAGUUUUAUGAAGUUGCUCUAAAGUGAAAUCAGAUUCCAUCAAUGGAGUCGUGGGAUGAUUCUACCCCAAAAUCAUAUAUAAUACAUGGGUACUUGCAUUUAACAUCUAGGCACAAAGCUAGCUCGAAAAACAACCUAGAAUCCAAUAUGAUCAUAUAGGAACAUUAUCACAUGUAGAUAUAGCACAAGUAACAACAUCUACGUCUACAUAUGCACACACACAAGCCCAUACACCACUACAUCACACCAUAGUGGCAAGCAUGAGGGGUUAUCCCUCAUGCACAAGUGCAUAUGUGCACCUAUGCCCACACACACAUGCAUGAGCACCUACACUCACAUAUGUGCUUACACACACACACACACCACAAAAGGUGCAACAUGAGGGGCUAGGCCCUCUUGCACAUGUGCAUGUGCAACCAUAUGCACCACACACACACUCACACCCACAUAUGUGCACAUCUCACUCAUGUGCACACACACACACAUCCACACACAUACACACACUCAUGUGCAUAUAACAUACAAGUGCAUACACACACUACAUGCACACAUACAUGAAUACCCUAGGCAUUAAAAGAAAUACACACCAUGGUUGUCGGGGGGAUAACCCCGGGGUAGGCUCAUCGAGUCUGUUCCUUCAUUUCCGGCCCAAUGGACAUGAACAUAUGCAGAUCCUCAAGGCCCAAGUCUUCUGGCCGGCUAGGCAGCACCUGCCGGCUAGAAGACGAGGCGGCCAUCCUUCUGGCCUGACAGGCAACCCCUGCCGACUAGAGUCAAGGUGGCCUCCUCUUUUGAGCUGGGCUGGUCCCGCUAGCCGGACUGGGGAGGAGGCGGCCGUGCUUAAGCCGGCUAGCCAAGCAGGCUAGCCGGUCGAAUUUCAUAGGUCACAUCAGAUCGUAGGUUAGGAUAAGACCUCACGAUUAAAGGUAGCUACGCGUCAGCAAAGGUACUGGAUCGGGGCGCCCGACAUGUACGAGUGUCGGCUGCCACGCCGCUGACCUACCCCGGCUCUGAUCCAUCACCUAGCAUAGUGUCGGACCGUCACACUCCCACUCCAUUACUACACUGGGCGUGGGGAACAGUGGAGGCGGCCGUACUACCUGCCCAUGAAGAAUCUCGCGGGGCGACGCUUGACGUACAACGCGUGCUCGGCGUCAACCUUACGCGAGAGAAUCAUUGGCCAGCCGGCAGGUCCCAUGGGCAAUCGAGACCAUGCAGCCGGCGGGCCCCCCAAGCGACAAGACAAGACUCUUGUGGGCCCGUGGCCAGCCGGCGAGUCUGCCAGCCGGGUCCCACACUUGUACCCUUUAUCCAUAUUGUAGGCCGGCGGGUUCGUCCAUAAAACCCCCCGGUCGCUCUCCAUGCAGGGGGGCCGAUCAUUCACCAGUCAUACAACACAACGCACUCACCAACCACAAAGAGAGAGAGGUAGAGACGAGCCGGCUGUCCCCUCUUCCUCCUCCCAACACAGCUCCAGGAGCAACAUUGUAAUCUGUUCAUAUACAUCAAACACUCCGGCAGGAUUAGGGCUAUUAUCUCUACGGAGAUCCCUGAACCUGGGUACAUCGUGCGUCCCAUGCAUGUACCAACCUCGUUCCUAGCGUCCACCUUUGUCCCCUCGGUUCUCACCGACUUUAGCCUACCUAUGGCAUAUGUUGUGAGUAUUCACCGACAUUUGGCGCCCACCAUGGGGCCUAUCAUGGCAUCGGCUGGCUUUACGCGCUGGGCGGGGCCCCGCACCUACACCACCGGAUGCAUCGCGUCCGGAUCAGUUUGCAUGCCCGUGGAGCCCGCUUUCGACGAGGCAACACCCAUGAUGAUCGACGUCCCCUCCCGCCAUGCGGAUUCGGACGAAGAUUCUGAUGACGAGGCACUCCCUAGCGUCGUCGUCGCUGCUAUGGAGAACCUCAGCAUUCUCUUCAACGACCUUCGUCUCAACGACGGCCCGCGCUACUUCGGCGAGGACUUCGACGUUGAGGCGCUCUGUGCCAGCUUCAACAUGCUCUCUAUCGCUGAGAUGCCUGCCCACGACGUAUAUCCCAGCAACGUCCUCAUCUUCGACGGCCCUCCGCCAUCAGUGGGGUUCUUCACCCCAUACCACGUCGCUGUCGUCUCCAACACCGUGGAGGUGAUGGUUAUCGGCACCGGCACCAGCACGGCUCCCGGCAAGGCCUCGGCAGGGGCUGGCGAGCCCGCUGCUGCCACCGCCGAUACUCUUCGGGACGCCAUCGCCAGCCUGAAGACACCCGUCACCGCUUCCGCAAACCCUGCGGACGCUCGGGCCUCACUGGAGGAGGCUCGCAAGCGUACCUUGGAGGUGGGCAUCGCCGUAGCUUCGGCGAAAUGUCGGUUUGAGGCUACUCAGCGCGAGUAUAACUCCGCAUACGGCCUUACUCCGAUUUCCGAGGCCCCUAGCCGGCUUGGAUCGGUCCGCAGCCGCGGCCGGUUCAUCGCCGAGGUCCUAGGCGGCGAUCUGCGCACCUAUGAGACUCCUGCGGCCAACAUGCGAGCGGCGCAGGCAGCCAUGGAGGAGAUGGAAAGCCUAGAAGACGAGGAACGCGCCUUCCAGGAGAAGCGGGUCAAGGAUCUCCUUGACGCUGCCAACUAGCAACACGCUCGGCUUGACCCCGGUCAGGCUCAAUCGGUGUCCCCGGGACCCAACUCAGGGGCACGUCGCAACCCUAGCGGUCAGCACCAUGCAGAAGGAUCUUCCUCGCAUCGCCCUUCUGGCCCGAGGGGAGAGGGAAGCCAAGAUCGGUGCUCUCAGCGCUAGAGCGAGCACACUCUGGGCUUGCGUCGCGGAGGCGACGAGGCCGAUUCGGAGUGUGAGAUUCUUCCCCCGCGAAGAACUCACGUCUCUGGCUCACGAGGCGCCUCCCCUCUCGCCACCAGGGCUGGCGCUCACGCCACCCAGGAUGAGCGGGACGCCCGCCGGCGUCUCAUUGUCCUGGCCUAGUCAGCCCUCCUAGAGGAAGACGGACCCGUCGGUCCGGCAUGCUUCGGCCCCCAGAUCCGAGGGGAGCCGUUUCCCCGAGGUUUCACCCUACCUCGGGACACGCCAAAAUACAAUGGCACGACCAAGCAAGUGGACUGGCUGAUUUACUACACCACGGCCGUCGGCAUUGCCAGGGGCAACAAGCGCGUAGCAGUCCGCUACGUGCCCCUCAUGUUGACCGGCUCGGCCCGGACUUGGCUUAACAGCCUCCCGGGCGCCAGUGUCAACUCUUGGGUGGACUUCGAAGAGGCGUUCGUCCACAACUUCACUCGCACCUACAAGCGCCCUGGCCGGCCCCGCGAGCUGGCUAUGUGCAUCCAGAAGGCCGACGAACCCCUCCGCGACUACGUCACCUGGUGGACUGAGCUCCAUAAUUCAUGUGAGGGGGUGCAUGAGGUACAAGCCAUCCAGUACUUCAUCGACGGUUGCCGAGACGACACCCUCCUCAAGCACAAGCUCAUGUGCACCGAGCCCACCUCUCUGGCGGUGCUCAUGGCCAAGGCGAACAAAUACGCCACGGCCGACUCAGCGAUGCGUGUCAAGUUGACCGCCUCGGACAAGGUUGUGCCUACGCCGGCUACUCCCAAGCCGGCUGGGGACAACCGAGGCGGCCAAAACAACUACAAGCGCAAGGUGGAUCAGAUGGAUCCCCGCUCCAACAACAAGUUGGUGGCCAGCGUGGAGGGCGAAACAUCGGCUCCUCAAGCCGGCCCUCCACGAAAGCGUCCCAACAGGAGCAACACCAACUGGCUGCCCAAGCAGUCCUUCGAGCAACUGCUCGACUCCCCCUAUAAGAUACAUUCUGGGGCGCAGCCAUCUACCCAUACCCUUCGACAGUGCAGCUUUGCGCGCCGGCUGUCGCAAGGAGAUGGCUUGCUGGCUCCUCCAGGUGCGCAGGCGGCCCCUCGUGCACCGGCUCCCAACCACGCUCCGGCUCCGCCGCCGCUGCCUCGCGACGACGGUCACCACCAAGACGACUACCCUCAUCAAGACGGAGCGUUCGUCGUCUUCACCAGCGAAGGCGACGACAAGCACAGCCUACGCCAAAGGCGGCGCGAGGUAAACGCCAUGGUCCCCCCGGUUCCCCAAUACAUGCAUUGGUCCGACAAACCGAUCACAUGGAGCCGGGUGGACCAUCCCGCGGUGAUGCCCAACUCGGGAUCAUACGCACUCAUCCUCGACCCCACCUUCGCCUCCAAGAGGCUCACCUGCCGAUUCUCCCAGGUGCUAGUCGACGGCGGCAACAACAUCAACAUUCUCUACCUCGACACUCUCCUCAAGCUCGGGCUCAAGGGGACGGACGUCCUACCAACCAGUACUGUCUUCCACGGCACCAUACCUGGCAGUCCUGCUCGCCCAUCAGCAAGAUCCAGCUGGACGUCCUCUUCGGUGACAAAGCCCACUUCCGCCGUGAGUCCAUAUGGUUCGAGGUAGUGGAUCUCAGUAGCCUGUAUCACGCGCUGCUGGGAAGACCGGCUCUGGCCAAGUUUAUGGCUAUUCCGCAUUAUGCCUACCUGAAGAUGAAGAUGACGGGUCCCAAGGGCAUCAUCACUGUUGUUGGCGACUACAAGAAGUCGCUCGAGUGUGCCCAAGAUAGUAGCCGCCUCGCCGACGCCUUGGUGAUUGCUGAGGAGAAGCGGCAGAUCGACCGGCUCGUGGCCCAGGCUACCGAGCAGCCGGCGAUUCCUUCUCCUCCGUCCCAAUCGGCCGGCGAGGGCUCUUUCAAGCCGGCUAAAGAGACCAAGCAGGUCCCACUCGACCCUGCCAACCCGAAGCAGUGUGUCACCAUCGGGGCUGGCCUCAGCCCCAAAUAGGAAGGCGAGCUCGUCGACUUCCUCCGUGAGAAUCGGGACAUCUUUGCAUGGCCCCCCAAGGACAUGCCGGGCGUUCCAAGGAAGUACGCCGAGCACAAACUUCACAUACGACCGGAUGCGAAGCCGGUGAAACAACCCCUGCGCCGCUUUGCCGAGGGGAAGCGACGCACGAUCGGAGAAGAAAUUACUCGGCUCCUUGCAGCCGGCUUCAUCAUGGAGGUUUUCCACCCGGACUGGCUGGCUAACCCAGUCCUGGUGCUGAACAAGAAUAACACAUGGUGAAUGUGUAUUGACUACACUAGCCUGAAUAAGGCAUGUCCGAAAGACCCUUUUGCGUUGCCUAGGAUAGAUCAAGUGAUCGACUGCACUGCAAGCUGUGAAUUAUUGUGGUUUCUGGAUGCUUAUUGAGGCUACCAUCAAAUCAAGCUGGAUCCAGCUGAUCGCCUAAAGACCUCCUUCAUCACGCCCUUCGGGGCCUACUGCUACACCACCAUGACGUUCGGUCUGAAGAACGCAGGCGACAUUCUAACGCUGCAUGCAGCAGUGCCUACUGCCUCAGAUUGGCAGAAACAUCCACGUCUAUGUGGAUGACAUCGUCGUCAAGACGAAACAACACUUCAGCCUCCUCGACGACCUGCGGGAGACGUUCGCCAAUCUGCGCAAAUACAAGAUCCGGCUCAACCCUGAGAAGUGUGUCUUCGGGGUUCCAGGCGGCAAGCUCUUGGGGUUCUUCGUGUCCGCCCGUGGCAUUGAGGCGAACCCGGAGAAGAUCGCACCAUCGAGCGGAUGGUGCGGCCGGCUCGAACCCUUGACGUCCAAAAAUUCGCUGGCUGCUUGGCGUCCCUCAGCCGGUUCGUCUGCCAGCUUGGCGAGAAGGCCCUUUCGCUCUACCAUCUCAUGAAGAAGACGACGAAGUUCGAGUGGAACGACCAGGCGGACGAAGCCUUCCGCGACCUCAAGCGGGUAAUCUCGAGCCUGCCGAUCUUGGCAGCCCCAUCUAAAAGGGAAACCAUACUCAUAUACAUCGCGGCGACCACUCGCCUGGUUAGCAUAGUGUUGGUAGUUCAGCGUAAAGAGUAAGGCAAGGCCCUGCCAGUGCAGCGCCCUGUCUACUACCUUAGCGAGGUCUUGUCCGCCUCUAAGUAGAACUAUCCACAUUAUCAAAAAAUGUGUUAUGGUGUUUACCUUGCUACAAAGAAAUUGAAGCAAUACCUCCAAGAGAAUGCCAUCACUGUGGUGAGCACUGCUCCGCUUUCAGAGAUCAUGGGCAACCGUGAUGCCAUGGGUAGGAUUGCCAAAUGGUCCAUCGCCAUGGCGGACCAUGAUAUUCGAUACGAGCCUCGCACCGCCAUCAAAUCACAGGUGGUGGCCGACUUCUUAGUCGACUAGGCCGAGACCCAGUUUGAGCCACCGCCUCCAGACUCCACGCAUUGGCGAAUGCACUUCGACGGCUCGAAGAUGAGGACAGGACUGGGAGCCGGCAUCGUCCUGACACCUCCAAAAGGGGACCAUCUCAAGUACGCUCUCCAGAUCCACUUCGCCGCCUCCAACAACGUCGCCGAGUAUGAAGCACUGGCUCAUGGCCUCUGGCUUGCCAAGGAGAUCGGCAUCCGGCGGCUCAUAUGCUUCGGCGAUUCAGACUUAGUGGUGCAGCAGGUCUCUGGCGGAUGGGACGCCAGGGACGCCAACAUGGCGAGCUACCGCUUCCUCAUCCAGCAGCUCAGCGGUCCUUUCGAGGGCUGUGAGUUUCACCACGUUCCCAGGGCGGAAAAUGAGGUGGCCGAUACAUUGGCGAAGAUUGGCUCCACGAGACAGGCCAUUCCAGCCGGCGUCUCCCUCGAGCAACUCCAUAAGACGUCUAUCAAGCCAUCUCCCGAGUCGGCAUCGAUCUUUGUACCGACUGACUCUACGAUGCAAGCGUCGUCGGCUCCAUCAGUUACGCCGGCUGCGGACCCCACGCCGGCUGCGCUGACGGCGCCGACUCCAAAUACGGCACCGACUGAAUCCACGGUGCAAGCGCCGUCGGCUCCACCAACUACGCUGGCUGCGGUUCCUUACCGGCUCCAUUGGUCCCACCGACUCCAAUAGCGGCGCCGGCGACAACAACAACCCCGGCUCUGUCCGGGCUCGAAUCCUCCCAGUGGGUGGACGUCAUGGAGGUAGACGGUGAACCGGCUGUCGUGACAGCACCAGAGACACCAUCAAGCUCAGGGGCUGCAGAAGCCCCCAACAGUCAAGCCGAAGCGGAGGCGACCCUUGUGUCGGCUCCAUCAUGGGCUCAAUCUAUUCUGGCCUUCCUUCUUUGCGGCGAACUUCCUUAGAACGAGGCGGAGGCGAGACAGAUCUAGCGCAGAUCCGUCGCCUACUCCAUCAUCAAUUGCGAACUAGUACGACGCAGCGUGACCGGCGUGUUCCAACGCUGCGCCGAAUCAGAAAAAGGGCAGGAGAUCCUCAGAGACAUCCACCAGGGGGAGUGUGGGCAUCACGCCACCUCCAGAACCCUGGUGGCCAAAGCAUUCCGUCAUGGAUUCUACUGGCCCACGGCCCUCGAGGAGGCCGUGGAUCUGGUUGACAAGUGCGAAGGCUGCCAGCGCUUCAGCACACAGAGCCACAUGCCACCUUCGGCCCUCAAAACCAUUCCCCUAUCAUGGCCAUUCACCGUCUGGGGACUGGACAUAGUAGGGCCCUUCAAGACGGCUCACGGAGGGAUGACACAUCUUUUGGUGGCCGUCGACAAGUUCACCAAGUGGAUCGAAGCCAGACCUAUCAAAAAGCUUGACGAGCCCACUGCUGUCAGGUUCAUCAGAGACAUCUCUGUCCGAUAUGGUGUUCCCCACAGCAUUAUCACCGACAAUGGCACCAAUUUUGCCAAGGGUGCUGUGGCACUCUACUGUUCCAAGGUAGGCAUCCGGAUCGACUUGGCUUCAGUGGCACAUCCUCAGUCAAACGGCCAAGCAGAGAGGGCCAACGGCCUGAUUCUGGCCGGCAUCAAGCCAAGGCUGGUGGCACCACUGGUCAGGCCAGCCGGCUGCUGGAUUGAAGAACUGCCGGCUGUGCUAUGGAGCCUCCGCACCACGCUCAACCGGUUGACCGGCUUCACUCCAUUCUUUCUGGUAUAUGGGUCUGAGGCUAUUAUUCCCAGGGAUGUCGAGUUCGACUCGCCUCGGGUCACCCUAUACACAGAAAUAGAGGCGAAGGAGGCAAGAGAAGAUGGUGUGGAUCUCCUCAAAGAAGCAAGGGACUUGGCCUUGAGCCGGAUGGCCAUCUAUGAACGGAAGCUGAGAUACUACCACAGCAAAAAGAUCAAGCCUCUCUCUUUAAGGGAGGGAGACUUGGAUCCAACAAAUGCAAUAAAAAGAGCAUGCUUCAUGUUUCUUUUUAUUGAGAGUUUUCACUCAGUGUACGCCCUCUAACUUGCUUCAUUAAGCUCGGGGGCUACACCGCGUACACCUCUUGCUGGCUUAAUCAAGCUCGGAGGCUACGCAGCGCACGCCCUUGCUGGCUUUAACAUGCUCGGGGGCUCGCUAGCCGCUCGGACGCCUUCCCUAUUGUAAAUGAACACAUAGUGUAACCGGCUGAUCCCUGGUCACCUCGUACGAGCCUGCGGGCUGGCUCCGGUCGCCUGGUUUGCGGGGUGACGCUAGGUCAGGUCGGAUACAUGCAAAGUUCGGCUACAAAGGGUCGCCGGCCCGGGCUGGCUCGAUCAUAUAUACGAUCUCAUUCAAGUCGGCCUCUGAUUGGCUUAUGCCUUGUUCUUUAAGUCUUGAUGGCUUCGAAAAAGGAAUCAACCAGGAAUCAAAAGACAAGGUCAUAAGACAACACGCUUGGCAUACGAAUAUAAUGCUGAAUAUAUACAUUCACAAAAGCAUUGGCCCACGGCCCACGUUCAUUACAUCCCUCCGGGGGUAGAACAAAACACAAAAGGACACCGGCUACGGGGCUGCGGCCUCAUCGGUCGCCCCGGCCGCUGCUCCUGAUGUGGUAGCAUCACCAUCUCCGCCUGCUCCCGAGGCGGUUGCGCCGUCUUCCUCGCGAGGACUCCCAGCUCCGUCCACACCAGAGUCGGCAUACACCGCACUGCUCGAGGUGGCAGCAGAUUUCGUAUCAGGGGCCGCCUCGUCGGAGCUGCCGUCGGCGUCAUAGGGCUGAAGGCCGUGCAGAUCUUCAGCGAUCACACCGCCAUCUUCACCCCGCUCCAAAACAAAGUCGUCCUAGGCUGCGUACUCGGCCACGGCGCUGGCCCUCACACGAAGCUCCUCCUUCAUGCCUUGCAGCUCCGCCUCCGAGCCGUCGCGCUGGGCGGCCAGCUUUCCCAAGUUCAGGUCCCGAUACUAGGAGUUGGCCAAGUGUAGGGCCAUGUAAGCCCCUGCUCGCGCGGCAGAGGCACGCCAGGCAUCCAGGCGCUCUCCACCCACUGCAAGCCUGCGGGCGAGCCGGCUCAUGGACGCCGACUCCACGCCCUCCGGCCACAUGGCCGCCACCAUCGACGAGCCUACGACCUGGAGCUGAGCCACAGACUCGCCUAGGGCGCGCAGGCGGGCCCGAAGGCCCACCCCGAUCUCCUCCACACUCCAGGCGGAGGUAGUGUCUACCUCCUGCCCGGCCGCGCGGCGCUCCUCACGGCACACCUCGACGGCGGUGUCGGCCGUGAUCUGGGUCUUGGGGAAGAGACCUGGAAUGACGGCAACCAGGACGUAAGAACACAGCAAAAAGAGGAGACGACCAAAAAGAUUAAACACAAAGACAAGGAAGAGAGACCCACGAUGGAAGGCGCCGUCGGUCUCAUGGGAGACCUCGAGGACCUCGCGCCCCCGCACCUUAAUCGCAUGAGUAAGGCGGGCAACUUCCUCCAGGAGAGUCGCCGCAGACUCCAAAGCCUUGGCCAGCUGCGUCUGCUUCUGGACGAGGGCCUCCUCCUUCUCCCUCAAGGCGGCGUCCUUGAGGUCCAUCUCCUUGAGGUGAAGCGACGCGAGGCGAUCCACGUCACAGAGUAGGAGGCCUCCAUCUCCUGCAACCGGCCGGCCGCCUCGAGCUCCUUCUUCUCCACCUGAAGAAGGUCCAACUGCCCCUGGAGCCGGCUGCCGGCGUUACGCAGGGCGUCCCGCUCCGUGGCAGCCUCGCCCAGCCGGGCUUCAAGCUCGGCGAUCCGGCUAUCGGCCCUCAGGUGCUGGGUCCGUAGCUCGUUAUAGGCCUGUACCUGAGCAUCAUAAAGCGCGUGCAAAAGAGCGAAAAAGGGAACAUGAUUAAGAUUUGACCUGGUUAAGACCUAACCAGCCCGAUUCUCGGGGCUACACCCAGUGGGUGAGCUAGCGCGCCCCCACUUAAGACAACUAUGCGGGGAAAAGGGCCUCCAAGAGAUUCGGACCGGUCGACAAUCGACCCGCCCGAUGUUGGGAACGUCGCAUGGGAAACAAAAAUUUUCCUACGCGCACGAAGACCUAUCAUGGUGAUGUCCAUCUAUGAGAGGGGAUGAGUGAUCUACGUACCCUUGUAGAUCGUACAACAGAAGCAUUAGUGAACGCGGUUGAUGUAGUGGAACGUCCUCACGUCCCUCGAUCCGCCCCGCGAACAAUCCCACGAUCAGUCCCACGAUCUAGUACCGAACGGACGGCACCUCCGCGUUCAACACACGUACAACUCGACGAUGAUCUCGGCCUUCUUGAUCCAGCAAGAGAGACGGAGAGGUAGAAGAGUUCUCCGGCAGCGUGACGGCGCUCUGGAGGUUGGUGAUGACCUUGUCUCAGCAGGGCUCCGCCCGAGCUCUGCAGAAACGCGAUCUAGAGGAAAAACCGUGAAGGUAUGUGGUCGGGCUGCCGUGGAAAAGUCGUCUCAAAUCAGCCCUAAAACCUCCGUAUAUAUAGGUGGGAGGGAGGGGAGGAGGCAGCCUCAAAAACUAAAGGUUUGGCCGAAAUUGGAGGUGGAGGAGUCCUACUCCAAUCCUACUUGGAGUAGGAUUCCACCUUCCCACUUGGGAACUCUUUCCACCUUGUGUUUUUUCCUUCUCAAACCUUAUGGGCCUUAGUGGGAACUUAUUCCAGCCCACUAGGGGCUGGUUUAUCUCUUCCCAUAGCCCAUGAGACCCCCUUGGAGCGUGACACCCCUCCCGAUGGUCCCCGACACCCCUCCCGGCACUCCCGGUACACUACCGAUGAGCCCGAAACUUUUCCGGUAAUGCACGAAAACCUUCCGGUAACCAAAUGAGGUCAUCCUAUAUAUCAAUCUUCGUUUCUGGACCAUUCCGGAAACCCUCGUGACGUCCGUGAUCUCAUCCGGGACUCCGAACAACAUUCGGUAACCAACCAUAUAACUCAAAUACGCAUAAAACAACGUCGAACCUUAAGUGUGCAGACCCUGCGGGUUCGAGAACUAUGUAGACAUGACCCGAGAGACUCCUCGGUCAAUAUCCAAUAGCGGGACCUGGAUGCCCAUAUUGGAUCCUACAUAUUCUACGAAGAUCUUAUCGUUUGAACCUUAGUGCCAAGGAUUCAUAUAAUCCCGUAUGUCAUUCCCUUUGUCCUUCGGUAUGUUACUUGCCCGAGAUUCGAUCGUUAGUAUCCGCAUACCUAUUUCAAUCUCGUUUACCGGCAAGUCUCUUUACUCGUUCCGUAAUACAAGAUCCCGCAACUUACACUAAGUCACAUUGCUUGCAAGGCUUGUGUGUGAUGUUGUAUUACCAAGUGGGCCCCGAGAUACCUCUCCGUCACACGGAGUGACAAAUCCCAGUCUCGAUCUAUACUAACUCAACGAACACCUUCGGAGAUACCUAUAGAGCAUCUUUAUAGUCACCCAGUUACGUUGCGACGUUUGAUACACACAAAGCAUUCCUCCGGUGUUAGUGAGUUAUAUGAUCUCAUGGUCAUAGGAACAAAUACUUGACACGCAGAAAACAGUAGCAACAAAAUGACACGAUCAACAUGCUACGUCUAUUAGUUUGGGUCUAGUCCAUCACAUGAUUCUCCUAAUGAUGUGAUCCCAUUAUCAAGUGACAACACUUGCCUAUGGUCAGGAAACCUUGACCAUCUUUGAUCAACGAGCUAGUCAACUAGAGGCUUACUAGGGACAGUGUUUUGUCUAUGUAUCCACACAUGCACUGUGUUUCCAAUCAAUACAAUUAUAGCAUGGAUAAUAAACGAUUAUCAUGAACAAAGAAAUAUAAUAAUAACUAAUUUAUUAUUGCCUCUAGGGCAUAUUUCCAACAGUGAUUCUCGGGGGCUACACCCAGUGGGUGUGUUGUCGCGCCCCCACUAACGCCAAAGGAAGAGAAAAAAGUACAAAAAGCUAAAAAGGCAACACCUACCUGGGUGCGGGCCUCCAGGCGCUCCAUGUCGUUGCAUACCACGUGGGCCGACUGCUCCACCUUGGACCGGCUGCUGGAAAACAUCGUCACCAGCUCUGGUACGCCGCAAAGCAUGGUGCCGGCGGGCAGUCGCACGCGGGCCAGGUUCGCCGCUCGCCAUGUCCUCAUGGGCCGUCUCCCAGGCCGGCCCUCGACUCCUGGCGCAACAGGGCCGUGCUGGGGAACGACGAUGGCACCGGCUCCUGGUGCCGGCUCGGCAGCCGGCUCGGGCGCCAUCCCGACCAGCGCUACCUCCUCCGCGGGAGGCGUAUGGGCCGCGUCCGGCGCAUCCAUGGUCGCCCCCGGGGCAUCAGGGGUCGUGUCCGGCGUAGCCAAGUCUAGCUCCGGCGCGUCGGGCUCCGCCUCGGCCCUGGGAGAGUCAGGGACCGUCUCUAGGUCCACCGGCGCCGAGGCUUCCGGUUCUGAUGGCUGGGCCCCCUCAGCCCUUGGGGCUGGCCUGCAGGCGGCCUCGCUAGUUGGCUCCUCCGCACGAGCAUGUGCGGAGGGGUCAUGUCUAGCCUUCGCACGCUUCUCCACCGGCCUCUUGACCCGGCUGGGGCGAGGCUGGCCCACGGCGGCCUUCCCCGCAGCCGUGUCCCACUGGCGCUUGGACUACGUCUCAAGCUCCCUCUAGGCAGCAUCAGCUGCUGCCCAGCCAGCCCGCUCGGCUGUGGAGGCGGUGUCUUCAUUCGCAUCCUCCGCUUCCCUGUCAAGCAAAAAUCCUAAGGAACAAAGCUCGUCACAAGAUGGACAAAGGAAAAGAGGAGGAAAUCUUACGCCGCUACCAUAGGGACCUGCCUCCGGCCAGCACCGCGGCGUCUCUUGACGCCGCCUGCUCGGUGUCCGGCUGGAGGACCCGGCGCCAGCCGCUUAGAAGUCGACCGCGAAGUUGUGGCACCCUUGCCCUUCUUCCCGGCUGCCUCGUCAGCAGCGGUCGCUUCGCCCCUUUGACGCCGGCCGCACGUCAGUGGCGGGCUGGUGACCUCCUCCACCUCAUCAUAGUCCUCCUCGAAGGCUGCACCAGAACAGCAUGAGGCUAUCUCGUCGUCGUUCAUCCAGUCUACAACGGCGGGCCGUGCGUACUCACCAGACGGCUCUAUCCCUUCCGACUCCAGGGGAUCCUCCGAGCCGGCGGUGGAGUCUGAGCGGGAUUCCAUCACGCCUUCGUCCUCAAUCUCCGAGGCGUCGGACACCUCCACAUCGGGAGCGGGCGGACGGAGGGACGCCUGCAGGGUCUCGAACAGCUACGGAAAAGAAUUCAACCAAAGGCUCAGCAACGCAACCGGCUUCAAGACCAAAAACAGAGAAGAAAGAGGCCACCUACCAUCGGAGGCGGAUGAGCCCUGUUGAACGGGGACAUCUCCCACAUCCAUUCCCCUCUCUCAUCCAUGCGGGCGAUGGAGAUCAGGUUCACCCUUCGUGCUAUAGCGCCGGGGGUGAACCUCUUGGUGGAUAGCCGGCAUGGAUCAUGCCGGCCGUCCAUCUGGCAGACCACUGGCCAAGGUGGCCGCUCUUCUCCAAAAUGUCGAGGUGGCCACAGAUAAGCGCCACCUCAGGAAUUGGCUUGGGAGCCUUCGCAUCCCAGUUCCGCCGCGUCGGCGGGGCGAUGGCGAACGGGGGCAUGUUGAGGGCGUCCUGGGCCGGGUCAGCGCUCUUCACGUAGAAGAAACCCUUCUGCCAAUGCUUUAUGGAUUCUUGCAGAGGCAUCUCGGGGAAGCCGGACUUCGAGCGGUGAUGCACCAAAGCAGCCCCGCACGGCGUCAUUGGGCGUGGCCCUGUGAGCUUCUCCACCUCAGAUUUCUCCAUGGCGAUGGAUUGCUUUUGAAGAAGAACAUGAUGCGCCACAGAUCGAUGCGAGGCUCGAUCCCCACGAAGCCCUCGCACAGGACCACGAAGGCAGCCAACUGUAGUAUGGCGUUCGGCGCUAGAUGAUGCGGCUGCACGCCUAAGAAAUGGAGCCAUUCGGCGAAAAAAGAGCUAGCCGGGAGCCCGAAGCCCCGGUAGAAGUGCUCGACGAAGACCACGACCUCUCCCGCGGCGGGUGCGGGAGCGGUCACGGCGCCAGGGAGGCGCACCAACACUUGGGAAGCCGGGGGCAGCAGUCGAUUGUGACGAAGCGCCUCAAUGUGCCCCUCGUCGACAUCGUUGCCCAACCAGGCUCCCUACGAGGACGCCUUCUGCGCCGAGGACUUCUUCGAGGAAGAACCGUCGGCCAUGGCUAUGGGUGGCGAGAGCCCGAAGUGGUUGGCGAUGUCGCGAUGACGAAGACGAAGAAGACGAAGUUUUUGUGAGCGUUGAUGUUUGAUUUGCUGCCCUUCUUAGUCUUUUUUCGAUUCGGCGGUAUUGUUGGAUUGAAGCGGCCCGGACCGACAUUACUCGUACGCUUACGAGAGACUGGUUUCAUCGACCAACAUGCAACUCGUUGCAUAAAGAUGACUGACGGGUGUCGGUUUCUUCAACUUUAGUUGAAUUGGAUUUGACCGAGGCGGUCCUUAGAGAAAGGUUAAAUAGCAAUUUGCACAUCUCCGUUGUGGUUUUUGCGUAAGUAAGAUGCGAUCAUACUAGAUACCCAUAGCAGCCACGUAAAACAUGCAACAACAAAUUAGAGGACGUCUAACUUGUUUUUGUAGGGUAUGCUUGUGAUGUGAUAUGGCCAAAGACAUGAUGUGAUAUAUUGGAUGUAUGAGAUGAUCAUGUUGUAAUAGUUAAUAUCGACUUGCACGUCGAUGCUACGACAACCGACAGGAGACAUAGGGUUGUCUUUAUACUAACGUUUGUGUUUGCAGAUGCGUAUACUAUAUUGCUAGGUUGUAGCUUUAGAAGUAAUAUUUUCAGGGAGAUUUCAUUGAAAUUCACUGAAUUUCAUUAAUUUCAGCAGACACUAAAAUAUUACGUUUCGGUCAAAAUAUUUCAGCAAUUUCAGUAGUAUAUUAAAAAACAAAUAUUUUUCAAUUUAUUUUUUGAAAUUUAUUAAAAAAAAACAUUAAAAAAAACUGGAUAUCAUAAUCUAUGAAAAGUUAUGUCCCAAAUCUUUAUAUAAUUUGUACUCCCUCCGUUCCUAAAUAUAAGACAUUUUAAAGAUUGCACUAUAAACUACAUACGGAUGUAUAUAGAUAUAUUUUAGAGUGUACAUUCACUUAUUUUGCUCUGUAUGUAGUCUCCUAGUGAAAUCUCUAAAAGGUCUUAUAUUUUAGAACGGAGGGAGUAUAUGUUUAAGUUUAGAUAAGACACAUUUAGUUAAUCGACUUUUUUCUUUUUAAAGGAAAUGACUUCAAAUUAGUGCCAACGGCCCCAUCAGGGCAGGCGGCAUAACUCUAACGAUGUUAACUGGCAAGAGAGGUCAGGUCUCCAAGGUCACCUCUACGUCGACGACGUAUAUAUGCAUGCCUACAGCCGCCGUUGACAUAGAUGGAGGUACCUUGACGGAGUAGAUCGCAUAUAUCGUGGUCGUUGCAAGUGUUGAUUAAUCCAUCGAUCCCUUGGACCACGACGACACAGGCAAGUUUGAUUCGUGUCUAGCAAAAGAAGGUAAGUUUGAUUCGGUUUGGAAACACAUACGUGACCGGGCCCCUCGCAAGGAGUUUGGCGGUCGCGUCCGGAUCCUAUCCAGCUUUGAGUCGGAGAGGAAAACGGGGUAUAUAUAUAUACAGCAGCCAACGGGUUUGCUGGAUCGUGUCUGAUAACCGCACAACUCCUGCUGCGAAAGAGGAAGACGCUAGCUACCUCCCCCGCCGUCACAACUCCUGCUUCGCUCGUGUGGACGGAUCGAGAGCUCUCAGCCGGCCACCAUGGGCAAGGCCGAAAGGGCAGGAGCCCUCGGCGGCCUCCUGGAGGAGAUCCUGAUAUGGGAUAUCCUCGUCCGCCUCCCCCCCAAAGCCCUCCUCCGUUGCCGUGCCGUCUGCCGCGCCUGGCGAAGUGUCACCUCCACCCCCGAUUUUCUCCUCGCACACCAUUUCCGCCAGCCCGCACUCCCCCUCGUCGACAACGUCUACAAAUAUACAGAAGGCAUCAGCAAGUCCCUAGACAUCGGUUGCUUCGACCAUCGGCCAGGGGUGGCCGCCACCGACCAGCUCCAGCCCAUCGCCCGACUUAUUGCACAAAUCUCCUUUUAUCUGGAUGCCACCAUCGGUGACGAUAACAUUGGCGAUUGCAUCUCCUUCUUUCAACCGGUUGCCUCCUGCGAUGGCCUCCUUAUCUUCUCUGUCGAGGACACCGAUUUCUUCAUAUGCAAUCCAGCAAGUCGCCAAUAUGCUCGCCUCCUGCUGCCUAUGGAUCAUCGAUGGACGGUCCUAGGAAUGUACCCUCACCCCCUGACUGGUGAGUACAGACUACUUCUUUACUCGUACAGAGGUAACCUGGACGAUGAUGAGCCGGCACCCAAUAGUAAAUUUGCAUGCCAUGUCUUGGAAUUAGGCUCCGGGAAGCCGCCGAGGCGCAUCGUGUGGCCAGAUGCUAUUACCAUUACGUUGAUGGGAUUAAACCCUCAUGUGCUAUUCCAUGGUAACCUGCAUUGGUAUCCAUUGGACAAUGAUGGCAAAAACACAAUGAUAGUGGUGUUCAACACAACAUCUGAGUCGUUCCGAGAGAUGCGUGCUCCUGUUGUUACUUACUGCGCCGACCUAUUUGAGAUAGAUGACAUGCUCGGCAUGUCCGCCUUUGAUUAUGUUAAUACUAUUGAUAUAUGGGUGUUGCAAGACUAUGAAAGGGAGGUGUGGGCCCUAAAUCGCCGGAUUGAAUUGCAUGCUGCAGAGAUCAGUGUGCCAUAUGACGUGCAGUUGUGGUUGGAUGUGUUGGUCGUACCCGGGGAUGGCCAGUUGGUUGUGUUGGUCAAAUCUCACGAUUGGCUACUUGAGGUAGGCAUGGAUGGCAAGUUGGUCGACACUUUCCAUCACAAAGAAGUCGAGCUUACUCACUUUCGGCUCAAACAAACUCUUGUUCCACAUACGUUCUUUCCGACGCUAAAGGGUUAUGUUCUAAAUUCUCCGCCUUUCAUCUGAAGGUUGUUGAGUGGGCUGGUGCUUCUAAACAUCAACGCUCCGUUUGGAUGGUGAUGUCCAACAGCUUCAAUUCAUGGUUGGAUGGUGAAGUGGCCAAUUGCACACAUUACACGUGUAUAUUUUUUAUACUUUGUUGUCCACGAUUUUAGUUGAACUAUCUAUGAGACAACCAACUGUGGACAUUUUUAAAUGACUCGUCAUUCAAUUUCUUAACAUGUCAAAUUUCAUCUUGGGCGAGGAGUGAAGUAUGUGCAUUGGACCAGAAAGAAUGAAGUAUGUUUGUGAGGGAUUAGAGAAGAAUAGCUGCUCCUGAUGGUGGCGUAGAGGAGGGCGCGCAUGCACACGCACACUGAGCACACACACAUAGCAACCCAUUCGACCGUGCUACUGGUCGCCUUUCCCUCUCUGGACAUAAUUGUUUCCAACACCCAUACCCAGCAGGCGCCCCUGCCGCCGCCUAUUCCAUUCCGUGCAGUGCCUUCCCGCUGCUUGUUGCCGCCCCGUCAGAGACAGCUCCAACAGCAAAAUAAUAACACAGUUACCAACAAUAAAAAUAUCAAUUAACAGAAUUACCAACAGCAAAAACAACAAGCAUAUUUGAUGCUGAUACCAUAAAAGGCAUGAAAAUGACCCACAAGUCAUCUUUAUCUAAUUUUAAAGCAUCAACCACAACUCGCAGCAAGGUCAAUGGAUUUCAAAAAGGAACUUCGGAUUUCAAUCAGCUUGAAAAAAAACAUGGUGCCAACCAUGAGUCUUGUUUGACGAACAGAGUACCACUGAGAGAGCUAAGUAACACAAAGCCCCAAUCUAAGACACAUACAUCAAAUAAGCCAAUAUAAAGAGGCCUUCUGAAAUCACCAGCUUCUAGAGAGCUUGCUAGUCUUUUUAGGGGUGAAAUAUCUGCAGUUCUGCAAUAAAGCAGGCGGAAAAAGAGAAAUAUGUCCACCGUCCGUGUUCUAUUCGGCCAAAGUAUGGACUAUCAAAGUCAAAAAAGAUAGUUUGGUCCCUCAACCUUUUUGGACAUUGACAGGUAAUUGAAGACAGCAUGGUGUGACUGAGCAUACAUUUCAUCCCUCAGCGCUUGACAGAGUCUCGAUUUGGUCCCUCAACUUUGAAACCGGACAAGGUACACCCUUAACUCUUCAAAUCGGUCAAUUUUCAUCCGUUGUUCUCAAGACUUCAUCAUCGGCAUACGCUUCUUUGAGAUCAAGGGACGAAACUUGUCUGGUUUGAAGAGUUAAGGCUGCAACUCGUCCGGUUUUUGAGUUGAGGGAUCAAAUCUAGACUUUGUCAAGAAUUGAGGGACGACUAGUAUACCUUUAUCUUUGGAUCGCCAGUGGUAAUAACUAUUUCAGAGGCUACUCACUCAUUGCUGAAAAGUUCCCUCGUACAAGGAACAUGCUAGAAGCAAUAGCAUCGGGUAAAGGGGGCACCCGGGUGCUAUCACACCUUUUUGAUACCAUAGGCAUACCAAUGGUCACACCAUUAUGGAUUGAAUGAUGUGGAGAAGGUAGGUGCUUCAUUGAUAGAAAAAAAACGUAAUGAGGAUACAAAGAAGGAAAAGGAGCAAAAGUUCAGCAUACACGCCUCACUAGGCCAUGCCUGCAAAAAGUCACCGUCAGAGGUUAGUGUCUAGCAUUGAAGAUUUUAGUCAAAAUAGCAAAAUAAAUAGUAGCAGAGAACAAUUAUAAGCUAGUUUAUUGAGAUCUUCAUUUUGUCCCCCAAAUUCAUUGAGUACUAAUCAAGCGAAAUGCUAAGCCUAUCAAGGAGCUUCUGAAAUGUUUACUAGUGGCAAUUGGUUAUCCUACCUCCUUUUUUUUCAUAGUAAUUGGUUAUCAUAACUCUAUCGAUGACAAGGUCCUUUUUGUUUUGGUAGUGAUCCGCAUACAAUUUAAGGCUUAAAUACACCAUUACAAGGUCCAUUUGGAGGUUUAAAUAUAUUUUUUCACUGUUGUCAUGCAUGCAAUUUACGACUUAAAUACACAAUUUUCAGUUUUCUUAACUUGCUUUUAUGCCAAUUAUGUUUUGCUAGCUUGCCAGCUGUUGGAGAGGAUCACAUUGUCUAUGAUCAAGAACAAGAAUUUUGGAAGGUGCCUUUGUUAGAACUAAUCUUGUCAGAUGAAUAUGCAUUAAGUCUUGGGACAAUCCUAUCGCCGGGUCCGUUGGAGGGCAUAUAAGGGAAACUCAGGAGACUGCACGACCAUGUGCUCUCGAUUGAGAUAAGACUUCUUGCCUCGCAGGAUCCAGGAUAUCCGCAAUACCCGGUUCGUGUGCCUCAAGGGAAGUGCUACGUUGACACACUGCCCGCGGAGGUGUUCUUCGUGCGGUUUGAUUAUAUCUUUGAGAUCUUUCUCACGGGGCGGCUCGAUUUUACAAUUGUCCGCCUUUUUGCGCUACAUAUGAGCUUUGUAAUAAGGAGAUAACAAAUCCCACAAAUCUAUGUGGCGGAUCCAUACUACAUGCACGAGUCCUUCUUGAGUCUCGGCAACUUUGAGCAUAAAACUACUAGGAACUUCUGUACAACCAUUUUGUACAUUUCAAUCAUUUCUUUUCGCUCAUAUAGACAAUAAUUAGAGGUGUUUUCUUUUUCCCGCAACAAUGGGCGCGCCGUCCUUAUCGUUCUUUUGCCGGAGUCUCCCAUGCGGUGUAUUUCAACGCAUCCAAAAACGACGAGAAGAAGGACUACACUCAAAUAAUGGAUAUUCUGGAUGAUGCUCUCUAUAGCUUCAGCCUGAAGGGUGGCCACCUCGAGAUCAGGAAAAAAUUGAAGAGAAGGCUAGGUUUCUCACAAAAAAACUACCUUCUGUUGCAUGCAUCAAGCGAAAUCAAGAAGGAAAGAUGGAUUCUACCUUAUCCAUCUCAAGAUGAAGUUCAGAAGGGAUCACCAACAGCUUCGUAUGAAAACCAGAAACAAUGAUCAAAUCCAAAAAUGGGCAGAAUCCUUCUUUCGCAUCCAGAGGUAGAGUGAAAGGGUCUUUAUGAAAGCCGUCUUCUCUUGAUCCACCAGAGCCAUCUUGAUCUGGUGAUAACCUGAGUAUGCAUCCAAAAACACAGCCGCUCGCAACCCGCCAUAGAAUCAAUGACUUGAUCGAUACGAGGGAGAGCGAAAGGGUCUUUUCGGCAUGCCUUGUUAAGGUCAGUGUAGUAAAUGCACAUGCGGAAGGUGCCAUUCUUAUUGAGGACCAAGACCAGGUUGGCCAACCACUCCGGGUGAAAAACCUCCAUAAUGAACCCAGCAGCCAAGAGUCGGGCUACCUCUUCCCCAAUUGCAUUGCGCCUCUCCUCGUUGAAACGACGGAGGUACUGCCGAACUGGCUUCAUCUUGGGAUCUAUAUUAAGGUGGUGCUCAGCGAAUUCUCUCGGUACACCUGGCAUGUAAGAAGGUUUCCAUGCAAAGAUGUCCUGGUUCUCAUGGAUGAAUUCGAUGAGCGCGCUUUCCUAUUUGGGAUCCAGACCCGUCCCAAUAGUGAAUUGCUUGGAAGAGUUGCCAAGCGUGAAAUGAACCAGCUAGUGUCAUCGGUAGGUUUAAACUUAAGGGGCGACUCUGAAUCUAUCAUGGGCUUAUUGAGCGGUGUCAUGUCCGCCGGGUCAACAUUGGCCUAAUGAAACUUGAGUUCCUCGGCAACACAAGCCGACUCAGCAUAGGCAGCAUCUCCUUCUUCACACUCCUGAGCUAUCUUCUGAUCUCCACUUAUCAUGAUGGUUCCUCUAGGGCCUGGCAUUUUCAGCUUGAGGUAGACAUAACACGACCGGGCCAUGAAGCGGGCGUAAGCCGGCCGACCAAAAAGCGCAUGAUAAGGGCUCUUGAUCUUGACCACCUCGAACGUGAGAGACUCGCUCUUGUAGUUAGACUCGGUGCCAAAAGCCACAUUGAGUUGAAUCCGCCCAACAUGAUAUGCCGACUUACUCAGAACGAUGCCGUGGAAAAUCGUGGGGGAAGGCAUCAAGUCGCCUUUAGAGAAAUUCAUUCUUCGAAAAGUGUCAUAGUAUAGGAUGUUGAUACUGCUGCCACCGUCCAUGAGGACUUUGGAGAGGGUAUAGCCCCACACCUGUGGUGCCACAACCAAUGCUGAGAAGCCAGGAGUAUCAACCCGGGGCAGAGAUGACGGGAAAAGGGUGGACGUUUAGAACACGCGCCCAUGUCAUUGAUACAGAGUGAAUAAAUAUAGCGCAUAGAUUGCAUAAAAUAAAAUGAAGAUCAAACAUUGAAGGUGUACAUAUUUCCAGAACUCUUAUAUUUAUAUAAAAAUUCUGUUAAUUACAUCUCCGGGGAGAAAACCCCUGAUUAAGAAUUCNNNNNNNNNNNNNNNNNNNNNNNNNNNNNNNNNNNNNNNNNNNNNNNNNNNNNNNNNNNNNNNNNNNNNNNNNNNNNNNNNNNNNNNNNNNNNNNNNNNNUUUUUUUUUCUCUCUCUUCUUCUCCAUCAAUUACGUGCAACUGACCGAACAUAUGAGGAAAAAUAUGACUGCGCAGACGGACAAAUACGGGACACGUCCGGUCACUCACCCGAUGCGUCCGCGGGCAUAGAUGCUCUAAGCUGCUACAUAUGUUCCAAAUUGUGCGUCAGUUUGGAACAGAUGAGUGUCGCUCUAAUUGCAAUGAGUGAAAACUAAGUAGUGCUGUUGCUUUCUUUAAAGACAUGGUAUUUGCAUGAGUUGUCUAUUACUUAUGUUGUGUUCCUUGUGAAUCCAAGAACCUCAAAAUUUCAUGUGCUUUUGCCCUAUGUUAUUAGAAAUUAAUAACAUAUAUAACUCACUUGUCAGUUGUAAUGCCUCAAGAGUGUAUAUUUCCCUUUUUGAACCUUCUUCAUGUGGGCCCAUCUUGUCAUUGAUACGAGAGCUAUCCUAUGCAUAUGAUUUCAUGUGAUGUCGCUUUGUUUACUCUUCCUUUGCAUGCAUGCAUGCCAUAUCAUUUCAUGUCCUUGUGUUAUGUGUGAUGCCUUGUGAACUUAUGUGUUGGUGUGAUCCAUGAUUGUUGGUGAUGUGAUGUGUUAGCUUGUGUGGAGUAUGCAUGUGAUAGUAGGAAAACAUGUUGGUUUGCACUAGGGUUUACGAAAACUUCCCCCCUCUCUAUUUCAUCUCAAGGUCAAGNNNNNNNNNNNNNNNNNNNNNNNNNNNNNNNNNNNNNNNNNNNNNNNNNNNNNNNNNNNNNNNNNNNNNNNNNNNNNNNNNNNNNNNNNNNNNNNNNNNNUGUUACUUGCCCGAGAUUCGAUCGUCAGUAUCCGUAUACCUAUUUCAAUCUCGUUUACCGGCAAGUCUCUUUACUCGUUCCGUAAUACAAGAUCCCGCAACUUACACUAAGUCACAUUGCUUGCAAGGCUUGUGUGUGAUGUUGUAUUACCGAGUGGGCCCCGAGAUACCUCUCCGUCACACGGAGUGACAAAUCCCAGUCUCGAUCCAUACUAACUCAACGAACACCUUUGGAGAUACCUGUAGAGCAUCUUUAUAGUCACCCAGUUACGUUGCGACGUUUGAUACACACAAAGUAUUCCUCCGGUGUUAGUGAGUUAUAUGAUCUCAUGGUCAUAGGAACAAAUACUUGACACGCAGAAAACAGUAACAACAAAAUGACACGAUCAACAUGCUACGUCUAUUAGUUUGGGUCUAGUCCAUCACGUGAUUCUCCUAAUGACGUGAUCCAGUUAUCAAGCAACAACACCUUGUUCAUAAUCAGAAGACCCUGACUAUCUUUGAUCAACUGGCUAGCCAACUAGAGGCUUGCUAGGGACAGUGUUUUGUCUAUGUAUCCACACAUGUACAUAAGUCUUCAUUCAAUACAAUUAUAGCAUGGAUAAUAAACGAUUAUCUUGAUACANNNNNNNNNNNNNNNNNNNNNNNNNNNNNNNNNNNNNNNNNNNNNNNNNNNNNNNNNNNNNNNNNNNNNNNNNNNNNNNNNNNNNNNNNNNNNNNNNNNNGACAUCAUCGUGUGACGGCGAUCUACACCAACACCUCCGUCAUCUUCACCAACAUCUCCAUCAUCUUCCCCCAUCUAUAUUCAGCGGUUCACUCUCCCGCAACCCGCUGUACCCUUUACUUGAACAUGGUGCUUUAUGCAACAUAUUAUUAUCCAAUGAUGUGUUGCUAUCCUAUGAUGUCUGAGUAGAUUAUCGUUGUCCUAUCGGUGAUUGAUGAAUUGCUAUGAUUGGUUUAAUUUUCUUGUGGUUAUGUUGCUGUCCUUUGGUGCCAUCAUAUGAUUGCACGCGUGGGUCACACCAUAGGGUUAGUUGUAUGUUGAUAGGACUAUGUAUUGGUAGGCUAGAGUGACAGAAGCUUCAAACCUAGCAUAGAAAUUGAUGCAUAUGGGAUUGAAGGGGGACCAAUAUAUCUUAUUGCUAUGGUUGGGUUUUACCUUAAUAAACGUUAGUAGUUGCGGACGCUUGCUAAUAGUUCCAAUAAGUGCAUAGAAUUCCAAGUAAGGGAUGACAUGCUAGCAGAGGCCUCUCCCACAUGAUACUUGCUAUCGAUCUAGUAACGUAAUCAAUUUCUUAGGGACAAUUCCGCAACUCCUACCACCACUUUUCCACACUCGUUAGACACUCGUAGUUGUUUCUUUAUCAAACCAUACCCUAGUUUUAUUUACGUGUUCUUUACUUUCUUGCAAGCCUAUCCUUUCACUCCUACAAAGUACUUCUAGUUUCAUACUUGUUCUAGGUAAAGCGAACGUAAAGUGUGNNNNNNNNNNNNNNNNNNNNNNNNNNNNNNNNNNNNNNNNNNNNNNNNNNNNNNNNNNNNNNNNNNNNNNNNNNNNNNNNNNNNNNNNNNNNNNNNNNNNUUUUUGUUUCCCAUGCAAUGUUCCCCAACACCGGGAAGGUAGCACCUCCCAGUGCCAGCCCGGCGGAGCCUAGUCCCGGACAUGGCGCCUAUCAAGUAGGCUCUCGCCGACCACUCGACGACAAGGAUGCGGGUCGAGCAUCGUCGACGCCGAGACAAAUUCCUAUGAGAGAAUUUUCUUAUCGUUUAAUGUUUUACUUUCAAGUUAUCUUUUGUACAACAAUCAUCUCAUUUGAAUUUAGCUAGCGCCCACUAACCUAUUUUUCUCAACAUGCAAGGAUGACACCUCAUCAAGCAAAUAUACAAUAAUAAAACACUAUAUAUAUAUAUAUAUNNNNNNNNNNNNNNNNNNNNNNNNNNNNNNNNNNNNNNNNNNNNNNNNNNNNNNNNNNNNNNNNNNNNNNNNNNNNNNNNNNNNNNNNNNNNNNNNNNNNNNNNNNNNNNNNNNNNNNNNNNNNNNNNNNNNNNNNNNNNNNNNNNNNNNNNNNNNNNNNNNNNNNNNNNNNNNNNNNNNNNNNNNNNNNNNNNNNNNNNNNNNNNNNNNNNNNNNNNNNNNNNNNNNNNNNNNNNNNNNNNNNNNNNNNNNNNNNNNNNNNNNNNNNNNNNNNNNNNNNNNNNNNNNNNNNNNNNNNNNNNNNNNNNNNNNNNNNNNNNNNNNNNNNNNNNNNNNNNNNNNNNNNNNNNNNNNNNNNNNNNNNNNNNNNNNNNNNNNNNNNNNNNNNNNNNNNNNNNNNNNNNNNNNNNNNNAUAUAUAUAUAUAUAUAUUUCAAAUAUUCCCGCAACAAGUUCGGGGCAUCAUAUAGUUCCUAGCAAGAAUCCUAGCAAGAACCCUAGGCAUGGGGAUGUCUCACGAGAGGCCGGGGUCGGUGUCGGGGUCGGGGCAGGGGUCAACGUCGCCGGGGUCGAGGUAGGGUUGGGGCCGGGGGCGAGGUCACCGGGGAGGACCUGUGGCGUCGGCGGCACAGAGUGGAGAGGGAGAGNNNNNNNNNNNNNNNNNNNNNNNNNNNNNNNNNNNNNNNNNNNNNNNNNNNNNNNNNNNNNNNNNNNNNNNNNNNNNNNNNNNNNNNNNNNNNNNNNNNNUAGGGCGAAUUCACCACUUGACAUCGAAGCAACUCGAAUUACCGUAUUCCAACAAAACAGAGGAUGAGGCUUGCAAAUUAGCCACAACAAACUCAUGAGAGAGAUUUCGUCCGAUAUUUUCAUGGACAGGAUCGCACGGGCUCGAACAUAAUCAUAAUCAGAGGUGUAAUGAAUAGCAUCAAGGAUCUGAACAUAAACUCUUCCACCAAGUAAUCCAACUAGCAUCAACUACAAAGAGUAAUCAACACUACUAGCAACCUUACAAGUACCAAUCGGAGUCGUGAGACGGAGAUUGGUUACAAGAGAUGAACUAGGGAUUGGAGAGGAGAUGGCGCUGAUGAAGAUGCCUCCCCUCCGACGAGAGGAGUGUUGGUGAUGACGAUGGCGACGAUUUCUCCCUCCGGGACGGAAGUUUCCCCGGCGGGAUCGUCCUGCCACAGCUCUAGAUUGGAUCUGCUCAAGUUCCGCCUCGUGGCGGCGGCGAAACCACGAAAAAGCUCCCGAUUGAUUUUUUCUGGAACGAAACCCUUCAUAUAGAAAAAAGGGGCCAGUGGGCCGUCAGGGAGCCGCCACCAGGGGGUGGCGGCUACCAGGCUUGUGGCGCCGUGGUAGCUCCCCUCUGGUACUUCUUUCGCACAGUAUUUUUUAUAUAAUCCCAAAAAAAUCCACGUAAAUUUCCAGGGCAUCUGGAGCUGUUUAAAAUAGUGGACUAAGAUUUGCUCCUUUUUCAGUCCAGAAUUCCAGCUGCCUGAAUUCUCCCUCUUCAAAUAAACCUUGCAAAAUAAGAGAUAAAAGGCAUAAAUAUGGCACCACAAAGUAGUAUAACAAUCAUAAAAUAAUAAAUAUCAACAUGAAAGCAUGAUGCAAAAUGGACGUAUCAAACGGCGUCAGAAAAAUUGUCUUGAUAACCCCCAGGUAUAAGGGAUCGCAACAGUUUUCGAGGGUAGAAUAUUCAACCCAAAUUUAUUGAUUCGCCUCAAGUGGAAGUGAAAGAAUAUUCUCAAGUGUUAGCAGUUGAGUUAUCAAUCAAACCACACCUGAAAGAUUUAGUGUCUGCAACAAAGUAUCAGUAGCAAGGUGGUAUGAUAGCAGAAGUAGCAACAGUAACCAGUAGCAGCAAAGUAACAACAGUAGCAGCAAAGUAACAACAGUAGCAUCAAAGUAACAGCAGUAGCAACAGAGUAACGGCAGCAGCAGUGACAGCAGUAGCAGCAAAGUAACGUAGCAAGGACCAGUAGUAAAAGGCUUGUAGGCAUUGGAUCGGUGAUGGAUGAUUAUGCCGGAUGUGAUUCAUCAUGUAACAACUAUAACACGGAGAGAUAAGUAACUAGCUCCCGUUCGUCAAUCUAAUGUAGGCAUGUAUUCCGUAUGUAGUCAUAUGUGCUUAGGUAAAAGAACUUGCAUGCCAUCUAUUGUCCAUCCCUCCCGUGGCAGCGGGGUCCUAACGGAAAUUACGGGAUAUUAAGGUUCCUUUUUAAUAAAGAACCGGACCAACGCAUUAACACGUGGUGAAUACAUGAACUCCUCAUACUAUGGUCAUCUCCGGGAGUGGUUCCGGCUAUUGUCACUCCGGGGUUGCCGGGUCAUAACACAUAGUAGGUGACUACAACUUGCAAGAUAGGAUCUAAAAUACACAUAUAUUGACGACAACAUAACAGGUUCAGAUCUGAAAUCAUGGCACUCGGGCCCUAGUCACAAGCAUUAAGCAUGACAAAGUAGUAGCAACAUCAAUCUCAGAACAUAGUGGAUAUUAGGUAUCAAUCCCCGUCAAAACUAACUCGAUUACAUGAUAUAUCUCAUCCAACUCAUCACCGUCCAACAAGCCUACGAUGAGAUUACUCACGAACGGUGAAGAACAUCAUGGAAUUGGCGAUGGAGGAAGGUUGAUGAUGACGAUGGAGACGAUUUCCCCUUUCCGGAGCCUAGAACAGACUCCAGAUCCGCCCUCCAGUUGAAGAACAGGAGGUGGCGGCGCCUUCGUAUCGUAAAACGCGAUGAAUCCUUCUCCCUGAUUUUUUUUCUAGGCAAAACGGAAUAUAUAGAGCUGAGAUUGGAGGCGGUGGAGCCUCGUGGGCCCCACAAGCCCUCACGGCGCGGCCUGGGGGGUGGCUGCGCCCCGUGGGCUCGUGGCCCACUGGCUCACCCCCUCCGGUGGAUCUUUGCGCAGAUAUUUUUCAUUAAUUCCAGAAAAAUUCUCCGUAAAUUUUCAGGUCAUUCCGAGAACUUUUAUUUCUGCACAAAAACAACACCAUGGCAAUUUUGCUGAAAACAGCGUUAGUCCGGGUUAGUUCCAUUCAAAUCAUGCAAAUUAGAGUCCAAAACAAAAGCAAAAGAGUUCGGAAAAGUAGAUACACGGAGACGUAUCAGUGGGCGCCAGAUGAAUCGGAAGCGAUGAGGAAGCACUUCUGGGAGAGGCCUGAUGACCCACAAGUAUAGGAACUUGUAACAGUCUUCGAGGGUGGUAUUUCACCCGAAUUUAUUGACUCAACACAAGCGGAGCAAAAGAAUAUUUAUAAGUCUUAGUAAUUAAGUUGUCAAUUUAACCACAACUAAGAAGUAAACUCCCUUUGUAGCAAUUUAUUAGUAGCGUAGUAAUUGCAUGGAGUAAAUACAAUAUUUUGAAAGUGUAUGCAUGGAGUAGCAAGUGUAAUAGUAGCAGUAGUAGUAACUUAAGCAAAUAUAGUAUUAUGAAAGUGUACACAUGGAGUAGCGAUGGAUAUUUGGAUGAAAUUCAUUAUAUAAUAGUCAUAAUCUAGAGCGACACAUAACUAGCUCCAAUCCAUCAAUCGUGUAGGCAUGUAUUCCGUAUAAAGUCAUACAUGUUUGUGAUAAGAACUUGCAUGACAUCUUUUGUUCUACCCUCUCGUGGCGGCGGAGUCAUAAUAGAAACUACGGGUAUUGAUUUGUUGAGAAAAAUCAGUGGGACCAGAGGAGGGAAGGCAUGGAGUGGGAUAGAUGAAUAAAACCAGCCGGCAUUGUGAUGUGGGGGCGAACGAACAACCUACAGAAGUUACCAAAUAUACGAACAAUUGAUUAAAGAUUGAUUGUGAUUCAUUCCUUUUCAUAUAAAAGAUCCCGAAUACACUAAAAAUUGAUUAAAGAUUGAAUAUGAAAAUUAUCAAAUAUAUCAAAAAUUAAUCAAAGAUAGAUCAUGAUUUAUUCCUUUCCAUACAAAAAUUAUCAAAUAUAUAUCAAAAAACGAUCUUAUUGGCAGAUAAAAUCAAUAUACAAAAAUCGUGGGUUAAAAGAAAACCGGACGAAAAAACCGAGAUGAAGGUGGAAGGGGAGACGAAAAAAACCCUCAAGAAGCUAGCAACUUUCCCUUUAAAAGUAAAGAUUUCUGUGUGAAAUCUUCUAUUUCUAAAUAACUAUCAUCCAUUAGCUCUUUUUCUAGACAUGCAACUAUGUCGCAUGAGUAAGUUAUGCAUGCAAGUCAUAAAUUACAUUUUUUUAUGUAUUACUCUAUAUGCAUGCAAGCACCACAUCAUCGAUUCAUGCAUGUUACUCAUAAGUUGUUUUUUUUUGCCUUAGAUUUUGUAUUGCCAAUAUAUGUGUUGGUAGCUUGCAUCAUACAUAUGUAGUUAACAUUUACAUGUUUGUUAGAAAUGUCAAUCUUCUAAUUGCAAUCAUUCUUUUCUCUUUUCAUACCUAUUUUUUCUUCAUUUUUAAGAUUACAUUAUCUUUUCAUUAGUUAUAGAUUUUUUUAGCAGCUUUCAUCCAUUGUUUUAGCAAAUUUUUCCGCGGCAACGCGCUAGAGCAUCAUCUAGUACUAUAGAUAUGCGGGCCAUCCACGCAUCACACGUGCAAGUACCAAAUUUGGAUCAAUUGCCGUAGUGUUUCAUAUGUUUGCUAGAUCGACAUAACUCGCUGCUUAUUGUGUCCAUCAUCAUUAUAUCCUUGGUUGUAUCCAGAGUCGUGUAAACUCUGAUUGUUUGUCAAUAUAAACGAACCGUUUUCGAUAGUACUCCAUCCGUUUCAAAAUAUAAGACCUUUUAGAGAUUUCAUUAAAAGACUAUAUACGGAGUAAAAUGAGUGAAUCUAUAUUCUAAAAUAUGUCUAUGUACAUCCGUAUGUAGUUCAUAGUGCAAUAUCUAAAAUGUUUUAUAUUUAGGAACGGAGGGAGUAGUAGUAACAUAAAAAAAAGUGCAGCACGGAGAUUUUUUCUUCUUCUAGUCGGCUCUGGUUCCACGCAAGCUCUCUCCGACCCGUGCCGAAACAGACGGUAGGUCCUGCGCCGCGCGCAGGGCACCCACCCGGCCGUCGACGAGGGCCGACGGCGAGCCGGCGCAGAAUCAGCGGGAGAGCGAAAGGGAGGACGCGUCGGACGCGAUAUUAUAGCUAGGAGGAGGGGGUGGGCCCCGCGGGGAAUCAGUUGGUGGAGGAGGAGGAGCCAGCCCCACCCCACCACACCACACGCCAAUUCGCGAGACUUUUUUUUUUCGAGAAAGCCAAUUCGCGAGGCGGAGGGAGAAAAGAAGCGCUGUCGUCUGCGUCUCGUCUCGUCUCCGGAGUCCGGAGGCCUCCCCUAGAAAAAAGAGAACACCAGACCAGACGGGGAGGGAGGGAGACGCCAAAGCAGACACUUCUCCGCACCGCGCCACACGCAGCACCGCGUCGCGGCAGUGGGCAGGCAGGCAGAUCUCCGCCAUCCACCUCCCCAUCCCCCUCCCCCGCCGCGCCACGGAGGGACGGGCUCUCCCCGCCCCCGCCCCCGCCCCGGCGGAGAUCCCCGCGGAAUCUCGCCGCCGCCGCGCCCGAUCUCGGUUCCGCCGGCCGGCCGCCUGCCCCCGUCGUCCCGGUGCGCGCCUUUCCUUUCCCCGAAUCUCGCGGCUUGCUCGUCUUGUCGUUCGAGGAAAAGAGAAUCCCCGAGAAUCGUUCCUAGGCGUUGCUUGCUCCUCCCCCCUUUGCUCCGCUCCCUCUCGGCUCAACGCUUGUUCGUACCCGACGAGGGUGAUCCAUCCAUGCCGCGUUUGAGUGCGGACCGUGGGCCGGUGGGCGCACGCGUCUGCGGCGCCACCUGGUUGUGUUUUCUGCCGUUUUCGGCAUUGGAAUUAGCAUUUCGUUCGCUGGUGGGGGGGAAUUCGGGCCGAUGCCUUUAUUCGUUUUUCUCCCACCUCUCGUGAUUCCGUUUCCGUUUGUGCUCCUGUCUCUGCUGGACCCACGCACCUUUAGAUUCUGCCUAGCUGUGUAUGAUUGGCUGCGAUGCCAAAUUUGAGCCGGCCCGUCUGUAACGAGAAUCAGAUUACUCCUCGCUUGAUUUUGGUGACAAUUCGAGGUUCAGAGAGUUGAACAUCAUAUAUGGUCCAUAUUCCGCCUGAUUUCCCUUCAGUGCAUAUUUAGAUGAUCAGUCACUUCGGUCUGUUGCAUGGCUACUGCUGUCGAUGAACAUGGUCCUGUGUUCUAGACUUGUUUUAUCAGAGUAGUCUGACAAUCGAUGUUAUUGAAAAAUAUUUCCUGAUCAAUAUUUAUGGCAGAAAGCAAUAUCUCAUGGAUUCUUGAGCUCCACGACUAGUUGCUACGUAGCUUCUAACUGAAGCAAUUUAAGCCUGUUCUGACUUCUCUAACAAUUAUUUUGUCUCAAUAUGUAGCUUUCCAGUAUAUCUGGUGGUUAGGAUUUGGUCAACAUGACUUCGCAGCUAAGCUCGUUGAGCAAAUACAAAUAGUCCUGGUUAUACGUCUAGUAUCUAUCCAUCCUUUCAUGAUAAAUUAUUGAAAAAGGCGCAUCUACUUUUGAGUCACUUUCUGCUUCCAAACAUAACAAAAGAAAUUGAGCUGCAAAAGCUUGGGCAAUGAUACAUUUUUCGUUUCCUUUUCAAUACAUACAUGGUACUAUUUUCUUGCAUGAGGAUGCAUCGAUUAUGAGGUCUCAUUUUGGCUGUUUACUUCUUCUUUUUUCAGAGCCAAUACCAGGACUGUACAUCUACACCUCAAAAUGAUGAUGGGGUUGCUGGCAUUUGAGAACAACCAGGGGCUCUGGAAUGGCGGAUAUUAUUCACAGUUUUUUGGGAUUGGAGGAGUUAUGGUGACUGUUGCAAUUCUUUGGUUAUCUACGGGUUAUUUUGGAGGAAUUGGUGCUCCUUUUGCUCCAUACUUUUGGCCAUAUUUAGGACAACUCCCCAAAAAGAAGGAACGACAAAGGCCCGUGAGAGUGUACAUGGAUGGGUGCUUUGACCUCAUGCACUACGGCCACGCAAACGCAUUGCGACAGGCCAAGUUGCUGGGAGAUCAACUGGUAGUUGGUGUUGUCAGUGAUGAGGAGAUUGUGGCGAAUAAGGGCCCGCCUGUGCUUUCGAUGGAAGAGAGGUACUACUGAUGCUACUUUCCUUGUCAUGUGAAAUUCAUUAUUCUGUUUCAACAGAGCGUGCUGAUGCCGCAAACAAUAGGAUUAGCUCGUCAAAUCAAUUACGAGUAUGUGAUAUUAUCUGAAAAUUUCCUCAAUACCUGGACUUCCUGGAUAUCAUUAUUUGCUUGAUCUUUGAUUGCAAAUUAACUAUAAUAGCUAGGAUUCUCGGCUAAUCUUCUCAUGCAUAAUACAAGAUCUGCUGAUUCAUUUCGCGAAUGCUCAACUAUAUCGUCGAUGAAGUUAUAUUACCUUUAGGCAUGCCUUGAAGGAUAUAAAUUUCAGACUAAAAAAUAUUGAGAUGAUCUAGUUCUUUCUUAUUUUUGCAGCAACUGUAAAUUACUAAGCUUUGCUAGAUGUACAGGGUCCUAGUCUUUCAUUUGAACUUACUAUUCUGUGUGAAUGUAUGUUUGUACCCCUUAGGUUGACGCUUGUUAGUGGAUUAAAGUGGGUGGAUGAAGUCAUACCCAAUGCACCCUAUGAGAUCACAGAGGAAUUUAUGAAUACCCUCUUCAGUAAAUACAACAUUGAUUACAUUAUACAUGGAGAUGAUCCUUGUCUUCUACCUGAUGGAACGGAUGCUUAUGCCUUAGCAAAGAAGGCUGGACGAUACAAGCAAAUCAGGCGUACUGAAGGAGUCUCAAGCACCGAUAUAGUCGGUAAGAUUACCAUGUGGAUUAGUAAAGCCACUUAUUUUGGGGAUCAGAUAUUCUCUUGCUGUAUAUUAUUUGCAGCCUUGUAUCAGAGCAGAUCAUGCAUUUCUUGAGAAUAUUUUUCACACACGUCAUAGAUGAUGUCGUUUUUGUCCAUUGCAAUCUUACAUGAGAACAAUUUCUGUCCACAUAGGUAGAAUAUUGCAAACAUUCAAGCAUAAAGAGGGUGUUAACGAGAAUGCUGGCGUGGAAUCAUGCGAUCAGAUGAAAACCCAGCUAUCCAAUUUUCUUCCAACUUCCCGCCGGAUAAUGCAGUUUUCAAAUGGGCAGGUAUGAUAAUUUCAGAAACUCCAUCCCCAAGGCUAAUGUUGCUUAUUGUUCUUCCUUCAUUUGAUCAGUCUUCUAAGGAACACAAAGAAAAUGACCUGCUAUAUCUUUGUCUAUGAAUGUAACUAGAUGUAAAAAUACUGCUUAAUGCUUUCCACUGUACCGUAUUAAUCAUGGCCUUAAUGCCUACCAUUUCCAGAAGAACAUUUACAGUUCAAUUUUACAUGUUUCUAUGACGAUGCCCUUCUGUUGCAUUUAUUGAAACAUAUGCUCAUGUGUGUUCAGGCUCCUUCGCCAGGUGCUCGUGUUGUUUAUAUAGAUGGUGCAUUUGACCUUUUCCAUGCUGGUCAUGUUGAGGUACCUUCUGUGGUUCUCAUGCAAAUAAUUUUCUCAAUAACUCACAAAGUUUGAUUUUUGGUAUGGUUCAUAUUUUUCCAUUUAACAUAUUUGAUGUUAUUGUCUAAUGCAGAUCCUUAGAAGUGCUAGGCAACUUGGUGACUUCCUUCUUGUUGGUGUUCAUGAUGACCAGUCCAUCAGGUGCUUAUUUAACAUCUUUUCUUGGAUUAUUAAGGGAACCUGUUGACCAUAUAUUUUGUGUUGCUACAGAAAACACAUGUAGCCAGUAUUGUAUUGUAUAAGGUUAGAUACGAUGCUUAUGAGAACCAGUUGUGCAGGGAAAAAAGAGGCUAUCCUCCUAUCAUGCACCUCCAUGAGCGUACCCUUGGUGUACUUGCCUGUCGCUAUGUUGACGAAGUUAUAAUAGGCGCACCAUGGGAGGUUUCAAGGGAUAUGGUAUGUUAUACAUUUAUAUAAGUUGUUUCAAUCUAGUAUUUCUUGUACCUGACUGAAUAAGGUUCAAGCAUAUGGUUCCAAGAAUGAUUGUAUUGUAUAAGAUGCAGAGAUGUUUGUUGUUACCAGACCCUCACACCGUUUCUUUUGUCACAUGACGCAGAUCACUACAUUCAACAUUUCAUUGGUUGUGCAUGGGACAGUAACCGAGGGUGGUUCUGCUGUAAGUUCUUAAUUACAGUCUAAUGUAUCCUGAUGGCAAGUCUAAAUUAGUUGCACAAACUAAACUUGAAACUUCAUGGACGUAUUGCUGCAGAGUGAAGUUGAUCCGUAUGCCCUUCCAAAGAAUAUGGGUAUUUUCCAAGUAGUCACAAGCCCCAAAACAAUAACAUCUGUUUCGGUCGCUACAAGAAUAAUUGAUAACCAUGAAGCGUACAAGGUAUACACUCCAGUGUGACUUGCCUGACAAAUACAAAUUUCUUUUUCUAUUUAGUCUGUUUAUAAGUCCCGUUUAUCCAUACUAAACAUUACUCUUGGGGUCUGUGAACAGAAAAGAAACUUGAAAAAGAAGGCGAGUGAGGACAAGUACUACACGCAAAAGAAAUUUGUCUACGGAGACUAAUGCUGCAAAGGAGCUUACAGUUUUGCUGCAAGCUGAGGAAAUUCAUGGUGCCUCUGUACUAAAGAGUUAUUCUAUAACAGAUUGCAACAAUUGCUCAGCUAUAGAAAGUAGUCAGUGAUAAGUUGAUGGCCAUUCGGCAAAGGGAAUCAGCUCAAGGAAAUAAAUUAACAGACUGCCAGUCUUCUACUGUUGCCCUUUUUCGGCUGGAAUGUCCACUUAACAGCAAGAAUUCACAUACAUGAUUCUUUUUUUACUUUAUUAUCCCUGGAGGGGAAAUAUUCAUCGCUGAACACCUUCAGCAGACCAUUGUUGUAUUCUUGUAUGUUAUUACUUAAGGGUUUGUGAAGUGAUUAGAGUUGCAUACUUUCUAAUUGUACUAAGUUAUAGUUUAAAGUAUAUAUACUGCUGAGAAACAACCUAGUGAUGAUCUGUUGACAUUUGAUUGAUUUGUGUAACCAGAGAAGGUUAUGUUCAGCCCUUGUGCAUUGGUAUUUGGUGUUAACUGCUUACCACGGUGCACUGGAGAUUUAUUAUCUGUGCUGAAUGUCAUAGUAUUUGUACUUACUAACAGAAAUAUCAGUACUUCCUCCGUAGAGAAAUAUAAGAAAGUUUAGAUCACUACUUUAGUGAUCUAAACACUUCUAUAUUUCUUUACAGAGGGAAUAUUAUUAGCUGAGCUGAGUAGGUCCAUAUGUAAGUACCCCAAAAGAUUUUGCCUGGUCUUUUGUUAAUUGAUUGGGCGAUUCUCUUCUUGUUAAUUAAUGGAUGAGGCAAUCUUUUGCCUCUACUUGAAUAUGUAUAUGUUGAUAUAUUUUCCUGUAGAUUUGGUUAAACUUCACAUGAAAUUUGACUCCGGACAAGCUUAGAACUUCAAUUAAUUUAGAAUGGAGGGAGUAGAGCUCAUGAAAGAAAAUAUGUUUUACAAGGUACAUCAGUUACCAUACAUGUAGUUCGAUCUUCUAAGGAUAAAGAAAUGUAAGAUAUAUAGGUUGGCCACCACCUCAACAUCCUCCCUCUUCAUGUUCAUCGGCACUAGAGUGCUUAUAGCUUAAGAAUCCUAAUUAGCAGGAUGCAUCAAGGACAUAAGCCUUCUCUACACCAAUGAGGACAAUCCUCAGUUUAUGGACCCAGUUCGCAUAAUUGCUACUACCAUCUUUCAACUUAGUUUUUUUCUAGAAAUGUAUCAAAAUGCAGGGGACCUACAGCACGAUCUAUUGAUAUGCAACAUAAUUUGCAAAGACAUUUUGACUAUGUUCAUGAUAAUGAGUUCGAUUAACCAUAUUACUAAAUAACUCUCACUCAAAUCAACAUCCCUCAUGUUGUCUAAGUGUGACAUGAUCCAAACCACCAACCCAAGUUCGAUCAUCACGUGAGACGAGGUGGUUAUGACUCGUGUUCGACUUUUCGGUCUCCUGUGUUCGGAGGCCAUGUCUAUACAUGCUAGACUCGUCAAGUUUAACCCAAGUAUUCCGCGUGUGUAAAUCCAGCUUACACCCAUUGUAUGCAAACAUACAGGCUAUCACACCCGAUCAUCACGAGGUGCUUCGAAAUGAUGAACCUUCACAACGGUGCAUACUUGGGGAGAACACAAUUUUAUCUGGAAAUUUUAGUGAGGGAUCAUCUCAUAAUGCUACCGCCGACCUAAGAAAAAUAAGAUGCAUAAAGGAUAAACAUCACAUGCAAAUCAUAUAAGUGACAUGAUAUGGCCAUCAUCAUUUUGUGCUUUUGAUCUCCAUCUCCAAAGCACCGACAUGAUCUCCAUCGUCACCGGCAUGACACCAUGAUCUCCAUCAUCGUGUCGUCAUGUGGUUGUCGCACGAUGUCUACUAUGCAACUAUAUUCUCGUAGACGUUGUUUGGCCUCCAAGUGCAAAGUUUUGUAGGACAUCAACAAAUUUCCUUCAAGUGAAUGACCUAAGGUUUAUCAAUCCGUGGAAGAUGUACGAUGAAGAUGGUCUCUCGCAAACAAACCUGCAAUCAAAUACAAGAAAUCUUUUGUGUCCCCAACACACACAAUACAAUGACAAAUUGUAUAGGUGCACUAGUUCGACGAAGUGAUGGUUAUACAAGUGUAGUAUGGAUAGUAGAUAUAGGUUUUUGUAAUCUGAAAAUAUAAAAACAACAAGGUAGCAAGUGUAAAACAGUGAGAAAAACGUUGUAUAAUGCUUGGUAACAAGGCCUAGGGUUCAUACUUUCACUAGUGCAAUCUCUCAACAAUGCUAACAUAGUAGAAUCAUAUGGGCAUUCCUCAACGUGCAACAAAGAAUCACUCCAAAGUUCCUAUCUAGUGGAGAACAAUAAGAUGAAAUUGGUGUAGAUAGUAGAACCACCUCAAAGUUAUUCUUUCUGAUCAAUCUUUUGAGCUAUUCCUAUAUGUGUCACAAACAUCCCUAGAGUUCGUACUAGAAUAACACCCAUGAUACAUAUCUAUCAACCCUAACCUAGAUACUCCAAUGUCACCUCAAGUAUCCGUGGGCAAAUUAUGAGACAUGCAUCAAACAAUUUUAGAUUUAUCAUAUUCAAUCCAACACAAAGAACUUCAAGGAUCACCCCAAGAUUUCUAUCGGAGAACAUAGUAUGAAAAUGUGCAAUCAACCCCUAUGCAUAUAUUCGCAAGGUCACCGGAAUCCGCAAGUUGAUGGCAUAACAUAUAUCAAGUGAAUCACUUGAAUACCCCAAUGUCACUACGGGUAUUCGCAUGCAAGACAUACAUCAAGUGUUCUCAAACCAAAAAAUUCAAUCCAACAUAACAAGAUCUUAAAGGGAAAGAUUCAAUUCAUCACAACAAGGUAGCAAGGGAAUAACAUCAUAUGUCCAACUAGAUUAACAAGGCCUGUGAUACAUCAAGAUCGUGCCAUCUCAAGAACAUGAGUGAAAGAGAGAGAGAGAGAGAGAGAGAGAGAGAUUUAAGUCAUAGCUACUGGUACAUACCCUCAGCCCCGAGGGUGAACUACUCCCUCCUCGUCAUAGCCUCCACUGGGAUGAUGAAGAUGGCCGUCGGAGAUGAUUUCCCCUCUCCGGUGGGGUACUCGAAAGGCUCCGGAUGGGUUUUUCGUCCAUAAAAAGAGUUGCAAUGGUGGAGCGGAAGUUCUCUCUUUAUUUCUGGAGUUUCUGGUAUAUAAUGGAUUUUCACCGUUGGAAUCACGCCAAACGGAGCCACGCCCCCCCGAGCCAUCAGGGCGCAGCCUAGGGGCGCCCUGUUGGCUAGUGGUACAUAGGUGGCUCCCCUCCGGUGGUUCUUCGCUCCAAUAUUUCUUAUUUCCUUCAGAAAAAAUUAUAAAAAAGUUUCGGGCGAUUCCAAGAAAUUUCAUUUUCUGCACAAAAACAACACCAUGACAAUUCUGCUGAAAACAACAUCAAUCCGAGUUAGUUCUAAAUAAAUCAUAUAAAGUGCAUUAAAACCAUAUAAAAGUGUUGGAAAUAGAGGCAAACAUGGCAUGAAUACUUCAUAAAUUAUCGAUACGUUGGAGACGUAUCAGCAUCCCCAAGCGUAAGUCUUACUCGUCCUCGAGUAGGUAAAUGAUAAAAAUAAUAAUUUAUGAAUUGUGAAUGCUAGCAUAGUGUAUAAGUUUGAUCAAUGAUAAUUCCAAUCACUUUUUCUAGCAUUAUAAUCAGCUACUUUUUCAUAAAAAUCAUCAUGGUUGAGUAGCAAUCAAUUGACAUGUCAUGGUUCAAACAAUGCAUUCUCUCGAAACUCAACAACCCAUGUUCUUAGUCACCAAACAAUUUCAAUCCGUCAUCAAGUCUAAGUAAUAGCUCCACAUGCUCAAUUAUCAUACAGUCUUCAAUGCUUGCUAAUAUUCAAGGCAUAUUUUUAGAACAAACAACAUCCAUCAAACAGAGAGAAAGAUAGGGGCUUAAUGUUUUGCCUCCCAACGUACUUAUCAUAAAGAUAAUUGUCAACAAUAAUUAAUCAUGAUCAAAUAUAUUUGACUAGAUAUAUAUAUAGUUGGAUAUUCCCCACCACAUGAUGCUUACUGAUACUCGUGAUUUGCGUUGGGUUUUCCGUGAAGAUAAAUAGGUUAUCGCAACAUAAAUUGGGUAAGUAUUUCUCUUAGUUAUGAAACCAAGGUUUAUCGAACCAAUAGGAAUAUCAACCACAACCGUCUUCAACGGCUGCACACAAAAGAACAAACAACUUGCACCCAACGUGUGCAAGAGGGUUGUUAGUCCUCUUGUCUUGUUUUUUUGCAAGCAAGUGAGGUGUGUAGAUAAUUGUAGAUAGCAAGAUAAAAUAAAAACAAGGUAAUAACAACAAGGAAAUAAAGGUUUUUUCAAUAUGUUGUGAAUAGACCCGGGGGCCAUAGCUUUCCCUAAUGACAUCUCUCAUGGAAAAUACCAUGCGGCGGGUAAACAAAUUACUAUUGGGAAAUUGACAGAAAAGCUGAUAGUUAUGCGAUAUCCUCGACAAUGAUCAUGUGUAUAUAGGCAUCACGUCCAUAAAGAAAUAGGCCGACUCGUGCCUAAACCUGUUACUAUGAUUUCACUUCAAGAGUGUCUAUGCUUGCCUCUCUACGUAUUAAGUUCAUGACGAACAAAGUAAUGCAUGUAGUAAGAUGACAUGAUGUAGAAAAAGUAAACUCAAGCAAUAUGAAUAAACCUCAUCAUUUUAUCCUUAGAAGCAGCAACACAAAGACGCAUCUUGUCCCCUUCUGUCAGUGGGAUAUAGAAAUGUCACGCCCAAGAUGCGAUCCUAUCCUCAAUUUGGCACGAAGGCCUCGUGAGGGAUAGAAGCGAAUCUCUUCGUGUCGCAAGAAUGGAUAUCGUUACAAGUACAUGUACUGAAAAGAAGAUAUAUAUAUAUAUAUAUAUAUAGAAUUGGCUUACACUCGCCACAAGCUACAUCAGAGUCACAUCAGUACAUUACAUAAUCAUCAAGAGUAAGAGCAGGGUCCGACUACGGACGAAAACAAACGACAAAAGAAGAACGACGUCCAUCCUUGCUAUCCCAGGCUGCCGGCCUGGAACCCAUCCUAGAUCGAUGAAGAAGAAGAAGAAGCAACUCCAAAUGAACAAUCAACGCGCUCACGUCAAGUAACCUUUACCUGUACCUGCAACUGGUGUUGUAGUAAUCUGUGAGCCACAGGGGACUCAGCAAUCUCAUUUCCAAAGGUAUCAAGACUAGCAAAGCUUAUUGGGUGAGGUAUGGUUAAGUGGUGAGGUUGCAGCAGCGGCUAAGCAUAUAUGAGGUGGCUAACUUACGAGUACAAGAAAUAAGAGGGGGAAGAUCUACGCAUAACGGACGUGAACCACUGAUGAUCAAAUGAAUGACCCUGAACACCUACCUACGUCAGACAUAACCCCACCGUGUCCUCGACCGGAGAAGGAACUCACGAAAGAGACAAUCACGGUUACGCACACAGUUGGCAAGUUUUAAUUAAGUUAAUUUCAUGUUAUCUAGAACCAGUGUUAAACAAAGUUUCCACGUUGCCACAUAACCGCGGGCACGACUUUCCGAAAAGAUUUAACCCUGCAGGGGUGCUUCAACUAGUCCAUCACAAAUUACCACAAGCCGCAUAGAAAUCCUCAAUCACGAAGCUCGCGAUCUCGUCGGAUUUCCUAGUGGAAAACCUCAACUCUGAGAUUACCCAAAGCUUCACCGGAAUCCCGAUGCACAAGAUAUCUCGUCAAAGGUAAAACUAAUCCAGCAAGGCCACCCGGUGUGUCGACGAACCCGAUAGGAGCCGCGUAUCUCGUUCUCAGGACACACCGUCUAUGCAUAGUGGACGGUAGCCAAACCUCGAGUUGCCCCAUGGUGGCACCGCCGACUGCUAGGUGGGUGGACCAACACUCAUGCGGAGCACUGACCCGGGGGUUGAUUAAAUUAUCCUCGGGGUCCGGAAAGUCCCUAUGCAAUUUUAUUAGGUGAUUAGGCAAAUGUAGUACCAAAGUUGGGCCUUGCCAGACCAGCUUUAAUCUAAAACGAAUUAUCAAGGGGGUCCCCAUAACAACCCCGAUCGUGUAAGGAGCGCUCAUUUAUGGAACAUAACACCGGUAGCCGGAAACUAAGGGGGCAAAGGUGGAACAAAACACCAGGCUAGAAAGGCCGAGCCUUCCACCUUUUACCAAAUAUAUAGGUGCAUUAAAUUAGAUAGCAUUUGAUAUGGUGAUAUAACAAGGAACCCAUGCUUUCACAUGGAAGCAACUGCACCUGCAACUAGCAACGCUAACAACAGGGUUAAGCAAGCAGUAACAUAGCCAAUCAGUGGUUUGCUAGGUCGAACAGGUUGAAGGUUAACGUGGCUUUGUUGAGAGGCUGAUAUUUAACAUGUGGUAGGCAACGAGGCAUAAACGGUAGCAACGGUAAAACUAGCAUGGCAAUGAUAGUAAUGGUAUCUGGGGAAAUGAUCAUCUUGCCUGAGAUCCCGCUUGGAAGAAGAAUGCCUCCGUGAAGCAGACGAACCGAUGUAGUCGAACGGGUCCUCACAAUCCGACACGUUGCGGAACUCUAUCGAGACGAAGCAAACCGGAAGCACAAAUCAACAUAUGGAAUUCACCACACGUUGCACAACACAAAUGAUGCAUGAGCAGCUGAAUACAUGUAAGUCACAUCAUGACAAUUCACACAAACAGACACUACACAUUAAGUGAAGUUCAAUAUGCAACGAGUUGCAUAUUGACGAAACUCCACGUUAAUUAUUUAGUUCUAUCCCGAUUAAGUACACGGCAAUAUUAAAUGUUGUUAACAUGGAAAGGGGUGAUGCACAAGUUAAUCUACCUAUCUAGGCAUUUUAAAUGAGGCCGGAAACAACUUAUAACAUCUCCGAGAUGACCCCACGCGUUAAUUUACAAUUCUGUCCAGAUCUGAACUAACACAUUUAAUUAGUUGUUAAACAGAAAAACAAAUAGGUUCACGUGAUUCUACGCGUCAUGGCAAGCAAUUUACACAUAGAGAUCAUCUCCAACGGAGCUACGGAUCAAAAGUUACAAUCACCGCAAGAUAUGAUGGCAUGAAUGCAAUAUGUGUGCAACGACGGCUACGAGCACUUCAAAACAUACAAACAGCAAGAGAAAAUGAAACUACACAAGACUCUAAGCAAUUUUCAUGUAGGACACGAUCAAAUCGGAGCUACGGUUCAAAAAACUACGAGCAAAACAAGAAAUGACUACAAUCUGCCAAAAUCAGCCACAUAGCACUUUCUAUACCCCACAACUACGGCUACACAACUCCGAUAUGCUCAAGCAAGGCAUGGCACGGAAGAGGGAAAGAAGCAUUACUACAAACAACUAACAACAACUAGCAUGGCAGCAAGGAGCACUAGGAAAAGAAGACACAAAAUGACAUCUCACACACUAUUUCAGACUUAGUGAAAAUUACACCUCAUGAAAGUGCACUUUUCGAUCUGAAGCUAUAUUGAUAGCAGCAAAACCUAUAUCUACAGGACACCAAAUGGCAUGAAAAUUUACAUAAUGCUAGAGAAACACAAGGGGUACAACUAACUCCAUUGGACCAACCUCAAAAGAGUUACAGAUCACAAGAUGCAAGCAAGUCAAGACAGCAACAAAAUAAUAACAGAUCUCAGACUUAGAAAUAUUUCAGCUCCUCCAAAUCAGCACUAUUUCUAGCAAAUUGAGGGCAAUCAAAACACACCUAAACAUGCAUUUCUAUUGCGACUAAAAAUACCAGAGGCUAGUCUAAACACCCAAGAACAAUUCCCUAGUUGACAACUUAAGCAAACGGGGCACGGAAUAAAUCCUACGAAAUAAACAAGAGGGCAACAUGGCAAAAUAUCUCGCGAACUAACUUUCUCUAAUGCUAAAACUAAUUGCACAGAAAAAUCCAUGGGAUUUUUCUACCCCGGAAACAUAUAAAAUAUGUGGGGUUGCAACAACAAAAUAUUUCCACACGAAAAUGCGAGAAAAUAACCUAUACACGGGAAAAUAAACUACCGGCAACCCCCUACACGUAAAAAUGCAAAUGACCGCUCUAAAAUACAUGGCAAAUGGGUCCCUAGAGCAUGAACAUUUUAUCUAGGGCAUUCGAGCAAUCCGGACCGCAAGAAAAAAUAAACUACGGGCAAAACAUAUUAGGACAGCACGCUAAACUAUGCAUACGGCAUGCUAAACAACUUCAAAUAAAUAUGAAGUUGUGAAAUCGUGUUCUACUCGCAAAACUACCCCAAAACCGUAUAAAAUACGCUUCAUUCCGACUUACAUAUAGAAAGUUACGGGCAUUUUAAUAUAUGCCUAUAUUCUGGAAUUAGAAAUUCCUAAACCAUGGUAAAUCCCUAAUGGGCCAAAAAGGUCAAGCGCAACAUAGUAAAACGCGCUGGGGCGGGGAAUACCUCACCUGGGCCUAGCCCAGGCCGGCGAGGAGGCAGAGGCAGGCCGGGGCGAUCAGGGCCCAGGCGCAGCGCUGGUGGGCCGCCUGGCCAGGCCGGCCCACGGGGGCGAGGGGCACGCAAGCGCUCGCUGGGCGUCGUUCUCCUCGCGCAGGAGGACUGGUGACAGCCGGGAGACGGCGGGACCGGCGACCUUCGGCGAGGCGCAGCACGGGAGGACCGGGACGGGGCGAGGGCGGCUGGAUCCGGAGGUGGCCGGCCGGAUCUGACGCAGGAGGCUCCGGGGCGGCCGACGAUGCGGACAUGGCGGCUGCGGCUCGCUGCAGCUCGGGGCCAUGGCUAGCAGGGAGGUCGGGCCGAGGCGGCAGCGGCGCGGAGGAGGGUCUGCAUGGGGCGGGUAGGGCCCACGGGACCGCCGGCGAGGUGGUGCGGCGCUCCGGCGGCGACGACGAGGAGGCGGAGGCGACGGGAGGUGCGGGAGCUCGGGCACGGAGAGGAGGCUCGCUGGGGGUGGCGCGAUCCGGGCCCGGGCGGGCCUCGGAUGGGCUCGGCGGGCCCACGGCGGCUGGGGAGAGAGAGGCUGCGGGAGAGAGAGCUAGGGUUAGGUGGGCGGCGCGGAAAUCGAGGUGGAGGGGGGUUGGCUGCCUAAAAUUAAGGAGGAGGUCUAUUUAUAGGGAAAAGGGGGGACUAGGUUAACCGGAAUCGCGCUCCGGAUCCAACCGCGGGGUCGGAUUCGGACGAUUCCGAACGCGGGAACGGGUACGUGGCCGUGUAUGGUGGUAUACCGGAGACGAGAGGGAGAACGGGCGGUGCGACAACGAAUUUUAAAACACCGAUAGACGUCCGACGGUAGACCGAAUACGGUGCCGCUACGGUCGACCGUUCGGGUACCAGACGAACUCCGAUCGCGACGAAAUUCGACAGGCGGCCUACCUAUAUAUAAAUAAUACCGCAUGACAAAUCUCAACCCGAUCAGAGGAAGUUUUACGCACACUUUCAAAACAGGGUUUCGACGGUGCCGCGGGCGCGUGCGAGUGCGGUCGGGCUCAGAACGGACAACGACGAGAACCGGCAACUAACAACGGAUGCAACUUUGAAAACUGACGGCAACGGAGAUGCCGAUGCAAUGCAGAUGAUGCGCAUGAUGCGAUGAUGACACGACAAACGUCGGCAUCGGGCUGUCACAAGAAAUUUGCGAGGUUGAACCUACCACAACACACCUCUCUCACCGAAGAAAUACGAAUCUAGUUGGCCAAACUAUUUCAAUAGAUCGGAGAGAAUUACGAAGCUAUCAUAAUCAUGCACAUAAGAAUCAUAUAAGUAUUCAGAAGUGACUCAAAUAUUUAUCACGAAUAAUCUGAACAUAAACCCAUAAUUAAUCAGAUCCCAACAAACGAACCGCACAAAAGGAAUUACACCAUAUGGAUCAAAGCGAAGAUGUGAUGAUCAUUGUAUUGAACAUCAAAGAGAGAGAUUAACAUCUAGGUACUGACUAUGGACACAUAGGUGUGUGGUAAACUACUCACAUAUCAUCGUGACGAUCAGCGUUGAUGAAGAGGCCCUCCAUGAGCGAUCCCCCCUCCGACAGGGUGCCGGAAUGGAGCUCCAAAUGGCCUCCCGUCAGAACAGAGACUUGCGGUGGCGUAAAAAGUGUUUCGGGACUCCCUCUCGUGUUUUUAGGGUAGAUGAGAAUUUAUAAGUGAAAGAACAGAGUCGAGAGGGCCACAAGGGAGGCACAAGCUAUCAGGGCACACCCCCAGGCCGCACCCUAUUAGCUUGUGGGCCCCUCGUGAGGCCUCCAGCCAUCUUUCGAUGCUCGUUGGUCUUCCUUUGGUCCAUAAAAAAUCAUCAAAAAAUUUGAGGGCAACUAGACCUCGUUUGUUAUUGAGAACCUGCAAAGUGAAAACACGCAGAAAAAACAACUCGCACUGGGCACUGGGUCAAUAGGUUAGUGCUCAAAAAUAAUAUAAAAUGGUAAAUAAAUACCCCGAAAGCAUACUAGAAUGAUAAUAUAUCAGCAUGGAAUGAUAAAAGAUUAUAGAUACGUUGGAGACGUAUCAAGCAUUCCCAAGCUUAAUUCCUGCUCGUCCUCGAGUAGGUAAAUGAUAAAAACAUUUUUUUAUGUGGCAUGCUAUCCAUGAUGUAACCUUAUGCAUGUAUGCUCAUUGAGAAACAAUUAAUUAACAAACAUUAACAUAUCAAUACUUAUAGGUAUAAGCAGCAAAUCAUUAAUCUUUGAAAGUAUACAAUCCUUAAAGAUUGUUUAUCCCCCAUCCAUCUUUAUUAUAUUAGCAAGGCGUGGCUCCAUCUUCACCACAUUAGUACAAAUAUCAAGCACCACGGUGUUCAAGUGAGGAAAUUGAAUCGUACUUUUUCAAUAUGCAUCAACUUUUUAUUCUUCACGCAACACAUGAGCGUGAACCAUUGGACAUAGCAUAAAGGUGGAAUAAAAUAUGGUGUUAGGUUUCAAAGGGGUAAAAGUGGAGAAUAUAGUCUCACAUCAACUAGGCAUACCAACGAGCUAUGGAGAUGCCCAUUGUUAGAUAUCAAUACGAAGAGUAGGGAUUUCCAUGCAAACGAUGCACAAGAGCUAAAGUGUAUGAAAGCUCCAAUGAAGCUAAGUGGGGGUGUGCAUCCAACUUGCUUGCUCAUGAAGACCUCAGGCAUUUGAGGAUGCCCGUCAUCGGAAUAUACAAGCCAAGUUUAUGAAAAAGUGAUUCCCACUAGCAUAAGAAUGAUAUAACAUGAGACUUUCUAUAUGAAGAACAAGGUGCCACUUUGAGGCACAAGUGUGGUAAAGGAUAGUAGCAAAGUCCCUUCUCUAUUUUAUUUAUUAUUACGAUGGACUCAUUUGGCCUCCCCCAUUUUUAUUUACUCACUAGGAUAAUGCUCUAAUAAUGAUGAACAUCACAGUUUUAUUUACUUACAACUCAUCAUGAAAAGUGAUAGGACGAUAUGACUCUGAAUGAAUGCCUCUGGCAGUGUACCAGGAUGUGCAAAGAUCUAGCAUGUUCAUGUAUAAAAACAUGAUGAGUGGUGGCUUUUCCACAAAUACUAUGUGAGCUCUAUAUAAUCAUGCAAAGCAUUAUGAUGAUGAACGAACUAGUCAUGUGAAGCGACGAUGGAAUUUGCAUGGCAAUAUAUCUCGGAAUGGCUAUGAAAAUGCCAUGAUAGGUAGGUAUGGUGGCUGUCUCGAGGAGGAUAUAAAAAGUUUUAUGUGCAACAGAACGUGUCACGUUAUAGGGUUUGUGCACAGACGAAAGUUGCACCGAUCCUCUAGGUGAAAACGGGCAAUGCAUGGUACCGAAGAGGCUAACAAAUAUGAGGAGGUGAGAGUGCGUAUGUACAUGGUGUCACAUUAGUCAUGAAGAACUCAUAUACUUAUUGCAAAGUUUUAUUAGUCUUAUCACAAAUCAAAGUACUACUCGCAUACCUCGAGGGAAAGGGUCGGUAGGAAUUAACCAUCGCGCGUCUCCGACUCAAAAUAACACAAUGAUUUCAACGAGGAAUAGAAAUGCUCACACAUCAUCACCAUGCCUUUUUAAUUUUUUUGAUGAACAAGAAGUUUAACAUCUCUUAAUAUCGACACCUAUCUGAAUUAAUAAUAAUACACUCACACCUUUUUCAUAUCACCACAUCAAUAUCAUUAACCCACAAUUUCUCUAUAUGUGCUACAUGAUGGUUUCCAUCAUCAUUCAUUGAACACUCAUUAUUUUUUAUCUAGUCUUAUGACCCAUGCAAAUUACCGUUACUAUUUGUCUAGCUCUCAAACAAAUAUAAUUGAAGAAUGAGGGCAUAAUAUUUAUAUAAAAUCUACACGCCACCGUGCUCAAAAAGAUAUAAGUGAAGUACUAGAGCAACUUCUAAGCUCAAAAGAUAUAAGUGAAGCACAUAGAAUACUCUAACAAACUGCGAUGAUGUGAUCUCUCUCUCAAAUAGGUAUGUCCAACAAACAAUGAUUGUGGUAUACUUAAAGUAAACACAAAAAAGCAAAUUAUGCUCCAAGAAAAACUCAUAUCAUGUUACGAAUAAAAAUAUAACUCCAAGUAACAUACCGAUGGAUUGAGACGAAAAGAGGGGAUGCCUUCCGAGGCAUCCCCAAGAUUAGAUGCUUGAGUCUUCCCAGAAUAUUACCUCGGGGUGCCUUGGGCACCCCAAGCUUAGGAUUUUUCUGCUCCUCAACCCUUUGUCCAUCGGGACAACACCCAAAACUUGAAAACUUCAAUCACAUAAAACUCAACAAAACUUCGUGAGAACCGUUAGUAUAAGCAUCAUAUCAUAUACUUUCACGUACCGUUACAUAUAGAUUCUUAUUUUAUUUUAGCAUAGUGUAUUGUAUCUUAACUCCUCCAUGGAUUAUAAUCCAUAGCAUCAUCAAAACAAUCAAACUACACAUGCAAAAACAGAAUAUGACUGAAACAGAAUAGUUUGUAGUAAUCUGUAAUGAACCUAUACUUGUGUAAUUACAAAAAAAUCUGAAAAAUCAGGACGACCUGAGGAAUUUGUAUAGAAAUAUUGUGUAACAAAAUCAGCUUAAAAAUACGUUAUAGUAAAAUCAGAGAAAUUCUGCAGUGGACGUCAAAGUUUCUGUUUUUGCACCAUAUCAGUUCUAUUCAUCAUGCAAAUCAUCCCAAAGGCUUUACUUGGCACAAACACUAAUUAAAACAUAAAAAACUCAAUCAUUACAUAGGCAAUAAUCAUGUUAUCACACACUAAAAGAAAUAAAAAGCAAAAAUUAAACAUAAAUAUUGGGUUGCCUCCCAACAAGCGUCAUUGUUUUACGCCCAUAGCUAGGCAUAUUGCAUAGUUUCAAGUGUUAUCAUCUUUGUUCAUAAGAGGUGUAAUAUCCUUUGUAAUCAUGUUUCCCCUAACACAAAUAACAUCAAGCUUUUGUUCUAUGGUAUCAAGCCUUCUAUGCAUAGCAUGACAUUCCCGUGGAUGUUAAGAGGUAGAGUUGAACCCCCCCCCCUAAAAUUAGACUCCAUACUAGUUCUAGCCUCUUUGAUUAACUCAGCUUGGCGGUGGCACACUAGUAUAUCCGGUUCAAUGGUUUCUAUAUUAGGUCGCCCAAAUACACUUUUCAGCUUAUCAUAGGUGUCAAAAGCAUUGUUUCGAAAGAAAUCUUUUUCAACCAUAGACUCCAAGACACGUCUAUGGGAAAGUGAUAAACCAACAUAAAAACUUUUGAGAAGCAAAUUAAUAUGACUCUUAGAAUUAGCUCUAGAUUGUAUUGUUAGUAGUCUAUCCCAAGCUUCCUUGAGCGACACAUCACCUACUUGCUUAAAAUCCAAGAUUGGGAACUUUGUCCAAAGUAAGGACGAAGAGACAUAUCUGUAGUGGAAGUAGCCAUGACGUCAAACACUUAAACUAGAAAGAGAAAAUGUAAUCUAAUGACAAGCAAAACAAGCAAAGAUAAAUAUUUUUGUUUUUUAUGAGAUAAACUAAAUAUAUCAGCAAAUAAAAAGAGGAACAAGUGAAUGAAAUUUUGUGUGGAGUUACUUGGUAGUUGGUGAUGAUGUUCCACGGAAACGGCGUCAGAAAUCCUUCCUGAUACUCAUGAUCUGCGUUGGGUUUUCCGUGAAGAGGAACGGGUUAUCGCAACACAAAGUUGGUGAAAUGUCUAACACUUUUGCUCUUUUUUUGGACUCUAAUUUGCAUGAUUUGAAUGAAACUAACCCGGACUGACAAUAUUUUCAGCACAACUACCGUGCUGUUAUUUUUGUGCAGAAAUAAAAGUUCUCGGAAUGGAACAAAAAAAAUUGGAGAUUUUUUCUGGAACAUAUGAAAAAUACUAGAACCAAGACCCACCAGAGAAGAGGCCACACACGCCCACUAGACAUCAAGGCGCGCCAGGGCCCCCUCGCGCGACCUGGUGUCUAGUAGGGCCCACAUGGCUUUGCUGACCCUAAUUCCAGCACUAUAAAAUCCUAUUUUUGGAGAAAAAAAUCGGAGAGGAAGUUUCAUCGCGUUUCAGGAUAAGGAGCCUCCGCCACCUCAUGUUCUUCAUUGGGGGCCUAAUUUGGAGUCUAUUUGAGGCUCCGGAGAGAGGAAUCUUCGGUCUUCAUCAUCACCAACCCUCCUUCAUUACCAAUUCCAUGAUGCUCUCCACCGAGAGUGAGUAAACACUUCGUAGGCUUGCUGGUUGGUGUAGAGCUCGAUGAGAUUCAUCAUGUAAUCGAGUUAGUUUUGUUAGGCCUUGAUCUCUAGUAUCCACUAUGUUUGGAGAUAGAUGUUGCUAUGACUUUGCUAUGUUUAAUGCUUGUCACUAGGGCCCGAGUGCCACGAUUUCAUAUCUGAACCGUUUAUAUUUUCACCAUUAUAUCUAUGUUCUUGAUCCGAUCUUGCAAGUUACAUGCACCUAUUACGUGUUAGGAUCUACAUACCACAAAGUGACAAUAAUUGGGAUUCUUCCCGGUGAUUACCGUAGUAUGAGGAGUUCAUGUAUUCACUAUGUGUUAAUGCUUUGUUACGGUUCUCUAUUAAAAGGAGGCCUUAAUAUCCCUUAGUUUCCUCGUGGACCCCGCUGCCACGGGAGGGUAGGACAAAAGAUGGCAUGCAAGUUCUUUUCCAUAAGCACGUAUGACUAUUUACGGAAUAAAUGCCUACAUUAUAUCGAUGAAAGGGAGCUAGUUCUGUGUCGCCCUAUGUUGUGACUAUUAUAUGAUGAAUAUUAUCCAGCAAUAUCACCGAUCCAAUGCCUACGAGUUUUCCACAUACUGUUCUUGCUAAGUUACUAGUGUUGCUACUGCUGUUACAACUGCUACAAAACUGCUAUCACUGUUACCGUUAUUGUUGCUACUGUUACCACUGCUAUCAAAACUAUCACAUUACUAUGCUACUAAUCAUUGUGCUGCAGAUACUAAAUGUCCAAGUGUGGUUGAAUUGACAACUCAGCUACUAAUAGCAGCAAAUAUUAUUUGGCUCCCCUUGUGUUGAAUCUAUAAAUUUGGGUUGAAUACCUACCCUCGAAAACUAUCACGAUCCCAUAUACUUGUGGGUUAUCAAGAACGUUUUUCGGCGCCGUUGCCGAGGAGCAUAGCUAUAUUUGCUGAGUCACUUGGGAUAUCUAUUUAUUUAUCACUAUGAAGAAUCUGAAAGAUCCAAGAACCAUGAUUGUGUUGGGUAACGUAGCAUAAAUUCAAAAAAUUUCCUACGCAUAUUUAGAUAUUUAUAAAGACAAAUUUUAGACUAAGUUCAUGACAAUUAAGUUCAUUUAAUCAAAUUAAGUAUGAACUCCCACUUAAAUCGACAUCCCUCUAGUCAUCUAAGUGAUACAUGAUCCAUGUUGACUACCCCGUGUCCGAUCAUCACGUGAGACGGACUAGUCACCAUGGUGAGCAACUUCAUGUUGAUCGUAUUCAACCAUACGACUCAUGUUCGACCUUUCGGUCUCUUGUAUUCGAGGUCAUGUCUGUACAUGCUAAGCUCGUCGAGUCAACCUAGGUGUUUCGCGUGUGUAAAUCUGGCUUACACCCGUUGUAUGCGAACGUUAGAAUCUAUCACACCCGAUCAUCACGUGGUGCUUUGAGACAACGAUCCUUCGCAAAGGUGCACACUUAGGGGAAUAUGUUCUCAAAAUUUUAAGAGGGAUCAUCUUAUUAUGCUACCGUCGUUCUAAGCAAUAAGAUGAAAAACAUGAUAAACAUCACAAUGCAAUCAUAUAGUGACAUGAUAUGGCCAUUAUCAUCUUUGCUCUUUCAAUCUUCAUCUUCACGCAUCGCAUGAUCAUCAUUGUCACCGGCGUGACACCAUGAUCUCCAUCAUCGUGUCUCCAUGAAGUCGUCACGUCAACUACUACUAUCACUACUACUAUAGCUAAUCGUUAGCAAUGAAGUAAACUAGUAAGCACAUGGCGUUGCAUCUCAUACAAUAAAUUAAGACAACUCCUAUGGCUCCUGCCGGUUGUCAUACUCAUUGACAUGCAAGUCGUGAAANUAAGGACCCUUUUCAUCAAAUCCAAUCCGACUAGAGUGGGAGAGACAGACACCCGCUAGCCACCUUUAUGCACAGUGUGCAUGUGUGUCGGUGGAACCAGUCUCACGUAAGCGUACGUGUAAGGUCGGUCCGGGCCGCUUCAUCCCACAAUGCUGCCGGAAAAGAAUAAGACUAGUAGUGGCAAGCAAUUGACAAAUCAUCGCCCACAACCUUUUGUGUUCUACUCGUGCAUAGAAUCUACCAUAGAAAACCUGGCUCGGAUGCCACUUUUGGGUAACGUAGCAUAAAUUCAAAAAAAUUCCUACGCAUAUUCAGAUCUUCCUAUGGAGAGACCAGCAACGAGAGAGGGGGUGAGUGCAUCUUCAUACCUUUGAAUAUCGCUAAGCGGAAGCGUUGCUAGAACGCGGUUGAUGGAGUCGUACUCGCGGCGAUUCAGAUCGCGGUGUGAUUCCGAUCUAGUGCCGAACCACGUCACCUCCGCGUUCAACACACGUGCAGCCCGGUGAUGUCUCCCGCACCUUGAUCCAGCAAGGAGGAGGGAGAGGUUGGGGAAGAUCUCCGGCAGCACGACGGCGUGGUGUCGAUGGAGAGACGAGGUCUCCCGGCACGGCUUCGCCAAGCACUGGCAGAGAGGAGGAGAAAGAAGAGCAGGACUGCGCGAGGGAGAUGGAAAACUCUGUCUAAAACAGCCCCAAAACCCCCACUAUAUAUAGGAGGAGGGGAGGGGGGGGGUGCCACCCCUAGGGUUCCCACCCUAGGUGGUGCGGCAGCCCCCCCAUAUGGGAGGUGCGGCUGCCAGGGCAGGGGGGAGGGGUGGCGCACCCCUAGGCGGGCCUUAGGCCCACCAGCGCCUAGGGUUUCCCCCCUCUCCACCUCAUGCGCCUUGGGCUGAGUGUGGGGGGCGCACCAGCCCACCUAGGGGCUGGUUCCCUCCCGCACUUGGCCCAUCUAGCCUCCCGGGGUCGUGGUCCCCUUCCGAUGGACCCCCGGCGCCACCUCCGGUGGUCCCGGCGGUCCUGGUACGUUUCCGAUGACGCCCGAAACACUUCCGGUGUCCAAAACCAUCCGUCCUAUAUAUCAAUCUUUACCUCUGGACCAUUCCGGAGCUCCUCGUGACGUCCUGGAUCUCAUCUGGGACUCCUAAAAACUUUUGAUAACCUCGUAUAACAAUUCCCUAUAACCCUAGCGUCAUCGAACCUUAAGUGUGUAGACCCUACGGGUUCAGGAGACAGGCAGACAUGACCGAGACACCUCUCCGGCCAAUAACCAUCAGCGGGGUCUGGAUACCCAUGGUGGCUCCCACUUGCUCCAAGAUGAUCUCAUCGGAUGAACCACGAUGUCAAGGAUUCAAUCAAUCCCGUAUACCAUUCCCUUUGUGUGUCGGUAUAGAACUUGCCCGAGAUUCGAUCGUCGGUAUACCUAUACCUUGUUCAAUCUCAUUACUCGUAAGUCUCUUUACUCGUUCCGUAGCACGUUAUCGUGUGACUAACUCCUUAGUCACAUUGAGCUCAUGAUGAUGUUCUAUCCGAGUGGGCCCAGAGAUACCUCUCCGUCACAUGGAGUGACAAAUCCCGAUCUCGAUUCGUACCAACCCAACAGACACUUUCACAGGUACCCGUAGUGCACCUUUAUAGUCACCCAGUUACGUUGUGACGUGUGAUACACCCAAUGCACUCCUACGGUAUCCGGGAGUUGCACAAUCUCACGGUCGAAGGAAAAGACACUUGACAUUAGAAAAGCUUUAGCAUACGAACAAUACGAUCUAGUGCUACGCUUAGGAUUGGGUCUUGUCCAUCACAUCAUUCUCCCAAUGAUGUGAUCUCGUUAUCAAUGACAUCUAAUGCCCAUGACCAGGAAACCAUGAUCAUCUAUUGACCAACGAGCUAGCCAACUAGAGGCUUGCUAGGGACACAUUUUGAUCUAUUUAUUCACACAUGUAUUACUGUUUCCUGUUAAUACAAUUAUAGCAUGAACAAUAGACGAUUAUCAUGAACAAGGAAAUAUGAUAAUAACCAUUUUAUUAUUUCCUCUAGGGCAUAUUUCCAACAAAUUGUUCCCUCUAAGACGAGGGGAGGUAUGGAACUGCCAUCUAGUUGUGCACUUGAUUCACCCUCUAUUUUGAAUAGACUUGCAACACCACAUGCUAUUAAUCCUGAUAUGUCGCAAGCUAUUGAUGAUGCUACCUCUGCUAUGAAUGAUGCUUAUGAUGAUGCUAGUACCUUGCUUGGUGAUACUGUGCCACUAGGUGAAUUUCUUGAUGAACAACUUGCUAGAGCUAAAGAAACUAAGCAUGUUGAAACUGAUGAUACUAUUGAAACUAAUGAAGUCUUUGCAACUGAAAAUAUUGAAAUACCUUUUAGCCACGACUAUCCUAGAACUGAAAUGCCUGAAAUACCCGAAGGUUAUGUUUUGGAUGAAGAAAUUGCUAGAGACUUUCUUGCUUGUAAGGAUAGAGAAGAUCUUAAGAAACUACUUUGCAAGUUGAAAGAAAAAUCCUUGAAUGCUAGAAUGAAAUAUGAUCCUAAGUUUGAUACUUCACCUAUCUUUGUUACCGAUAAGGAUAAUGAAUUCUCUCUCGACCCAGAGAUAAUCACUUUGGUUGAAUAUGAUCCUUUUUAUGUCUAUGAAAUGGAAACUGUUGUGGCACAUCUCACUAAGCUAAAUGAUAUAGCCACCCUAUUUACUAAUGAUGAGAAAAUUCGCUACUACUAUAUCCUCAAGUUAUUUCCGUUCCCAUUAAAGGGUGAUACUAAGAUUUGGUACAAUACGGUUGCUCAUGGUUGUGUGCGUAGUCCCCAGGAUAUGAUUUACUACUUCUCUAAAAAAUAUUUUCCUACUCAUAAGAAACAAGAUGCCUUACACAAAAUAUUUAACUUCGUGCAAAUUGAAGAAGAGAGUCUCCCACAAGCUUGGGGGAGGCUUCUCCAAGUACUUAAUGCCUUGCCAGAUCAUCCUCUUAAGAAAAAUGAGAUACUUGAUAUAUUUUAUAAUGGACUAACCGAUGCUUCUAGGGACCACCUAGAUAGUUGUGUUGGUUGUGUUUUCAAGGAACGGACUGUUGAACAAGCUGAGGAAUUAUUAACUAAUAUAUUGAAGAAUUAUGAUGAAUGGACACUUCGUGAACCACCGCCUAAGCCUACUCCAAAUAAGAGAGGUAUCUUAUUCUUAGUCGUGAAACUAUGCAAGAGGCAAAGAAAUGUAUGAAGGAAAAGGGCAUUAAAGUUGAAGAUGUUAAGAAUUUACCACCUAUCGAAGAAAUCCAUGGUCUCAAAGCACCACCACACGUGGUGGGGGUAAAUUAUCUUUUACAGUUUGAUGAAGGUGACAUCCCUUACAUUAAACAUCCUAGUCAAUGCCUGCUACUUCUCAAACAACAGCGCGAGAAAUUGGCACGUUGACGGAGACUGGGCUUGCGUUGGUUUUUCCCUUGAAGAGGAAAGGGUGAUGCAGCACAGGAGCAGUUAGUAUUUCCCUCAGUUUGAGAACCAAGGUAUCAAUCCAGUAGGAGAAUCUCGUCAAGUCCAGAGUACCUGCGCAAACACAAAAGAGCUUGCACCCAACACUAUAAAGGGGUUGUCAAUCCCUUCAAGAUUGAUUGCAAAGUGAGAUCUGAAGGCGGAAAGGCAACGAAGUAAAAGAGUAAGGCUGAAAAUAUGGUGUGAAGUAGACCCGGGGGGCAUAGUGUUCACUAGAGGCUUCUCUCAAAAUAGCAAAUAAUACGGUGGGUGAACAAAUUACUGUCGAGCAAUUGAUAGAACCGCGUAAAGUCAUGACGAUAUCUAAGGCAAUGAUCAUACAUAUAGGCAUCACGUCUGAGACAAGUAGACCGAUACUUUCUGCAUCUACUACUAUUACUCCACACAUCGACCGCUAUCCAGCAUGCAUCUACUAUAUUGAGUUCAUGACAAACAGAGUAACGCCUUAAGCAAGAUGACAUGAUGUAGAGGGAUAAACUCAAACCAAUUAUGAAAACCCCAUCUUUUUACCCUUGAUUGGAACAACAUGAUGCGUGCAUCGCUACCCCUUCUGUCACUGGGUGAGGUCACCGCACGGUAUGAACCCAAAACCAAGCACUUCUCCCAUUGCAAGAAUCAUAGAUCAAGUUGGCCAAACAAAACCCACAACUCGAAGAGAAUUACAAGGAUAUGAAAUCAUGCAUAUAAGAGAGAUCAGAAGAAACUCAAAUAAGAUUCAUAGAUAAUAUGAUCAUAAAUCCACAAUUCAUCGGAUCUCUACAAACACACCGCAAAAGAAGAUUACAUCGUAUAGAUCUCCAUGAAGAUCAUGGAGAACUUUGUAUUGAAGAUCCAAGAGAGAGAGAAGAAGCAAUCUAGCUACUAGCUAUGGACCCGAAGGUCUAUGGUGAACUACUCACGCAUCAUCGAAGAGGUCAUGGUGUUGAUGAAGAAGCCCUCCGUAUACAAAUCCCCCUUCCGGCAGGGCACCAGAACGUGCCCCAGAUGGGAUCUUGCGGAGACAGAAGCUUGCGGCGGCGGAAAAGUGUUUUCGUGGAUCUCUCGAUUUUUUUAGGGAUUUUAGGGAAUUUAUAGGAGAAGGAGCUAGGGCAUGGGAGGCCCGGGGAGCCCACAAUCCUAGGAGGCGCCCCCCGGGCCGUGCCAUGGGGGCUUGUGGCCUCUCCCGGGACUCCCUGCCUUGGUUCCCAAGCUUUUUGUGUAUCUUCUGUUCCAAAAAAAACUUUUCGGAAGUUUUAUUCCGUUUGGACUCCGUUUAAAAUCCUCCUUUGAAAAUGGUCAAAUACACGGAAAAAACAGGAACUGGCACUUGACACUGAGUUAAUAAGUUAGUCCCAAAAAAAUAUAAAAGGCAUACAAAACAUCCAAAGUUUGACAAGAUAAUAGCAUGAUACCAUAAAAAAUUAUAGAUACGUUGGAGACGUAUCAAGCAUCCCCAAGCUUAACUCCUGCUCGUCCUCGAGUAGGGAAGUGAUAAAGACUGAUUUUUUUAUGUGGAAUGCUACCUAACAUAGUUGUCCUUUGUAACUUCUUUCAUGUGACAUGAAUGUUCAGAUCCGUAAGAUUCAAAACAAUAGUUUUCUAUUGACAUGAAAACAAUAAUACUUCAAGCAAACUAGCAAGGUAAUCAUGAACUUUUGAAAUAACAAGGCCAAAGAAAGUUAUCCCUACAAAAUCAUAUAGUCUGGCUAUGCUCCAUCAUCCCCACACAACUAAUUUAAAUCAUGCAUGAUGUCCCACAAGCGUAUGGGAUCGCAUCAGUUUUUGAGGGUAGAGUAUUCAACCCAAAUUUAUUGAUUCGCUCACAAGGGGAAGCUAAAGGAUAUUAUCAAGUAUUGGCACCUGAACGUGUCAGAUUCAACCACACCUGAAAGAUUAGUGUCUGCAAGAAAAGUAUCAGUAGCAAGGUAGUAAGAUAACAACGGAGCCAGAAACGAUCUGGUGACAAGGCACACUAUUCCUAACUGUUGUAUCAAUGGCGCCAGUAAAAGCUUUGACAAUUCCCAGCAGUGAUGCCAGAAAAGGCCCUGUCGACGGGGUGUUAGCGCCAACAAAGUCUUGCAGCAAGUAACAACGGAGUAGCAAGGAACAGUAGUAGCAGCAGCAGCAAAGUAACAAGUAACAGCAGUAGUGACAACAUCAAAGUGACAGCAGCAGCAAAGUGGCCCAAUCCCUCUUAUAGCAAGGGACAAGCCUAGGCAAAGUAACGUAGAGAGAACCAGUAGUAAAAGACUCGUAGGCAGUGGAUCGGUGAUGGAUGAGUGUGACGGAUGCGAUUCAUCAUGUAACAUCUAUAACACGGAGAUAUAAGUAAUUAGCUCUCGUUCGUCAAUCUAAUGUAGGCAUGUAUUUCGUAUGUAGUCAUACGUGCUUAGGGAAAAGAACUUGCAUGACAUCUAUUGUCCAUCCCUCCCGUGGUAGCGGGGUCCUAAUGGAAACUAUGGGAUAUUAAGGUUCUCCUUUUAAUAAAGAACCGGACCAACGCAUUAACACGCGGUGAAUACAUGAACUCCUCAUACUAUGGUCAUCUCAAGGAGUGGUUCCGGCUAUUGUCACUCCGGGGUUGCCGGGUCAUAACACAUAGUAGGUGACUACAACUUGCAAGAUAGGAUCUAAAACACAUAUAUAUUGGCGACAACAUAAUAGGUUCAGAUCUUAAAUCAUGGCACUCGGGCCCUAGUGACAAGCAUUAAGCAUAGCCAAGUAGUAGCAACAUCAAUCUAGAACAUAGUGGAUACUAGGGAUCAAUCCCCGUCAAAAACUAACUCGAUUACAUGAUAGAUCUCAUCCAACUCAUCACCGUCCAACAAGCCUAUGAUGAGAUUACUCACGAACGAUGAAGACCAUCAUGAAAUUGUCGAUGGAGGAAGGUUGAUGAUGACGAUGGCGACGAUUUCCCCUCUCCGGAGCCCCAAACGGACUCCAGAUCUGCCCUCCAGAUGAAGAAUGGGAUGUGGCGGCGCCUCCGUAUCGCAAAACGCGAUGAAACCUUCUCUCUGAUUUUUUUCCAGGCGAAACGGAAGAUAUAGGACUUAGAUUGGGGGCGGUGGUGCCACGUGGGCCCCACAAGCCCUCAUGGCGCGGCCAUAGGGGGUGGCCGCGGCCCAGGGGCUUGUGGCUCACUGGCACACACCCUCACGUGGAACUUUGCGCAUGUAUUUUUCAUUUAUUCCAGAAAAAAUCUCCGUAAAUUUUCAGGAUGUUCUGAGAACUUUCAUUUCUUCACAAAAACAACACCAUGGCAAUUCUGCUGAAGACAGCGUCAGUCCGUGUUAGUUCCAUUCAAAUCAUGCAAAUUAGAGUCCAAAACAAGGGCAGAAGAGUUCAAAAGUAGAUGCGAUGGAGACAUAUCAUUGCACAACCCCGAUAUUGGCCAAGUAAUUGUUUUCGCACUCUUACUUUCUCAAACCUUUUAUAACUAUCACGCAAUACAUGAGCGUGAGCCAUGGAUAUAGCACUAUAGGUGGAAUAGAGUGUGGUGGUGGUUGUGAGACAAAAAGGGAGGAGAUGGUCACAUUGACUCGGCGUAUCAAAGGGUUAUGGAGAUGCCCAUUAAUAGAUAUCAAUGUGAAUGAGUAGGGAUUGCCAUACAAAGGAUGCACUAGAGCUAUAAGUAUGUGAAAGCUCAAAAGGAGAACUAGUGGGUGUGCAUCCAACUUGCUCGCUCACGAAGACCUAGGGCAAUUUUUAGGAAGCCCAUCAUUGGAAUAUACAAGCCAAGUUAUAUAAUAAAGAUUCCCACUAGUAUAUGGUGGUGACAAAGCAAGAAGUUCUCAAUCAUGAAGAACAUGGUGCUAUUAUGAAGCACAAGUGUGGAAAAAGAUAGUAGCAUUGUCCCUUCUCUCUUUUUCUCUCUCUCUUUUUUUGUGGGCAACUUUGGCCUCUUUUUCCCCCUCACAUGGGAAAAUGCUCUAAUAAUGAUGAUCAUCACACUUUUAUUUACUCAUAGCUCAAAGCUUAGAACAAUGAUGACUCUAUAGGAAAUGCCUCCGGCAGUGUACCGGGAUUUGCAACGAUCUAGCUUGGCGUAUGACGUUGAAACAUCUCGCUAGCUAUCUUACGAUCAUGCAAUGGCAAUAUGAGAGUGACGACACAAGUCAUGAACGGAACAGUGGGAGUUGCAUGGCAAUAUAUCUCUGAAUGGCUAAGAAAAUGCCAUAGUAGGUAGGUAUGGUGGCUGUUUUGAGGAAGGCAUAUGGUGGGUUUGUGCACCGACGAAAAUUGCACGGUACUAGAGAGGCUAGCAAUGGUGGAAGGUGAAAGUGCAUCUAUACCAUGGACUCACAUUAGUCAUGAAGAACUCACAUACUUGUUGCGAAAGUUUUUAUUAGUAAUCGAAACAAAGUGCUAAACGCAUACUCCUAGGGGAAGGGUUGGUAGGUGUUAACCAUCGCGCGAUCCCGACCUCAACACAAAGGAUGACAAUCAAUAGAUCAAUCAUGCUCUGACUUCCUAACAUAGUGGUUCACCAUACGUGCAUGUUACAGGAAUCACUAACCUCAACACAAGUAUUUCUAGAUUCACAACACCCUACUAACAUAACUCUUAAUAUUACCAAAUCCACGUCUCAAAACUAAUUGAGAGGAAUCAAACUUCUCUUUCUACUCAAUGCACAUUAAGACGGAAGUUUCUGUAUCCCCUUUUGGGUACCUAUCACCUUUGGGACUACUUUCAUAGCACAAGCCAACUACCAAGUUACGCACCGCCGUGCUCUAAAAGAACUAAGUGAAGCACAUAGAGCAAAUUUAUCUAGCUCAAAAGAUAUAAGUGAAGCACAAUGAGCAUUCUAGCAAAUUCAUGAUAAGUGCAUGUCUCUCUCAAAAGGUGUGCAUCAAGGAUGAUUGUGACACAACAAAAAGAAAAGACUCCUACGAUACAAGACGCUCCAAGCAAAACACAUAUCAUGUGGUGAAUAAAAAUAUAGCUCCAAGUAAUGUUACCGAUGGAUUGAAGACGAAAGAGGGGAUGCCUUCCCGGGGCAUCCCCAAGCUUAGGCUUUUUGGUGUCCUUGAAUUUUUCUUGGGAUGCCUUGGGCAUCCCCAAGCUUGAGCUCUUUCCACUCUUUAUUCCUUUGUCCAUGAGAACAUCACCCAAAACAUGAAAACUUCACAACACAAAACUUAAACAGAAACUAGUGAUAUCACUAGCACAAGAAAACAAACUACCACCUCUUUAGGUACUGUAGCAAUCUUGAUUUCUAUUUAUAUUGGUGUUAGAUUACUGUAUUCUCACUUUUCCAUGGCUAGUACCCCCGAUACUAUCCAUAGUUUCAUCAAAACAAGCAACCAACUCAACAAAGACAGAAUCUGUCAAAAACAGACCAGUCUAUAGCAAUCAGUAUACUUCGUAUACUUCUGGUACCUAAAAAAUUCGGAAACAUUACGACUGCCUGGGAAAAAGGCAUAUCAACCAGCAGCAAAAAGAAUCAAAUCAAAAUCUCUUUCUUCAUAAAAAUGAAAAAUAAUCUCGUGAGCGAAAAGUUUCUGUCCUUUUCCAGCAGGAUCAAACAACCAUCUCCAAGACUAGUCAUAAAGGUUUUGCUUGGCUCAAACACAAAAAGAAACACAAAAACACAAUCAUAAAAGAAUUAUGAUGGUGUGGACGCAACAAAACAGAAAUAAAAAGAUAAAUUCUUUGGGUUGCCUCCCAACAAGCGCUAUUGUUUAACGCCUUAGCUAGGCAUAAGGUGAUAGAAUCAUGUAUCGUCGUCUUUAGUGCUCAAACCAUAAGUAGCCCUCAUCAUGGAUUCAUAAGGCAAUCUUAUUUUCUUUCUAGUAAAAUGCUCCAUGACCUUAUUUAAAGGAAAUUGAAAUCUAAUAUUCCCUUCCUUCAUAUUGAUGAUAGCAACGAUAGUCCUUAGGAAAGGUCUACCAAGAAUGAUAGGGCAUGUAGGAUUGGAGUCAAUGUCAAGCACAAUGAAAUCCACGGGUACAUAGUUCCUAUUUGCAAUAAUAAGAACAUCAUUGAUCCUUCCCAUGGGUUUCUUGACAGUAGAAUCCGCAAGAUGCAAAUUAAGAGAACACUCCUCAAUCUCAUUAAAACCCAGAACAUCACAUAAAGACUUUGGAAUCGCGGAAACACUAGCACCCAAAUCACAUAAAGCAUUGCAUUCAUAGUUUUUGAUUUUGAUUUUGAUAGUAGGUUCCCACUCAUCAUGAAGCUUUCUAGGGAUAGAAACUUCCAAUUCAAGUUUCUCCUCAAGAGAUUUUAUCAUAGCUUCGACGAUAUGAUUGGUAAAGGCCUUGUUUUGGCUAUAAGUGUGUGGAGAGUUUAGCAUGGAUUGCAUCAAGGAAAUGCAUUCAAUCAAGGAGCAACUAUCAUAAUUGAAUUCCUUGAAAUCCAAAGUACUCCCUCCGUCACAGUUUAUAAGGCAUGCACGUGUACCUAGGUCGUCAAUUUGACUUACAUAAAAUAUAUUGUUUAAUAUAAAAAUUAUAUCAUUAGAAAAUAGAACAUCUAAAGUUUUUAAUGAUAUAUUUUUUUGUAAUAUAUGCCUCUCGUUAAGUUGGUCAAAUUGACGACCUAGAUACACGUGCCGGACUUGUAAACUGAAACGGAGGAAGUAGUAAUUUCAUUACUACUCAAAGUUUUAAUAUCUUCUACCCCACUUUCAAUGCUUUUAGCAUCAAGAUAGAUGGACUCCAAAUUAUUGGGGCGUUUUUCAACCAAGGUGGAUUCAUAUCCAGCCCCAUCAUCAUUAGGUUUGACAUAAGAAAACAAAGAUUCAAUGGGAGUCACACCAAGCACUUUAAGGUCUUCGUGAUUCUUAUCACGAGAACACGCCCUUUUAAGCCAUUCAUGUCUAGCACGAAUUUUGGCGGUUCUUUCUUUGCUCUCACUCAUGGAAACACGCAUAGCUUUCAAAGUUUCAACCAUAUUGAUUUUGGAAGGAGCACAUCUAACUUUCAAAGCAUCAAUAUCACUAGACAUUUUAUCAACGCUCCUAGCCAAAUCGUCAAUUUUGAGUAGUUUUUCCUCUAUGGACGCAUUGAAAAUCUUUUGUGAGUUGAUAAACUCUUUGAUAUUACUCUCUAGAUUAGAGGGUAAUCUAUUGUAAUUUCCAUGAGUAUUGUUGUAGGAGUUGCCAAAGUUAUUAGAGGGGUUACUAGGAAAAGGCCUAGGAACAUAGUUUCCUCUAAAAGCAUUGUUGUUGCCAAAAUUAUUCCUACCAACAAAAUUAACGUCCAAGCUAGCGUUGCUACUCUCAAUCAAGGAAGACAAGGGCAUGUCAUUAGGAUCUAAAUGAGCACUUGUACUAGCAACCAAAUUCAUUAACUCAUCCAUCUUAGCACUCAACGAGUUAAUUUCUUCUAUAGCGUGUACCUUCUUACUAGUAGGUGACCUUCAAGUGUGCCACUAAGAGUAGUUCGUCAUGAUAUUGUCUAGGAGUUUUGUGGCUUCUCCAAACGUGAUUUCCAUGAACGUUCCACCUGAGGCGGAGUCCAAGAUAUUUCUAGAAGCGAAAUUCAAGCCAACAUAAAAGAUUUGUAUAAUCAUCCAAAGACUCAAGCCAUGAGCGGGACAAUUUCUAAUCAUCAAUUUCAUUCUCUCCCAAGAUUGUGCAACAUGUUCAUGAUCAAGUUACUUAAAAUUCAUGAUAUCAUUACGGAGAGAGAUAAUCUUAGUCGGCGGAAAAUACUUGGAUAUGUAAGCAUCUUGGCACUUCUUCCAAGAAUCAAUACUAUUUUUGGGCAAAGACGAAAACCAAGUUUUUGCUCGAUCUCGCAACGAGAACGGAAAAAGCUUCAAUUUAAUCACAUCAUUAUCCACAUCUUUCUUCUUUUGCAUAUCACAAAGCUCAAUGAAGGUAUUAAGAUGGGAUGUGGCAUGUUCACUAGGAAGGCCGGAGAAUUGCUCUUUCAUAACAAGAUUCAGCAAAACAUCAUUGAUUUCGUAUGAUUCCGUACUAGUGGCCGGAGCAAUCAGAUUACUAAUAAAAUCAUCAUUAUUAGUAUUCGAGAAGUCACAAAGUUUGGUGUUUUCAGUCAUGGUGACUUCAGCAAGCAAACAAGCACACAAGCGAACAGAAAGCAAGCGAGAGAAAAGGGCGAACGAAAAAGGCAAACGAAAAAGGCAAAUAUUUUUGUAAAAUUUUGUUUUUCAGAAGUGGGGGAGGGGAAAACGAGAGGCAAAAAAGUAAACGCAAGAGAUGAGUUUGCGACACUUACUUGGAUGAGUUCUUGACUUGAUCCUCCCCGGCAACGGCGCCAGAAAUCCUUCUGCUACUUCUCAAACAACAGCGCCAGAAAUUGGCACGUUGACGGAGACUUGGCUUGCGUUGGUUUUUCCCUUGAAGAGGAAAGGGUGAUGCAGCACAGGAGCAGUAAGUAUUUCCCUCAGUUUGAGAACCAAGGUAUCAUCCAGUAGGAGAAUCUCGUCAAGUCCAGAGUACCUGCACAAACACAAAAGAGCUUGCACCCAACGCUAUAAAGGGGUUGUCAAUCCCUUCAAGAUUGAUUGCAAAGUGAGAUCUGAAGGCGGAAAGUGCAACGAAGUAAAAGAGUAAGGCUGAAAAUAUGGUGUGAAGUAGACCCGGGGGGCAUAGUGUUCACUAGAGGCUUCUCUCAAAAUAGCAAAUAAUACGGUGGGUGAACAAAUUACUGUCGAGCAAUUGAUAGAACCGCACAAAGUCAUGACGAUAUCUAAGGCAAUGAUCAUACAUAUAGGCAUCACGUUCGAGAUAUGUAGACCGAUACUUUCUGCAUCUACUACUAUUACUCCACACAUCGAUUGCUAUCCAGCAUGCUGCUACUGCGUCAACAGACCUUUCCUGGCAACGGCUCCAGGAAUCCUUGUGCUACGGGCUACGCCUAUAGGGACUUCCUUGGCAAAUAUGCAAAGAAUUUCCCCGCGGCCUUGGAGCCUUGCGUUGGUGUUCCUGUGAAAAGGAAAGGGUGAUGUAGCACAGCGGCGGUAAGUAUUUCCCUCAUUUUGAGAACCAAGGUAUCGAUCGAGUAGGAGGAUCGCGUCAAGUCACAAGUACCUGCACAAACACAAAGAGCUUGCACCCAACGCUAUGAAGGGGUUGUCAAUCCCUUAUAGAUUGUUUGCAAAAUGAGAACUGAAAGCAAAAAGUAAACAAAGCAAAGUAAAAGUGAAAGUGGAGACGAUAGUUGUGAAUAGACCCGGGGGCCGUAGUGUUCACUAGUGGCUUCUCUCAUGAAAGCAAGUAGAUAGUGGGUGAACAAAUUACUGUCGAGCAAUUGAUAAAACCGCGCAAAGUCAUGAUGUUAUCUAUGGCAAUGAUCAUAUCUAUAGGCAUCACGUCCAAAACAAGUAGACCGAUACUUUCUGCAUCUACUACUAUUACUCCACACGUCGACCGCUAUCCAGUAUGCAUCUAGUGUAUUAAGUUCAUAAGAACAGAGUAACGCCUUAAGCAAGAUGACAUGAUGUAGAUGGACAAUCUCAAAUCUAUGAUGAAAACCCAUCUUGUUACCCUUGAUGGCAACAACAUGAUGCGUGCCUUGCUGCCCCUUCUGUCACUGGGAAAGGUCACCGCACGGUAUGAACCCAAAACCAAGCACUUCUCCCAUUGCAAGAAUCAUAGAUCUAGUUGGCCAAACAAAACCCAAGACUCAGAGAGACUUACAAGGAUAUCAAAUCAUGCAUAUAAGAAAUCAGCAAAGACUCAAAUAUAAUUCAUAGAUAAUCCGAUCACAAAUCCACAAUUCAUCGGAUCUCGACAAACACACCGCCAAAGAGGAUUACAUCGGAUAGAUCUCCAUGAAGAUCAUGGAGAACUUUGUAUUGAAGAUCCAAGAGAGAGAAGAAGCCAUCUAGCUACUAACUACGGACACGUAGGUCUGAAGUGGAUUACUCACGAGUCAUUGGAGAGGCGAUGAUGUUGAUGUAGAAUCCCUCCAACUCUAAAGUCCCCUCCGGCAGGGCACCGGGAAGGGUCUCCAGAUGAGAUCUUGCGGAAACGGAAGCUUGCGGCGGUGGAAAAGUGUUUUCGUGGAUGCCCUAAUUUUUUCUGGGAUUUUAGGGAAUAUAUAGGCGAAAGAGCUAGGGCACAGGAGCUCCAGGGGGGCCACAAGCCUGGUAGCCGCCGGCCCCGUGGUGGCGGCUACAUGGCUUGUGGGCCCCCUGUGGCUCUCCUGCCUUGGCACUGAAGUCCCCCGAUCUUCUUCUGUUCUGGAAAAAUUUAUUUCGGGGAUUUUGUUCCGUUUGGACUCCAUUCCAAAAUCAGAUCUGAAAAGAGUCAAAAACACAGAAAAACAGGAACUGGCACUGAAUUAAUAAGUUCGUCCCAAAAAAGAUAUAAAAGGUACAUAAAACAUCCGAAGUUGACAAGAUAACGGCGUGAAACCAUAAAAAAUUAUAGAUACGUUUGAGACGUAUCACAUGCAUCUAGUGUAUUGAGUUCAUGACGAACAGAGUAAUGCCUUAAGCAAGAUGACAUGAUGUAGAGGGAUAAACUCAAACCAAUGAUGAAAACCCCAUCUUUUUACCCUUGAUGGCAACAGCACGAUGCGUGCCUUGCUACCCCUUCUGUCACUGGGUGAGGUCACCGCGCGGUAUGAACCCAAAACCAAGCACUUCUCCCAUUGCAAGAACCAUAGAUCAAGUUGGCCAAACAAAACCCACAACUCGAAGAGAAUUACAAGGAUAUGAAAUCAUGCAUAUAAGAGAGAUCAGAAGAAACUCAAAUAAGAUUCAUAGAUAAUCUGAUCAUAAAUCCACAAUUCAUCGGAUCUCGACAAACACACCACAAAAGAAGAUUACAUCGGAUAGAUCUCCAUGAAGAUCAUGGAGAACUUUGUAUUGAAGAUCCAAGAGAGAGAAGAAGCCAUCUAGCUACUAGCUAUGGACCCGAAUGUCACGCCCAAGAUGCGACCCUAUCCUCAAUUUGGCACGAGGGCCUCGUCAGGGAUAGAAGCGCAUCUCGUCGUGUCGCAAGAAUGGAUAUCGUUACAAGUACAUGUACUGAAAAAGAAGAGAUAUAUAUAGAGUUGGCUUACACUCGCUACAAGCUACAUCAGAGUCACAUCAGUACAUUACAUAAUCAUCAAGAGUAAGAGCACGGUCCGACUACGGACGAAAACAAUCGACAAAAGAAGAACAACGUCCAUCCUUGCUAUCCCAGGCUGCCGGCCUGGAACCCAUCCUAUAUCGAUGAAGAAGAAGAAGAAGAAGAAGCAACUCCAAAUGAACAAUCAAUGCGCUCGCGUCAAGUAACCUUUACCUGUACCUGCAACUGGUGUUGUAGUAGUCUGUGAGCCACAAGGGACUCAGCAAUCUCAUUUCCAAAGGUAUCAAGACUAGCAAAGCUUAAUGGGUAAGGCAUGGUUAAGUGGUGAGGUUGCAGCAGCGGCGAAGCAUAUAUUUGGUGGCUAAACUUACGAGUACAAGAAAUAAGAGGGGGAAGAUCUACGCUUAACGGACGUGAACUACUGAUGAUCAAAUGAAAGAUCCUGAACACCUACCUACGUCAGACAUAACCCCACCGUGUCCUCGAUCGGAGAAGGAACUCACGAAAGAGACAGUCACGGUUACGCACACAGUUGGCAUAUUUUUAAUUAAAUUACUUCAAGUUAUCUAGAACCAGUGUUAAACAAAGUUUCCAUGUUGCCACAUAACCGUGGGCAUGGCUUUCCGAAAAGAUUUAACCUUGCAGGGGUGCUCCAACUAGUCCAUCACAAAUUGCCACAAGCCGCAUAGAAAUCCUCAGUCACGAAACUCGCGAUCUCGUCGGAUUCCCUAGAGGAAAACCUGAACUCUGAGAUUACCCAAAGCAUCACCGGAAUCCCGAUGCACAAGAUAUUUCGUCAAAGGUAAAACUAAUCCAGCAAGGCCGCCCGACGUGUCGACGAUCCCGAUAGGAGUCGCGUACCUCGUUCUCAGGACACAACGGAUGAGCGAUGGUUACCACGCCAAACGCCGAGUUGCCCCGUGUAGCGUUAAUAAGCUGCUCUGUUUUGGACCAACACUCAUGAGGAGCACUGGCCCAGGGGUUGAUUAAAAUAGUCCGCGGGUGCCGGCGGGUCCCUAUGCAAUUUUAUUAGGUGAUUAGGCAAAUGUAGUACCAAUGUUGGGCCUUGCCAGACCAGCUUUAAUCUAAAACAAAUUAUCAAGGGGGUCCCCAUAACAACCCCAAUCGUGUUAGGAGCGCUCAUUUAUGGAACAUAACACCGGUAGCCGGAAACUAAGGGGGCAAAGGUGGAACAAAACACCAGGCUAGAAAGGCCGAGCCUUCCACCUUUUACCAAGUAUAUAGGUGCAUUAAAUUAAAUAGCAAUAAUAUGGUGAUAUAACAAGGAACCCAUGCUUUCACAUGGAAGCAUCUGCACCUGCAACUAGCAAUGCUAACAACAAGGUUAAGCAAGCAGUAACAUAGCCAAUCAGUGGUUUGCUAGGUCGAACAGGUUGAAGGUUAACAUGGCAUUGUUGAGAGGCUGAUAUUUAACAAGUGGUAGGCAACGAGACAUAAUCGAUAGCAUCGAAAUAACUAGCAUGGCAAUGAUAGUAGUGGUAUCUGGGGAAAUGAUCAUCUUGCCUGAGAUCCCGCUUGGAAGAAGAAUGCCUCCGUAAGCAGACGAACCGACGUAGUCGAACGGGUCCUCACAUCCGACACGCUUGCGGAACUCUAUCGAGACGAAGCAAACCGGAAACACAAAUCAACACUCGAAAUUCCCCACACGAUGCACAACACAUAUGAUGCAUGAGCAGCUGAAUAUAUGCAAGUCACGGCAUGACAAUUCACACAAUCAAACACUACACAUUAAGUGAAGUUCAAUAUGCACGAGUUGCAUAUUGACGAAACUCCACAUAUGAAUUAUUUAGUUCACUCCCGGUUAUUUACACGGCAAUAUUAAUGUUGUCAAAUAUGCAAGAGGUGAAGCGGAAAUUAAACCACCUAUCUAGACAUUUUAAAUGAGGUCGGAAACGACAUAUAGCAUCUCCGAGACGACCUCACAUGUUAAUUUACAAUUCUGUCCAGAUCUGAACUAAUGCAUUUAAUUAUUUGUUAAACAGCAAAACAAAUAGGUUCACGUGAUUCUACGCGUCAAGGCAAGCAAUCUACACAUAAAGAACAUCUCCAACGGAGCUACGGAUCAAAAGUUACAAGCAUCACAAGAUAUGAUGGCAUGAAUGCAAUAUGUGUGCAACGGUGGCUACGAGCACUUCAAAGCAACCAACCAGCAAGGGAAAAUGAAACUACACGAGAUUCUAAGCAAGUUUCAUGUAGGACACGAUCAAAUCGGAGCUACGGUUCAACAACUACGAGCAAAACGAGAAAUGACUACAAUCUGCCAAAAACAGCCACAUAGCAUUUUCUACGCCCCACAACUACGGCUACACAACUCCGAUAUGCUCAAGCAAGGCAUGGCACGGAAGAGGGCAAGAAGCACUACUACAAACAACUAACAACACUAGCAUGGCAUCAAGGAACACUAGGGAAAGAAGUCACAAAAUGGCUUCCCACACACUAUUUCAGACUUAGUGAAAAUAGCACUUCAUCAAAGUGCAGUUUUCGAUCUGAAGCUAUAUUGACAGCAGCAAAACCUAUAGCUACAGGACUCCAAAUGGCAUGAAAAUUUACAGCAUGCUAGAGAAACACAAGGGGUACAACUAACUCCAUUGGACCAACCUCAAAAGAGCUACAGAUCACAAGAUGCAAGCAAGACAAGACAGCAACAAAAUAUAACAGAUUCCAGACUUAGAAAUAUAUCAGCACGUCUAAAACAGCACUAUUUCUAGCAACUUGAGAGCAAGCAAAACACAUCUAAACUUGCAUUUCUAUUGCAACUAAAAAUACCAGGGGCUAAACAAGACAUCCAAGAUCAACUCACUAGUUGACAACUAAUUCAACCGAGGCACGGAAUAAAUCCUACGAAUUAAUCAAAAGGGCAACAUAGCAAAAUAUCUCGCGAACAAACUUACUCAAAAGCUAAAACUAAUUGCACAGAAAAAUCCAUAGGAUUUUUCUACCCCGGAAACAUAUAAAAUAUGUGGGGUUUGCAACACAAAAUAAUGCCGCACCUAAAUGCGAGAAAAAUAACCUAUACGCGGAAAAUAAUCUAGCGGCAAAUCCCUACGCGCAAAAUACAAAUGACCGCUCUAAAAUACGUGGCAAAGGUGUCCUUAAAACACGUGCAUUUAUCUACGGUGUUCGAACAAACCGGACACGCACGAGAAUUAAAACGGGAUAAAAGAUACUAGGACAGCACGCUAAACUANNNNNNNNNNNNNNNNNNNNNNNNNNNNNNNNNNNNNNNNNNNNNNNNNNNNNNNNNNNNNNNNNNNNNNNNNNNNNNNNNNNNNNNNNNNNNNNNNNNNNNNNNNNNNNNNNNNNNNNNNNNNNNNNNNNNNNNNNNNNNNNNNNNNNNNNNNNNNNNNNNNNNNNNNNNNNNNNNNNNNNNNNNNNNNNNNNNNNNNNNNNNNNNNNNNNNNNNNNNNNNNNNNNNNNNNNNNNNNNNNNNNNNNNNNNNNNNNNNNNNNNNNNNNNNNNNNNNNNNNNNNNNNNNNNNNNNNNNNGGACAGCACGCUAAACUAGGCAUUAAGCACGCUAAACCAAAUCAAACAAAUAUGCAUGUUUUAAAUUCGUACUCUACGCGCAAAACUACCACAAAACCAUAUACUACACGCCUCAAACUGACUAACGGUUUAAAAGUUACGGGGGUUCCUAUAUAUCUAUAUUUUCCUGAAAUGACUAAGUCGAAAACUAUAAGGUAAAACCUAUUGGGCCGAAACUACGCAGGGCAUGAGUGCAAUAUACUAACAAGUGCCUAGGGCGCGAAAUAAAGAGGCUCGGGGGGGUANNNNNNNNNNNNNNNNNNNNNNNNNNNNNNNNNNNNNNNNNNNNNNNNNNNNNNNNNNNNNNNNNNNNNNNNNNNNNNNNNNNNNNNNNNNNNNNNNNNNNNNNNNNNNNNNNNNNNNNNNNNNNNNNNNNNNNNNNNNNNNNNNNNNNNNNNNNNNNNNNNNNNNNNNNNNNNNNNNNNNNNNNNNNNNNNNNNNNNNNNNNNNNNNNNNNNNNNNNNNNNNNNNNNNNNNNNNNNNNNNNNNNNNNNNNNNNNNNNNNNNNNNNNNNNNNGGGGGGGGGGGGGGAGGGUCUCACCUCGGGCUGCCUGGAGCUGGCAGGCCGGCUGGGGGAGUCGGUGGGCCGAGGGGCGCGCGGGCGACUGGGCCGGGAGGAGCCGCGGCGCUGGCCAGGGAUGAGCGAACUGGGCCGGGAGGUCAACGCAGGGAGGCCCAGGAGGGGUCGCGGAGGCCCAGGCGGGGGCUCUGGCGAACUGGCGUCGUCCUCCUCGCUCCCCUCCCUGCCCGUGGGCACGGGAACCGGCGGCGCUGGCGCAAGGCCGCGAUGGCGGCGAGGCUGCCCUGGACCCGGCGGAUCCGAUCCCCAGGGACCCGCUCCCGGCGGAGGAGGAGGCGAGCACCGGCGGGUAGGGCGGGCUCCGGCGACGAGGAAGCUGCGGCUGUGCAGGAUCUGGCGUGAAGGGCAGAACGGGGCGGCGCACCGGCUUCCACACGCGCGGUCAACGGGACGCUCCGGCGGCCACGGCGCGACGACAAAGCCAGAGAAGACGACGGCGCGCUGACGUGCAGGCAGCAGCGACGGGGAAGGCGCGGGAGGCGGCCUUGGCGCUGCCAUGGAGGGGCUCCGACGGGAGCAGGGGGCUGCGGCGGCGGGAUCCGGGCCCGGGCGGGCCUCGGAUGGGCUCGGCGGGCCCACGGCGGCUGGGGCUGGUGGGGCACGGAAAACGAGGCAACCGCUAGGGUUUGCUGUCCAAUUAAUGGGAGGGAUCUAUAUAUAGACAAACCGGGGGCUAGGGUUAUCCGAAUUCGGCCCCGUUUUCGCGCACGCGAUCGGAAUCGUACAAACUCGAGCGCGGGGUCGGCUAGGUGAACGUGUAGAGUAGGCUAGCUGGGGGAGAGAGGGAAACGGUGCGGCGCGGCAACGCGAUUUUAAAACACCGAUAAACGUCCGACGAUAAACCGAAUACGGUGCCGCUACGGUCGACCGUUCGGGUACCAGACGGUCUCCGAUCGUGACGAAAUUCGACAGGCGGCCUGGCUAUAACUAAUCACGACAGCAUGCCAAGUUUCACCUCGAUCAGAGAAAGUUUUAUGCACACUUUAAUAACAGAGUUACGACGGUGUCGCGGGCGCGUGCGUGUGCGGUCAGGCUCAGAACGAACAACGACGAACGCAAAGAGAAGCGACAACUAAUAACGGAUGCAACGUUUGAAAACGGGCGACAACGGAGACGCCGAUGCAAUGCAGAUGAUGCGCAUGAUGCGAUGAUGAUGCAACAAAUAAAAUAGGCACACGACGAAAACGGAAGGAAGGGGGAAUCUUCUGGAACGUCGGCACCGGGCUGUCACACCGAAGGUCUAUGGUGAACUACUCACGCAUCAUCGGAGAGGUCAUGGUGUUGAUGAAGAAGCCCUCCGUAUCCGAAUCCCCCCUCCGGCAGGGCACCAUAACGUGCCCCAGAUGGGAUCUUGCGGAGACAGAAGCUUGCGGCGGCGGAAAAGUAUUUUCGUGGAUCUCUCAAUUUUUUUAGGGAUUUUGGGGAAUUUAUAUGCGAAGGAGCUAGGGCAGGGGAGGCCCAGGGAGCCCACAAGCCUGGGAGGCACGACCCCCUGGCCGCGCCAUGGGGGCUUGUGGCCUCCCCCGGGACUCCCUGCCUUGGUUCCCAAGCUUUCUGCGUAUCUUCUGUUUCGGAAAAAAUCUUUUUGGAAGUUUUAUUCCGUUUGGACUCCGUUUAAAAUCCUCCUGUGAAAAGGGUCAAAAACACGGAAAAAACAGGAACUGGCUCUUGGCACUGAGUUAAUAAGUUAGUCCCAAAAAAGAUAUAAAAGGCAUACAAAACAUCCAAAGUUUGAUAAGAUAAUAGCAUGAAACCUUAAAAAAUUAUAGAUACGUUGGAGACAUAUCAAUGCCCAUAUGAGUUUGAUAAUUAUAUUAUAAAGCAAGAUCAUUUCAACUCCUAUGUCAUGAAAAAACCAAAACUCUGAUAUGAUUGCUCGCUUAAGUGACUUAUUAUUUAGAAUCACCAAUGAUGUAAGAGGUGUAGGAAAACAUGCUUCUAUGGUUUAAACCCAACUAGAACAAGUUGCUAAGUCUCAAAGUGAGUUACUUUAUGAAAUGACUAAUAAUAUGAAUGGUCAUGCUUAUAGAUUAAUGCUUCAUCUCGCAAAUGUGUUGGUUUCCCUCCAAGCUUAAAGGGUGAUGUAGCACAACGACGACAACUAUUUCCCUCGGUUAAGAUACCAAGGUAUCAAUGUAGUAGGAAGAUCCACAAGACUAUGUAAGCAGCACCUGCACACAAAUAGCAAAUCCUCCCAAACCAACACGUGGAGGGGUUGUCAAUCCUUAAUGGGUAAAGUAAGGAUAGAUUGAUAGAUGCAAAUAAGAGUGAUAGCAAAUAGAAUGCAACAAGAUAUUUUUGGUUUUUUUGAUAAUAUAGAUCUGGAAAAGAGAGAGAAAAUAAAGUAGAAAUGCAAAUAGCAAAGUGAUAUUGCAAAUAGAUGAUGUGAAGUAGACCCGAGGGCCGUAGGUUUCACUAGUGGCUUCUCUCGAGAAAUAGCAAACGGUGGGUAGACAAAUUACUAUUGGGCAAUUGAUAGAAGAGUAAAUAAUUAUGACGAUAUUCAAGACAAUGAUCAUGUAUAUAGGCAUCACGUCCAAGAUAACUAGACCGACUUCUCCAUGUAUCUACUUCUAUUACUCCACACAUCGACCGCUAUCUAGCAUGCAUGUAGUGUAUUGAGUUCAUGGAGAAACGAAGUAAUGCCCUAAGAACGAUGACAUGAUGUAGACAAGAUAUAUUCAUGUAGGAAUAUACCCCAUCAUUUUAUCCUUGAUAGCAAUGAUACGUGUGUGUCAUGUCUCUUUCUGUCACUGAGAUUGAGCACCGCAAGAUCGAACCCAUCACAAAGCACCUCUUCCAAUUGCAAGAUAAAAGAUCAAGUUGGCCAGACAAAAACCAAAUAUCGGAGAAUAAAUACGAGGCUAUAAUAAUCAAGCAUGAAUAUGUUUUCAUCGAUCUGUUCAUAAACUCACAAUUCACCGGAUCCCAACAAACACAACGCAAAAGAAAGAGUUACAUCAUAUGGAUCUCCAAGAGGCCAUUGUAUUGGGAAACAAAACGAGAGAGAAAGCCAUCUAGCCACUGUAUACGGAACAGUAGGUCUGAUAUGAACUACUCAUGCAUCAUCGCAGGAGCACCAAUGAGGAUGGUGAACCCCUCCGUGAUCGCGUUCCUCCCCAGAACGAGCUCUAGAUUGGAUUUCCUGGCUUUGGAACUUGUGGCGGCUCAAAUGAUUUUUCGUUGACUCCUCUAGGGUUUUAUGGAUAUUGGGGUAUUUAUAGAGCUCACAGGUGGUGGAGAAGGUUCUCGAGGGUCCCACUAGACACGAGGCCACGCCAGGGGCCUCACGAGUGCCCUAAUGUCUAGUGCCCCCUGGGCCUCAUCUGCUACUCAUUCUUGGUUCCAAAGUUUCCUUGUGGUCCAAAACAAUCUUUGUAAAGUUUCGUGGAAAUUGGACCUCGUAUGAUAUGGAUUUUCUACGAAGGAAAAAAUAGCAAAAAACAACAAGUGACACUAGGCAUUAUGUCAAUAGGUUAGUCCCAAAAAAUUAUAUAAAGUUUCUAUAAAAUGAUCAUAAAACAUCCAAGAAUGAUAAUAUAACAGCAUGGAACAAUAAAAAAUUAUAGAUACAUUGGAGAUGUAUCAAGUAAUGACUAGAGGAGGAACAAUGACUCAAGAGCCACUAUAUCGAGAAGGUCAUCCUAAAAGAACUGAACAAGAUUCACAAAGAAUUAAUAUUGAUGCACCUAGUCCUUCUAGAAAUAAAAAUAAAAAUAAAAAUGAUAGGACCUUACAUACUUCUAGUGAACCUGAAGUAGAAAUACCUUCUGCUAAUGCUAAUGAUAUCUCUAUCUCUAAUGCUAAAACUCAAUCUAGUAGUGAGCCUUCACCUAGUGACAAUGAAAAUGUUAAUGAUGACGCUCAUGUAGAUGCUCAACCUGUUGGGGAACGUCGCAUGGGAAACAAAAAAAUUCCUACGCGCACGAAGACCUAUCAUGGUGAUGUCCAUCUACGAGAGGGAAUGUGUGAUCUACGUACCCUUGUAGACCGUAGAGCAGAAGCGUUAGUGAACGCGGUUGAUGUAGUGGAACAUCCUCACGUCCCUCGAUCCGCCCCGUGAACCGUCCCGCGAUCAGUCCCACGAUCUAGUGCUGAACGGACGGCACCUCCGCGUUCAGCACACGUACAACUCGACGAUGAUCUCGGCCUUCUUGAUCCAGCAAGAGAGACGGAGAGGUAGAAGAGUUCUCCGGCAGAGUGACGGCACUCCGGAGGUUGGUGAUGAUCUCGUCUCAGCAGGGCUCCGCCCGAGCUCCGCAGAAACGCGAUCUAGAGGAAAAACCGUGGAGGUAUGUGGUCGGGCUGCCGUGGAAAAGUCGUCUCAAAUCAGCCCUAAAACCUCCGUAUAUAUAGGGGGAAGAGGGGAAGCCUUGCCUUGGGGUCCAAGGACCCCUAAGGGCUUCGGCCGAGCCAAGGGGGGCAGCCCUCCCCUUCCAAACCGAGUCCAAUUAGGUUUGGAAGGAGGAGUCCUUCCCCCUUUUCCCACCUCCGCUUUUUUUCUCUUUGAUUUUCUUCCUAUGGCGCAUAGGGCCUUCUUGGGCUAUCCCACCAGCCCACUAAGGGCUGGUGCGCCACCCCCAAGGCCUAUGGGCUUCCCCGGGGUGGGUUGCCCCCCCCCCCGGUGAACUCCCGGAACCCAUUCGUCAUUCCCGGUACAUUCCCGGUAAGUCCGAAAACCUUCCGGUAAUCAAACGAGGUCAUCCUAUAUAUCAAUCUUCGUUUCCGGACCAUUCCAGAAACCCUGGUGACGUCCGUGAUCUCAUCCGGGACUCCGAACAACAUUCGGUAACCAACCAUAUAACUCAAAUACGCAUAAAACAACGUCGAACCUUAAUUGUGCAGACCCUGCGGGUUCGAGAACUAUGUAGACAUGACCCGAGAGACCCCUCGGUCAAUAUCCAAUAGCAGGACCUGGAUGCCCAUAUUGGAUCCUACAUAUUCUACGAAGAUCUUAUCGUUUGAACCUCAGUGCCAAGGAUUCAUAUAAUCCCGUAUGUCAUUCCCUUUGUCCUUCGAUAUGUUACUUGCCCGAGANNNNNNNNNNNNNNNNNNNNNNNNNNNNNNNNNNNNNNNNNNNNNNNNNNNNNNNNNNNNNNNNNNNNNNNNNNNNNNNNNNNNNNNNNNNNNNNNNNNNNNNNNNNNNNNNNNNNNNNNNNNNNNNNNNNNNNNNNNNNNNNNNNNNNNNNNNNNNNNNNNNNNNNNNNNNNNNNNNNNNNNNNNNNNNNNNNNNNNNNNNNNNNNNNNNNNNNNNNNNNNNNNNNNNNNNNNNNNNNNNNNNNNNNNNNNNNNNNNNNNNNNNNNNNNNNNNNNNNNNNNNNNNNNNNNNNNNNNAACGAUUAUCUUGAUACACGAAUUAUAAUAAUAACUAUAUUUAUUAUUGCCUCUAGGGCAUAAUUCCAACAGUCUCCCACUUGCACUAGAGUCAAUAAUCUAGCUCUCACAUCAUCAUGCGAAUUACAUUAUAAUAAAUCUAACACCCAUACAGUUCUGGUGUUGAUCAUGCUUUUCCCGUGGAAGAGGUUUAGUCAGCGGGUCUGCUACAUUCAGAUCCGUGUGCACUUUGCAUAUAUUUACGUCCUCCCCUUCGACGUAGUCGCGGAUGAGGUUGAAGCGUCGUUUGAUGUGUCUGGACUUCUUGUGAAACCGUGGUUCCUUUGCUAAGGCAAUGGCACCCGUGUUGUCACAGAACAAGGUUAUUGGAUUCAGUGCGCUUGGCACCAUUCCAAGAUCCGUCAUGAACUGCUUCAUCUAGACACCCUCCUUAGCCGCCUCCGAGGCAGCCAUGUACUCCGCUUCACAUGUAGAAUCUGCUACGACGCUUUGCUUGGAACUGCACCAGCUUACCGCACCCCCAUUAAGAAUAAAUACGUAUCCGGUUUGCGACUUAGAGUCGUCCGGAUCUGUGUCAAAGCUUGCAUCGACGUAACCUUUUACGGCGAGCUCUUCGUCACCUCCAUACACGAGAAACAUCUCCUUAGUCCUUUUGAGGUACUUCAGGAUAUUCUUGACCGCCGUCCAGUGAUCCACUCCUGGAUUACUCUGGAACCUACCUGCCAUACUUAUGGCCAGGAUAACGUCCGGUCUAGUGCACAGCAUUGCAUACAUGAUAGAACCUAUGGCUGAAGCAUAGGGGACGGAGCGCAUAUGCUCUCUAUCCUCAUCAGUUGCUGGGCACUGAGUCUUACUCAAUCUCGUACCUUGUAAAACUGGCAAGAACCCUUUCUUGGACUGUUCCAUUUUGAACCUCUUCAAAACUUUAUCAAGGUAUGUGCUUUGUGAAAGUCCUAUCAGGCGUUUUGAUCUAUCCCUGUAGAUCUUAAUGCCUAGAAUGUAAGCAGCUUCUCCUAGGUCCUUCAUAGAGAAACUUUUAUUCAAGUAAUCCUUUAUGCUCUCCAAAAACUCUACGUUGUUUCCUACCAGCAAUAUGUAAUCCACAACGAGCAAUAUGUAAUCCACAUAUAAUAUUAGAAACGCCACAGAGCUCCCACUCACUUUCUUGUAAAUACAAGAUUCUCCAACCACUUGUAUAAACCCAAAUGCUUUGAUCACCUCAUCAAAGCGUUUGUUCCAACUCCGAGAUGCUUGCACCAGUCCAUAAAUGGAUCGCUGGAGCUUGCACACCUUGUUAGCAUUCUUAGGAUCGACAAAACCUUCGGGUUGCAUCAUAUACAACUCUUCCUUAAGGAAACCGUUAAGGAACGCCGUUUUGACAUCCAUCUGCCAGAUUUCAUAAUCGAAAAAUGCAGCUAUUGCUAACAUGAUUCUGAUGGACUUAAUCAUCGCUAUGGGUGAGAAUGUCUCAUCGUAGUCAACUCCUUGAACUUGUGAAAAACCCUUUGCCUCAAGUCGAGCUUUAUAAACGGUCACAUUGUCAUCAGCGUCCGUCUUCCUCUUAAAGAUCCAUUUGUUCUGAAUAGCCUUGCGGCCCUCAGGCAGUACUUCCAAAGUCCACACUUUGUUCUCAUACAUGGAUCCUAUCUCGGACUUCAUGGCUUCUAGCCAUUUGUUGGAAUCUAGGCCCACCAUUGCUUCUUCAUAAUUUGCAGGUUCAUUGUUGUUCAACAACAUGAUUGAUAAGACGGGAUUACCGUACCACUCUGGAGCAGCACGUGGCCUCGUCGACCUGCGUGGUUCGACAGAAACUUGAACCGGAGUUUCAUGAUCAUCAUCAUUAACUUCCUCCUCAACCGGCGUCGCAACGACAGAGGUUUCCCCUUGCCCUGCGCCACCAUCCAGAGGGAUGAGAGGUUCGACAACCUCGUCAAGUUCUAUCUUCCUCCCACUCAAUUCUCUCGAGAGAAACUCCUUCUCGAGAAAAGCUCCGUUUUUAGCAACAAACACUUUGCCCUCGGAUUUGAGAUAGAAGGUGUACCCAACUGUCUCUUUUGGGUAACCUAUGAAGAUGCACUUUUCCGCUUUGGGUUCCAGCUUUUCAGGCUGAAGCUUUUUGACAUAAGCAUCACAUCCUCAAACUUUAAGAAAUGACAACUUUGGCCUUUUGCCAUACCACAGUUCGUAUGGUGUCGUCUCAACGGAUUUUGAUGGUGCCCUAUUUAAAGUGAAUGCAGCUGUUUCUAAUGCAUAGCCCCAAAACGAUAACGGCAAAUCGGUAAGAGACAUCAUAGAUCGCACCAUCUCUAAUAAAGUACGAUUACGACGUUCGGACACACCAUUACGCUGUGGUGUUCCAGGCGGUGUCAACUGUGAAACAAUUCCACAUUGUCUUAAGUGAGCACCAAACUCGAAACUCAGAUAUUCACCCCCACGAUCAGACCGUAGGAACUUGAUCUUCUUGUUACGAUGAUUUUCAACUUCACUCUGAAAUUGCUUGAACUUUUCAAAUGUUUCAGACUUGUGCUUCAUUAAGUAGACAUAACCAUAUCUACUCAAAUCGUCAGUGAAGGUGAGAAAAUAACGACAUCCGCCGCGUGCCUCUACGCUCAUCAGACCACACACAUCGGUAUGUAUGAUUUCCAACAAGUCACUUGCACGCUCCAUUGUUCCGGAGAACGGAGUUUUAGUCAUCUUGCCCAUGAGGCAUGGUUCGCACAUGUCAAGUGAAUCAAAGUCAAGUGACUCCAAAAGUCCAUCGGCAUGGAGUUUCUUCAUGCGCUUUACACCAAUAUGACCUAAGCGGCACUGCCACAAAAAUAUGGCGUUAUCAUUGUUAACUCUAACUCUUUUGGUCUCAGUGUUAUGUAUGUGUGUAUCACUAUCAAGAUUCAGUAUGAACAAUCCUCUCACAUUGGGUGCAUGACCAUAAAAGAUGUUACUCAUAGAAAUAGAACAACCAUUAUUCUCUGACUUAAAAGAGUAACCGUCUCGCAAUAAACAAGAUCCAGAUAUAAUGUUCAUGCUCAGCGCAGGCACUAAAUAACAAUGAUUCAAGUUCAUAACUAAUCCUGAUGGUAACUAAAGUGAAACUGUGCCGACGGCGAUUGCAUCAACCUUGGAACCAUUUCCUACGCGCAUUGUCACUUCAUCUUUCGCCAGCCUUCGUCUAUUCCGCAGUUCCUGUUUCAAGUUGCAAAUAUGAGCAACAGAACCGAUAUCGAAUACCCAGGCACUACUAUGAGAGCCGGUUAAGUACACAUCAAUAACAUGUAUAUCGAAUAUACCUGAUUUUUCUUUGGCCGCCUUCUUAUCAGCCAGAUACUUGGGGCAAUUGCGCUUCCAGUGACCCAUACCCUUGCAAUAGUAACACUCUGUUUCAGGCUUAGGUCCAGCUUUGGGUUUCUUCGUUGGAUUGGCAACAGGCUUGCCGCUCUUCUUUGAUUUACCCUUCUUGCCUUUGCCGUUUCUCUUGAAACUAGUGGUCUUAUUCACCAUCAACACUUGAUGUUCUUUACGGAGUUCAGACUCUGCGACCUUCAGCAUCGCAAACAACUCGCCGGGUGACUUGUUCAUCCCUUGCAUGUUGUAGUUCAACACAAAGCCUUUAUAGCUUGGCGGCAGUGAUUGAAGGAUUCUGUCAGUGAUAGCCUCUUGCGGGAGUUCAAUCCCCAGCUCAUCUAGACGGUUUGAGUACCCAGACAUUUUGAGCACAUGUUCACUGACAGACAAAUUCUCCUCCAUCUUGCAAGCAUAGAAUUUAUCGGAGGUCUCAUACCUCUCGAUCCGGGCAUUCUUCUGAAAGAUAAACUUCAACUCCUGGAACAUCUCAAAUGCUCCAUGACGCUCAAAGCGAUGUUGAAGUCCCGGUUCUAAGCCAUACAAGACUGCACAUUGAACUACUGAGUACUCCUCCUUACGUGCUAACCAAGCGUUCUUAACAUCCUGAUCAGCCGUAGCGGGUGGUUCAUCUCCUAGCGCAGCAUUAAGGACAUAAUCCUUCUUCCCAGCUUGUAAUAUUAGCUUAAGAUUACGAGCCCAGUCUACAAAGUUGCUUCCAUCAUCUUUCAACUUAGCUUUCUCUAGGAACGUAUUAAAAUUUAGGGUGACUGUCGCGUGAGCCAUGAUCUACAACACAAAUAUAUUCAAAGUGGACUUAGACUAUGUUCAAGAUAAUUAGAGUUUAACUUAAUCAAAUUAAUCGCUAAACUCCCACUGAAAAAAUACAUCUCUCUAGUCAUUUGAGUGGUUCAUGAUCCACUUACACUAGCUCAAGUCCGAUCAUCAUGUGAGUUGAGCAUAGUUUCAGUGGUAAGCAUCCCCAUGCUAAUCAUAUCAUCUAUAUGAUUCAUGAUCGACCUUUCGGUCUCAUGUGUUCCGAGGUCAUGUCUGCACAUGCUAGGCUCGUCAAGCUUAACCCUGAGUGUUCCGCGUGCGCAACUGUUUUGCACCCGUUGUAUGUGAACGUUGAGUCUAUCACACCCGAUCAUCACGUGGUGUCUCGAAACGACGAACUGUAGCAACGGUGCACAGUCGGGGAGAACACAAUUUCGUCUUGAAAUUUUAGUGAGAGAUCACCUCAUAAUGCUACUGUCAUUCUAAGCAAAAUAAGGUGCAUAAAAGGAUUAACAUCACAUGCAAUUCAUAAGUGACAUGAUAUGGCCAUCAUCACGUGCUCCUUGAUCUCCAUCACCAAAGCACCGGCAUGAUCUUCUUGUCACCGGCGCCUCACCAUGAUCUCCAUCAACGUGUCGCCAUCGGGGUUGUCGUGCUACUCAUGCUAUUACUACUAAAGCUACAUCCUAGCAAAAUAGUAAACGCAUCUGCAAGCACAAACAUUAGUAUAAAGACAACCCUAUGGCUCUUGCCGGUUGUCGUACCAUCGACGUGCAAGUCGAUAUUAUCUAUUACAACAUGAUCAUUUCAUACAUCCAAUAUAUCACAUCACAACGUUGGCCAUAUCACAUCACAAGCAUACCCUGCAAAAACAAGUUAGACGUCCUCUAAUUUUGUUGUUGCAUGUUUUACGUGGUGACCAUGGGUAUCUAGUAGGAUCGCAUCUUACUUACGCAAACACCACAACGGAGAUAUAUGAGUUGCUAUUUAACCUCAUCCAAGGACCUCCUCGGUCAAAUCCGAUUCAACUAAAGUUGGAGAAACUGACACCCGCCAGUCAUCUUUGAGCAACAGAGUUACUCGUAGCGAUGAAACCAGUCUCUCGCAAGCGUACGAGUAAUGUCGGUCCGAGCCGCUUCGAUCCAACAAUACCGCGGAACCAAGAAAAGACUAAGGAGGGCAGCAAAACGCACAUCACCGCCCACAAAAACUUUUGUGUUCUACUCGAGAAGACAUCUACGCAUGAACCUAGCUCAUGAUGCCACUGUUGGGGAACGUCGCAUGGGAAUCAAAAAUUUUCCUACGCGCGCGAAGACCUAUCAUGGUGAUGUCCAUCUACGAGAGGGGAUGUGUGAUCUACGUACCCUUGUAGACCGUACAGCAGAAGCGUUAGUGAACGCGGUUGAUGUAGUGGAACGUCCUCACGUCCCUCGAUCCGCCCCACGAACCGUCCCGCCAUCAGUCCCACUAUCUAGUGUCGAACGGACGGCACCUCCGCGUUCAGCACACGUACAGCUCGACGAGGAUCUCGGCCUUCUUGAUCCAGCAAGAGAGACGAAGAGGUAGAAGAGUUCUCCGGCAGCGUGACGGCGCUCCGGAGGUUGGUGAUGAUCUCGUCUCAGCACGGCUCCGCCCGAGCUCCGCAGAAACGCGAUCUAGAGGAAAAACCGUGGAGGUAUGUGGUCGGGCUGACGUGGAAAAGUCGUCUCAAAUCAGCCCUAAAACCUCCGUAUAUAUAGGGGGAAGAGGGGAAGCCUUGCCUUGGGGUCCAAGGACCCCUAAGGGCUUCGGCCGAGCCAAGGGGGGCAGCCCUCCCCUUCCAAACCGAGUCCAACUAGGUUUGGAAGGAGGAGUCCUUCCCCCUUUUCCCACCUCCUCUUUUUUUUCUCUUUGAUUUUCUUCCUAUGGCGCAUAGGGCCUUCUUGGGCUGUCCCACCAGCCCACUAAGGGCUGGUGCGCCACCCCCAAGGCCUAUGGGCUUCCCCGGGGUGGGUAGCCCCCCCCCCCGUGAACUCCCGGAACCCAUUCGUCAUUCCCGGUACAUUCCCGGUAACUCCGAAAACCUUCCGGUAAUCAAACGAGGUCAUCCUAUAUAUCAAUCUUCGUUUCCGGACCAUUCCGGAAACCCUCGUGAUGUGCGUGAUCUCAUCCGGGACUCUGAACAACAUUCGGUAACCAACCAUAUAACUCAAAUACGCAUAAAACAACGUCGAACCUUAAGUGUGCAGACCCUGCGGGCUCGAGAACUAUGUAGACAUGACCCAAGAGACUCCUGGGUCAAUAUGCAAUAGCGGGACCUGGAUGCCCAUAUUGGAUCCUACAUAUUCUACGAAGAUCUUAUCGUUUGAACCUCGGUGCCAAGGAUUCAUAUAAUCCCGUAUGUCAUUCCCUUUGUCCUUCGGUAUGUUACUUGCCCGAGANAUUAUCUUGAUACAGGAAUUAUAAUAAUAACUAUAUUUAUUAUUGCCUCUAGGGUAUAAUUCCAACACAACCUCACAUUGAUAAAGAACCAGAUAAUGAUGUUGAGAUAGAACCUACUGUUGAUCUUGAUAACCCACAACCUAAGAAAUAAAUGUUAUGAUAAAGAGAUUUUGUUGCUAGAAGCAUGGUAAAUAAAGAGACCAUGGGUUCAAAAACCCAUGCCUUAUCCACCUAAACCAACUAAGAAAAAAUAUGAUGAAGAAUUUGAACGCUUUGCUGAAAUGCUUAGGCCAGUCUUUCUGCGUACUCGUUUGACUGAUCUUUGAAAGAUGGCCCCUUAUGCUAAGUACAUGAAAGACAUCGUCACUAAUAAAAUAAAAAUACCUAAAGCUGAAAUAUCCACCAUGCUAGCUAAUUGUACUUUUAAGGAUGGUGUACGUAAAAAACUAGGAGAUCCAGGAAUACCAACUAUACCAUGCUUCAUGUGAUUUAAGAGUUGGUGUUAAUGUUAUGCCUUUCUCUUUAUACAAAAGACUUGACUUGAAUAAACUCACACCUACUGAAAUUUCAUUCCAAAUGGCUGACAAAUCAACUACCAUACCUAUCGGUAUUCAUGAGGAUGUGGUCGUUGUUGUUGCAAAUGUUACUAUCUUGACAGACUUUGUUAUAGCUAAUAUGCCUGAGGACGACAACAUUUCGAUUAUCCUUGGUAGACCUUUCUUAAAUACUAUAGGGGGUGUUAUUGAUUGCAAAAAAAGCAAGGUCACUUUUCAUGUCAAUGGUAAAGAACAUACGAUGCAUUUCCCAAGGAAAAAAUUCAAGUAAAUCGUGUUAAUGUUAUUGAAAAAUCUCCAACUACCACCAAUGAAAGUUUUCAACUACCUCUACCUACAUCCCAAAAUAAAUAUGAGAUACUUAAUGUCGGGGAUUUGCACAUCCCCAUUGCGGUAACUUAGUGUUUUAUGAAAAUUCUUCGGGAUCAUGCUAAUUGGAAGUGGUUGUUAAUAAGAAUUGAUCAACCUUAUUAGUGAAUCAUUUUCAAGAGGCGUGAUGUCGAUGAAUUCAGUAGACACAACUCUUUGUAUCCAUUUUACUUUUCUUGAUAUUUUUAUUUUAAAGCAAUAAAUAUCAUGAUUAUCCUCUUUUAUCAUUUUUCCGUGCAAUAAAAAGUGCCCAAAAAUAAAAGUUCUCCAAAUCGCUUGAAAUUUUUACACAUUUUCCCCUGAAUAUUUGAGAAUACCUAGCACUAAAAACAUUGCACGGGGGUGUCCUAGGUGGCCACUAGACACAGGGCACGUCAGGCCUCCCUCGCACGGCGAGGUGUCUAGUGGGCCCCUCGGGGAUCCCCUCACUUAAUCCUUGAGCUCACUUCGUCACUCACCUUGACAAAAAAAAUUAUCCUCGUAGCUCUCUCUCUCUCCUGUUCUUGCUCUCAAACCCGUGGAUUUCGAUAUCUUUGUUUGAAACUCCAUUUUGGGGGAUUGCCCCUUGGUAUGUAACUCCCCCACUCCUCCAAUUAUUUUUUGUUGUAGAUGAGCUUGCAUGUUGAAUUCUUCAAUUUCCAAGUAGUUUGAGUGCGUGUUUUGGGCUCUAGGCAUCCCUAUGAGUAGUUCCCACCAUUUUGGUGAAGUUUUGUUAACUUUAGUUUGUGACCCAAAAAAAUUCAAAAAUUUGUUCUUGGAAAAAUGAACUUCUUCAAGAGGAGUUUAUCCAAGAAUAAUGCCAAGGGAGUUCUUUGUGAAUCAUCUGCCGCUGGACUCUUCACCUCGUGCUUGACGAAGGUCCGACCGUGCGAAUGGCCACACACUCCUUUCAUGGAACAAGCCGAAUUCCACCGUGAGUUUGCGCAAUUCAUGGCGAAUGCUGGGUUGACCAACUUCACUGCAGAUGAGUGUGACCAAUACCAUACCCUCACUAAUUCCUUUGUUCAAAAUUUCUAUUUUCUAAAUAGGCAUGAUCCACCUUCAGUGCAGUUUAAACUAUAUACUCCCUCCGUUUCAAAAUAUAAGACCUUUUAGGGAUUUCACUAUAAGACUACAUACGGAGCAAAAUGAGUGAAUCUAUACUCUAAAAUAUGUCUAUGUACAUCUGUAUGUGGUUUAUAGUGCAAUCUCUAAAAGGUCUUAUAUUUAGGAACAGAGGGAGUAUAUGUGAAACCCGCCAAAUACCGCUUACCGAAUUCUAUGAGAUAUGUUUAAUUCCCUCUCACGGGGAGUUAAGAGAACCCAAGCUGACUGAGUUUGAGGAUUUCUUUCUCACCUUAACAGUCUGUGAGCAAGAGGUGUGUCGAAAGCCACAACCCCGAGCCUGUAGUUUCCUUAAUUGUACUACUUUGCUUUAUUUAUGAUGAAGUGUUUAACUGCUAGGGGGUAGGGUAGUAUCCUUAGCGCUCCUGACCUUGCCAUUUUGCGUCGAACACUCCAUAAUGAUCACACCUUUAAUUUGGGAGUAAUUAUUGCUCGACGUUUACACAAUAAUAGAUCUAAGGGUAAAAUCCAUGGUGGUAUUUAUGCCACUUGCUUAGCAAAACUCUUUAACAUCUCUUUUCGUCAUGAUGACUGUCUUUUACCACAAGCUUAUCUAGAUCGCCAGUCUAUGGUUGAUCACCAAUUUAUUGACACUGAUGAUUCCUUGGAUAACCUUUCGUAUAACUUAGUUUUUAGUGAGGUUACCCAAGAUAUUAUCCCGUUGCCUCCACCUGCUUUGUUUGAUUCUAUUGCCAGGAACGGAUACAUGAUCAUGCGUGAGCACAUUAUUGCCUAUCGGAACGCCGAGGAAGCAGCCGAGCAGGAGCCCCAUGAGUGGAACUCUCUGGUGCCGUCGCCCAAACACUUCGAAAUGAGGUCGGACGGCUACUACAGAUGGUGAUUGCCAAGCUAGGCCAAAAGCCUAAGCUUGGGGGAGUACGUGUUCCCACCAGCUUUACAUCCAUGCUUACACAUUCUAGUUGUCGAUGUUCACACUCUUGCAUUGUAAUAUCCUUGUUAGAUUUAGUUUUCAUGCUUCUUCUUGUGUGUUUGAAAAACUUGCAAAAAACCCAAAAUGAUUUCUCUUUUCCUCUUUUACUUGUUGGGAGCUUUCCCGUGUAAAUAGUUUUUCUCGUUUUGGUUUUUUCUUCUUUAAUCUGCUUUCUUCUUGAAAAACUAAAAACAUAAAAAAUAUUUUAGUGUGUUUCUCUGAAUUUAUUUCCCCUUCUUUGAGUUAUAACCAAGGGGAAGACCACGAUGAAAAUAUUGAGUGGCUCUCGUAUGCAUUGUUAUUGAUCUAGUAAAGAGCCCAUAUUACAUUGUCUUCUCCUUUUGAAUGAAAUGCUGCAAAUUCUAGCUUAGUCCAUGGUACUCUUGUACUAUUAUUAUUUUUAUAUCGUUCGGUCGUGCAAGUGAAAAGCAAUAAUGACAAUAUUUGAUGAAGUGAAUGCGACAGAGAAAAAUGGGUAUGAACUCAACUUGUUUUUGUUUCUGCAAAUAUAUUUAGACCAAUAUCCAUGACUCAGCGUAUUAUGACCAAACAUGUUUGCAAUGGAAAUUAGAGAUUAUAGUUGUCCAUGCCAUGCUUAAGUAGCUAGGAGUGGAUGAUGUUUUAUCUUGGAUGUCAACAUGCAUUAAAAUGGUUGUGAUGUAGUAUGAUGAUAUGGUAUCCUCCUAUGAAUGUUCGAGUGGCUUGACGUGGCACAUGUUUACGCAUGUAGUUGAAUCAAAACCAACAUAGCCUCCACGAUAUUUAUAUUCAUGGUGUUUAUAUCCUACUCAUGCUAGUAUGCAACGAUGAUUAUUCAUAAAGCAUGUUCAUGAUUGUCUUUUGUUCUCUAGCUGAUCGCUUCCCAACCUAUUUGUUAGCCUUCACCGGUACUAACCAAUAUACAGUUUGUGCAUCAAAAUCCUUGAAACAAAGUUAUUCCAUAUGAGUCCACCAUACCUACCUAUGUAUGGUAUUACCCUGUCAUUCCAAGUAAAUUUCCAUGUGCCACCUCUAAUAUUUCAAAUAAACUUUCGUUUUGUGUGCCUGGACCGCUCAUGGAGCAAGAGAGGGCGGUCAGUAUCUUCCAUGCUAAGCGAGUUAUUCUCACGAUGAUUGUUUAUUCACUCGUCCCUACACAAGAGAGGCUGGUAAAAAGGGACUCCCAAUCCAGAAUCAUAAAUCGCAAAUAAUUAAACAAAACCCCCCUGUAUUAUUAUUGAUAUGGAAGGCACCCGUGGAUUUGGCUAGUCGUGGAGUGUGUUUGUUGGUGGAGGGGGAAUAAACCUUUACUUUUACCGUCUCGGAACCCCUGCUAAUUUGUUUAGCAUGGAAAAUAUCGAUAACUCUUGGUCGUAACGUUGACACGAAGGGUGCACCUCCCAAAAUAACUUAUAUCUUAUUUUUGCUAUGAGCUCUAUCACCACUUCAAAUCCGUGCUUCCCUUUGCGAAGGGACUUUCUCUUUACUUUCAUGUUAUUUUAUUUUUUACUUUGAGUCAUCACCUUCUCAAAUAAGCACCACACCUAAGAACACUACUGUCAUCCUCAUGCUUUAUGUCUAGUUAGUCGUUGUUUGCAGCAUGACUAGAUCUCUUUUACAAUGAAUUACAAUGUCUAGUUGCUGCUUGAACUUUGGAGGUUCUCUCCAUUUACGUUUUGCGGUCUCAGAAAGGGCUAGCGAGAUACCAUUAUUGUCAUAUUAUAUCAUGAUUGUUUUGACAAAGUGUUGAUGUUUAAGUUAUCUUAUUAUUGCUCGCUAGUUGCUUAUGCCAAUAAUAUGAGAUAAUAUAGUUUCUAAGGGUUAUUGUUGAUAUGAUUAGUCACCUCGACUAGGGAUGAUGAUGCUCUCAUCCGACAACAUGAAUCCAAACAAGAAUACUCCACUAGCUCUCUUUAUAAUAUCAUCAAUUUCAGAGGGGUCCAACAUGUCUUUAUUCCCUUUGUCUGGUCCAUUGUGGAUCCACCUAGGAUAAUUGUAUAAUAACAAACGUAUGAUCAAAGACAACCUAAAGAAGAGAGGAAUUGAGAACCCGGCUAAUAUAUAUUUUGUACUCCCUCCAUACCAAAAUAUAAGACGUUUCUGCAAUUCAACUUGAACUACAAAAUCCUCUUAUAUUUUGGUAUAGGGGUAUUACUAAAUAUGAAAGUAUGUGUUACUCGUUCUUUAAAUGUGUUGUUUCUCAACAACCAUGAAAGCAUAUUGAUGAGUUCUUUAAACUUUCAUUAUGAUCAAAUUUUAUAUAUGUUGUCAAAUAUUGGUUAGCUAGCAAGACCCAUGGUGCACCGAACUCUCUUUGCGCUUGUACUUGUGGUGCAUUUGGAAUAGUAGGAAUGAUCAUGUGUUCAAUAAUGCUAUUUGGCCCGAUCUUAAACAUAUUUGGUGCAUGAUUUUGACCAACCGGAAGAAAAGGCCAAUUUCAUUAAAAGAUCAAAACGUGAGGAAAAUUGAAGCAUUUUCUCAAAUGCUCUGUGUUGUGCUCUAAUCAGCCCCCCUCAUCCUAUGAUGGAGGGGUAGUUCGUCCUGAAAUUUGUAGUGCAGGUGCCCUCGACCAGACUCUUUUGGCCAAACUAUCAUUCUCUAGUGCUUUGGUGUGGGGAGGUGCAUUUCCAUGCCUCACCGCUAUAAGACGCUCAUUGUUGAGAUCAUAAACUAGUUACACUCAACCCAUCACUCCAUGGAGUUGGUGCACUCGCUCAAUCGCUCUCCGCUGAAGAAAUCCAAGUCUGGCACGAGCUCGGCGUGUGGACGCAAGCUCAAAACGGAGGCUCUUUGACUCUCUAAAGUGUAAUAGUUUAGAUAAUCUUGUUUUCUAGAAUAAAAGUCCGAUCAAAAACAUUAUGUAGCACUUUACUUGUUAGCUUGUACUGGAUCUUGUAGUUUUAAUUCCCGAACCUUGUUACUCUAGUUUCAUUUGAUAAUGGAACCGGUGGCCUCCCCGAUGAUCUAAAAAAUAACUUCUUUAUAGAAGUUAAACAUUUAUUUGUUUCUAUCAUUUUUGUGAAUUCUUUAUCAACAUCUACAAUAGUAAAUCAAUAUUAUACUAAAAUCAUCAACCAACAUGAUUGAAUGGUUAAGAGGACAGUGAUAUCUUCAAUCCACCAAAGUUAAAUCCUAGAUGUGACAUUGGUGCUCGUAUUUGUUAAUCCUAGAUGUGACAUUGGUGCUCGUAUUUGUUAAUCCUAGAUCUGACAUUGGUGCUUGUAUUUAUUUAGAUCUUCCGAUGAUGUACGUUCAGUGGAAGAAGAUGUUCCUGCCAACUAUGACAUCGUUUGUGAUCUCUUCGUUAAUAUCUUUUUGAAAAUCUUGCCGCUCUUAUUAAGACUCAAACAAAGUUGGGAAUGUCAUCGGCAACCACAUCCAGAAUACAAUCUGGAGGGGAUGCCAACCAAACCUUACACAGUUGUUCUCCUACUCCUAUCUUAGCUAACUUAUGCACGGCAACAUUAGCGGAACGCCGAACCCAAGAAACCCGGGAAUCAACGAACCCAUGGAGCUGAGAUUUUAUGUCCUCUACCCAUGAACCGGUAGCUGAUAGAUCCUUCGCUUGGUGAUUGAUCCUAUGCACCAGAGACUGACAGUCCAGUUCUAGGUAGAUCCUUUGAACCUGCAUGGUAGCCGCAAAUUCCAGAGCCCGCCGACAAGCCAAAAUCUCCGCUGCUUCGGGGUCACCCAUACGGGGAAAAAAUGACAUAAGCCUGCUAUAAAGCCCCCCGUGUCGGUCCUGAUCACGGCACCCCCUCCUCCUUUGCUUCCAUGCCGAUCUAUAGCCCCGUCCGAGUUUACCUUCGUCCAGCCCACCUGCGGAGGGGACCAUCGCUGUGUCUGCACUUGUUUAAGCACCAAAACUUUUGCCUCAUGUACCUCCCUCCAUUCUUGUAUGUGGCCACACACCCGAGCUGGGAUUUCACGUGGAUCCUCAAUCUUUCUCCCCUCCCUCGUCUCAUUGCGUGCCAACCACAGAGCAUAUACGGCCUGGACCAUUGCUUCCCAUUGCUCACCCGAAGCUUCAGCAAACCACCCCAGCAGCCAAUUAGCGAGAGCACUCUAUGUAGCGAGAUUACAAGGUGGCGACGUUAUUCCCAUACCCAGUUCUAUGCGGAGCUUCUCCCAGAACAGCAUAGAAUGCUGGCAAUUCCAGAACCGAUGAAUGUGCGUCUCCUCUCUCCCGCACACACAGAAAAAAAAACCCGAUUUAAUCCUCCGUCGAUGCAGCUCUGUACCCACAGCCAGUCCAUUGCGGAUCAGCCGCCACAUAUGGAUCUUAGAUUUCGGGGACGCAUUUGUCGCCCAUAGCCCCAAGAAACCCUUGUGUUUAUUAACUGACGACGACGACUCCGGCUGUCCGGAUCGUGUCCGAUUUUGCGCCAUCCUCAGGUGAUAAGCAGAGCGAACCGAGAACAUCCCAUUCUUGGUGUAAUUCCAUGCCAGAAAGUCUUGUGAUCCCUGUCCCCCACCGCAAUUUGCUUGAUUUCUUCUACCUCAUCCGGCGGGAACACAACGGCCAGCUUUGCUUCAUCCCAUGCUUCUCCAGUUUGGGUCAGUAGGUCUGCAACCUUCGUCACACCUUGCACAUAAACCGCACCUAGAGGAGUAAGGCUUCCACUCCUUGGGAUCCAAUUGUCCUGAAAAAUCCUGAUAUUACUACCAUCCCCAAUACGCCAGAUGAGCCCCAUGUUCAAUAGGUCUCUGCCAUGGAUAAUACCUCUGAAAGUGGAUGAUGUUGGGAAACGUCGCAUGGGAAACAAAAAUUUUCCUACGCGCACGAAGACCUAUCAUGGUGAUGUCCAUCUACGAGAGGGGAUGAGUGAUCUACGUACCCUUGUAGACCGUACAGCAGAAGCGUUAGAGAACGCGGUUGAUGUAGUGGAACGUCCUCACGUCCCUCGAUCCGCCCCGCGAACAAUCCCGCGAUCAGUCCCACGAUCUAGUACCGAACGGACGGCACCUCCGCGUUCAGCACACGUACAGCUCGACGAUGAUCUCGGCCUUCUUGAUCCAGCAAGAGAGAUGGAGAGGUAGAAGAGUUCUCCGGCAGUGUGACGGCGCUCCGGAGGUUGGUGAUGAUCUCGUCUCAGCAGGGCUCCGCCCGAGCUCCGCAGAAACGCGAUCUAGAGGAAAAACUAUGGAGGUAUGUGGUCGGGCAGCAGUGAGAAAGUCGUCUCAAAUCUGCCCUAAAAGCCCCAUAUAUAUAGGAGGAGGGAGGGGGACCUUGCCUUGGGGUCCAAGGGACCCUCAAGGGGUCGGCCGAGCCAAGGGGGGGAGGACUCCCCCCCAAACCGAGUUGGACUUGGUUUGGUGGGAGGAGUCCCCCUCCCUUCCCACUUCUUCCCUCUUUUUUUUUCUUUUCCUUUGAUUUCCUUCUCUUGGCGCAUAGGCCCCCUUGGGGCUCUACCACCAGCCCACUAAGGGCUGGUGUGUCUCCCCAAAGCCUAUGGGCUUCCCCGGGGUGGGUUGCCCCCCCCGGUGAACUCCCGGAACCCAUUCGUCAUUCCCGGUACAUUCCCGGUAACUCCGAAAACCUUCCGGCAAUCAAAUGAGGUCAUCCUGUAUAUCAAUCUUUGUUUCCGGACCAUUCCGGAAACCCUCGUGACGUCCGUGAUCUCAUCCGGAACUCCGAACAUCAUUCGGUAACCAACCAUAUAACUCAAAUACGCAUAAAACAACGUCGAACCUUAAGUGUGCAGACCCUGCGGGUUCGAGAACUAUGUAGACAUGACCCGAGAGACUCCUCGGUCAAUAUCCAAUAGCGGGACCUGGAUGCCCAUAUUGGAUCCUACAUAUUCUACGAAGAUCUUAUCGUUUGAACCUCAGUGCCAAGGAUUCGUAUAAUCCCGUAUGUCAUUCCCUUUGUCCUUCGGUAUGUUACUUGCCCGAGAUUCGAUCGUCAGUAUCCGCAUACCUAUUUCAAUCUCGUUNNNNNAGGGCAUAAUUCCAACAGUCUCCCACUUGCACUAGAGUCAAUAAUCUAGCCCUCACAUCACCAUGUGAAUUACAUUGUAAUAAAUCUAACACCCAUACAGUUCUGGUGUCGAUCUUGUUUUGGCCGUGGAAGAGUUUUAGUCAGCGGGUCUGCUACAUUCAGAUCCAUGUGCACUUUGCAUAUAUUUACGUCCUCCUCCUCGACGUAGUCGCGGAUAAGGUUGAAGCGUCGUUUGAUGUGUCUGGUCUUCUUGUGAAACCUUGGUUCCUUCGCUAAGGCAAUGGCACCAGUGUUGUCACAGAACAAGGUUAUUGGAUCCAGUGCACUUGGCACCACUCCAAGAUCCGUCAUGAACUGCUUCAUCCAGACACCCUCCUUGGCCGCCUCCGAGGCAGCCAUGUACUCCGCUUCACAUGUAGAAUCUGCUACGACGCUUUGCUUGGAACUGCACCAGCUUACUGCACCCCCAUUAAGAAUAAAUACGUAUCCGGUUUGCGACUUAGAGUCGUCCGGAUCUGUGUCAAAACUUGCAUCGACGUAACCUUUUACGGUGAGCUCUUCGUCACCUCCAUACACGAGAAACAUCUCCUUAGUCCUUUUCAGGUACUUCAGGAUAUUCUUGACCGUUGUCCAGUGAUCCACUCCUGGAUCACUCUGGAACCUACCUGCCAUACUUAUGGCCAGGCUAACAUCCGGUCUAGUGCACAGCAUAGCAUACAUGAUAGAGCCUAUGGCUGAAGCAUAGGGGACGGAGCGCAUAUGCUCUCUGUCUUCAUCAGUUGCUGGGCACUGAGUCUUACUCAAUCUCGUACCUUGUAGAACUGGCAAGAACCCUUUCUUGGACUGUUCCAUUUUGAACUUUUUCAAAACUUUAUCAAGGUAUGUGCUUUGUGAAAGUCCUAUCAGGCGUUUCGAUCUAUCCCUAUAGAUCUUAAUGCCUAGAAUGUAAGCAGCUUCUCCUAGGUCCUUCAUAGAGAAACUUUUAUUCAAGUAACCUUUUAUGCUCUCCAAAAGCUCUACGUUGUUUCCAAUCUGUAAUAUGUCAUCCACAUAUAAUAUUAGAAACGCCACAGAGCUCCCACUCACUUUCUUGUAAAUACAAGAUUCUCCAACCACUUGUAUAAACCCAAAUGCUUUGAUCACCUCAUCAAAACGUUUGUUCCAACUCCGAGAUGCUUGCACCAGUCCAUAAAUGGAUCGCUGGAGUUUGCACACCUUGUCAGCAUUUUUAGGAUCGACAAAACCUUCGGGUUGCAUCAUAUACAACUCUUCCUUGAGGAAACCGUUAAGGAACGCCGUUUUGACAUCCAUCUGCCAGAUUUCAUAAUCGAAAAAUGCAACUAUUGCCAACAUGAUUCUGACGGACUUAAGCAUCGCUACGGGUGAGAAGGUCUCAUCGUAGUCAACUCCUGGAACUUGUGAAAAACCCUUUGCCACAAGUCGAGCUUUAUAAACGGUCACAUUACCGUCAGCGUCCGUCUUCUUCUUAAAGAUCCAUUUGUUCUGAAUAGCCUUGCGGCCCUCAGGUAGCAUCUCCAAAGUCCACACUUUGUUCUCAUACAUGGAUCCUAUCUCGGAUUUCAUGGCUUCUAGCCAUUUGUUGGAAUCUGAGCCCACCAUUGCUUCUUCAUAAUUUGCAGGUUCAUUGUUGUCUAACAACAUGAUUGAUAAGACGGGAUUACCGUACCACUCUGGAGCAGCGCGUGAUCUCGUCGACCUGCGUGGUUCAACAGAAACUUGAACUGGAGUUUCAUGAUCAUCAUCAUUAACUUCCUCCUCAACCGGCGUCGCAACGACAGAGGUUUCCCCCUGCCCUGCGCCACCAUUCAGAGGGAUGAGAGGUUCGACAACCUCGUCAAGUUCUAUCUUCCUCCCACUCAAUUCUCUCGAGAGAAACUCCUUCUCGAGAAAAGUUCCGUUCUUAGCAACAAACACUUUGCCCUCGGAUUUGAGAUAGAAGGUGUACCCAACUGUCUCUUUUGGGUAACCUCUGAAGACGCACUUUUGCGCUUUGGGUUCCAGCUUUUCAGGCUGAAGCUUUUUGACAUAAGCAUCACAUCCCCAAACUUUAAGAAACGACAACUUUGGCCUUUUGCCAUACCACAGUUCGUAUGGUGUCGUCUCAACGGAUUUCGAUGGUGCCCUAUUUAAAGUGAAUGCAGCUGUUUCUAAUGCAUAACCCCAAAAUGAUAACGGCAAAUCAGUAAGAGACAUCAUAGAUCGCACCAUCUCUAACAAAGUACAAUUACGACGUUCGGACACACCAUUACGCAGUGGUGUUCCAGGCGGUGUUAACUGCGAAACAAUUCCACAUUGUCUUAAGUGAGUACCAAACUCGAAACUCAGAUAUUCACCCCCACGAUCAGACCGUAGGAACUUGAUCUUCUUGUUACGAUGAUUUUCCACUUCACUCUGAAAUUGCUUGAACUUUUCAAAUGUUUCGGACUUGUGCUUCAUCAAGUAGACAUAACCAUAUCUACUUAAAUCGUCAGUGAAGGUGAUAAAAUAACGAUAUCCGCCGCGUGCCUCCACGCUCAUUGGACCACACACAUCGGUAUGUAUGAUUUCCAACAAGUCACUUGCACGCUCCAUUGUUCCGGAGAACGGAGUCUUAGUCAUCUUGCCCAUGAGGCAUGGUUCGCACGUGUCAAGUGAAUCAAAGUCAAGUGACUCCAAAAGUCCAUCAGCAUGGAGUUUCUUCAUGCGCUUUACACCAAUAUGACCCAAGCGGCAGUGCCACAAAAAUAUGGCGCUAUCAUUGUUUACUCUAACUCUUUUGGUCUCAAUGUUAUGUAUAUGUGUAUCGUUAUCAAGAUUCAAUAUGAACAAUCCUCUCACAUUCGGUGCAUGACCAUAAAAGAUGUUACUCAUAGAAAUAGAACAACCAUUAUUCUCAGACUUAAAAGAGUAACCGUCUCGCAAUAAACAAGAUCCAGAUAUAAUGUUCAUGCUCAACGCACGCACUAAAUAACAAUGAUUUAAGUUCAUCACUAAUCCCGAUGGUAGUUGAAGUGACACUGUGCCGACGGCGAUUGCAUCAACCUUGGAACCGUUUCCUACGCGCAUCGUCACUUCGUCUUUCGCCAGCCUUCGUCUAUUCCGCAGUUCCUGCUUCGAGUUGCAAAUGUGAGCAACAGAACCGGUAUCGAAUACCCAGGCACUACUACGAGAGCCGGUUAAGUACACAUCAAUAACAUGUAUAUCAAAUAUACCUGAUUUUUCUUUGCCCGCCUUCUUAUCUGCCAGAUACUUGGGGCAAUUGCGCUUCGAGUGACCCAUACCCUUGCAAUAGAAGCACUCUGUUUCAGGCUUAGGUCCAGCCUUGGGUUUCUUCGGCGGAUUGGCAACAGGCUUGCCGCUCUUCUUCGAAUUGCCCUUCUUGCCUUUGCCGUUUCUCUUGAAACUAGUGGUCUUGCUCACCAUCAACACUUGAUGCUCUUUACGGAGUUCAGACUCUGCGACUUUCAGCAUCGCAAACAACUCGCCGGGAGACUUGUUCAUCCCUUGCAUGUUGUAGUUCAACACAAAGCCUUUAUAGCUUGGCGGCAGUGAUUGAAGGAUUCUGUCAGUGAUAGCUUCUUGCGGGAGUUCAAUCCCCAGUUCAGCUAGACGGUUUGAGUACCCAGACAUUUUGAGCACAUGUUCACUGACAGACGAGUUUUCCUCCAUCUUGCAAGCAUAGAAUUUAUCGGAGGUCUCAUACCUCUCAAUCCGGGCGUUCUUCUGAAAGAUAAACUUCAACUCCUGGAACAUCUCAAAUGCUCCAUGACGCUCAAAGCGACGUUGAAGUCCCGGUUCUAAGCCAUACAAGACUGCACAUUGAACUAUUGAGUAGUCAUCCUUACGUGCUAACCAAGCGUUCUUAACAUCCUGAUCAGCCGUAGCGGGUGGUUCAUCUCCUAGCGCAGCAUUAAGGACAUAAUCCUUCUUUCCAGCUUCUAAGAUUAGCUUAAGAUUACGAGCCCAGUCUACAAAGUUGCUUCCAUCAUCUUUCAACUUAGCUUUCUCUAGGAACGUAUUAAAAUUCAGGAUGACUGUCGCGUGAGCCAUGAUCUACAACACAAAUAUAUUCAAAGUGGACUUAGACUAUGUUCAAGAUAAUUAGAGUUCAACUUAAUCAAAUUAUAUGCUAAACUCCCACUCAAAAAGUACAUCCCUCUAGUCAUUUGAGUGGUUCAUGAUCCACUUACACUAUCCCAAGUCCGAUCAUCACGUGAGUUGAGUAUAGUUUCAGUGGUAAGCAUCCCUAUGCUAAUCAUAUCAACUAUAUGAUUCAUGAUCGACCUUUCGGUCUCAUGUGUUCCGAGGCCAUGUCUGCACAUGCUAGGCUCGUCAAGCUUAACCCGAGUGUUCCGCGUGCGCAACUGUUUUGCACCCGUUGUAUGUGAACGUUGAGUCUAUCACACCCGAUCAUCACGUGGUGUCUCGAAACGACGAACUGUAGCAACGGUGCACAGUCGGGGAGAACACAAUUUCGUCUUGAAAUUUUAGUGAGAGAUCACCUCAUAAUGCUACCGUCGUUCUAAGCAAAAUAAGGUGCAUAAAAGGAUUAACAUGACAUGCAAUUCAUAAGUGACAUGAUAUGGCCAUCAUCACGUGCUUCUUGAUCUCCAUCACCAAAGCACCGGCACGAUCUUCUUGUCACCGGCGCCACACCAUGAUCAUCCAUCAACGUGUUGCCAUCGGGGUUGUCGUGCUACUUAUGCUAUUACUACCAAAGCUACAUCCUAGCAAAAUAGUAAACGCAUCUGCAAGCACAAACGUUAGUAUAAAGACAACCCUAUGGCUCCUGCCGGUUGCCGUACCAUCGACGUGCAAGUCGAUAUUUCUAUUACAACAUGAUCAUCUCAUACAUCCAAUAUAUCACACCACAUCGUUGGCCAUAUCACAUCACAAUCAUACCCUGCAAAAACAAGUUUGACGUCCUCUAAUUUUGUUGUUGCAUAUUUUACGUGGUGACCAAGGGUAUCUAGUAGGAUCGCAUCUUACUUACGCAAACACCACAACGGAGAUAUAUGAGUUGCUAUUUAACCUCAUCCAAGGACCUCCUCGGUCAAAUCCGAUUCAACUAAAGUUGGAGAAACCGUCACUUGCCGGUCAUCUUUGAGCAAAGGGGGUUACUCGUAACGAUGAAACCAGUCUCUCGUAAGCGUACGAGUAAUGUCGGUCCAAGCCGCUUCAAUCCAACAAUACCGCGGAAUCAAGAAAAGACUAAGGAGGGCAGCAAAACGCACAUCACCGCCCACAAAACCUUUUGUGUUCUACUCGAGAAGACAUCUACGCAUGAACCUAGCUCAUGAUGCCACUGUUGGGAAACGUCGCAUGGGAAACAAAAAUUUUCCUACGCGCACGAAGACCUAUCAUGGUGAUGUCCAUCUACGAGAGGGGAUGAAUGAUCUACGUACCCUUGUAGACCGUACAGCAGAAGCGUUAGAGAACGCGGUUGAUGUAGUGGAACGUCCUCACGUCACUCGAUCCGCCCCGUGAACAAUCCCGCGAUCAGUCCCACGAUCUAGUACCGAACGGACGGCACCUCCACGUUCAGCACACGUACAGCUCGACGAUGAUCUCGGCCUUCUUGAUCCAGCAAGAGAGACGGAGAGGUAGAAGAGUUCUCCGGCAGCGUGACGGCGCUCCGGAGGUUGGUGAUGAUCUCGUCUCAGCAGGGCUCCGCCCGAGCUCCGCAGAAACGCGAUCUAGAGGAAAAACUAUGGAGGUAUGUGGUCGGGCAGCCGUGAGAAAGUCGUCUCAAAUCUGCCCUAAAAUCCCCAUAUAUAUAGGAGGAGGGAGGGGGACCUUGCCUUGGGGUCCAAGGGACCCUCAAGGGGUCGGCCGAGCCAAGGGGGGGAGGACUCCCCCCCCAAACCGAGUUGNNNNNNNNNNNNNNNNNNNNNNNNNNNNNNNNNNNNNNNNNNNNNNNNNNNNNNNNNNNNNNNNNNNNNNNNNNNNNNNNNNNNNNNNNNNNNNNNNNNNNNNNNNNNNNNNNNNNNNNNNNNNNNNNNNNNNNNNNNNNNNNNNNNNNNNNNNNNNNNNNNNNNNNNNNNNNNNNNNNNNNNNNNNNNNNNNNNNNNNNNNNNNNNNNNNNNNNNNNNNNNNNNNNNNNNNNNNNNNNNNNNNNNNNNNNNNNNNNNNNNNNNNNNNNNNNNNNNNNNNNNNNNNNNNNNNNNNNNNNNNNNNNNNNNNNNNNNNNNNNNNNNNNNNNNNNNNNNNNNNNNNNNNNNNNNNNNNNNNNNNNNNNNNNNNNNNNNNNNNNNNNNNNNNNNNNNNNNNNNNNNNNNNNNNNNNNNNNNNNNNNNNNNNNNNNNNNNNNNNNNNNNNNNNNNNNNNNNNNNNNNNNNNNNNNNNNNNNNNNNNNNNNNNNNNNNNNNNNNNNNNNNNNNNNNNNNNNNNNNNNNNNNNNNNNNNNNNNNNNNNNNNNNNNNNNNNNNNNNNNNNNNNNNNNNNNNNNNNNNNNNNNNNNNNNNNNNNNNNNNNNNNNNNNNNNNNNNNNNNNNNNNNNNNNNNNNNNNNNNNNNNNNNNNNNNNNNNNNNNNNNNNNNNNNNNAGGGCAUAAUUCCAACAGAUGAUCCAUUUGAUGGGCACGUAGCAGAAAGAAUGGAGCAGUUCGGGAAGUAUCGUGCCUUCAACACUCUCGCACAUAGCGACAAAGGGGCAUGCAGAAUCCUCCACGCUUGUUUGGCCACUAAAGCUUGGUUAAAAGCCUCCAUAUCUCUGAACCCCAUCCCUCCAUCACGUUUUGCUGCACACAUCUUCUCCCAAGAGAUCCAAUGCACCUUCUUUUGACCAUUCGUUGCACCCCACUAGAAUUUCAAAGUGAUCGAAGUCAGGUUCCGACACAUUUUCUUUGUGAGAUGAAAACAACUCAUGGUAUAAGUCGGCGUAGCUUGGAGGACCGAUUUAACUAGUACUUCCCUCGCUGCUUUUGAAAGCCCCUGUCCCUUCCAUCCAUUCACCUUUCCUUUCGAGCUCUCAGUGACAUAUUUGAAAGUCCCUUCUUUUGAGCGCCCAACCAGUGUUGGCAAGCCCAAGUAUCUCUCACUAAGAGCCUCAUUAUCCACACCCAGAAUACCCUUCAGCUCCCCCUUUCGCUCCUCUUGUGUUCCCUUUCCAAAGAAAAUGGAUGAUUUUUGGAGGUUUAUACGUUGUCCAGAAGCCCGCUCAUAUUGCUGCAAGAUAUCUGUUAACACUUCCAUGUUUGAUCGGGUACCCUCUAAGAAGACAAUGCUAUCAUCCGCAAAAAGCAAAUGAGUAACUUGGGGGCCAGUGCUCCCAAACUUUACACCUCGAAUCUGAUGCUCUUCUUGUGCCCUCCUUAGCACAGCAGAAAAACCCUCGACACAGAAAAGAAAGAGGUAUGGUGACAGAGGAUCACCUUGUCUAAGCCCCCUAGAGGGGGAGAACCUCCUCGAUAAUCCUCCAUUCAGCUUCACCAUGAAUCUUGUUGUUUUAACACACCGCAAGAUCAUAGCCACCCACUCGUGAGCAAAACCAAAAUGUAGCAUCAUCUGUUCCAAGAAGCUCCAUUCCACUCUACCAUACGCCUUCAUCAUGUCGAGCUUUACUGCACACAUGGGGUUCUUUCUUUUCCUCGUGCGGAUUGCAUGAAUACACUCAUAAGCAACUAGUACAUUAUCCGUGAUGAGACGUCCUGGUACGAAAGCACUUUGCUCCUCACAGAUGAUAACUGACAGGAUUCCCUUUAAUCUAUUUGCCAGCACCUUUGUAGCGAUCUUAUACAGAACAAUGCACAGGCUGAUCGGGCGAAAUUGAGUGAGCAACUCCGGUGAGUCAACCUUCGGGAUCAUGACAAUAACCGUAUCGUUAAAAGACUCCGGGGUUGAAGCACCGUUCAGGAAAUCACGCACUGCUCUGCAUACAUCUUCCCUUACCAAAGACCAGUGUCUUUGGUAAAAUAAAGCUGGCAACCCAUCAGACCCCGGCGCCUUAGUCGGACCCAUCUGGAAGAGCGCUUCUUCUAUCUCCUUGUCCGAGAUUGCCACUGUUAGUUUACCAUUCAUCUCCCCCGAGACCGCCGGUUGGAUGUGCUCCAACAGGGAGUUAGCUCCGACUGACCCAUCUGAUGUGAAUAACUUCUCGUAGAAGCCCGCGACCAAUUCUCUCAUAUCCUCAUCCACCGUGCACUUUGUCCCAUCCUCUCGAAGGAGAGCUCUUACAUUAUUUUUCCUCUUUCUAUGAGACGCCCUACUCUGAAAGUAUUUGGUGUUUAGAUCACCAGCCUUAAGCCAGUCUACCCUCGAUCUCUGGCGAUAAAGGAGUUCUUCCCUCUCAUAAAUCUCCCGCAGUUGCCCUUCUAAAUCUUGGGUUUCACUAGUCAAACCAGUCACCGCUGCUCUCUUUUUUGAACCAACAAGAUCAGCCUUUAAAUGUGUAAUUUGUUUCCGAAUUGAUCAAAAAACCUCCCCAGCCCACCUCUUCAUGUUACCCGAUACACACACUAGCCGGCGCCAUAAAGCUUCUACACCCCUGCAUCCCCGAUCCGAAGCUGCCCAGGCCUCCUCCACCAUCUCAUCGUAUUUUUCAUGCCGGGUCCAAGCCUCCUCAUAUCGGGACUGCCGGCCCCCCCGCUAUUGCUUGCUUGGAGCAGUCUCCAUAGCCCGAAUCAGCAGCGCCUGAAUAUUAUGAUCCACCUCUCUUUUGUUAUCCCACGUGAAUGGGUAUCCCGAGAAUCCCAAGUCCACUAAGCCGCAGUCGGCCAAGCAGUCGCGGAAAUCCUCCAUCUGUUGGAAGCUCCUGUUAUUACCUCCUUGUUGAUCCGUGAGAAACAAUACUUCAUUAAAAUCUCCUGCAUAGAGCCAAGGGAGAUCAUCUUGCGCUCGCAAAUACCGCAAUUUUUCCCAUGAUCGCAUGCGCAACUCUGUCCUGGGUUCACCAUAGAAACCAGUAAACCUGCAAGUUUUCCCUUCCAUCGUGAGUUCCGCGUCGAUAAAAUACUGACACCAUGGCCGGAUCGUCGCUUUGAUGUUAUCCCUCCACCACAGAGCUAGUCCCCCACUACUCCCCUGGCUAGGGACUGCCAUUCCACACCUGAACCCCAAGCUCCACCUUAGUUUCUCCAUAGCCGCCACACUCUUCUUAGUUUCACAUAAGAAGACCGCCCCUGGGUUGUGAGACCGAAUCAAGUCCCGUAGUUCACCCACUGUCGAGGCCAACCCCAAACCCCGACAGUUCCAGGCCAGGAUAUUCAUUGUGUUCGACGGCCCUGCUCCGCAGGGUCCGCCGCUAUAUCUUUGUCCUCCGAGAUACGAUCAAACACUGAAGACGUCUUGCGCCUUGUAUCACGAAUGAAAGCAUCAUGAGUAAUCUGUCUAUCUGGGUCAUCCUUUGCUACCCAAAGCUGCUUCGGCCUCCUCUUCCUAUUAUCAUCCUCUCUCGGUCUCCUUGAGGAACUCUUUGGGAUUGGGCGAUAUUCCUGUCUCGGCUUCCUAACAUAGCACCCCUUCCUCCUUUCUGUUGUUCCUCCAAGACCCGAUGUUGAGAUACCCUCCAUUCUCCUCCCCGAUUCGUCAACAGGAAAAGCAUUGGGGGGAGUACGCUGACCCCUCACCACCCUACUCAUCUCGUCGGUAGGAACCCUCUCUCUCUGUCUGUGCUGUUCGACCAACUUGCCUCUCAUCACCUCCUCCCUCCUUUGCUCCAGAUUGACACGUUGGUCCCCCUCAUGCUGCUCCUUAGCUAUACCUUUGCUCUUAAGUGGGUUCCUCCCAUCUGUCUCCCCAGGUCUAUACUCCUCGCCAGUGCGGGAAUCACCUAUACACGAAAAUUCUGAGUGCAGAUUACGCUUAGUAGGGAGAUCACGCACCCUGUUCAUCCGAUGGGCGAACUGAUCGUUAUCUCCUUGUCUCCCAUUGCCCAUACUAUUAUUACUUCCACCACCUCCUCCCUCUGAGCCACCUUUUGAUCCACCAUGCUUAUCUGACGAUGCCCGAAGCCAUCCUCCCCACUGCGAUGACGAGUCCACCGGUGGGGCGCAGACACCAUUAACAUGUACCAAUCUACCACACUCAAAGCAAAAAUGUGGAACCUUCUCAUAGUGGGAAUCGAACCAAAGCUUACUCUUCUCCUCCCGCGAAGAUUUCAGGAAAAAACCUCUCACCAGUGGCUCAAACACAGAUAUCUGGGCACGAACCCUAAGGUGUUGCCCUUUAGCUUUUCCUUCCUCAUCAACGUCCACCCUCACCACCUUCCCCAGCCAGUUGCCCAAGGCAUUCCCAAACUCCUCCGUCCUUUUGUCCGGUGGGAGAUCAUGCACCUGAACCCAUAUCUCCACAGUAUCGAAAACCAUCUCCGAAGGCCUGGUGCCCCCAUCAUAUUCCUUGACAAUCAAAACGCUGAAAUCAAACUGCCAUGGGCCAUUGUGCAGAACAUGUCUCCAAUCUCCUUCGCUACCAAAGUGCACCUCAAAGACGUUCUUACCCAGAUCUCGAAACCUAGCCAUCUUAUGAACCCCCCACGCCCUUUGCAUGGUUCUCUCCAUGACCGUCAGAUUAAGCGACCGCGAUGAGCAUGAUUUUCCCACCACCGCCCAUCUUUCUUUCGUCGUGCUUCGAGGUUCCGGUGCCGAGAAAAGCAAACCCUCUGCCUCCUUGUCCAAGAGAACCAUAUUACCCAUCCGAGCGGACAGACUAGUAGCCGGAUCCGGAGUUUUGCUCUCCACGGGGGACUUUGAAGACCCCCUGUUAGCAGGAUCGACCGUCUUGCUCGUCGGUGUCACCACCUUCGAAGCCAGCGCAGUAGCUUUUGUCUGCGGAGUUGCUGCAGUCCUCCUCGACAUCGUCUUCGCCUGAUCUCCUCCCCGCGAAGACGAAGCCCGCCGGUCAAACGUCCAGGGUAGCGCCGUCGCUGCCCCGUAGGUCACCGGAUCCACACCACCCCCGCCGUCAAAACCCUAAACCCAGCGGAGGGAGGGAAUCGCCGCGCAAUCGCCUCCCAAUCGCCGAAGCGUUUUUUCCGCGUGGUGGACCCCUUAUCUCUUCGUUAAUAUCAAUAUGAUGUAUGGGCUUGCUCUAUUAGAGAUGCAUUUUUUUUUUUAGAAAUGCAGUUGUUACAUAUCACGACCGCGCUAGGGGGGCAAAAAAUUUCACCGGGCCCGCCACGCUGGCCUCCACGAAUCGCAACACCGCUCCACCCCUAGAGACCCUAACCUAGAACAUUCCAUAAUUCCAUCCCAAUUCUUUCAAAUUUUACACACAUCUAACAGGAUACCCCAAAUCUUCCUUCCAAUUCUCCUUCCUCCCUCCCUCCCAGGCGCAGGCGCAGGCGCAGGCAGAGGGCGAGCGCCCCAGCCAGCCGCGCGGCCGCCUGCGACUGGCGGCGCCGCCCGUGCUCCGAUGGUCGGGAUGUACCAGAAGCAGCUCCUCGACGCCCCUUUCGCCCUAAACGGCCACUGCGCUGACCAGCCACGCCACGCGCCGCCCGCCGCCGCCGCCGCUCCCCCCUCGCCGUGUCCGCCCAACCCCUCCUCCUCCGCCUCCUCCUCAGGCGUUGCCGCCUCGCCGCAGGGGCAGGCAGAUGGCGCCGGCGAGCCGCGUCGGCUUUUCCAGGCGCUCGUCGGGGGGAUCCUGCAGCGCAGGUCCGGAGGCGGCAACGGCGUGGCUGUGGAUCUGGAGGCGCUGGUGUCGUGGGCGCGGGAGGCCGCCGUGGAUCCCUGCGCGAAGCGGCCGGCGGACAGGCCGAGGAAGCGGCAGGUGCUGGCGUUGCGGCGCGCGCGCUACCUCAGGAUGGAGGACGUGACGGACCAGGCCGAGCUCCCCAGCUUCUCCAAGGUGAGGACGAAGUCGCAAACCCCUAUGGUCGUGAGUCGCGAUCUGCUGCUGAUUUGUCGAGGUAGCCGUCGAUUGGGUGGGUGGACUGUCGUUUACCAUGUUGCGUUGGGACAUUUCUCCGGCUGCUUCGCAUGGGUGGGACAUUUCUGCAUCUACUAGGAUUUUGUCACUAUAUGUCAUUCCUCUCCGUAACCUAUUGCCCGUAUCGCUAGGCUUGUUUCUCUAGGAGUGCAUUUGUAAAUGGAGUCCCGGGUUAUGGAAUGGGCGAAUGGCAGUUGACUGGUGUCCCGUUUCAAGCAAACAGAAUCUCAGCAACCAUGUACUAAAUGGAGUCCCAGGGCAUGGAAUGCCAAUUGACGAGUGUCCUGUUUCAAGCCAAGAGAAUCUCAGGCACCGCAGAGCAACCACGUACCGUUGAGCCUUUCCCAAACAAUGGAAGAUCCUGAUUGGGGAAAUCCUGCUUGUGUCUGUAUCUCAGCUGGUGACUCAGGCUGCGGUUGGCAUUGCACGGUCAAUUAUGAUACUCCUAAUUGCGUUUGUCUAACCGGAUCUUUUUUCCUUCUAUGGUUUUGCGAGCCAACCUUUUCCUCCUUCGGUGGCCUAUGUAGAUUUGUUCACAACAGAUUAUAAGCGCUCCAUGAUUCAGCAACUGGAAACUGAGCUUCGUAACUCAUAAGUCAGGGAAGCUUAUAAGAACCGAGGAACGGCGAGCAUGGCAGUCACACAAAAACUUGUUGCCUUCAUUGAGGAUGGUUCCAUUAGAUAAUAAUUUAGUAGGUUGAUUAUUCAUCUCAUAUUGUUUUACAUGCUGUCGGCACUUUUCUCGUGUUCCUGUUACAUUCCAUGACCAUUAAUCUCAUUAAUAAAUGAGGUCUCCUUACAAAGAGGACGUGAGAAUUCAGAGAAUAGCUCGAUCAACAUGGAGUAAGAGAAGGGCAUGGUGGUAAUAUUAGGCUAUUCCCAAGGUCUUGCACCCGUGGCUAAACAACCUAUAUUUUUGAAGAACAGAACAUCCAGAACAUUAAGUUUCAUGCCUCGAGUCCCAUUCACCAAAAUUAUAUAAUUUCAAGUUCUUUUAGUCACAGUUAAUGUAUUAAUUUGUUAGCCCAUCAAAACUACCUAUAUUUAUGCCAGGAUGGAAACUAAGCUUGAAAAAUUACACUUUGAAGAGUUCCUAGUGAGAAUGUUAAUGACAUGUGAGAUUUUAUAUUAAGUGAUGCAUAUCGGGGGAUUGACAACAUGCUUUUAUUCAGUUGUGUGAGUAUAGGUCUUAGGUGCUAGAUUAAGGGACUGAAGGGAACUUGCUGAAAUGGGUGUACAAUAGACAUGCAUGUUCACAAAUGGCCUGUAUCCAUAAAAAGGGCAGCUUGGUGCAUGUAGCUCCCGCUUGCGCAGGGUCCAGGGAAGGGUCCCUAUAUCCAUAACUAACAAAAGAGAAAAAACUCGACCAACCAGGAUUAGCCCUUGGUGACAUUUUUUAAGAAGGCGAGCACCAACCCGACGGAGGGUUGAUCCUGGAACGCGGAUCCUCGGGCUGCGAGCAUUUCAGUCUGCUCUAGCUAGCCAACUGGUUGACGCGAUUAAUGUGCACUCUUUCCUUUAAUAAUGAUGCUUAAUUAAUUUUUUAAAUGAAGGCUCCUUUCUAAGUGAAAAAUAUAUAUCUAGAAUCUGGACUAAUGUGCACUAUUUUCUUUGGUGUUUUAAUUUUAUAUUCUCCUGUAUUCACUGUAUUUUACCUGACAUUUAAAAAAACUAUCCUGGAUUAUCAUUUUGGAAACCUAAACUUGUGUUUUAUGUCAUAUCGAACGGUCAUGGCUUUCUCCAUGUAAAAGUAGUGAAAAACCUUUCAAAGUGUAUUUUGGCAGAAACAUCUAUUAGUCUGUCCUACUUUGCAUAAAGCUGACAGCGGUACGUAGUUCCCAUGAGACAAGCUUCUAAAUCUAGGCUGGUACGACCACUCGGCCGAUAUAUCGUUAUUGGUGGUGUACCGAUACAGAUAUAACAUAUCAUUUCGUAAACACUCCCUCCGAUCCGUAUUACUUGUCUUAGAUUUGUCUAGAUAUGAUACAUGUAACACUAAAACGUGUCUAGAUACAUUGGUGUUACAUACAUCCAUGUCUAGACAAAUCCAAGACAAGUAAUAUGGACGGAGGGAGUAUCGUUCUUACGCAUAUCAGCCAUAUAGACUGGUAUAUUAACCGAUAUGGCUCAUAUUUGACCCGAUAUGUCCACCGAUAUAGACCAAUAUGUAAAUGACAAAGGUUCUUUCUAGAAAUAAUGUUGAACAUGAAAUUGGUAUUUACAACUUCAUAAAUUAUAAAAAGUCACACAAUGUUUUGUAAAUGCGCAUAUGGUGAAGUCCUCCCCACUUGUGCCAAGAGGUCCUGGGUUCGAACCAGCCCCUCUGCAUUGCACUUCGCUGGGGUAAGACUAGGUUCCUAUAAUCCCUCCCCAGACCUCACCUUGUGUGGGAGCUUCUAUGCACUGGGUCUAUCCUUUAAUAUUUUGUAAAUACGCAUAUAUGAGUUUUUAUGUUAGAAUAAGUUUUUUGAGAGUAAUUAUUGGUUUAUUCCUGAUUUACAGUACUAGUUAAUAAACUUGGAAUCAUAUAUUUGUAACUCAAACACUGAUAUUUGUCAUUUUAUUAUUAUUAAAAAAGGCAUGUCUAAAUAAGAAUGAAAAAAAACCCGAUCAGAUAUGUUUCUUCCUAUAUAACUGCAUAUCGUCUGGUAUAUCACCGAUAUCUGACAUCCAAUUUACCAAAAUCUAACUGAUAUGAACCCGGUAGCCGAUAUUUUGAAACUUGCUGUCAGAUAGAGGACCUGGAGAAGUGCUGACUGUAUGAUUAUUUAAUGUUUGGGCGAAAAGUGGCGAUGGUAGUCAUGAUGUCCUGCAUGCAGUGGCGGAGCCAGGAAUUUUCUCCCGGGUAUUCUUGUAAUUUUUUUUGCCUGAGCAAUAUAAUAAAACAACAAAUGUGCAUUAUGAUGGUAACAUCAAUGAUUUGGUGACCAUAUAUCAAUAAUAAUAGCAAAAUAUCAUUGUGGCAAUAUCUCUAACAAUAAAUAUAAUAGGUAUGACUCGAUGACCAUACAUCGAUGCCACAAAAGUAUCAUUGUGCCAUUGUGGCAAUAUCAAUGACUCGAUGACCAUAUACAUAAAUAAUAGUAGCAAUUUUUUUUGGCCAAAGCAAUAUAAUAGAACAAAAAAUAUGGAUGUAGAAGUUGUUUUUCUUGCCUUAACUUGAAGAUCUGCCCCCCAUUUCAAGUAUGCCCACAUGCUUCUUCUUCAUCUACAUCUACAUCACACAAACAAAGUAGAAAUCAGUGGCAAUGACAAUGUGGCAUGAACUGAAUGGACAAAUAUUUACAAUUUAUAUAAAAAAAGUAGCAAUCAGUGGCAAUGUGGCAUGGACUGAUGGACAAUUGUACAAACAAUUACAAUUUAUCGAAGAACAAAGUAGCAAUCAUUCUGUCACAGAUCAGUGGCUUCUAGCAGUGGAAAUUUACAAAAAAAAGCUUCAGAUUUGUUUAAAAAACAAAGGGAAAUUACCUUGGGAAUUUGUAAAUGGAUGCAAUACCGGAUGGACUGGAUGGCUUCUCCUUCUAGCCUGGCGGCUGGCGGACUGAUGCGGCAACUGUCGAUGGCGACGGAGGCCCGCAGCGGCGCAACCCCGGACGGACCACAACCACGGAGGUCGUUGGCGGACUAGGAAGGGGAGGGCCGGAGGGGAGGGGAAGGCCGGUCGGGAGGGAGAUGGCCGGAGGGGCAGAGAGCUUGCCUUCGUCCGUCGGACCUCGCUUGCGCCGGAGCCGUCGACAGUCAACUAGGUUUGGUGAUUUGCAUCGAGGGAGGAAGAGUGGCUGCCGUCUCGUGCGUGGCCUUUUUUUGCAGGGAAACAGAGCAAAGAGCGCGUGGCUGGAUGGGCUGUUCUAGCGGGCUCCACUGUAUAACACGUAUAGUUAAUUUUUUUGGGCCCAAAUUCUUUGGUAUUCCAUGGAAUGCCGAGGAAUACCCCUGGCGCCGCCACUGCCUGCAUGGCCGCAAGAUGUGCAUCCUACAUGUUACUGGGAAGAACAACCUACAAGGCAUAGUGACAGAUCCAAAAUGCUUAAAAUUAGAGAACCAUGGUGAUGUUGACUCUCUAGAGAGAGAAUCAUCUGCAACUUGUGUUCUAUUUUCCUUAGUAAGAAAGAUUUUUCGAAGUGCAUGAUUAAUAUUUUUAUAAAAUGGAAGCACAGUGCAACUUUCAGUUAUUUGCUCCUAUAUCAUGUCCGAAAUGCGCAAACAAUAGGCAUUACCGAAUGGAGUACUUUGAAACAAUUCACUGGAUUUUGUUCAUAGUCCAAACUCCAAUUGAAAGAAUGUGGAUACACCUGAGCUAUGAUUACCUUAUUUUCUUAUCUGAAAAGGAUAGCGUCCUGUGAAACCUGUGUUAUGGUCUCCUCUCCUCAUCUGAACAAAAACAGAGGGUUAGCUGUUUCUAUCUGCUUGGCAAAUUUGUACUCCCUCUUUUCCAUAAUGUAGUGCAUAUAGAUUUUUUGAAAAGUCAACUUUGCAAACUUUGACCAAGUUCAGGGUGAAAGCUAAUUAUAUCUACAAUAUCAGAUAAUAUAAAAUAAGGAAAAUACUCCCUCUGUUCCUAAAUAUAAGUCUUUAUAGAAAUUCCAAUAUAGACUACAUACAGAGCAAAAUGAGUGAAUCUACACACUAAAAUACGUCUAUAUACAUUUGUAUGUAGUCCGUAUUGAAAUCUCUGAAAGGACUUAUAUUAUUUAGAAACGGAUCGAGUACAUCUUAUGAUGAAUCUAAUUAUAUGUGUUUGGGAUUCUAGAUGUAAAUGUUUUCCUCCACAUACUUGGUCCAAGUUUAUGAGGUUUGACUUAUCAAAAGAAUCUAUAUGCACUACUCCCUCCGUUCCUAAAUAUAAGUCUUUUUUAGAGAUUUUAUUAACUGAUUACAUAAGGAUCAAAAUGAAUGAGUCUACACUCUAAAGUAUGUCUAUAUACAUCCGUAUGUAGUCUUCUAGUAAAACCUCUUAAAAGACUUAUAUUUAGGAACGGAGGGAGUACAUUAUGGAAGAGAGGGAGUAUCUAUGAAUACUCGAAUGUAGCACCCCUGCUUUUAGUCCCACACGGCCAGUUACGAGUCACACUUGCAGAGAAGCCUUCUGGGUGCAAGACAUAUCAUUUCUGGGCUGUUGUGGGCCUGUUACCCUAUUUGGGCCGUAGGGUGUUCCACAAAGCAUCUUCAGUGUUUAGUUUGUAUAAUUUCCUCCCACUGUCUGACAAUUUGUCAAUGUUUGCUUGCUUAUUUUUAUUGUCAAUUUCCUCACUAUAUUUCGUUUAUUCUGCUUUCCAUUUUGUUUUGUGCUUUCUGAAACAAUUAUCUAUUUCUUAAUCUUCUGGAAAUUGUUGCAUUUUUCAUCUUUCAGAAAAGGAAGUACAGAACUAACAACCAAUCAGAAAGACAAAGGAAAGGGUCAACCCCAACAAGGAAAUCCGAGAGGCUAGCUAGGAGAAUGGUACUCAUGACAUCAGUGCUUCUGACGCAAAGGAAAAAGAUUGGAGUAGGUGAGCAGUUUCAGGCAGAGAUACCUGACUGGACUGGACCCCCUUCAGACACAGAGCUUUCUUGUUACAGGAAUGACCCGAACAUCUCAAAGAUGCUAGGAAGCAGAACUUGGCCACCUGAAGGUUAUGUCUUACAGACAAAUAUGGUGGUAGCUGGUCAGGGAAGGCCUGAAUCAUGUUAUUGCCCAUAUCCAGGAUCCUUCUUUUGCAGAGAACAUCACAUCAACACCGCAAGGGAUCGGUUAAGGUCUGAAAUUGGUCAAGUUUUCAUGGAAUGGAAAUUUGAUUUGAUGGGCGAGCAGGUUUCUAAGAUGUGGAGUAUUGAGGAGCAACUAAAGUUUAAUGCACUUGAGCAGUUGAUUCCUGUGAUGGAAAAUAAGAGUUUUUGGGCGAUAGCGGCAAAACAUUUUGCCUCGAAGACCAGAGUGGACUUGGUGCAGUACUACCUCAAUGUUUUCCUCAUGAGAAGAGUUUCAAACCAGUGCAGGCUGAGUCUGCUGGAGAUUGAUAGUGAUGAGGAUGAAGCAGAGGAAGAGGAUGAUGAAGAUCAAUCUGAUGGCUCCAAUUCGUCCCACAGGUACGGCUCUACACAUGCCCCCAUAUGUUUGUGUAAGCAGGUGUAGCAUCCUGCUUCGCCAUUUUCUUAUUAAAUCAUGUAGUGCAUAUAUUGGAAUUCACCGCUCUGUUUCUCUUAUGCACUGAUGUUAGCUGCAAGAGUAGACUAAACAGCUCCUUUUGAACGUCUAACACUAGCUGGUAAGAACGAUAUUGAUUUUUGCUAACCUUUACAUUUUACUUCAGGGCCCAGGAUGUCCAAGAGGUGAAGAAGAUCUUUUGAAUCCGCUGACAGCUACUUGGCAUGCUUUUCUGCAUGUGCACAUGUUUUGAUGUGCUGAGACACUCAUCACCUUGAGUGAUCGAUCCUUCAGUCGUUCGCUUAGACCUAGCCCUCCGUUCUGUGCAGAAACUCAUGCGAAUUGCACACCAUUUUCAUUAUCAAUGCUUGCGUCAUGGCAGCGGGCAAGCCAAUCAGUUGUAGCUUGAUGCUCAAAGAGCUCAUCUGGUCUGAAUGUUUUCCCGUGUACAGGAAAAAUGAAAUACAGAUCUAAAGACUAAAGGGGGGUAGAAAACAAAUGGUCAUUGAUUUCGUUUCUUUAUUGAGAGUCGAGACUUGAGAGGGUCAAGGUAAGGUGUGUAAACCAAAACCCAAAAGCCAUUUGACACUCUUACCUGGCAAGAUGUUUGGCAACUGUGUUUUUAUUACCCAGUUUGAUAGAGCCGUUUCUGGUGUUGUCAUGUACUAGUACCUAUGUUCCUUUUGUGAAAUACCCACCAUCUGCUGGUUUAGAUAUUCGUUUUACUUCCUAAUUACUAACAGAGGUUACACUUCACCGAAGGCCUUGUACAAUGCAGGGUGUUUAGAAAAUAAAUCAUCUUUUUCUUAAGCACGUGUGCUUUUUUUUAAAGGGCGGGCGCUUAAUUAGACACCCUUCCCCUUGAGAUAGACAUUGAUGCUUAAGAAAAAUUUGGUUUGUUUUACUAAGUACCUGGCAUCAUUCAAGAAAUUACUAUAUUGAACAAGAAAUUAUUUUUAUUUUACAGUUUGCUAAAAUUAUGGACUACACUAUAAAUCUGACGUCAGGAGAUUUAUUGACGACCAUGGCAAAUCAAAUGCUUUUAUGGCAAAUUAUGUUCUUCAAGGACGGCAAGUUUAGUCGACGAGCAUGAAAAAUCUGCUUUAAUUCAUUUUUUGUUGAAAAAUUACCGUGCUUGUAAACUAAAUUUAUCAUCAUUGCAUCAAACAUAAACUGCCAUGAAAAAUGUCAAAUCUUUAGUGUUUCCGAAAAGUACAUACACGGCAUAGGCAAAGGCAAGAGUCAUUACAGAAAAAAAAAAAGGGGGUUACACACCCCAUUUUUUUUUCGAACUGAAAACACUACUCGAAAUCUAAUCUUUGUAGAAUUGUAAAGUUGCAACCAAUAUUAUGUCUUGCGCAAGUUGCCACGAGAAGCGCACGCACGUACCACCGUACACACCCGGGCCGAUCGAUCCGGUGCUGCACUGCUGCUCCAUCGUCGGCUCGUCCCGGCACCAGCAUGGCCACACAACCCACGAACGGUCGUCUUCCCGCGCUCUAUCUUCUCCGGCGCCACGCUGGCCCCCGGGCUUAUCUGGUCCAGUCGUGCAUCCACCGCGCGUGAUCCGUUCCUCCCAAAUCCCCCAGCCGGCGCCGCAACGUAAAGACGUAGAACAGCUCCCACAAUCCCAAGCUCCGUAGCCUCCCUCCUCGUCAGCGCCGGCCAAGACCACGCACCGCCAGCAGCAAUGGAGACCGUCGCGGCCGCCGGCUACGCGCGCGGGGCCGCCACGCGCUCCCCGGCCUGCUGCGCCGCCAUGUCCUUCUCGCAGUCCUACAGGCCCAAGGUGCGCGAGAGCUACACAUGCUGCCAAGACACUCCUCCUCCUUUUUCCUGACGCCCGACUGGUAAUGUGACGGCAGGCUGCCAGGCCGGCGACCUCGUUCUACGGCGAGUCGCUGCGGGCGAACACGGCGAGGACGUCGUUCCCGGCGGGGAGGCAGUCCAAGGCGGCGAGCCGCGCGGCGCUCACCACCCGGUGCGCUAUCGGCGACAGCCUGGUUCGUGCCGUGCACGCACCCGUCACCACUACAUAGGAGUAUGCUAUAGCUAGCCCCCUGCAUGCGCAGCUCACGGCGUCUGUACAUUUUUGUGCGUAUAUGCGUGUGUGGUGGCAGGAGGAGUUCCUGACCAAGGCGACGCCGGACAAGAACCUCAUCAGGCUGCUGAUCUGCAUGGGGGAGGCGAUGAGGACGAUCGCCUUCAAGGUCAGGACGGCGUCCUGCGGCGGCACCGCCUGCGUCAACUCCUUCGGCGACGAGCAGCUCGCCGUCGACAUGCUCGCCGACAAGCUCCUAUUCGAGGUGAGAGCGAGAGCGCCUUUUCUCGAUCUGCGCGUCUCGUCCCGUCACGGUUUCUCACUUGGCUCAUGCAUGUAUAUAUGCAUAGGCGCUGGAGUACUCCCAUGUGUGCAAGUACGCGUGCUCUGAGGAAGUCCCCGAGCUGCAGGACAUGGGUGGCCCCGUCGAAGGUACACAACCAUUUCUUGUUACACGUCAAAGCUCAAAGCUCGAUGAGAUGAUUUUAAGGGGGGUGGCGAUCACCUUAAUCCUGUAUCCUCGACAGAACACAUGCCAAUGCCAUCCCCGUGCCUGAAUAAUAUAGAGUAGCACGCACUGUAGCACCGGACAGUGUUCAGUGCGACUGAACAUAGCAUAUGUUCCCGCUCGCACCUUCAGAGCACCGUAGCAACGAAACAACAUAUUUACCACUCCUUGUAACCAUCGUGUCUCCUUGGGUUCUUGUCAUAGAUGCUACAGUGUCCUAAUUUGAUAGAGCGAUACGAACUAUCCACUCACCAGCGGGUACAUGUUUCCCGUCUCGUGUCGUCUGGCAGGCGGAUUCAGUGUGGCGUUCGAUCCCCUUGAUGGUUCCAGCAUCGUGGACACCAAUUUCACCGUGGGAACCAUCUUCGGCGUGUGGCCCGGCGACAAGCUGACGGGCGUCACCGGCGGAGACCAGGUUGCUGCCGCCAUGGGCAUCUACGGCCCUCGCACCACCUUCGUCGUCGCCCUCAAGGACUGCCCCGGGACGCAUG